rnacentral:lncRNA from 1 species
AUACACUUGCUUCAUAGUCUUUACCACAUUAUUGACUUACUAACUACAAUUUAUCCAUGCACAUUGCACAGGGUGGACUUGGUGGCGCUCAAGCAUUUGCGAAGUCAGAUAAAUUGGUGAAUAUGCUAAAGAAGCAAAAGGAAUCAAAUAGACCUUAUGGUGCUAUAUGUGCAUCCCCAGCUUUAGUGUUGGAGCCCCAUGGCUUACUCAAGGUACGACCGUUUCUGCUUAAAUUAUUUACUCAGAUUUGGAUCACCCAAUCUGAACUUGAUGAAGGAUUAUGAUGUUGUGUGAUUUUAUGAAUGUGGUCGUAUCUCAUGUAAGUCAGUGAUGAAUUAAUUGGAGUUUGCUGACAAAUUAGAAACUGAAAAACUGCUGCUGCUUCAUUAGUUACAUUACCCAAAGAGUUAAAAUAAACAUCCCAAAUUUUGUCCCAAAUUCUGUCCCAAAUGAUAUGGCAUUUAUUGAGUGAUUGUAUUAUCUAACCAACCAAUUGAUGAAUGUCACAUAAUUUGAGAUGGUUUUUUGGGAUAAAGAAUUUGGGAUUUUUACCCGCAAAAAUCCCAAGUACUUCCUGCUCCUGCAAUAUCAUUGCUGUGUAUUUGCUUUCCCCUUAGACAUAUUCAAUUGUGGUUCAGGGUAAAAAAGCUACAGCUUUUCCUGCUAUGUGCAACAAGCUGUCAGAUCAGAGUGAAAUCGAAAACAGGGUUGUGGUUGAUGGCAACCUCAUCACCAGUAGAGGGCCAGGAACUUCUAUGGAGUUUGCACUGGCAAUUGUGGAGAAGUUUUUGGGCCGCAACAAGGCACUUGAGCUUGCAAAGAUAAUGCUUUUCACUCGCGCCUAACGUUUGUAUGGGGACCUGUCUACUAUUAAACUAGUGUGUUUAUUUCUGUAUUGCUACUGCUUGUAGAGAGGGGAAAUGGAAACUUGAAUUCAUGUUUGAAUAUGGAUUCACUGUGUGGGUUUGUACAGCAGUUUGGUUUAUAAAUAAAUGAGUUCAUGGAGUCACUUCAAAUAUUCGGAAUAAACCUGAGUUUAGAUCUGUUAUCAAUGGUCGGAGUCCAAUUGCGAUCGACUCACUGGGAAUUUUAAUUAUGAAUCAUGUUAUAUUCCACCUUUCUCAUAAAAUGUUAACUCGAUUUACAGGAUAAGAAGGAAAAGAAAGACGCUAAGAGAGGAGCAGACACCCAAAAAGAGUUGACCACUUUGUUGGAACAUAAAUCUCUAGAAUAUUGAAAUAAAACACAUACCAUAUCUAGUAUCAAGUAUGUAUGUGCAAGAAGAUACAAAUUUGAAGAUCAGAUUUCUCAUUUCAAUUUAUGUUCUGCUUAGAGCAAUGGCUCUUAUUCCACAAGCACAAGCAGGAAAGAGUACGCACGAAGUUAAGAAACACACAUUGCAAAAGUUGCAUUAACUACUUGCGGCAACAUCAUCCAAGAACUUGACUUUAAUCUUCUUGAGCUUCGCUGCAGCAUCUGUCAUAUGCAUUCUCUUGUCAGGUGACUCCAUACAACAAUCCAAUGCCAAAUCCAUGAUGCUUAAUAAACAAUCCAUUUUGGCAGAAAAAGCUUGCUCUUCUCGCACCAAAUUUGCGUCAACAACUUCACUCAAUCUGUGAGGUAAUGACUCCUUCACCCAUCUCCUUAAACUCAUUUCUUCUGUGAACAUUUGAUCGGUGGGCCUCUUUCUCGUGAAAGUUUCCAUCAAUAACACACCAUAGCUGUAGACAUCACAUUUGGCUGAAACAAUUCCUUCUAAUCCAUACUCUGCAUUUUUUAAUUUUAAUUAUGAAACAAAUGAUAAAACAAAUAAUUUUUUUGAUAAUUAAGGUAACCCAAACUUUGCUCGUGCUUGAAAAAAGAGCAAAAAUUUUAAUUACAAUUGAAACUUUACCUGGUGCCAUAUAACCAAUUGUAGCCAUUGUCAUGGUUUGUGUCACACAAUCUUCUCCUUCACCUAAGAGUUUGGAAAUGCCGAAGUCGCACACAUGUGCCAUCAUAUUUUCAUCCAAGAGAAUGUUGGUGGGCUUCAAAUCACAAUGAAUUAUAGGUGCCGACGAAUGACCAUGAUGGAGAUAUUCAAGAGCCGACCCCACAUCUAUCAUUAUAUUCAACCUCUCUAGAAUGUCUAAGAAAUAAUUGUAAGAAUACAACCACUUCUCGAGACUACCAUUUGGCAUGAACUCAAGUACCAAUGCUUUGAAAUCUGGAUUAGAACAACUGCUAAGGAUCUUUAUGAGAUUUCGAUGACGAACAUUCCGUAAAACUUCACAUUCAGAAUCAAAACUCCUAAAUGCUCUCUCUAGUUGCAGAUUGAAAAUCUUUAUUGCAACAUUAGUCCCGUCGGAAAUGGUUCCUUUAUAAACUGAUCCAAAACUACCUGUACCCAGCAAGUUACAUUCAUUAAAUUCAUCAGUUGCUCGUUGAAUGUCAAGGUAGGAUGUUCUUCUCCAUGUUGCAAGAGGUAGGAAAUCUUCGUGAUCUGAUUUUUUUGUACUCCUCUUUCGGCAUCUUAUGUACAUAAUGAUGAUAAUCACUAUAAGUACAGAGGAUACUAUCGGAGGCAAAAUAUAUUUAAGGACAAUUAGAGCAACGUUCUUGGUGCUUUUGCUGUCACCUUGUUUGCAAGGUGGGACUCGGAGUUUAGGUGGACCACAGAGUGCAUAAUUUCCGAAAAAUGAUUCAGUUGACAAGUUUUUAAAAGACCCCUUAACAGGAAUUUCCCCUUCUAGCCUAUUAUGAGACACAUUAAAUUGUUUGAGAUGUGACAAUAUCUCCAAUGACUUAGGAAUUUUUCCAGAGAGAUUGUUGCCGGAGAGAUCUAAGGAUUCUAAGCUUAUCAAACUGCCAACUGAUUCAGGAAUAGGUCCCUGAAAUUGAUUACGAGCCAAGGAUAGAGUUUCUAGAUCUAUGAGGGCACCAAUGGUUGAUGGAAUAUCACCUAAUAAUUGAUUCCUUGAUAAAUCUAAAACUGUCAAGACCUUUAACUUUUGUACAUUGGAAGGGAGAGGACCAUUUAAUGAAUUAGACGACAAGUUUAUCUCUAAGAUGUACUCAAGGCUCCACAAGGAUGACGGUAUACUAGAAGUGAGCUUGUUGGAGCCUAAGCGGAGUUCUCUUAGAGAUGUCAAACUCGCCAAGCAUGGCGGUAUAUGUCCAGAGAGCUUAUUUCCAUUUAACCUUAUUCCGUAUAUCAACUCCAAGUGGCAAAGAUCAUAGGGAAUGGAUCCUUCCAAAUUAUUUUCUUCAAGAGAUAAACCUUGUAGCCGCUUAAGUCUUCCCAUCGUUGGUGAAAUAGUUCCAUUCAAGUCAUUGAAGCCGAGGCUUAAGAGGAUCAGGCCACGCAACUUACCAAUUUCUUUAGGAAUGCUGCCCCCGAGUUUGCAGUUGGAUGCAUAAAAUUGUCGAAGAGAAGCAGAGAAAUUUCCAAUCACUGGUGGAAGGAUGCCACCCAAUGGAUUAUAAGCUAAGGCUAAAAAUGUUAAAUUUCUGCAAUUAGUCAGAGAAGAGAGAAAACUCCACUGAUCUGCUGAAGAUGAUUCUGUCGUCAAGUUAUUAAAUGCUAAGCUGAGCACGUCGAGGUGUCUCAAGUUGCCAAAUGUAUUUGGAAUAUGGCCCGAGAAUGAGUUGAAGCCCAAGUCUAGGGCAACGAGUUUAGUAGCAUUGGUGAUAGAGUGGGGAAUUAUCCCUAUAAGAUUAUUGGCCGACAAGGCUAAAUACUCUAUGUUCGGAAGCGAGUGGCCAAUCGUUGACGGUAAGCGGCCUGAGAGUUGAUUGCCCCCCAGAGUAAGGAUUCUCAUGGUUGAAAUGUUGAAGAUCGUGGGUGGAAUGAGGCCACUUAAAUUGUUGUCAGCAAAAACAAGAACCUCCAAAUUUUCCAGAUUGCCAAUCUCGGUUGGAAUUUGACCUGCCAUCAGGCCAACAUUGAGGAGUCAUUGAGCUUUUAGCUUAAGGUAAAUUGAGUUUGACAAUGUUACCCUUGAAAAUGUAAAAGGAUCAAAUUAAUUUUAUUACACAAUAAUUUCAGCCAAUAAUGUUCUUUACACAAUAAUUCUGCAAAAUAUGCAUGCAAAUGGAAAAAUAUGCUUCAAUUACAAGAGGUGGUGGAGCGUACCUCGAAGAUUGCUGAAGCUAAGAUCCAGAUACACGAGUUUACUCAAAUUUCCAAUCCUUGAAGGAAUAUUUCCACCAAUAGUAUUGAACUCUGCACGCAGCGUCUCUAGCCUUGAUAAGUUGAAGAGAGAAUUAGGGAUGGGACCUGUGAAACUGUUAUUAUAAAGUCUCAAUAUUCGGAGUUUAGAUAAGACACCAAUCCAUGAUGGAAAGCUUCCGCUCAAUUUAUUGUAAGCGAAACUCACGACUCUGAGUCGACGUAAUUGCCCCAAUUCUUUCGGCAGAUGGCCAUGAAAAUUGUUCUCACUAAUGUCAAGAGACACUAGAAAUGAGAGAUUUCCCAAGUGUAGUGGAAUGGUGCCUCCGAGACCCAUAUCUGAAAGAUUCAAGGCAGUGACUCGUUGAUGGCGUGAACCACAAGAGAUACCAACCCAGCUACAUAUUGGAUAAGAUAUAGACCAAUUAUUUGCCAGGGCACUCCGAUAAUCAAGAAUGUGGGCUUUGAAUGCCAGAAGAGCUGAUUGAUCUGUUGUUAAAUCGUUUAAAGUCGUCACAGCUAAGCUAGCAAUGAGAUACUGUAACACUAACACCGACAUAGGAACAAAGAAGAAUGAUAAGCGCAUAUUGGUCGUUUUUAGUAGUAGUUGCAAGGCGAGAUUGAUACAAGUUUUAAGUAAAGGAAAUUAGCAUAUACUUAUAAUGAGACAUAUGAAUUUGAAAAUAAGAGCAGAAAAAAUAUACAGGAGACUUGCAAAUUGUUAUAUUCUGUCAUUGAGCGAGCCGUCCAAGUAAACGCAUUUACACUUGAACCCUAAAUAAAGGCCUUAUGGCACUUUAAUUGCCAUAAGGAAGAAGAUGCUCAACAUUGCCAAAAGUGUUUUUCUUGAAGUCUCGUCUUCCGUAAUGUUUGUAAAAUCGAGGUUUUACCAUCUCUAAUUAAAUAUUUACUCUUGAUUUAGACCACGUAAUCUAAACUUGACGAAAAAUUAUGAUCUUAUGUGAUUUUAUGAAUGUGGUCUUAUCUCUUAUAAGUCGGCAAUGAAUUAAUUAAAGCUUGCUGACAAAUUACAAGCUCAAAAAUAUCUUUUACUUAUUCACAAUCUUAUUUCAUUUUUUUAUAACAUAAUAUUAAAAAUUUGUCUAUUAAAUUAAUUUAAUAAUUUUUUUAAUAAAAAAUCUCAUUGACGACCAAACAACUAAUUUUUUUUUUAUAAAAGCUUUGCUUGUUAAAAUUAUGCUGAAAAAAACUCUACUUAAGUAAGUUCUAUUUUUUUUAUAAAAGCCAUUUUAUUUCUUUAUCUUUUUUAAUUAUUAUUGGAAAAGUAGCGCAGCUUAUCAAAAAAGGAAAGAAAAAAAAAAGUCAAAGUGACGAGUGGCUUGUUUUUUAAUUUCAAAGUCAAUGCAAAGUAAAAGUACCGAAAUAAUCAGUUUUUAAAUCCAAAUAAGUGGCAAUAAAGGGAGGUCUUGUUAGGGGUGUUCGCGGAUCGAAUUUUAUGGAUUGGACAUCAAUCCAUAUUCGAUCCACGAUUUUACGGAUUAUAAAAUUUCAAUCCAAUUCAAUCCACGGAUUUGUAAAAUUCAAUCCAAAUCCAAUCCAUAAAUCUGCGGAUCAGAUGCAAAUUUGACCUAAUCCAUAUCCAAUCUACAAUUUUGCGGAUUGGUUUGUGGACUGAAAAUUUUUAAUUCUGUCAAAUCCACGAACUAACUAAAUAAAAAAAUUUAAUAUAAAAAUAAUUUUACUACGGAUCAAAUUUAAAAUUAAAUAAGAUUUAAAUAAAUAAAUUGCUUAAAUAAAGCUAGCAAAUACAUUUAAAGUUUCAAAAUAUAACACACCAAAAUGAAAAAAAUAUCAUUCGUUUUAGAUCAAGGAAAUUAACUAUUUAGUAAACUAUAUUUGUUUAUUUAAUUAUUUUUUAUUUUUUAUUAUUAUCGGAUAUGAUAUAAUAUAAUGUUAAUGUAACUAUAUUUUAACUUAUUUAUUUACUAGUAAGUACUAAUAACAUAUUUACAAGUUUUAUUUUUAAUUAAAUAAAUACUUUUUAUUUUUUUGCGGAUUCGCGGAUUUUUACCGAUUUACAGAAGUAGAUCCAUAUCCAAUCCACUGAUUGCGGAUUAUCAAAUUUUCAAUUCAAUCCAAUCCACCAAUCCACGGAUCAGACGGAUUGAGCAGAUCGAAUUAGAUUAUGAACACCCUUAGGUUUUGGUGUGCAUUGUUGAAAACUUGGAAGUCUAUAUGACCAUUUAACCAAACUAUAGGGGUAUAACUGUCACAAAUUUUUAAAAAUAAAUUUUACCAAACAUUUAAAUGAUUUUUUUUUCACAAUUGAUUAUUAAAUUCUAAGUGUUAGACUAUUGUAAGAAUACAAAUAAUUGACAUGGACAUAAUAUUAAAUAAAAUUUACUUAUAUAUAUAUAUAUAUAUAUAUAUAUAUAUAUAUAUAUAUAUUAUUGUUUGUAUAUAAAAAUUGCUAACUAAAAAAUAUUUAUAUUUUAUCAAUUUUAUUUCUUUUAUUUUUUUAUCUCAAGAUAAAUAUAAUAAUAACAAUCUCUCUAAAUUUAAUUAUUUUUGCUCUUUAUUGAAUAAGGAUAAUUUUGAGUUUCUGUAAUAUAUGUGAGGAUAUAUAUAAAAUUGUAUUAAAUAUAUAACUAUUCUCAAAAUUAAAUUUUAAAAAACUAGUUCAUUCUCACUUUUCAUUUAAUUAGGCAAAUGGCCACAGAAAUUGUUCUCCCUCAUAUCCAAAUAAACUGAAAACGAGAGAUUUCGUAAGUGUGGAGGGAUGAUGCCUUCGAAACCCAUCACUGAAAGAUUCAAGUUUGUGACUCUAUGGUAUGAGCACCACAACAUAUGCCAAUUCGACUGCAUAUUGAGUAAGACAUGGACCAAUUAUUCAAGAGAUUCAUGAGCCUUCGAAGUGAGAAAUAAAGCAAAUUAUGUGGUGGUCGUGGGUCAAUUGACUACGUUUCGUGAUCUACGUGCGAUUGCAACAGUCGGUUCAUUAAGUGAAAUUAAUGACUCGUCCACUAUAGUAAGAUACUGUCCUCAUUAGGUUGGUGCUGGGUCAAUUUUAUCCAUGAGUCAACUUACAUUAAUUUGAAUUAAUUUAUAAGAGUAUCUCAUUUUCGUUGAUUACGAGUUGUGAUCGAUGACAUGCACGAAAGCAGUCAAUUUACAGGUCAUUCACUAUAUAUAUGGGGUCUAUGGGUGGAUGGAUCUAACGUAAAUUAAGGGUUGAUGAUGACCCUCGACUUCUAACGACGACCAUCGAAGACGACCUUGACUUUACAUGCAAACACACAAUUCGCUCUCAUACAUUAUGUUUUAAAAUUUCUCCAUUUUCCGGGGCCCCGCUGUCGACCGUACACAGUUUAAUUUGUAUAUACAAGACCUCAUUGUUUCUAGCAAGCAUAGAGCCAUAGACCAUAUUAAUUCCAAUUACAUAAAUCUUCAUUUUUAUCAUGAUUUUGGAUCUCGAGCAGUGUGGAUAUAUCCAACCAGAUCCGCCUCACUGGCAUCCCAAUAUAUUUUAGAAUUGAGUAAUGAGUAUCAAUAAAUGUGUAAUUGUAAAUCUACAACGUUUAAUUUUAAUUUGAGGACUCAAAUGAAUUUAUCCAACAAUACCUCGUUAAAUUAAUAUUCCAUAAAUUUUUAACUUUAAUUAAAUAACAAAUUUUGUCCGUCCCAACUUAGGAUUAACGUGGUAAUUAAUAAUUUGAUAAAUUGUUAGAUAAUAAUUUUUUAAAAAAAUCUUAUUUUUUUAUUGGAUCAAACUGAUAUAUAAAUGAAUAAUUAAUUAAUUUUAAAACUAAAUUCAUGUUAUGUCAAUCAAAUGUUAUUGCAAAGAAGACUAGCAGCGACGCUUUGAAAGGUACACCAAAGCCUUUUGCACCUUCUCCUCCGUGACCACCAAUAGAUACUUCCACCAUUUCAACGUCAUGACAUGAUGUAAGUUUCUUUUGUAGAAUUUGCGAAUUGGUAAUCUUUUACACGCGUAUAUUUAUAUCAUUGUAUAGUUAUAGAUUCAAUUACUUUUAUGAUGCAUUUAUUAAUUUGGAAUUGAAGUAGACAAGAAUGGGCUGUAAUGUGAAUGGAGAAUCGAAAUUAGAAUAAGUUAUUUACUUGAACUGUAGAAAUCGAAAUGAGUUGGAUUGUCAUUAAUGUGUUUACUUUGUCUUGGAAUCAGAAUUGAAAUAAGUUAGUUUAUAACAAAUUACUAAAAACUACUUAAUGAACUAUUGUUAUAAUUAUUAUUUUGUAUUUUAAUUAUUAUGAUUAUUUAUUAAAAAUUAUUAUUGUUAUUAUUACUUAUUGUUAAUAGUAUAUUAAUAUAUUAAUAAAUUAUAAUAAUAUAUUAAAUAACUAUAAUAUAUUAAAAAAUAUACUUGUAUUUACAAGAAAUGACUGAUAAAAUUUCUAAAAUCGUCUUCCUCCCUAAAACUCUUAAUGCCACAGCCCUAAAAAUUAAAAAGAUUUGGGAAUUAUAUGUCUUUUUUAAAAUAUUAAAGGGUGUUUAUUUCCUUAAACGGUGGGGACUAAAAGUCCUAUUCCCAAACGAGUAGUGUGCCGGCGUUGGAGGCUAGAAAGACAAUUUGUUACAUUGCUUCAGAAGUGCUUAAUGGAAAUUUUGGUGAGGCAUCACAUAAUUUAAAGGAUCAGGCUACGGUGCAACUGUGGUACCGUACUACAGUUGCAUCCAGCCGUUUUAAUUCACUUAUAUUGGUGAGGUUCACUGGCAUCCAACGGCUGAAUGCAACUAUGGCACGGUACCACAGUUGCACCACAAGUUUCCCCUAAUUUAAAUUACUGGAAUUUGCAUCAAUGGUUUUUAUUGGUUUAUUUACUCGUCAACAAAUUACUGUAACUGCAGAAAACAGUGUAACACAUUGUAUAAUACGUUAAUACGUUAUAUUGGUCAGUGCUCCUACCAAGGAAAUCUUUUUAAGUUUUGUUAGCAGAAUAUUCUUGUAAGGGUGGAGGCAUAAGAGAUUAAUAAUUUAAUAUCUCUUGUUCAUUAGAAGAUUUUUUUUUUUUGGGAAAAAAAAAGAAGAAGAUGGUUUGUUUAAUGUUGAUAAAUUUUGAAGUACAAUUUUAUAGAUGUCGAAUGUGGGCAAAAAGUAAAGAAGCUCAAACACUUUUCUACAUCUAAACUAAUCAUUAGGAUUUAUAUUAACUAAUAAACCCUAAUAAUACGAGCGUUCAUAAAAACUUCAUAUGAACAUUGAACCAGCAUGGCAUCAUAUUGUAAUAAGUUGUACAGCUGUCAAUCUCUUAUUAGUCAGAUAUAUUCUGAGUUAGUUACAUGAAUGUAGUAUAAAUAUCAUACUCUGUACACAUUCUUAGUUAGUUACUUCAGUAGAAUUUUCUCUCCUCUACUCAAUUUUUAAGUUAUCUUUUAUAUUGGGGGCAAAUGAUAUUUUAUUAACGAAAUGAUUUUGCCCUCUUAAUAAGCUCUCAUUUCUCCGCUUUGAUCAACACAGCCUUCUUUUAUUACAUCAAAAUUCUUCCUCUUUCCAUCAAAAUUUCAUGGAUCUGCCCUUACGUAAAAUCAUAUGAGAGUAUAUAAUAAAAUUAAUUAGGUAUGUUUGGAACAUUUUUGGUAUCCUUAAGCUGAUUUUAUUUUUAUUUUUUUAUAGUAUAUAUUGUCAAAAGUAAAUGCUAUAAACACUUUCGGAAAAAAAGAUGAAGAGCACCUUUGGAGUAAUUUUUUCUAUAGGAACUAACAAAACAACUAAAUGAUGUAUGUAUCUCUAAGAUUUAUUAUUAUUAAUUUUUUUUUCUGUAGUUGACAAAGCAUCAUGAUUGUGUUGGAUGAUAAGAUUAAAGGUGGGAAUGGUCCGAAUGGACCAAUUUUUUAGGAUAAAAAAAAAAAUGAUUCAAUCCUGGGCAUGUUUGGCUAUCGAAACUAGUUGAUUAGUCUAAAGUUUAAUUCAAAAGUAAUGGGACUAUUAAUCCUUAGGAAAAUUAUCAUUUGUAUACUCUAUAGAUGCUCUGUUAUAUAAAAAAUUACAACACUUUGAGAGUGUAUCAAUCGUCCACCCUAAGUUGACAAAAUAUAUCUGCCGUCCAUCAAACCGUUACUUGCUGUUUAAAUAGGAUAGCGCCAGAGGGGUAAUUUGGUCUUUUCAUAUGAUACAAGUGAUAAUUCAAGGGUAUACAAGUGAUAAUAAAAGAAUUUAAAGGUAUACAAGUGAUACUUUUCAAGGGUAAAAUCAUCAAUUCGCUAUAAUUCCGUUAACUUUCAAACGACAGCUAACGGUUUAGUGGUCGGCAGAUAACUUUUUUCAAUUUAGGGUGGACGAUUGAUACACCCUCAAAGUGUUAUAGUAUUUUUUAUAAUAGAACAUCUAUAGGGUAUACGAAUGAUAAUAUCCCUAAUCAAUCCUUAAUUCAACUUAGGUUUAAGUAGUAUAUAAAAAAUCUUCUUUAUCACUCUUUUCAUUUUUAUUUAGAUUAAAAUUCAUAUAAAUAAAUAUAAAGAAUUAAUUUCAUAAUUUAUUUAAACUAAAAUUUUAUAUUAUAUUAAAUAUCCAAAUUUUAAUUCAAUAAUUUAUUUAUAUUAGAAUUUUAUGCAAUAUUAAAUCCCAAAACUUUAUUUAAUAAUUUAUUUACAAAAAUAUUAAUAUCAAAUUCAACAAUUAGUAAUAUAAUUUAAAAUAAUUACACUAUUUUAAUAGUUAUUUAGCUAUAUUAAAUUAAAUUUAACAUAUCCUUGUCCGAUACUAUACUAAACAAACGAUAGUACCUUAUAUAGUAUAGUCAAUCUAUUAUAAUAUAAUUCAAUCUAAUCGAACGUGCCAAAUCAGUACAUUUUAAAAAAUAAUUUUAUAACAGCUUUAAAAAAGCAUUUUUUAAGUUACUUUUACAAAAUGUGCUUUCUCCGAAAGCACUCGUGAAAUGCAAAUUCUCACAAAACACGUGGUGUGUUCAAUUGGGCCUCCGCCCAUUAAAACUACAACCAUGAAAGCAAGCAAUGUUCAUUGGGCUUUAUUCUCUCGAGAAAACUUAUACACGUAGCCCACCACCGGCGCCCUAAUUUGUCUCCACCUCUCUAAAUAGAGUUGGACUAUUGGCACCUUUCCAAAAUUCUUCUGAAAUUCCUUUUUCAAUAAUAUUAAGUUUAAUGCUAAAAAUAUCCUUAUUUCCAAAUAAAUACAUUUAAUUUGUGAAUAUUUUAAUUUUCUAUUAUUUUCUCGCUCCUCACAAACAAAUUUUUAUGGGCGAUAAACUUCUUGAUAAAAAUCAAUUAAUUAAAUAAAAUAUCUAUAAGAUUAUAAUGUAAAAAAUUUUAUUAUGAGUCUUAAAAAAAGACAGAUAAAUUUAUCAGAAUGUGUUUUGUUUAUUAUCAAUAGAUUAUUUUAGUAAUUAAAGAAAAAUUUAUAGAGAAUUUGAGAAAAAAAAUUACGUGUGAGUUUGAUAGCAAAGAAAAUAUAAGAGUUUUUUUUUAAGAGAGAAAAUACAAAAGUUUGAAGUGAGAUAAAAUAGAUAUAAGAUAUAUUAGAGUAUUUAUCCUUAAAUUUAAUUGUAACAAAAGAGAGGUUUUAAAAAGAUUUUGGAGGAGUGUCUCCAACUCCUCUAAAUAUUAUUGAUUGAUGCAUAUGUUUCACAGCAUAGAGUGGCUUACAUUGGAGCUUUUCUAAAAAAAUGAAAAUUUCAUUUAAUUAUUUAUUAUUCACGGAUAAGAAAUUAACUUCUUCUUUUUUCUAACGCCACAGUCUGGUGAGCUUGCCUAGUGUGUUUUAGUUGGAUAAAAAUUUUAGCAAAUGCUUCUUGGCAAGGAAGCUUAAAUAGUUUAACCUGAAUUUAACCUCGAAUGAACCCAAAUUAUUAAACCGAACCAAUCCGAAUUGUGAAUCUGAAUUUCAGUUCGAUUCAGUUUGGUUCAGGUUCGUAUUUUCAACUCGAACAAGUUUAAUGCUCCAAUUCGAUCAGGUUGUAACCUAAACCGAAACUCGAAAACCCGAACUGAAACUCAAUUUGGCCACCCCUAAUGAGAACUGAGAAGUACCUGGAUCGUAAAAGAAAGGUUUUGAUGAUAAUUUUGGCUAAAAAUCUGUUUCUUAACUUCUAUUUUUAUUUUUUUAUGCUGUAUUUUAGUUGCUGAAUAGGUUAUAUAUAGAAGUUCAGUUAAUUUUGUUUUGGAUGAAAAAUCAAUGAGUACUUCUGUGAUUAAUAAGUGAAAUUUUGUUUGCAUCAUAUAGUCAGCUAUAAUGCAUUGGAUGGCUUUGACUCAGCAUGGAAGAAAUGCUCUCCGGCAGAUUACUAAAGAGAGCUCUGAUCGCGUGUUGCAUCACCCAUUGCUAUUUUCUUGUCAAGGAGUCAGAUACAGACGAUUGGAAGUGAUUCUAACAACAAUGAGUAAAUUGAUCUUUUGUUUUCCCUUUUCACCAGUUUGGAUCUCUUGACUAAUCAGCCUGUUUGAGUUUUAACUUGUGUAUUAAUGAUUGGUUUUAUAUGUUCAGAAAGUUGACAAGCUUGGUAAAGCCGGUGAAACUGUGAAGGUUGCUCCGGGGUAUUUCCGGAACCACUUGAUGCCCAAAUUGCUUGUUGUUCCAAAUAUCGAGAAGUUGGCUCAUCUCAUUAGAGAGCAGCGCAGGUAUUUGUUUUUCAUGAUUCUUCUCGGUUGAACUUUUUUUGUUUGGGUUGAGAAUGGUUAAUUCUAGUGAUACAGAAAUUUGCUCAUUUUCUUUAGAUACUUUGUUUAGCCAGUUUGUCAAUUAAUUUGACUCAUGGCUUCAAAUUAUUGCUAAAUUCUCAGUUUGGAAAUAUUUGUGAUUUUUGAAGGGGCAUUACAAGUUAUUAAAGUUUGUUGUGCCUGUGACUUAUUUUCAUCAGAUUUGCCAGCCUGAGGAAGAGGAAGAGGAAGAGGAAGAGGAAGAGGUUAGAGUUAUCCGGAAGUCUGAGGACAAUAUGAGUAGAGAAUUUGAGAAGGCAGCUAGGCGCCUAGAGAAUGCUCGACUGGUUUGUGGCCUAUCUUUUAAUUUCUUCAGAUUCGGGACAAAUUGUCUUGGAGUGAACUGAUGUGUUGCCUUUUCCUUUUUUUUUAGCUUGAAUGAUCUAUUUGCUACAGUUAGGAGUGAACGUCGUAAUGAAUUUUAAAUUAUACUGUUUGUUUCGAUUUACUUUUCUAUCUUAGCUCCAUCAAGUGAUUAGUGGAAUGCUGGUCCUGUGAGUAUAAAAUGAAACUCCUUAAGUUAAAUUCCUUAGGCUGUGUUUAUUUUCUGUAGUGGGAGCGAGGAGUGUAAAUUCUUUUCAUUUCAGUAUUUAUUUCAACAAAUUGGCUCCGGAUUGAGAAUCCCACUCAGUAGACCCCACCCAUUUUUGGAGUGAGAUUCCCAUGGGGAGAGGUGGGAGUGAGAUUCCCACUCCCACCUCUCCCUUUUUUUACAUUUUUUUUAAUUUAAUUUAAUUUAACUUAAUUUAAUAUUUAAUAAAAUAAAAUAAAUAAUAUCAUAUUUAUUUGAAUAAUAUUAUUAUAUUUAUUUUAAAAAUAAUAAUACUAUAUUUAUUUAAUAUUAAUAAUUAAUAAUAAUAAAUAGUUUAUUCUAAGAAAAUAUUAAUUUUGUCCUAAAUAAUAUUAUAUUAUUAUUUUAUAUAAUAAUAAAUUUAAUAUAAUUAUAUUAAAUAAAAUAAAAUAAUGUUUCAUUUUAUAUUUACCCUUCUUUUUUACCCUCUUUUUAUUAAAUUUACUAUAAUUAUAUUUAAUAAAUAUUUAAAUAAUAUUAUAUUUAUUUAAAUAAUAUUAAUAUAUUUAACUAAAUAAUAAUUUGGUUUGAUUCUAAGUCUAAAUUACUUAAAAAUAAUAUUAUUAUAUUAAUACAGAAUUAAUAAUAUUACUUUUAUACCAUCUUUAUUUGAAAAUAUAUUAUUAUUAUUAUUAUAUUUAUUUAAAAAUAUUAGUAUUAUAUUUAUUUAAUAUUAAUAAUUAAUACUAAUAAAUAGUUUAUUCUAAGAAAAUAUUAAUUUCAUACUAUGUUAAUAGUAAAAUAUUUCAUUUAUAUUGCCCUUAUCAAUAAUUUUUAAUUUAUAUAAUUAAAAUUAAAAUUAAUAAAAAAAUGUGAUGUUCAUAAUUAAGAAUAUUAAUAAUUAUUAUAAAUUUACAAAUAUAAAUGUUUAUUCAUUAAAUAUAUUUUUUAUUAACUUUGUAAUUAAAAACUAUAAUUCUUUAAAUAAGGAUAAAAUUGUAAUUUGAAACUAUUUACUCCCAAUCCGAGACAAACUAAACACAUAAAUUGAAUUCUGAUCUCCAUUCCAUGCUUUCAUUUUAGUGUAAGUAAACAACAUACUCCCACUCCCAAUCCUAAGAUUCCCACUCCAAUUCAAAAAGUAAACGCUACCUAAAUACAAGUAAUCUUGCUUUCAGAUAUGAAUUAUCUGAUGGAUGUUGUAUUUUCAAGGUAUUGAGGAGAUUCCCCAAUAUUGAAAAAUUGCGUUCCCGUGCAUCAAAAGAUGAUCCCAUAGAAUUGCGUUCACCUGUGACAAAAGAGGAGCUUGUAGUUGAGGUAUGGAUUUUUAUAUUUCUUGGUUGUUUUUAUACUUGUUUCUCAUCAUAAUAGCAAAAGCAGUUUGUUCUGAGUGAUCUGUGUGGUCUCCUAUCAAUGACUGCCGUUUCUAUCAUUUAGUACUAUUGACUAUGUGUGUAUAAAUAUUUUGUUUUUACCAUGUAAUUUCAUAUUCGAUGCAUUUCUAAUACAUUGCAUAGCGUCCAUGAAUGGGAAUGAUAAAAUAAAUUUCAAGCGUGUUUCAAUAGAUGAAAAAACUUGGAACGAUUUAGAAGGAUUUGCUGAUUAAAUAAUUUUCCAAUUUGUUUGCUUGGAGGAAUUGAAUAGUUAACUGAUUAAAGGAUUUCAAGGUGGUUCGGUCCCGCUGGGCAUUGUCAAUAUCAACGGUCAUUAAUUCCUAUUAUCUGAAAUUGAAUUUCCAGUGUGGCAUGGUAACUUUCUGCUAGGGUGUGAUUGUAUAGUAGCCAAUUGUGAGCAACAGAUCCGCAUAGUAAUAUAGAUUGAAAUUUUGCAUCUUAAUCCAUGAAGAUAUAGAUUUUGGCAAUAUUAUACAAGCACUGGGGAUUACCUUAAAUAUUCUGGACUUGUCAUUGAUAGAGUUUCUUUUACCUAGUUAUUGAUAUUUCUUUCAAUUUUCUAUUUUACUCAUACAAUUUAUACAAUUUUAGGUGGCAAGACAACUUUCGUUUUCUAUUGAGCCUGAAAACCUGCAUCUACCAUCACCUCUAUCUGCUUUUCGAGAAUAUGAGGUUCCUAUGCGCUUACCCAAAGCCAUCCCCCUACCGGAAGGAAAGGUCCAAUGGAUUCUCAAUGUUAAAGUCCGCGGCAAAUAAAUAUUUUUUAGUUAAUUUUUUAAUCAAUAAAAAAAGGUAAUUAAAAAUGUAAUUAAUAAAUUACUUAUUAGCAAAUUAAAAAACAAAUAUUAGCAUAAAAUAAUUGAUAUUUCAUUCUCUUACAACAAUCUUACCAAUUAUUAUUUAUAAAUUAAUUAAUGCAAGUUAAUUUAAAGUAAUGUUUAAUAUUCUUGUAACAACCUUACUAAUAAUUUUUUGAUAAAAAAAUUAAUUUAUUAAAUUAAUCCUAGAAGUAAAAUAAUAAUAAUUAAUUUGUAUUUUAUUUUUAAGAUUAAUUUGAUAAAUUUAAUUUUUUUUAACUAAUAUCUCCAAGAAUAUAGUUGUAACGAUAUUAUUACAAAAGGAAAAAAAAUAUAAGAUUAUAAUAUAUUUACCAGUAAGAAUAAUUUAAAAUAUUUUUUAAGAUAUAAAAAUUAAACGGACACUUAAUUAAAAAAAAAAAAAAAAAACUAAAUAAGUAGUUAGCUUUUAACAUUUCAACCUAGUGGUCAUACAAUCAUGGUGCGGCCCGGGAUGGCUGGCCCAGCCCAUCAUGUAAAAAUCCAUGUCACCCUCAUUCUUAAGCUGCUACUCUGCCACUUGCCACGGAGCUCCCCACAUCAUACCGUACCGAUGCCUCUAGAAAGCUAACUUUAAAAAAAUGGUAUUAAUAAGCGUACGCCACGUCACUCCUCACUCUCUUCUUCGUCACUUUCCUCUCACUCAACAUUUUCUCCCCAAACAAAUUCCUUCUUUGAAAAAUCGCAUUUUCUCCUUCACAGCAACCGCUACAAUGUCUUCAACUUCCAAGAAGGUAAUUUUUUUAAAUUUUAUUUUUUGUUUAGUUUCUUUCUGUUGCCUUUUUGUUUCGUUUUUUGAAUUUUCUGUGUCGUUUUUUUUUUCCCAAGGUUUUGGUGCCUGUUGCGAACGGGAGUGAGCCGAUUGAAGCCGUGAUAACGAUCGAUGUUUUGAGAAGGUCUGGAGCUGACGUCACGGUUGCGUCUGUGGAUAAACAGCUUCGUGUCGACGCGUGUCAUGGUGUCAAGAUUGUCGCUGAUGCUCUCGUGUCUGACUGCCGCGACGCUGUUUCUGAUCUUAUAGCUCUGCCCGUAUGUAUUGCAGCUCACCUCAGCUCAUGCUAAUUUAUGUGAUGUUUGUAUAAUUAUAGAUGAUUACUGCUGAUACUGAAUGUUAAAGCUAAAUAAUUCGUUCUUAAGUCAUCUUCAUUUAAUUUUCGAUUGAAAAUGAAAAAAAAAAUAAUUUUAAGCAAAGAAAAUGUUUAUUUUGUUUUAUUUUUAUUUUUAAAUUUUUGGGAUUUCCUUAUUGUGACUGUUGUCAUUCAUUAUAUGGUCCUAGUUAAAUGUUUCAAGUUGUUGUAGUCUGUGAAACUCUUUUCGAUAUUUGUUCUGGCAUGUACAUUUUUCCUUUCAAUUUAUUUUGUUGCUGAUACUUUGAUUAUGAUAUAUCCUUUUUUGUUUCCCUUGUAGGGUGGCAUGCCCGGUGCUACCAAUCUGAAAGAAUCUGAAGUAUUAGAAACCAUUGUGAAGAAGCAGGCUUCAGCUGGGCGUCUUUAUGCUGCUGUCUGUGCUUCACCUGCUGUGGCAUUAGGGUCUUGGGGUCUGUUGAAGGGAUUGAAGGUAAGAAUUAGAUAAGCCUUUUUUUAUGUUUGGUGUUCUUUUGGGAAUUGCAUUGAUAUUUGUGUUAUACAUCAGUUUUGCUCUCACCGAUGAUUGUUAAGUUCUAAUUUAUGGGGUUAUUCAUUUUUUGUAGGCUACUUGUUACCCGUCAUUUAUGGAGCAAUUAGCUCCUGCUUGUGCAGCAACUGUUGAAUCAAGAGUACAGCAGGAUGGUAAAGUUGUUACGAGUCGUGGACCUGGCACUACUAUGGAGUUUGCCAUUGCACUUGUCGAGCAGUUGUAUGGGAAAGAGAGAGCUGAUGAAGUUUCUGGGCCACUGGUAGUAACUUUUAUAGAUAAUGUUGUUUAAAAAAAUUGUGAGUUAUAUAAUUUGUGGAAAUUCAUUCUAAUAGGUUCAUCUAGUAUGUCAAAUUGGAAGGUUCAGAUGCUAAUAUAUUCCAAAAAAUUUGUUCAGGGGAAAAGUAUGACUUUUUGCAUUAGAGAUUCAUUAGAUGAAGUUGUAUACCUGCUGGCCCAUCUUAAUGUGGUGAAAACGAUGUCUGAUGAGACUGAUAUAAUUAUUGGAAUCUUGAUAAAUGCAUUUGUUGAGCUUGAAUGUCUCCACUGAUCACGUUCUUUUUAAUGUAAGUUCUUUCUCUUGGUAUUUGUCUUUGAAUCUUCUCUUCCUCAUGCUUUCGUCUUCACUGUCACCUUGUGCCUAGGUAAUGCGUGCAAAUCAUGGAGAUGAAUACACUAUUGCUGAAUUCAAUCCAAUUCAGUGGACAUUUGACAAUUCUCCCCAAGUAAGAUUUGACUUCUAGUUUCUUGUAGUUGUUUUUCUUCAUCCGAUGUUUUCAGGGAUACCCAUUUGGCAGUAUAUAAAAGUCUGUGAUAUCUUCUAUACAUAUACAUCAUUGGCUUCAGUCAUUUUCGAACAUAUUGGAGGUAGUAGAUGUAUUUUUAUGAUAUCUCUAAUAAAAUCCCAAGUUUGAUCAAUUACAAAAGAAGUAUGAGCGGUGCUGGACCGGGGGGGAAGAAGAAGUGGGGGGUCGGUGUGGUGGGGGUGUGCAGUGCAUGAAUAAAAGGAAAUGAUAGGGGGUGAAAGUUUGUGCUACCGACAUGCUGUAAAAUGGGGACAUAAUAUUUCAAAUUAGAUAUUGUGUGAUCCUUAAUAUUGCUGACUUUUGCUUAAAAUGGAAUUCUUGAUAACUUCAAAUGUUAAAGUUCUUGGUGAAAUUUUGUACUUUCUUUUCUUUCAGAUUCUUGUGCCUAUUGCAAAUGGUUCAGAGGAGAUGGAAGCUGUUAUGAUAAUUGAUAUUCUGCGACGAGCUAAAGCAAAUGUUGUAGUUGCAUCAGUUGAGGAUAAACCAGAAAUUCUGGCUUCUCGUCAAAUUAAAUUAGUGGCAGAUGUGCUCAUUGAUGAGGCGGCUAAACUCUCGUAUGAUUUAAUUGUCUUGCCAGUGAGUUGGGGUGCUUACUGUUGCUUCAUAGUCUUUACCACAUAAUUGACUUACUAACUACAAUUUAUCCAUGCACAUUGCAUAGGGUGGACUUGGUGGCGCUCAAGCAUUUGCGAAGUCAGAGAAAUUGGUGAAUAUGCUAAAGAAGCAAAAGGAAUCAAAUAGACCUUACGGUGCUAUAUGUGCAUCCCCAGCUUUAGUGUUGGAGCCCCAUGGCUUACUCAAGGUACGACCAUUUCUGCUUAAAUUAUUUACUCAGAUUUGGAUCACCUAAUCUGAACUUGAUGAAGGAUUAUGAUGUUGUGUGAUUUUAUGAAUGUGGUCUUAUCUCAUGUAAGUCGGUGAUGAAUUAAUUGAAGUUUGCUGACAAAUUAGAAACUGAAAAACUGCUGCUGCUUCGUUAGUUACAUUACCCAAAGAGUUAAAAUAAACAUCCCAAAUUUUUUGUCCCAAAUUCUGUCCCAAAUGAUAUGGCAUUUAUUGAGUGAUUGUAUUAUCUAACCAACCAAUUGAUGAAUGACACAUCAUUUGAGAUGGUUUUUUGGGAUAAAGAAUUUGGGAUUUUUACCCGCAAAAAUCCCAAGUACUUCCUGCUCCUGCAAUAUCAUUGCUGUGUAUUUGUUUUCCCCUUAGACAUAUUCAAUUGUGGUUCAGGGUAAAAAAGCUACAGCUUUUCCUGUUAUGUGCAACAAGCUGUCAGAUCAGAGUGAAAUCGAAAACAGGGUUGUGGUUGAUGGCAACCUCAUCACCAGUAGAGGGCCAGGAACUUCUAUGGAGUUUGCACUGGCAAUUGUGGAGAAGUUUUUUGGCCGCAACAAGGCACUUGAGCUUGCAAAGAUAAUGCUUUUCACUCGCACCUAACAUUUGUACGGGGACCUGACUACUAUUAAACUAGUGUGUUUAUUUCUGUAUUGCUACUGCUUGUAGAGAGGGGAAAUGGAAACUUGAAUUCAUGUUUGAAUAUGGAUUCACUGUGUGGGUUUGUACAGCAGUUUGAUUUAUAAAUAAAUGAGUUCAAAGAGUUACUUCAAAUAUUCGGAAUAAACCUGAGUUUAGUUCUGUUAUCAAUGGUCGGAGUCCAAUUGCGAUCGACACACUGGGAAUUUUAAUUAUGAACUAAAAAAUUGUUAUGUUAUAUUCCACCUUUCUCAUAAAAUGUUAACUCGAUUUACAGGAUAAGAAGGAAAAGAAAGACGCUAAGAGAGGAGCAGAGACCCAAAAAGAGUUGACCACUUUGUUGGAACAUAAACCUCUAGAAUAUUGAAAUAAAACACAUACCAUAUCUAGUAUUAAGUAUGUAUAUGCAAGAAGAUACAAAUUUGAAGAUCAGAUUUCUCAUUUCAAUUUAUGUUCUGCUUAGAGCAAUGGCUCUUAUUCCACAAGCACAAACAGGAAAGAGUACGCACGAAGUUAAGAAACACACAUUGCAAAAGUUGCAUUAACUACUUGCAGCAGCAUCAUCCAAGAACUUGACUUUAAUCUUCUUGAGCUUCGCUGCGGCAUCUGUCAUAUGCAUUCUCUUGUCAGGUGACUCUAUACAACAAUCCAAAGCCAAAUCCAUGAUGCUUAAUAAACAAUCCAUUUUGGCAGAAAAAGCUUGCUCUUCUCGCACCAAAUUUGCGUCAACAACUUCAGUCAAUCCGUGAGGUAAAGACUCCUUUACCCAUCUCCUUAAACUCAUUUCUCCUGCGAACAUUUCAUCGGUGGGCCUCUUUCUCGUGAAGGUUUCCAUCAAUAAAACACCAUAGCUGUAGACAUCACAUUUAGCUGAAACAAUUCCUUCUGAUCCAUACUCUGCAUUUUUUAAUUUUAAUUAUGAAACAAAUGAUAAAACAAAUAAUUUUUUGAUAAUUAAGGUAACCCAAACUUUGCUCGUGCUUGAAAAAAGAGUAAAAAUUUUAAUUACAAUUGAAACUUUACCUGGUGCCAUAUAACCAAUUGUAGCCAUUGUCAUGGUUUGUGUCACAGAAUCUUCUCCUUCACCUAAGAGUUUGGAAAUGCCGAAGUCGCUCACAUGUGCCACCAUAUUUUCAUCCAAGAGAAUGUUGGUGGGCUUCAAAUCACAAUGAAUUAUAGGUGCCGACGAAUGACCAUGAUGGAGAUAUUCAAGGGCCGACCCCACAUCUAUCAUUAUGUUCAACCUCUCUAGGAUGUCUAAGAAAUAGUUGUGAGAAUAUAACCACUUCUCGAGACUACCAUUUGGCAUGAACUCAAGUACCAAUGCUUUAAAAUCUUGAUUAGAACAACUGCUAAGGAUCUUUAUGAGAUUUCGAUGACGAACAUUCAGUAAAACUUCACAUUCAGAAUCAAAACUCCUAAAUGCUCUCUCUAGUUGCAGAUUGAAAACCUUUAUCGCAACAUCAGUCCCGUCGGAAAUGGUUCCUUUAUAAACUGAUCCAAAGCUACCUGUACCAAGCAAGUUACAUUCAUUAAAUUCAUCAGUUGCUCGUUGAAUGUCUAGGUAGGAUGUUCUUCUCCAUGUUGCAAGAGGUAGGAAAUCUUCGUGAUCUGAUUUUUUUGUACUCCUCUUUCGGCAUCUUAUGUACAUAAUGAUGAUAAUCACUAUAAGUACAGAGGAUACUAUCGGAGGCAAAAUAUAUUUAAGGACAAUUAGAGCAACGUUUUUGGUGCUUUUGCUGUCACCUUGUUUGCAAGGUGGGACUCGGAAUUUAGGUGGACCACAGAGUGCAUAAUUUCCGAAAAAUGAUUCAGCUGACAAGUUUUUAAAAGACCCCUUAACAGGAAUUUCCCCUUCUAGCCUAUUAUGAGACACAUUAAAUUGUUUGAGAUGUGAAAGUGUCUCCAAUGACUUAGGAAUUUUUCCAGAGAGAUUGUUGCCAGAGAGAUCUAAGGAUUCUAAGCUUAUCAAACUACCAACUGAUUCAGGAAUAGGUCCUUGAAAUUGAUUACUAGCCAAUGAUAGAGUUUCUAUAUCUUUGAGGGCACCGAUGGUUGAUGGAAUAUCACCUGAUAAUUGAUUCCUUGAUAAAUCUAAAACUCUCAAGACCUUUAACUUUUGUACAUUGGAAGGGAGAGAAUCAUUUAACGAAUUUGACGACAAGUUUAUCUCUAAGAUGUACUCAAGGCUCCACAAGGAUGACGGUAUACUAGAAGUGAGCUUGUUGGAGCCUAAGUGGAGUUCUCUUAGAGAUGUCAGACUCGCCAAGCAUGGUGGUAUAUGUCCAGAGAGCUUAUUUCCAUUUAACAUUAUUCCGUACAUCAACUCCAAGUGGCAAAGAUCAUAGGGAAUGGAUCCUUCCAAAUUAUUUUCUUCAAGAGAUAAACCUUGUAGCCGCUUAAGUCUUCCCAUCGUUGGUGAAAUAGUUCCAUUCAAGUCAUUGAAGCCGAGGCUUAAGAGGAUCAGGCCACGCAACUUACCAAUUUCUUUAGGAAUGCUGCCCCCGAGUUUGCAGUUGGAUGCAUAAAAUUGUCGAAGAGAAGCAGAGAAAUUUCCAAUUACUGGUGGAAGGAUGCCACCCAAUGGAUUAUAAGCUAAGGCUAAAACUGUUAAAUUUCUGCAAUUAGUCAGAGAAGAGAGAAAACUCCACUGAUCUGCUGAAGAUGAUUCUGUCGUCAAGUUAUUAAAUGCUAAGCCAAGCACGCCGAGGUGUCUCAAGUUGCCAAAUGUAUUUGGAAUAUGGCCUGAGAAUGAGUUAAAGCUCAAUUCUAGGCCAAUGAGUUUAGAAGCGUUUGUGAUGGAGUUGGGAAUUUUUCCGGUAAGGUUAUUGGCCGCCAAGGUUAAAUACUCUAUGCUCGGAAGCGAGUGGCCAAUCGUUGAUGGUAAGUGGCCUGAAAGUUGAUUGCUAAUUAGAUUAAGGACUGUUAGGGUUGAAAUGUUGAAGAUUGUGGGUGGAAUGGGGCCACUUAAAUUAUUCGCACUAAGAACAAGGGUAUCCAAAUUUUGUAGAUUGCCAAUCUCAGUUGGAAUUUGACCUGUCAUAAAGAUAAACGCCAAAUUGAUGAGUUAUUGAGCUUUUUACUUAACAUAAAUUUUAAUUUCAUAACGCAUGAAAAUCAAAUUUGCCCACAAAAUGUGUGUUAUUAGUUUUAUAAUUUUUUUUUGGGUUUUUUUUGGGGGGGGGGGGGGGGAGAUUGAUAUUGCUACCUCAUAAUUUUUGUAAAACCCCACCCGCUUUCAGAGAAUUAUUGGAACAAGAUUCUUAAAAAAAUUCAAAUAAAGAAGAAGUUUGGAGAAAUAAUCAAUUAAAUCCAUCUUAAUAUACUUUUUGAAACUUAUAUUCUUUUAUCAUAUAUAAUAACUAAGGUUGCUUUAACAUAAAUUUAAUAUAACUAGUCUACUCUCAUAAGGUAGAAUUACUAAAAUACCCACAAAUUUACUUCAACUUCAACUAAACUAACAAAAUGUAUUUGUUGACAUGUGGGGAACUAAAAAUUAUUGAAUUUUAUUUUAGAAAUAUUGUAUUACAAAACAUAAAACAAAAUGCCGAAACUAUAUAUUAGAUACAAUAGUACAUGUUUUUCGGGGUAAUUUGGUCAUUUUAUAUUAUAAGAGUAAAAUAGUCAAAUUAAACUUAUUUUAAAGCAACCGUAAACGGUCAAAGAUUGUUAAAAGCCCUAAGUCAUAAAAGAAAAACAUUAUAAAAAUAAUUUAUUAAUUGUUCAGACUUAAUUUAUAAUUUUAUAACAUAAUGUGAACUUAUUAUAACUAUCUUUUCAAAAUGAGGUGGGUUUGCAAGAAUAAUGAGUGGAAAUAUCCCCACCCUAUAAAAUAAAAAGAAUUUUGCAGCUAUGCAAAUGCAAAUAUGUAGAACGUACCUUGUAGGUUGUUAUAACCUAGAUUCAGAAUGAAAAGGCUGCUAAAAUUUCCUAUCCCUGAAGGAAUAUUUCCAUCAAUAACGUUGUAGAUUGCGUCGAACACCUCCAGCUUCGAUAAAUUGAGGAGAGAAUUUGGGAUUGGACCCGUGAAACUGUUAUUAUAAAGCCUCAACGUUUGUAAUUUGGAUAAGACACCAAUCCAUGUUGGAAUGCUUCCACUCAAUUUAUUGAAACCGAAUCUAAUGAAUCUGAGUCGGCGUAAUUGCCCCAAUUCAUUAGGCAGAUGGCCAUGAAAAUUAUUAUGAGCAACAUCAAGAGAUACUAAGAACGUGAGAUUUCCCAAGUGUAGUGGAAUGGUGCCUCCGAGACCCAUAUCUGAAAGAUUCAAGGCAGUGACUCUUUGAUGGCGUGAACCACAAGAGAUACCAACCCAGCUACAUAUUGGAUAAGAUAUAGACCAAUUAUUUGUCAGAUCACUUCGAUAAUCAACGACACGGGCUUUGAAUGCAAGAAGAGCCGAUUGAUCUGUUGUUAAGUUGCUCAAAGUCGUCAUAGCUAAGCUAGCUAUGGAAUAUUGUACCAACAACAUAGGAACAAAGAAGAAUGAUAAGCACAUAUUGGUCGUUUUUUUUUAUAGAUGCAGCAAUCUAAUUGCUAGGUGAAGUUGAUACAAGUUUUAAGUGAAGGAAACUAGCAUAUACUUAUACAAGAGACGUAUGAAUUUGAAAACAAGAAAAGAAAAAAAUGUACAGGAGAGUGGAGACAUGCAAAUUGGUAUAUUUCAUCAUUGAGCGAGUCGUCCAAGUAAACUCAUACAGACCUGUAAAUUGUUAUAGGCCGCGGUACUUGAACCGUGAAUAAAGGGCUUAUGGCACUUGACUUACCAAAAAGAAGAAGAUGCUCAACAUUGGCAAGGCCUAUGCAUUCUGUCCAUUUGUUCACGUUUUGCCAAGGCUCAGGGCAACCACAAUAUGUUCUUUUUCUUCCCUCUUAAAACAAAAAACAAAAAAAAAAGACGACAUUUACAUUUGGGCUAAUAAUUAUAACUAAACAAUUAAUAAUACUGAGGGUCAGUGGUAAUGUAGCUUUAAAAUAAUUGUUAUUAGUUGUGUCUUAAAAAUAAAGAAAAAAAAUAACUAUACCCAUAUAAUUAAUAAAAUAAUCAUGUAAAUUCCUAAGCUUUUAACAAUAUACACCAAGACCCCCUACCGUUACUUUUUACCAUUUAUUUGGAUGUCACAUGCUUUUUUUUUUUAAUUUUCACAGUGGAUAUCAAAUGCUAAAUUUACUGUUAUUCCCAUAUCAUGUCAUCACUUGCUUCUACACACAUUGAUUGUUUUUCCAAAGUUUCAAAUUGAAUUAAAAACAUUCUAAUUAACCUAAAAAAAACUCAUCCAACCAGAUAUAAAUCAUCUAAUUAACCUAAAGAUAGCUACACCCCCAUAUUAAUUCCAAUUAAAUAAAAUUCAUUUUUGUCAUGAUUUUGGAUCUCGAGCAGGGUGGAUAUAUCCAACUAGAUCCGCCCCAUUGGCAUUCCAGUAUAUUCUGUAAUUGGAAGAGUAUGAAUGACUUAAUUUGUAAUUUUAAAUUUGUAACGUUCAAUUCUAAUUUGAGGAUUCAAAUGAAUUUAUGCGAAUCUAAAAGGGGACUGAAGAUUGGCAUGCAUACAUGCAUACAUAUACAUAUAUAUAUAAAUAGAGAGAGAGAGAGAGAGAGAGAGAGAGAGAGGUAAUAUAACAUUCUUCUUGAUGAAGAUUUUUGUGCCAUACGAAUUAAAGAGAGUAUUGUGUCGAUGUUCGAGGCUAGAGCGACAAUUGGUUACAUUGCUUCAGAGGUGUUUAGUAGAAACUUUGGUGAGGCAUCACAUAAUUUAAAUUACUAGAUUUAGCGAGAUAUAUAUAUUUUCCACAUUGGAUUUACAAGCAUUUCGAGCAGUAUAAUGAAUUAAAAUUACUCGGAAUUGUAAACAGCGAGGAAAGUGAAAUUGCUAAGAAGAUGAAUAUUUUGUUGUUUUGUGGUGUACACGGACUCGUCCAUCGGAUAGGUCGCCCAUGAACAGAGGGAUAGAAAUGUUAUUGCCAAGAAGCAGACUGACUAGCAGUGACGCUUUGAAAAGUCCACCGGACAUCGUCUCCUCCAAGACCACCAAUAGAUUCUUCCACCAUUUCAACGUCGUGACGUGGGGAUCGGAAUUGAAUUAUAGGAUGCUUGUAAGUUUCCUUUGUGGAACUUGUGAAUUUGUGAUGGCAAAAGUCAAUGAUGCAUGUAACUAGCUAGCCCGUGUAGACUCCGUUUUACACUUUUUCAAAACCCAAAAGCACGCUAAAUCUUAAUCUUAAAAGAAUUUUUGAUUCAGUGCUGAAUUUUGGGCUUAUCUUUAAGUAAUCUUUUACCACGCAUGCAUUUUUGUCAUUGUGCAGUCAUCGAUUGCUUCUAAAGAUCGUAAUCCUUAAGAAAAAAUUACUUCUCUUGAAAGUGAAAGCAGGGCAGCUAUUGGCGUAUUGCAUUGCAGCUGCUAUGUGUAGUAGUCAAUUCUUGGAAACAACUAGUUUUCUUAAAUUGUAAACGGUCCCCUUUAUGACUGGGAGAUUUUGAACAAAAUUAAUAUGACGAAUUCUUUGCAGGUGUUGUUCCUUGAAGUCUCAUCUUUCACAAUGUUUCUGAAAUAAAGAUAUUACCAUCUCUGAUUUAAUAUUUAUUCUUGAUUUGUACCACCUAAUCUGAACUUGAUGAAAGAAUAAAGAUUAUGAUCUUGCCUGAUUUUAUUAAUGUGGUCUUAUCUCACGUAAGUCAGUAAUGAAUUAAGGAAAAUUAUCAUUCGUAUACCCUAUAAUUGCUCUGUUAUAAAAAAUACUACAACACUUUGAGGGUGUAUCAAUUGUCCACCCUAAGUUAACAAAAUGUAUCUGUCAUCCACCAAACCGUUAUUUGCCGUUUAAAUAGAAUGACACCAGAGGGGUAAUUUUAUCUUUUCAUAUGAUACAAGUGAUAAUUUAAGGGUAUACAAGUGAUAAUAAAAGAAUUUAAAGGUAUACAAGUGAUAAUUUUAUUUACUUUAAUUUAAGUUUCAAGGGUAAAAUCGUCAAUUCACUAUAAUUCCGUUAACUUUCAAACGGUAGCUAACGGUUUGGUGGUCGGCAGAUAGCUUUUGUUAAUUUAAGGUGGACGAUUGAUAUACUCUCAAAGUGUUGUAGUAUUUUUGAUAAUAGAGCAACUAUAGGAUAUAUGAUUGAUAAUUUCCCAUGAAUUAAUUAAAGUUUACUGUCAAAUUACAAACACAAAAACUGCUGCUGCUUCAUUAUUCACAAUACCUAAAGUCAGUGCAGAACUUAAUAAGUUUUCCAAAAGUUUUACGCUUUCUUUCCCCCAAAUCCCAAGUACUUACUAGAUAUGUCAUGUUUAUACCCAAAGUCAGUGCAGAACUUACUCGAUAUGUCAUGUUUACACAAGAGUUUGUUUAUAAAUAAAUGAGUUGACAAAUAUUUGCCAAAAAAAACGGUGAGUGAUGUCUAGUUCUAUUUUCACAGUUCAGAGUCCAAUUUUGAUUACUGGAAAUUUUAAUUAUGAAGUUGAACUAAGAAUUUGUUAUAAUAUCUUCAACCUUCCUAUACAGUCAUCUGGAAUAAUAAUAUAUCAAAAACAGUAAUAACUCGAUUUACAGGGUGAGAAAGAAAAGAAAGACGCUACGAGGGAAGCAGAGAUUCAAAGACUUCGCCACUUUGUUGGAGGAACAAUUUCAUAAAUCUCCAGAAUAUUGACAUAAAACACAUAACAUACAUAUCUAGCAUUAAGUAUAUUUAUGUAUGUCCAAAGAUAAAAAUUUGAAGAUUAAAUUUAUCAUUUCAAUUUAUGUUCUGCCCAAAGCAAUGGCUUUUAUUCCACAAGCACAAACAAGAAAGAGUACGCACAAAGUUAACAAACACACAUAGCAAACGUGACAUCAACCACUUGCAGCAGCAUCAUCCAGAAACUUCACUCUAAUCUUCUUGAGCUUUUCAGCGGCGUCUUUCGUAGAUGCCCCCUGUUCUGGUGAUUCCAUGCAACAAUCCAAUGCCGAAUGCAUGAUGCUUAAUAAACAAUUCAUUUUAGGAGAAAAAACUUGCUCUUCUCUCACCAAGUUUGCAUCGACAACAUCACUCAAGGCACGAGGUAAUGACUCCCUUACCCAGUCUCUUAAACUUAUUUCUCCUGUAAACAUUUCAUUUGUGGGAUUCUUUCUGGUGAAAGUUUCCAUCAAUAAAACACCAUAACAAUAGACAUCACCUUUGGCCGAAAUCAUUCCUUCUAAUCCUUACUCUGCAUUUUUUUGGUUUCGAUAGAUCAAAUGGAUGUGACAUCAUAAAACAAAUGAUAAACAAAUAGUCUUUUGACAGUCAAGAUGGCCCAAACUUUGACUGUGCUUCGAAAAGAGCGAAAAUUUGAAAUUAUAAUUGAAACCUUACCUGGUGCCAUAUAACCAGUUGUAGCCACUGUCAUGAUUUGGGUCACAGAAUUUUCUUCAUCACCUAAGAGUUCGGAAAUGCCGAACUCACAUGUGCCACCAUAUUUUCAUCCAAGAGAAUGUUGCUAGGCUUCAAAUCACAAUGAAUUACAGGUGCUGAUGAAUGAUCGUGAUGGAGAUAUUCAAGUGCCAGCCGCACAUCUAUCAUUAUAUUCAACCUCUCUAGGAUAUCUAGGAAAUAGUUGUGUGAACACAACCAUUUCUCAAGACUACCAUUGAGCAUGAACUCAAGCACCAGUACUUUAGAAUCUGGAUUGCAACAGCUGCUAGUGAUCUUUGUGAGAUCUUGAUGACGAACAUUCCACAAUACUUCACAUUCAGAAUCAAAACUCCUAAAGGCUCUCUCUAGCUGCAGAUUGAAAACCUUUAUUACAAUAAUAGUCACAUCAUAAAGUGUGCCUUUAUAAACAGAUCCGAAGCUCUCCAUACCUAGCAGGAUACAUUCACUAAAUCCAUCAGCUGCUCGUUGAAUAUCAUGAUAGGAUAGUCUUCUCCAUGUUGUCGAAGAGAACAAAUCUUCUUUAUCUGGAGUUCUUGUUUUCCUAUUUUGAAAUAUUAUGAAGAAUCAUAACAAUUGUUAUUAGUGCAUUGGAUAUAAUCGAAGGCAAAGUAUAUUUCAGGACAAGCAGAGUAGCAUUCUUGGAUCCUUUGCUAUUAUCUUCUUUGCAAGGUGGGACUUGAAGGCCUGGUGGACCACAUAGUGCAUAAUUCUCAAAAAACGAUUGAGCUGAAAUGUUUUUAAAAGGUCCUUUGAUAGGAAUUCCCCCUUCUAGCCUAUUGUGAGACACAUUAAGUUGUUUGAGAUAUGAGAGUGCCUCCAUUGACUUUGGAAUUUCUCCAGAGAGAUUGUUGCUAGGGAGAUCCAAAGAUUCCAACCUUAUCAAACUACCAAAUGAUUUAGGGACCAGACCAUAAAAUUGGUUUCUAGCCAAGGACAAAGUUGCUAGAUCUUUGAGGCCACCAAUACUUACUGGUAUAUCACCUGAUAAUUGAUUUCUUGAUAAAUCAACUCUAUUAAGACCUUUAAGUUUUGUACAUCUGAAGAUAGAUGACCACUUAGAGAAUUUGUUGACAAGUUUACAUACAAGAUGUACUCAAGAUUCCACAAGGAUGAUGGGAUACUAGAAGUGAGCGUGUUGCAGCUUACAAAGAGUGUUUUUAAGGAAUUGAAUAUCUGAAAUCUUGUAUGUAAAUAUUAACACUUAGAGAAUUUGUUGACAAGUUUUUAAGGAUUUACUGAUUAAAUAAUUUUCCAAUUUGUUUGCCUGGAGGAAUUGAAUAGUUAACUGAUUAAAGGAUUUCAAGGUGGUUAGGUCCAGCCGAGCAUUGUAAAUAUUAACGGUCAUUAUGAAUGUGUAAUUCCUAUAUGUGAAAUUGAAUUUCCAUGGUAAAUUUCUGCUAGGGUGUGAUUGUAUGGUAGCCAAUUGUGAGCAACAGAUCCACAUAGUAAUAUAGACUGAAAUUUUGCGUCUUAAGCCAUGAAGAUAUAGAUUUUGGCAAAUAUUAUACAAGCAUUGUUUGCAACACCACAGCUAAUUUGCAGUAGGAUGAAACACUCAGAAUUUUGCCUUUUUCAUGUAUAAAAUUUUAUUUUUUUAAUUGUGAUAUUACAGUUUUGCCCAUCAAGCAUUAUGAAGCUUAAUAUUUGGAUAAAUGUUAGGUUUAAUCUAUAAAUUUUAACUUCAGUGUUUAUUUAGUUUUUAUAUUUUGUAAAAUAUCUCAAGGCAGCCCUAUUAUCAAAUAUUGGCUUGAUCCGUAUAUAUUAACUUCAGUGCUUUAUUUAGGUUUUAUAUUUUGAAAAAUACUUUAAGGCAGUUCUAUUAUCAAAUAUGUUAUGCUCUUGCUUUUAUUUUUUCUUUGUUUUUAUAAUAAUACUCUGAUAACAAUAUUUUUUUACAUUAAUUUUUUAAUCAAUAAAAAGGUAACUAGCAAAUUAACUGAUAAAUUAAUUUGUUAAUUUUUUUAAUCAAUAAAAAAUUUAAUUAAUAAAUUACUUGGUAGCAAAUUAAAAAAUAAAUAUUAGCAUAAAACAAUUGAUAUUUUUCAUUCUCUUACAACAAUCUUACUAAUAAUUUUUUUAUAAAAAAUUAAUUUAUUAAAUUAAUCCUUAAAAGUAAAAUAAUAAUAAUUAAUUUGUAUCUUAGUUUUAAAGUUAAUUUGAUAAAUUCAAUUUUUUAAUUAAUAUCUCCAAAAAUAUAGUUGCAACGAUAUUAUUGCAAAAGUAAAAAAAAAAAUAUAUAUAGAAUUUUAAUAUAACUGCCAGUAAAAAUAACUUGAAAUAUUUUUUAAGAUAUAAAAAUUAAACCAACACUUAAUUAAAAAUAUAAAGAAUUAAAUAAACAUUUAUCUUCUAACAUUUCAACCUACUGGCUAAUGGUCAUACAAUCGUGGUGUGGUCCGGGAUGCCCGGCCCAGCCCAUCAUGCAAAAAGCCAUGUCACCCAUAUUCUUAGGCUGCUACUGCAUUAAAAAAAUGAUAUUAAUAAGCGUACGCCACGUCACUCCUCACUCUCUUCUUCGUCACUUUCCUCUCACUCAACAUUUUCUCCCCAAACAAAUUCCUUCUUUGAAAAAUCGCAUUUUCUCCUUCACAGCAACAGCUACAAUGUCUUCAACUUCCAAAAAGGUGAUUUUUUUUUAAUUUUAUUUUUUGUUUAGUUUCUUUCUGUUGCCUUUUUGUUUCGUUUUUUGAAUUUUCUGUGUCGUUUUUUUCCCCCAAGGUUUUGGUGCCUGUUGCGAACGGGAGUGAGCCGAUUGAGUCCGUGAUAACGAUCGAUGUUUUGAGAAGGUCUGGAGCUGACGUCACGGUUGCGUCUGUGGAGAAACAGCUCCGUGUCGACGCGUGUCAUGGUGUCAAGAUUGUCGCUGAUGCUCUCGUGUCUGACUGCCGCGACGCCGUUUUUGAUCUUAUAGCUCUUCCCGUAUGUAUUGCAGCUCUCCUCAGCUCGUGCUAAUUUAUGUGAUGUUUGUAUAAUUAUAGAUGAUUACUGCUGAUACUGAAUGUUAAGCUAAAUAAUUCGUUCUUAAGUCAUCUUCAUUUAAUUUUCGAUUGAAAAUGAAAAAAAUAAUAAUUUUAAGCAAAGAAAAAUAUAGAAAAUGUUUAUUUUGUUUAAUUUUCAAUUUUUAAUUUUCAGGGAUUUCAUUAUUGUGACUGUUAUCAUUCAUUAUAUGGUCAUAGUUAAAUGUUUCAAAUUGUUGUAGUCAGUGAAAUUCUUUUCGAUAUUUAUUCUGGCAUGUAUAUUUUUCCUUUUCAAUUUCUUUUGUUGCUGAUUCUUUGAUUAUGUUAUAUCCUUUUUUGUUUCCCUUGUAGGGUGGCAUGCCCGGUGCUACCAAUCUGAAGGAAUCUGAAGUAUUAGAAAGCAUUGUGAAGAAGCAGGCCUCAGCUGGGCGUCUUUAUGCUGCUGUCUGUGCUUCACCUGCUGUGGCAUUAGGGUCUUGGGGUCUGUUGAAGGGAUUGAAGGUAAGAGUUAGAUAAGCCUUUUUGAUGUUUUGUGGUCUUUUGGGAAUUGCACUGAUAUUUUUGUUAUGGUUCAGUUUUCUUCUCGCUGAUGAUUGUUAAGUUCUAAUUUAUGUAGUUGUUCAUUUUUCCUAGGCUACUUGUUAUCCGUCAUUUAUGGAGCAACUAGCUCCUGCUUGUGCAGCAUGUUGAAUCAAGAGUACAGCAGGAUGGUAAAGUUGUUACGAGUCGUGGACCGGGCACUACCAUGGAGUUUGCCGUUGCACUUGUUGAGCAGUUGUAUGGGAAAGAGAAAGCUGAUGAAGUUUCUGGGCCACUGGUAUUAGCUUUUAUAGAUAACGUUGUUUAAAAAAAUUAUGAGUUAUAUAAUUUGUGGAAGCUUCAGAUGCUAAUGUAUUCAAGAAAAUAAGUUCAGGGGAAGAGUAUGACUUUUUGCAUUAGUGAUUCAUUAGAUGAAAUUGUAUACCUGCUGGUCCAUCAUAAGGUGGUGAAAACAAUGUUUGAUUUAAUUAAUGAAAUCCUGAAAUAUGCAUUUGUUGAGCUUCAAUGUCUCCACUGAUAAAAUUCUUUUUAAUGUAAGUUCUUUCUCUUGGUAUUGUAUUUGAAUUUUCUGUUCCUCAUGCUUUCGUCUUUACUGUCACCUUGUGCCUAGGUAAUGCGUGCAAAUCAUGGAGAUGAAUACACUAUUGCUGAGUUCAAUCCAAUUCAGUGGACAUUUGACAAUUCUCCUCAGGUGAGAUUGGACUGUUAGUUUCUUGUAUUUGUUUUUCUUCUUCCAUGUUUUGAGGGAUACCCAUUUGGCAGUAAAUAAAAAUCUGUGAUAUCUUCUAUACAUGUACAUAUACAUCAUUGACUUCACUCAUUUGUGAACAUAUUGGAGGUAGUAGAUUUAUUGUUAUGAUAUGUCUAAUAAAAUCCAAAGUUCGAUGCAACUACAAAAGAAGUAUGAGCAGUGCUCGACCAGAGAGGAAAAAGGUGGUUUUUUUCUUUUUUUUUUUUGGGGGGGGGGGGGGGGUUGGUUGGGUGGCAAAGGGAAUGAUAAGUUCAGGGUAUCAACAAGCUGUAAAAUGGCUAUCGAAAAACUGAUAUUUCACAUUAGAGAAUGUGAGGACCUGAAGAUUGCUGACUUGUGGUCAAAAUGGAAUUCUUGAUAACUUUAAAUGUUAAAAAUUCUUGGUGAAAAUUUUGUACUUUUUUUUCUUUCAGAUUCUUGUGCCUAUUGCGAAUGGUUCAGAGGAGAUGGAAGCUGUUAUAAUAAUUGAUAUUCUGCGACGAGCUAAAGCAAAUGUUGUGGUUGCGUCAGUUGAGGAUAAACUAGAAAUUCUGGCUUCUCGUCAAGUUAAAUUAGUGGCAGAUAUGCUUAUUGAUGAGGCAGCUAAACUUUCGUAUGAUUUGAUUGUCUUGCCAGUAAGUGGGGUUGCUAACUCUUGCCUCAUAGUCUUUACCAAAUUAUUGACUUACUAGCUACAAUUUAUCUAUGCACAGGGUGGACUUGGUGGUGCUCAAGCAUUUGCGAAGUCAGAAAAAUUGGUAAAUAUGCUAAAGAAGCAAAAGGAAUCAAAUAGACCUUACGGUGCUAUAUGUGCAUCCCCAGCACUAGUGUUGGAGCCCCAUGGCUUACUCAAGGUAUGACCAUUUCUGCUUAAAUAUUUAUUCUUGAUUUGAAUCACCUAAUCUGAACUUGAUAAAACAUUGUGAUCUUGUGUGAUUUUAUGAACGUGGUCUUAUCUCAUGUAAGUCUGUAAUGAAUUUAUUGAAGUUUGCUGACAAAUUACAAACUCAAAAACUGCUGCUGCUUCAUUAGUUACAGUACCCAAGGAGUUAUGAUAGACAUCCCAAACUUUUUACCCCAAAUUCCCUCUCAAAUGACAUGGUAGUUAUUAAGUGGUUGGUAAUUUUUUAUAAGAUAUAAGUGAAUUAAUUAAUUAUAUUAUUUAAUCAACCAAUUGAUGAAUGUCACGCCAUUUGAGAUGAAUUUUUGGGAUGUGUAGCAAAACUUUAUGCUGAUUUGUUUUGGCUACAUUCAUGUAAAACAUUUUUCCCCAAAUCCCAAGAACUUCCCGCAAUAUCAUUCCUUUGUAUUUGUUUUCCCCUUUAGACAUGUUUAACUUUGGUUCAGGGUAAAAAGGCUACGGCUUUUCCUGCCAUGUGCAACAAGCUAUCAGAUCAAAGUGAAAUCGAAAACAGGGUUGUGGUUGAUGGCAACCUUAUCACCAGCAGAGGGCCAGGAACUUCCAUGGAGUUUGCACUGGCAAUUGUGGAGAAGUUUUUUGGCCGCAACAAAGCACUUGAGCUUGCAAAGAUAUUGCUUUUCACCCGCACCUAAAAUUUGUACCAGGACCCGACUAAUAUUAAACUAGAGUGUUUAUUUCUGUAUUACUACUGCUUGUAGAGAGGCGAAAUGGAAACUUGAAUUCAUGUUUGAAUAGGGAUUCACUGUGCGGGUUUGUACAAGAGCUUGUUUAUAAAUAAAUGAGUUCAUAAAGAGUCAUUUUAAAUAUUUGGAAUAAACGUGAGUUGCUGUUUAGUUCUGUUUUCAAUGUUCACCGUUCAAUUGUGAUCCAGAGCAAUAUAACUACACUCACUGGGAAUUUUAAUUAUGAACCAAGAACGAAGUUGAACCGAGAAUUUGAUACUUUAUAUAUUCCAGUUACCAUAUUUAAGAAAGAGUAUUGAAAAGAAAGACGCUAAGAGAGAAUAUUGAAGUUAAACAGAUACCAUAUCUAGUAUUAAGUCUGUAUGCCAAAGUUACAAAUUCGAAGAUCAGAUUCCUCAUUUCAAUUUAUGUUCUGCUCAAAACAAUGGCUCUUAUUCCACAAGCACAAACAAGAAAGAGUACGAACAAAGUUAACAGAGACACGCAGUGAAAAUUACGCUAAUUGGUUGCAGCAGCAUCAUCCAGGAACUUCACUUUAAUCCUCUUGAGCUUUGCUGCAGCGUCUGUCAUAUUUAUCCUCAUGUCGGGUGACUCCAUACAACAAUCCAAUGCCAAAUCCAUUAUGCUUAAUAUACAAUCCAUUUUGGCAGAAAAAGCUUGCUCUUCUCGCACCAAAUUUGCGUCAACAACUUCACUCAAUCCGUGAGGUAAUGACUCCUUUACCCAUGUCCUUAAACUCGUUUCUCCUGUGAACAUUUCAUCGGUGGGCCUCUUUCUCGUGAAAGUUUCCAUUAAUAAAACACCAUAGCUGUAGACAUCACAUUUAGCUGAAACAAUUCCUUCUGAUCCAUACUCUGCAUUUUUUUUAAUUUCAAUUAUGAAACAAAUGAUAAAACAAAUAAGUUUUUGAUAAUUAAGGUAACCCAAACUUUGCUCGUACUUGAAAAAAGAGUAAAAAUUUUAAUUACAAUUGAAACUUUACCUGGUGCCAUAUAACCAAUUGUAGCCAUUGUCAUGGUUUGUGUCACAGAAUCUUCUUCUUCACCUAAGAGUUUGGAAAUGCCGAAGUCGCUCACAUGUGCCACCAUAUUUUCAUCCAAGAGAAUGUUGGGAGGCUUCAAAUCACAAUGAAUUAUAGGUGCCGACGAAUGACCAUGAUGGAGAUAUUCAAGAGCCGACCCCACAUCUAUCAUUAUAUUCAACCUCUCUAGAAUGUCUAAGAAAUAGUUGUGAGAAUACAACCACUUCUCGAGACUACCAUUUGGCAUGAACUCAAGUACCAAUGCUUUAAAAUCUGGAUUAGAACAACUGCUAAGGAUCUUUAUGAGAUUUCGAUGACGAACAUUCUGUAAAACUUCACAUUCAGAAUCAAAACUCCUAAAUGCUCUCUCUAGUUGCAGAUUGAAAACCUUUAUCGCAACAUCAGUCCCGUCGGAAAUGGUUCCUUUAUAAACUGAUCCAAAGCUACCUGUACCAAGCAAGUUACAUUCAUUAAAUUCAUCAGUUGCUCGUUGAAUGUCUAGGUACGAUGUUCUUCUCCAUGUUGCAAGAGAUAGGAAAUCUUCGUGAUCUGAUUUUCUUGUACUUCUAUUUCGGCAUCUUCUGUACAUAAUGAUGGUAAUCACUAUAAGGACCGUGGAUACUAUCGGAGGCAAAAUAUAUUUAAGGACAAUUAGAGCAACUUUCUUGGUUCUUUUGCUGUUAUCUUGCUUGCAAGGUGGGACUCGAAGUUUAGGUGGACCACAGAGUGCAUAAUUUCCAAAAAAUGAUUCAGCUGACUAGUUUUUAAAAGACCCCUUAACAGGAAUUUCCCCUUCUAGCAUAUUUUGAGACACAUUAAAUUGUUUGAGAUGUGAAAGUGCCUCCAAUGACUUAGGAAUUUUUCCAGAGAAAUUGUUGCCGGAGAGAUCUAAGGAUUCUAAGCUUAUCAAACUGCCAACUGAUUCAGGGAUAGGUCCUUGAAAUUGAUUACUAGCCAAGGAUAGAGUUUCUAGAUCUACGAGGGCACCAAUGGUUGAUGGAAUAUUACCUGAUAAUUGAUUCCUUGAUAAAUCUAAAACUCUCAAGACCUUUAACUUUUGUACAUUGGAAGGGAGAGAAUCAUUUAAUGAAUUUGACGACAAGUUUAUCUCUAAGAUGUACUCAAGGCUCCACAAGGAUGACGGUAUACUAGAAGUGAGCUUGUUGGAGCCUAAGCGGAGUUCUCUUAGAGAUGUCAAACUCGCCAAGCAUGGCGGUAUAUGUCCAGAGAGCUUAUUUCCAUUUAACCUUAUUCCGUACAUCAACUCCAAGUGGCAAAGAUCAUAGGGAAUGGAUCCUUCCAAAUUAUUGUCUUCAAGAGAUAAACCUUGUAGCUGCUGUAAUGUUCCUACAGAUGUUGGAAUAGUUCCGUUCAAGUCAUUGAAGUCGAGGGUUAAGAGGAUCAAGCCACGUAAAUUACCAAUUUCUUUAGGAAUGCUGCCCCCGAGUUUGCACUCGUAAGCAUAAAAGCUUUGAAGAGAAGCAGAGAAAUUUCCAAUUAAUGGUGGAAGGAUGCCACCUAAUGGAUUAGAAUCUAAGACUAAAUAGGAUAGCUUUCUACAAUUAGUCAAAGAAGAGAGAAAACUCCACUGAUCUGCUGAAGAUGAUUCUGUCGUCAAGUUAUUCGUUCGUAUGCUGAGCACGUUGAGGUGCCUCAAGUUGCCAAAUGUAUUUGGUAUAUGGCCUGAGAAUGAGUUAGAGCCCAAGUCUAGACCAAUGAGUUUGGAAGCAUUGGUAAGAGAGUCAGGAAUUGUCCCGAUAAGAUUAUUGAUCGCCAAGGUUAAAUACUCUAUGUUCGGAAGCGAGUGGCCUAUCGUUGAUGGUAGGCGGCCUGAGAAUUGGUUGCUGUGUAGAUUAAGGACUCUUAUGGUUGAAAUAUUGAAGAUCGCGGGUGGAAUGAGGCCACUUAAAUUAUUCGUACCAAGAGCAAGACUCUCCAAAUUUUGUAGAUUGCCAAUCUCGGUUGGAAUUUGAUCUGUCAUAUCGAUUAAACCAACAUUGAUGAGUUAUUGAAUUUUUUGCUAAACAUAAAUUUAAUUUCAAAAUUCAUGAAAAUCAAAAUUUCCCACAAAAUAUGUGUUAUUAGUUUUAUAAUAAUUUAGGGGGUAAUGAUAUUUCUACCCCAUGAUUUUUGUAAAACACACAUGCUUUUAGAAAAUUAUUACCGCAAGAUCACAUUAUUCUUAAAAAUUCAAAUUAAGAAGAAGUUUCUAGAAUUAAUCAAUUAAAUCCAUAUUAAUUUAUAUUUGAAACUUAUAUUCUUUUAUUAUAUUUAAGUACUAAGGUUGUUUUAACAUAAAUUUAAUUGACUAUUUUACCCUCCUAAGGUAAAAGUACUAAAAUCCUCAAAAAUUUACUUCAACUAAACUAACAAAAUGUAUUUAUGACCUAUGGGGCAUUAAAAAUAUUGAAUUUUAUUUUUAAAAUAUUAUAUUACAAAACAUAAAACUAUAUGCUAGAUACUAUAGUACAUGUUUCUUGGGGUAAUAUAGUCAUUUUACAUUAUAAGGAUGAAAUAGUCAAAUUAAACUUAACUUGAAGCACCCGUAAAUGCCAAAAAUUGUUAAAAGACCUAAGUCAUAAAAGAAAAUUAUUAUCAGAAUAAUUUAUUUAGUUAAUUAUCUGACUUAUUGUUAAUUUAUAAUUUUAUAAGCUAUUGUGAACUUAUUGCAAUUAUCUAAUGGAGAUGAGGGGGGGUUUUGCAAGAAUAUGAGCGGCAGUAUUGCCACUCUAUAAAAUAAAAAGAAUUAUGCAGUCAUGCAAAUGCAAAUAUGCUGAACUUACCUUGCAGGUUGUUAUGACGAAGAUCCAAAUCAAAAAGGUUGCUCAAAUUUCCUAUCCCUGAAGGAAUAUUUCCAUCAAUAACGUUGAAACUUGCUUGUAACAUCUCCAAUUUCGAUAAGUUGAAGAGAGAAUUUGGGAUUGGACCCGUGAUAUUGUUAUUACGAAGACUCAUUAUUUGUAAUUUGGAUAAGACACCAAUCCAAGUUGGAAUGCUUCCACUCAAUUUAUUGAAACUGAAACUAAUGAAUUUGAGUCGGCCUAAUUUCCCCAAUUCAUUAGGUAGAUGGCCAUAAAAAUUGUUCAAAGUAACAUCAAGAGACAUUAGGAAUGAGAGAUUUCCCAGGUGUGGGGGAAUAGUGCCUCCGAGACCCAUGCCUGAAAGAUUUAAAGCCUUGACUCUUUGAUGGCGUGAAUCACAAGAAAUACCAACCCAGCUGCAUAUUGGAUGAGAUAUAGACCAAUUAUUUGCUAGGACACUCCGAUAAUCACCGACGUGGGCUUUGAAUGCAAGAAGAGCUGAUUGAUCUGUUAAAUUGUUUAAAGUCGUCGUAGCUAAGUUAGCUAUGGAAUAUUGUAACAACAUAGGAACAAAGAAGAACGAUAGGCGCAUAUUGGUCGUUUUUAAUAGAUACAGCAACAUAAUUGCUAGGUGAGAUUGAAACAAGUUUGAAGUGAAGGAAAUUAGCAUAUACUUAUACAAGAGACAUGAAUUUGAAAACAAGAAAAGAAAAAAUAUACAGGAGACUUGCAAACUGUUAUAUUUUGUCAUUAAGCGAGUCGUCCAAGUAAACGCACGUAUGGACUUGCAAAUUGUUAAACGUCGCUGUACUUGAACCGUAAACAAAGGGUGUGUUUGGUUGGAGGAUUAAAAGUGGGGAUUAGACACUUUUUUUUUUUUUUAAAUUUUAUCCUUAUCUCAUGUUUGGUGCUGUCAAGGGUAUUAGGAUUUAGUUAUCUUGAACUCACAAGCUAAUCUUAAUUUUGUAAAGGAAAUUAUCCCAAGAGGGGUCAUGGGAUUAGUUAGUAUUGGAUUAUAUUGAUAACUCAAUUAAACAUAAUAAUUUAUAAAUAUUAAAAUUAUAGUAAUAUGUGAUAAAUGUAAUAAAAAAAUAUUGAUUUUAAUAAUGUAAAUAAUAAAUUAUACUAAAAAUCAUUAUUAAUUUCACAUUAAAUUAAAAUUCUAUUUUACUUUAUUUAAUUAUUAAAUAUUUUUUAUAAUUCCAAAUUUACGUUAUAAAUUAAUUAUUAAAUUAGUAUUCAAAAAGAUAAAUUUUUAUAAAAUAAUAGAUUAUUGAAUAAAUAUCAUAUAAAUAUCAUAUACAUAUUUAACAAAAUAAUAAUUAUUUAAAUUAUGAUUUCUAUUUCUUUAACGUCAUUGAGGUUGAUUUGUAUAAUUAAUAAUACAAAAUUUUAGUUUAUAAUAAUAUUAAUAAUAAUAAUAACUUGUAAAUUGUAAUAUUAUAAUGUAAAACAUGAUUAUUUAUAGUCCAAUCUAAUAUUGUACCAAACACAAUAUAGUAUUAUAUAUAAUCCACUAUUAUUCAAUCCAAUUCAAUUUUAUCCAAUUUAAUCUAAUCUAAUUCAAUCAAAUCCGGCGGACCAAACCAGCCCAAAGGGUUUAUGGCCCUUUACUUACCAAACAGAAAAAGAUGCUCAACAUUGACAUCUUUGACCCAAUCCAAAUCUAAUCCAUACAUCUGCGGAUCAGAUGCAGAUUUAACCUAAUCCAUAUCCAAUCCACCAUUUUACGGAUUGGUUUGUAGACUGAAAAAUAUUAUAAGAAUAAUUUAUUAAUUGUUCAGACUUAAUUUAUAAUUCUAUAAGAUAAUGUGAACUUAUUAUAACUAUCUUAUCAAAAUGAGGUGGGAUUGCAAGAAUAAUGAGUAGAAAUAUCCCCAACCGAUAAAAUAAAAAGAAUUUUACAGCUAUACAAAUGCAAAUAUGUAGAACGUACCUUGUAGGUUGUUAUAAGCUAGAUUCAGAUACAAAAGAUUGCUAAAAUUUCCUAUCGCUGAAGGAAUAUUUCCAUCAAUGACGUUGUACGUUGCGUGUAACGCCUUCAGCCUCGAUUAAUUGAAGAGAGAAUUUGGGAUUGGACCCGUGAAACUGUUAUUACGAAGACUCAACACUUGUAAUUUGGAUAAGACGCCAAUCCAUGUUGCAAUGCUCCCACUCAAUUUAUUGAAAGUGAAACUAAUGAAUAUGAGUCGGCGUAAUUGCCCCAAUUCAUUAGGUAGAUUGCCAAGAAAAUUGUUCAGGCUAACAUCAAGAGAUUCAAAUGAAUUUUUGAUGGCGCGAACCGCAAGAAAUGCCAAUCCAGGUACACAUUGGAUAAGAUAUAGACCAAUUAUUUGUCAGGAUACUUCGAUAAUCAACGACACGGGCUUUGCAUGCAAGAAGAGCCGAUUGAUCGGUUGUUAAGAUGCAAUAGUGAGUAGUGAAAGUGGUUUGAGGUGGAGAUGCACCGGGAUCUACGGCCAUCCUGAGUUCAGCCAGAAGCAUAAUACUUGGACUCUCAUGAAAAGGUUAGCCAGCCUAUUUUCCUAUCCUUGGUGCUGUUUUGGUGAUUUUCAAUGAGAUAAUGCAUAUGCAUGAGAAAAACGGGGGCAAUGAGAGAAACCUGAAUAGGGUUGCCGAGUUUAGGGAAGCUGUGCAAAGCUGCAAUUUGCAGGAUAUGGGGUGUAAGGGAUAUCCCUAUACGUGGUCAAACAAAAGAUACAGAGAUCAUUUUAUUGAUGAGAGAUUGGACCGUUUUCUGUGUAGUAAAGAUUGGGGGAUUAAUUUUCAAGAAUCUGUAGGCACAAAUCUAGUGAACUGGUCUUCGGACCACUGCCCAAUCAUUCUAGAUUUCCAUGAGCGAAGCCAAAAUUCGAGACAUGCGGGCAAAUCUCUCCCCCGAGAUUAUUAUGAGGAUAUGUGGAGCUCCCACGAAGGCUGUAGGAGUAUAGUCCAGGAAGAGUGGAGCCGGUAUGGGGCUAGAGCUUGGGAAGCCCCUGUUCAGCAAUUUCAAUGAAUAGCCAAAUCUUCCUUGGCCCAGCUAAAACUUUAGAGCAAAACCGAAUUUCAUGGUAGGCAAAGAAAGUAAGAAAAGCUUAUGCAGAGCCUCCAGGAUGCUAUGAGAGGGAAUUCAAAGCUGGAUGAUGGCCAGGAAAUUAGGAGAUUGGAAAGUCAGAUUAACUCUAUGCUAGUUGAUGAGGAGAUUUACUAGAAACAGCGUUCGAGGGCCGACUGGCUUAGAGAAGGGGAUAAGAACACGAAGUAUUUUCACGCCAAAGCAUCUGCCCGCAAAAGGAAGAACAAGGUGUGGGGGAUUGAGAAUGACCAGGGCAUUUGGUUGAAGGAAAGGGAUGAAAUAGAGGAGGAGAUUUGCAGCCAUUUCCAAAAGCUUUUCACUACUUCCAGCCCGACUCCAAGCCAAAUCCAAGCAACCCUUCAAGGCAUGACAACAAAAGUAACUCCGGAGAUGAAUGUUCAGCUGGAGAAGCCGUUCACCGCUGAAGAUGUUGAGGAAGCCCUUGCCAACAUGUGUCCCACAAAGGCCCCAGGGCCUGAUGGUCUUCCAGCUGCCUUCUUCCAGAAGCAUUGGAAAUCUGUCCGUAACAGAGUGAUCUCAACGUGCCUUAAUGUCCUUAAUGAGCAAGGUAACCCAUCUACCCUCAAUCACACCUUUAUAGCUUUGAUUCCAAAAAUUGCAAAUCCUAGGAAAGUGAGUGAUUAUAGACCUAUCAGCCUCUGUAAUGUUAUUUAUAGAGUUGUAGCUAAGGCCAUUGCAAAUAGAAUGAAGCCGAUCUUUUCCCAAAUCAUCUCCCCUAUGCAAAGUGCAUUCAUCCCCAAUAGGCUCAUUACCGACAAUGUUAUUAUUGGUUAUGAAUGCCUUCAUAAAAUUAGGCAUAGCAAAGGGAAGAAGAACGGACUUGUAGCUUUAAAAUUGGAUAUAAGUAAGGCUUAUGAUAGAGUUGAGUGGCCUUUUUUGGAACAAACUAUGCUAAAGAUGGGGUUUCCUAGUAAUUGGGUAGCUCUGAUAAUGAGAUGUGUUAUUUCCACUUCAUUCUCGGUGCUAAUUAAUGGUGUGCCAAAAGGAAUGAUCCAGCCAAAAAGAGGCUUGCGACAGGGCUGCCCGCUAUCCCCGUACCUUUUUAUCCUUUGUGCAGAGGCUCUCUCCAAUUUGCUGGUUGUGGCAGAACAGAACCAGCUAAUCCAAGGGCUCAAAUUUGCGCGGGAAGUUUCAAUUACGCACUUGCUGUUUGCGGACGAUAGCUUGGUAUUCUCUCGUGCAUCAGUGGCUGAAUGCAGGCAUUUAAAAGAAAUGUUUGAUAAAUAUGCUGCAGCAUCAGGGCAGAUUUUUAAUUUUCAGAAAUCCUCACUGUUCUUCAGUGGAAAAAUUCCAGAGCAUCAACGGGCUGCUAUAAGGGGUAUCUUUAAUCUAAAUGUAGUCUCAAAGCAUGAGAAAUACCUUGGCCUACCAUCAAUGAUUGGGAGAAAGAAGAUGGGGUUCUGUAACGACAUCAAGCUGAAAGUGUUGAACAAGAUUGCAGGAUGGCAGCAUAAAAUGUUGUCUAGUGGGGGGAAGGAAGUUCUGAUCAAAGCGGCAGCCCAAGCAAUUCCGGCGUAUGCAAUGAGUGUUUUCAAGCUCCCAAGAGGCUUUUGUGAUGAUAUUCAGCGAGCUAUAGCGAAGUUCUGGUGGGGCUCGAAAGGGGAUAAGCACGGAAUCCAUUGGCGAAAAUGGGAGAAGCUCAGCCAGGCAAAGAUUAGAGGGGGGCGGGGAUUUCGAGAGUUUUCUUGCUUCAAUCAAGCGCUGGUAGCUAAGCAAGCUUGGAGGUUACUGCAGUACCCAAAUUCGCUGGUCUCCAAAGUCCUUCAAGCAAGAUAUUUCAGGAAUUCCAGCUUUUUAUGUGCAAAGGCAGGAGCCAAUGCCUCGUAUAUUUGGAGAAGCAUCAUGUGGGGUAGGCAGGUGAUUAAGAAGGGUAUGAGAUGGCAGAUAGGUAAUGGCAAGAAGGUAGCAAUUUUCUCGGAUAACUGGCUGCCAAGACCAGAGACCUUCAGACCUAUCUUCCCUCCAUCUUUGCCCGUAAGCUCAGUUGUUGCAGAUUUAAUUAAGGCUGAUAAUCAAUGGGAUGAAAUAAAGCUUCGACAGCACUUCAUGGAUGUAGACACAGCAGAGAUCCUCAAGAUUCCCCUCCCAACUGAGAAAGAAGAAGAUGGAGUGCUUUGGGAUUACGACAAAAGAGGGAACUACUCUGUCAAGAGUGGGUAUCAGCUAGCAUUGAGAUCAAAAUUUCCAGAUUCCACCAGCUGCACAGAGGCUUCCCACAAGUACUGGAGUGCCCUUUGGACACUGGAGUUGCCUGCGAAGCUUAAAAUUUUCAUGUGGAGGGCCUCUAAUAAUCUGCUUCCAUCGGUGGAAAAUCUGUGGAAAAGGAAGGUAGUGGAGGAGCCAACUUGUAAGCGAUGCAAACUGAGUGUUGAGACUAUCAGCCAUGCUCUCUUGGAGUGUAAGGUAGCGAGAAAAAUUUGGCUCCAAUCCCCCUUUUCAGGCCUUAGAUUAGAAGCCAAUUCUCAGGACAUUUUCAGCACUUUGCAAAAUAUGGCUAAGGAGAUGAGGAAAUCAGAUCUGGAAUUAAUGGUAGCUCUGUGUUGGUCUGCCUGGUAUGCUAGGAACAAAUGUAUCUUCGAUGGCAGGGAGAUUAAUCCUAUUAUAUCAGCUGCUAAAGCGGAGUCUGUUUUGUCAGCUUUUCAGAGAGUUAGGAAGCCCCAGCAAGCUCACAUCUCUAUCUUCAUAAAAGAGAAGCAGCAGGAGUGGCUCCCCCCUCCCCCGAAUGUUUUUAAAGUUAAUGUGGAUGCUGCUCUUAAUUCAAAGAAUCUGAGUGCAGGAGUGGGAACUGUGAUUAGAGACUCUAAUGGAAAGAUAGUUGCGGCUGGGGUAAAUCAGAACCUCCUAAAGGGGUCAGCUAGCUUGGCUGAAGCAGAGGCGGUGCUUUGGGGCCUUCAGCUGGCGAGAAAGGCGGAUGUAUCCUCUUUGAUUAUUGAGUCUGAUUGUUUAGAGGUGGUCCAGCUAGUGAACAACACCAAGGGCAGCAGAUCAGAAAUUUUUUGGACAAUUCUGGCAAUCCAAAACCAGAUGAAGAACUUCCAGAAAGUGGUUGUCAAUCACAUUCCAAGACAUUGUAAUGCUUGUGCCCAUUACCUAGCUAAGAUAGCUUUGGGGAAAAUCUCUCCCUGUAUGUGGCUGGGAAAUAUUCCAGCUGAAUUGUAUGGUAUUAUCAAGGUGUUGUGAUUAAUGAAAGGUUUACUUUCUUUUCAAAAAAAAGAAGAAUGAUAAGCGCAUAUUGGUCUUUUUUUUUAGAUGCGUCCAUCUAAUUGCUAAGUGAAGUUGAUACAAGUUUUAAGUGAAGGAAAUUAGCAUAUGCAUAUACAAGAGGCGUAUGAAUUUUGAUAACAAGAAAAGAAAACAAUAUACAGGAGAGUGGAGGCUUGCAAAUUGUUAUAUUUCAUUAUUUAGCGAGUCGUCCGAGUAAACGCGUAUAGACUUUUAAAUUGUUAUACGCCGCCGUACUUGAACCGUGAAUAAAGGGCUUAUGGCACUUGAGUUACCAAAAAGAAGAAGAUGCUCAACAUUGGCAAGGCCUAUGCAUUCUGUCCAUUUGUUCACGUUUUGCCGAGGCUCAUGGCAACCACAAUAUGUUCUUUUUCUUUCCUCUAAAAAACAAAAAGACGACCUUCACAUUUGGGCUAAUAAUUAUCACUAAACAAUUAAUAAUGCUGAGGGCUAGUGGUAAUGUAGCUUUAAAAUAAUUGUUAUUAGUUGCGCCUUAAAAAUAAAGAAAUAAAGAUAGUUAUACUAUACCCCCACAAUUUAAUAAAAUAAUCAUGUAAAUUUCUAAACUUUUAACAAUAUACACCAAGACCCCUUAUGUUACUUUUUACCAUUUAUUUGGAUGUCACAUGCUUUUUUUUUUUUUUUUUUAAAUUUUUCACUGCAGAAAUUAAAUGCUAAAUUUACUGUUAUUCCCAUAUCAUGUCAUCGCUUGCUUCUACACAUAUUGAUUGUUUUUCCAAAGUUUAAAAUUGAAUUAAAAACAUUCUAAUUAACCUAAAAAUUAAAAAAAAAACUCAUCCAACCAGAUAUAAAUCUUCUAAUUAACCUAAAGAUAAGCUACACCCCCAUAUUAAUUCCAAUUAAAUAAAUCUUCAUUUUUGUCAUGGUUUUGGAUCUCGAGCAGGGUGGAUACAUCCAACCAGAUCCGCCCCAUUGGCAUUCCAAUAUAUUAUGGAAUUGGAAGAGUAUCAAUGACUUAAUUUGUAAUUUUAAAUUUGUAACGUAUAAUUCUAAUUUAAGGAUUCAAAUUAAUUUAUGCGGAUCUAAAAGGGGACUGAUGAUGGGCAUGCAUACAUACAUGCAUACAUAUAUUUACAUAGAGAGAGAGAGAGUGAGGUAAUAUAACAUUCUUCUUGAUGAAGAUUUUUGUGCCAUACGCAUUAAAGAGAGUAUUGUGUCGAUGUUGGAGGCUAGAGGGACAAGUGGUUACAUUGCUUCAGAGGUGUUUAGUAGAAACUUUGGUGAGGCAUCACAUAAUUUAAACUACUAGAUUUAGCGAGAUAUAUAUAUUUUCCACAUUGGAUUUACAAGCAUUUGGAGCAGGAUAAUGAAUUUAAAUUACUCGGAAUUGUAAACAGCGGAAAGUGAAAUUGCUAAGAAGAUGAAUAUUGUUGUUUUGUGGUGUAUACGGACUCGUCCAUCGGAUAGGUCGCCCAUGAACAGAGUGAUAGAAAUGUUAUUGCAAAGAAGCAGACUGACUAGCAGUGACGCUUUGAAUAAAUCCACCAAACAUCUUCUCCUACAAGACCACCAAUAUAUUCUUCCACCAUUCAACGUCGUGAUGUGGGGAUCAGAAUUGAAUUAUAGGAUGCUUGUAAGUUUCCUUUGUGGAACUUGUGAAUUUGUGAUGGCAAAAGUCAAUGAUGCAUGUAACUAGCCGGCCCGUGUAGAGGCCGUUUGACUCAUAAAUAUUUGUCACUUUCACUCUUUUUCAAAACCCAAAAGCACGCUAAAGCUUAAUCUAAAAAGAAUUUUUGAUUUAGUGCUGACAUUUUGGGCUCACCUUUGAGUAAUGUUUUACCACGCAUGCAUUUAUGUCAUUGUGCGGUCAUCCUUUACUUCUAAAGAUCGUAAUCUUUAAGAAAAAAUUACUUCUUUUGAAAGUGAAAGCAGGCCAGCUAUUGGCGUAUUGCAUUGAAGCUGCUAUGUGUAGUAGUCAAUUCUUGGAAAGAACUAGUUUUCUUAAAUUGUAAAUGGUCCCCUUUAUGACUGGGAGAUUUUGAACAAAAUUAAUAUGAUGAAUUCUUAGCAAGUGUUGUUCCUUGAAGUCUCAUCUUUCACAAUGUUUUUGAAAUAAAGAUAUUACCAUCUCUGACUAAAGAUUUACUCUUGAUUUGGACCACCUAAUCUGAACUUGAUGGAUGAUUAUGAUCUUGCCUAAUUUUAUGGAUGUGGUCUUAUCUCACGUAAGUCAGUAAUGAAUUAAUUAAAGUUUACUGUCAAAUUAUGAACUGAAAAACUGCUGCUACUUCAUUAUUCACAAUGCCCAAAUUCAGUGCAGAACUGAUUAUAAGUUUUCCGAAAGUUUUACGCUUUCUUUCCCCCAAAUCCCAAGUACUUCCUGUAAUAUCAUUCCCCUAUAGAUGUCUUCCCCUGAGACAUUUUUAACUUUGGUUCAGGGUAACAAAGCUAUAGCUUUUCCUGUCGUGUGCAACAAGCUAUUAAAUUAGAGUAUUUAUUUCUGUAUUACUACUAGUAGUAAGAGAGGCGAAAUGGAAUCUUGAAUUCAUGUUUAUACAACAGUUUGUUUAUAAAUAAAUGAGUUGAUAACAAGUCAUUUUAAAUAUUUGCAAAAAAAAAAACGGUGAGUGAUGUCUAGUUCUAUUUUCAAUGUUCAGAGUCGAAUUUUGAUUACUGAAAAUUUUAAUUUAUGAAGUUGAACUAAGAAUUUGUUAUAAUAUAUUCCACCUUCCUAUACAGUCAUCUGGAAUAAUAAUAUAUCAAAAACAGUAAUAACUUGAUUUACAGGGUGAGAAAGAAAAGAAAGACGCUACGAGGGAAGCAGAGAUUCAAAGACUUCGCUACUUUGUUGGAGGAACAAUUUCAUAAAUCUCCAGAAUAUUGACAUAAAACACAGAACAUAUCUAGCAUUAAGUAUAUUUAUGUAUGUCCAAAGAUAAAAAUUCGAAGAUUAGAUUUAUCAUUUCAAUUUAUGUUCCGCCCAAAGCAAUGGCUUUUAUUCCACAAGCACAAACAAGAAAGAGUACACAAAGUUAACAAACACACAUGUUGAUGCGAGAUUCUGGUUGUCCUCGUUCUACGACCAGGGUCUCUGCUCGAUCAACUUCACCACGACCAGGAUCUCUCCUCGUAAAGCUUCUUCUCCAGAGGUUCCUGCGCACACAGACAGGUCAGAGUACGCCGGUUUUUUUCCCGGCGCAAACCCUCCAACGCUCAAGUCAGAAAUAGGGGUUCUGGGAAUGUUUGCCACGAAUCUUAUGGCUUCUUUUUAAUCUCAGUUCUCGGAACUUUCUUUUCUUAGUUCUAAUAGCAAAAAGUCUAACCCUUUUACCUUUGCUGGCUACUUUUUUAUAGGCUUCCUCUGAAUCCCGGUCUUCCGUAGUCCACGCCCAUUACUCUUCCCACCCUCGGAUGUGGAUGCCCCAUUGUCGUCAUUGUGGGCGAAUGGAGAUGGACUUCGUGCCUUGAUUCUCGGAUAGGAACGCACGUCUUGCCAACUGUCGUUGACCGGGUCUCCUCGCCUCGACCCCUAGCAGGAAUGGCCUUAUGCCUCUAACAGGAGUUCGUCCUCGUGAAUGGCAUAUUUGUGGACGAGCAGAAUAUUCCUGCUCCUGUUCCCUUGCUACCAGGCUCUUACAGGACAUACCUGUUCGCAGAACUCUGCCACCAAAUAUAUGCUCAUCAUGUCUGGUCUCGUCGAAGUAUUUCCCUCAAACACCGGUCCCCCAGUUUCUGGUGUUGGGUAAUGUAAUGGACCAGCAGUAGAAACUCAACAGUUCUUGCUCGCGUGAGACUUGAAAAGGCUGCCAAGAGUCGUGUCGCAUUUAAUUGCGGAUGCAGUGAUGUGGCAGAAAUCUACCCCUUCGUUUGAAUUUCAAACCUACGGUUGCAAGAUUCUCAGAAUCUGCGUCAUUAAAUGCUGGCAGCCCAAAAGUUUGCUUCUCAGUAAGAAAACCCAAAAUCCUCAAACACGAACUCGUCAUUUUCUCCAUUCCUGUCUCUCCGGCUAAUGAACCUCGGCAUUAAAGCUUUCAUCCCUGUCUCUCUCUGAGCGAGUCCCUGCUUCAGGUAUUUCUUCUAUCUUCACGGUCUCGGUUAGUUGUAGAUAAUUUCUUUUCUCUUUGCUUUGCUUGGGGUAGUAUCUGGUAGUGGUGUUUUGGUUAUAACCUAGGGAAUGUCGAAGGGUAAGGAGAAAGUCGUUGAUAUUGAUGACGACGAACUAGGUUUCUUGCCUAGUCUGCUCACUGAUUCUGCUUUUGGCCCCGGGAUCCCCUUAGAGCCCACUAGGUCUAGUGUUGGGACUAGCGCUAGGAGGAUGUCCCCCCAAACAACCUCCACGAGCGGAAGUAGUGGCGAGGAGGGACCUUCUGGCUCGGAAGACACCCUAAGUGAGGAUCAAUGAGGUGACUCUGGUGAGGGAUCUUCACCGGGAACACUGCGACCAGAAGGGUGUAGUACAGUAGGAGGUAGAGCCUUGUCGCGGGAUUAUGCUAUUGAUUACAUGACCUGCACGACCACAUUCAACGAGCUGGAUGACCUCCGGCUCAGGUAUCAUAUUCCUGGUGAGGUACUCCUUAGGAUCCCAGGAAAGAAAGAUAGUCUUAGCAGGCCUCCUAGGGGAUUUGUCACCUUGUUCUUGGAGAGUUUUAAGUACGGGCUAAGGUGCCCCUUGCAACUCUAUUUUGCUCGCAUACUCCACGGGCUCAAUCUAGCUCCUGGUCAGUUGAACCCCAAUGGGUGGAGGGUGCUCUUUGGUCUGUUCAUAUUGUGGGACAGAUGUUGCCAAAGCGAGCCCACGGUUGAUGAGGUGAAGCACCUGUACCAGCUAAGGAGUAGCCCCAAAGAUGCCGGCUGGUACUACUUCCAAUCUAGUACCAAGAGUAGGAAACCCAUAACUGAUCUUCCAACUGGUGGUGGUGGGACUUGGAAGAGGAAAUUCUUUUUUGCUGGGGGUCCUUGAGGUCAAGUUGCACAAAUAGACGGGAAGGAUUGUCGCGUCCCACCCCGUUUCACGGUCCCAGGUUGCCUGCUCACUUUAGAUGUCUUGUAUCCAUAAUUGUUCUUACUUUAUUGGUUUGUCUCUAACCAAGUGUCUGUUUGUGUUGUAGUUUCUUGGGGUGUUCAUUUUCCGCUCAAACCUGAUCAGCUCAAACGGGUCGAGGCUGUACUAGCCAACUCCUGCCCGAGCCGAGAACUGAUAACUAUUUAUAACUUCCUCGAGUCUCGCUUGGUACUCCCUGGCCAUAAGAUGGAGGACGCUGUGAUUGGGGCUCUGAACAGGAAACGUUCUCGACCUCAAAACACGAAGAGGGACCAGAACAAGGACGCCCCUAGGGCAAAGCGGACCAACAUCGUGCAGCAAGUCUCUCCCUUGAAGACUUUACCUCCUGCUCCUGCCAAAGUCAGCGAAACUAGUGGAGCAGCCACAGAUCCUGCUUCCUCUUCUCCUCCUGUCGGGCCUCGAUCUCGCUUUCCUGACAGCCGAGCAGAACACUUGGUCCCCUAUCUCAAUGAGUUAUCUAAACUCGUGAGCAAGAAGGACCUGGAGGACUUUAAUGGCUGCACCCUGGGCGAGCUGGUAGGAGCCAUGCAGUAUAGUGCUUUCCAUCUCAGCUGCAUGACCACCUAUUAUAAGGCUAAGGUUGGCCGUUAUGACAGGAAGAUGAAGGAGGACAUUCAAUCAGCGAUGACCAGAGCUGACGCCGCCGAGAAGAAAGCAGGAGAGCUAAAUGUCGAGAACCUGAAGCUGAUAGAGCAAGAAUCUCUUGCUCAAGCAAAAGCCAUUACCCUCGAGGAGGAGCUGACCAAGGUCAAGGAGGAUCUUCAAAGGCAGAAGGCAAUGUAUGAGGCUCAGCUCGAAUCUCUCCGCGAUUCCCAUCGAGCUCAGGUCGAGAACUUGGAGAAGGAGGCCGACAACCAGUACGACCAGGGACUUCGGCAUUCCUAUCGUUGCAUCAUGGCCGUCCUCGGGAAGCAGCAUCCUGAUCUAAAGAUGGACGACCUUGCAGCUGGUGUCGCCCAACAUAUGGACGAGGAGGCUGCAAAGGAGGAUGCCGAAGGGGUAGACGCAAUCGUGAUUGAGGAGGAAAACUCUCCUCCUCAUGUAGACCCUGCUGACGUUGGCGAGGCGAGCACCCCCCCGGACGCAACUGGUGAUACCCCCCCUGCACCUGAGGAGGUCCAGCCAACCGAUGCUGCUCGGCAUACUGAUCCGCCAUCUUCUUGAACUUAUCUUGUGCUGUAAUUGCUUUUUGAAUAUUCUAUAUAACAGCUUUGUAAACUUUUAAGAGCUUAAUAAGAUUGUUCUUAUUUGCUUCCUCGCAUUGGUAUUUUAAUUUAUUUAUCUAUUUGGCUUCUGUCCUCGUCACAGAGGAGGCCUUGAAGUUUGACGAGCCUUUGCCUGUCUUGGAUAAUUUCUUCAAUGAUUGGGAUUCUGCUCGCCUUCGCGUGGUCGAGCAGAUCCUGGCACGCUUGGCUUUUGGUCUCGCCAUAAACAGGCUUUGAGACUCGACGAGCCUUUGCAUGCCUUAGUUUCUUCAAGGAUUGGGAUUCUGCUCGCCUUCGUGUGGUCGAGCAGAUCCUGGCACGCUUGGCUUCUGGUCUCGCCAUAAACAGGCUUUGAGACUUGACGAGCCUUUGCAUGCCUUAGUUUCUUCAAGGAUUGGGAUUCUGCUCGCCUUCGCGUGGUCGAACAGAUCCUGGCACGCUUGGCUUCUGGUCUCGCCAUAAACAGGCUUUGAGACUCGACGAGCCUUUGCAUGCCUUAGUUUCUUCAAGGAUUGGGAUUCUGCUCGCCUUCGCGUGGUCGAGCAGAUCCUGGCACGCUUGGCUUCUGGUCUCGCCAUAAACAGGCUUUGAGACUUGACGAGCCUUUGCAUGCCUUAGUUUCUUCAAGGAUUGGGAUUCUGCUCGCCUUCGCGUGGUCGAGCAGAUCCUGGCACGCUUGGCUUCUGGUCUCGCCAUAAACAGGCUUUGAGACUUGACGAGCGUUUACAUGCCUUCAAUUCUUCAAGGAUUGGGAUUCUGCUCGCCUUCGCAUGGUCGAGCAGAUCUUGGCACGCUUGGCUUCUGGUCUCGCCAUAAACAGGCUUUGAGACUUGACGAGCCUUUGCAUGCCUUCAAUUCUUCAAGGAUUGGGAUUCUGCUCACCUUCGCGUGGUCGAGCAGAUCCUGGCACGCUUGGCUUCUGGUCUCGCCAUAAACAGGCUUUGAGACUUGACGAGCCUUUGCAUGCCUUCAAUUCUUCAAGGAUUGGGAUUCUGCUCGCCUUCGCGUGGUCGAGCAGAUCCUGGCACGCUUGGCUUCUGGUCCCGCCAUAAACAAGCUUUGAGACUUGGUGAGCCUUUGCAUGCCUUUGAUAAUUUCUGGAAAGCUUAGGAUUCUGCUCACCUUCUCGUGGUCGAGCAGAUCCUGGCACGCUUGGCUUCUGGUCUCGCCAUAAACAGGCUUUGAGACUUGGUAAGCCUUUGCAUGCCUUUGAUAAUUUCUUGAACAGUGUAGUUGAUUCAAACUCCUCAUUGAUUCAUUUAUUAUUGAAUUCGGCUUACAUGAGGUUGCUUUGAAAUAAGAAAUAAAAAAAUAGAAAACAACAGACAUGAACAGAAAAAAAACUUUAAAACAUGAGUAAGUCUUACUAGAAAUAUUUCCUGAGGUGUGCCGCGCUCUAGGGGCGUUUCACCUCGUGGCCCUCCGUGCGAACCAACUUGUAAACUCUGGGUCCAACUAGCUGCCAUUCCUGGCUUCCACUCGGGUAUCAAAGGAUGUUAUCUGCAUUGCUUCCUUUGUUGCCGAGGAGUAACAGCUUCGUGCGAUUCUCUGGUCUCCUCGUACCACUCCAACUACCCCAUUCACCCGGUACUUGAGAGCCAGAUAAUGGUUGGACAGCACCGCUUUGCUCAUCCUCAGAAAUGGCCGGCCUAGGAUCAUCUGAUAAGGACCUUCCUCAUCCACUACCACAAAGUCCAGUAUCAUUGUCCUUUCUGUCGGGGAGCUCCCAAUCGUGAUAAGUAGCUCGACCACGCCCAGAGGGACCAACUUUCCUCCUCCAAACCCCUUCAAGGAGGUAUUGGUGUAAUCCAACUUCAGGUCUGCUAUUCCCAUUUCCUCCAGGGUUGACUUAAACAACACAUCAACUGAGCUCCCUGUGUCAACCAGUAUCCUGUCAAACUUCUUGCUGGCAACAGUGGCCUUGAUGACCAAAGCAUCCUCGUGGGGGUAUAGAAUCCCUUCUUCAUCCUCAUCUGUCCACAUGAUUGGCACUUGCCUGACUCUUGCACAUUUGGCUGCUGGGGUGUUGAAGAAUACAUCUUUGCUGGUCAUGGCGUAUCUAGCGUAAUUCUUCCUCGACCUGUUGGAAUCUCCGGCCAAUGUUGGGCCCCCAGCUAUCACCCUUAGUGCAGGAUGCUCGCGCCUCAGGUUUCUAUCACUCUGCUCCCCUUCAUAUGUCGAGGCCACCAUCGGGAAAGUCCCAUCUACAAACUCGUCCAGGUACCGAUUUCUCACCAAAUCUUCAACCUGGGUCUUGAGAUCUCUGCAUUCUGCGGUGGUAUGGCCAUGAGUGCCAUGGAACUUACAAUGGCGUCCCCUAUCCCUCCUGCCGGGUAGCUUUGUUAUUGGGGCAGGGAGGUACAGCAGUCCUCGGUCCUUUAUGGCCUCGUAUACUUCAUCUAGGGACAUCUUCAAGGACGUGUAUCGCCCAUACUCCUGGUUCUGGUCGAUCAGGUGCACGGCCCUUUCUCUAUUUGCUCCGUUCUGAGUUGGAGGCGAUGACAGCAUUUCUGGUCUGCUCCCUCUACUACCGUGGGAGUGUUGAUGAAGACCACCAUAUGUCGAAUCAUGCCUUCUCCAAGGCUCCCUAGCUGGGGAACGAGGAGGGUGCGCCCUGCUGCGCUGAUACUGUGGUGGCCUCUGAUGAGGCUGGUGAGCUGUUACCCGACCUCCUGCUCCACUACCUGAGGCCUGGAGGUCCCUCCUCCUGAUCGGCCAAUUUCCCAGUAAUGCCCUCUUUUCUUUCUUUUCCAACCCCUCCAGCUGGUCUGUCUUAAUCCGAGCUGCCUUUUCUUCCUCGAUCUCUAUGUCUCUUUUAGCUUGCUCGUAUGCGGCUGCAUACGUCUGAAUAGCUGGGCUUCUCAAGUUGUACCACAGCCUUCCUAUCUUCACUCCCUCUUUCAAUCCCCUUAGUGCCUGAGGAUGGUCGAAGGCUCCCAAAUCGAGGACAGCACGAUGAAACCUCUUGAUGAAUUCCCGAAGAGUUUCUUGUUCCCCUUGCUUCAUGCUUUUCAACUCCAUCAUGUCAUCUUCUAGUGCCAUUGCCCCACGAAACUGCUCUGCAAACUCCUGGCACAUCUGCUCGAAGGUUUUAAUGCUCCUCCCCCGAGGAAGUUUUCUGUACCACUCUCGUGCACGUCCCUCAAGGGAUAGUGGGAACACCCUGCCUGCACCUUUGGGAUUGAGAUAAUCCUUGUACCCCAAUUAUGUCGUUGAAGCGCUCUAUGUGCACCAGCGGAUCUGUUCGUCCCGAAUAUCUAAGGUCUGGGAGGCGGAAAUCUCUCGGAAUAACUGCCCUCAUGAUCUCUGCUGCGAGCGGUGAUUCUCCAUCUAGCAUUAUCCUCCAACCAGGAGCUCUGCUCCUUCCUUGCAUGUCGUCAAUUAUCUGCGCUAGUCUGCGCACUUCCUCCUCCAGCUGCACUGCACGACCAGGGUCACGUGCUGCAACUUGAUCCCGCUCUUGCUCUACAUCAAGCAAGUGUUGCCUCAACUCUGUUUCCUCUGCAUUUGCCACCCCGUCGUCCUCGUCAAAAAUCUGUCUUGCCGGGAAUUGCUCUUCCUCUCUACGGAAUUCUCCCCGCAGAGGUAUGUUACCUCUCUCACCACCAAAUCUCCCGGUGGUUUGACUUCUCCUCGUACUAUCGGGACCUAGUGCCACUCCACCAACUCUCAUCCUUUCCUCCUGGGUUACCCUUCGUUCACUCCGCAACUCAUGCAGGAUGGUUGUCAGGGUCUCCAUCUGCUUUUCCAUUCGUUCCAUUCGGUCGAACAUGGCUUUUUCCCGUGCUUCACUGGCUAUCUCCCUCAGAGUCACGGAAUCGUUAAGCCUCAUAUCACCCCCUUGUGCACUACUUCCUCCUGUCUCCAUUGCUUUUCACUUGCUUCACUCCUCUUCUUGCUAUCAACAGAAGCUUUUUGAUCAGCUCCCCACAGACGGCGCCAAAAUAUUGAUGCGAGAUUCUGGUUGUCCUCGUUCUACGACCAGGGUCUCUGCUCGAUCAACUUCACCACGACCAGGAUCUCUCCUCGUAAAGCUUCUUCUCCAGAGGUUCCUGCGCACACAGACAGGUCAGAGUACGCCGGUUGUUUUCCCGGCGCAAACCCUCCGACGCUCAAGUCAGAAAUAGGGGUUCUGGGAAUGUUUGCCACUAAUCUUAUGGCUUCUUUUUAAUCUCAGUUCUCGGAACUUUCUUUUCUUAGUUCUAAUAGCAAAAAGUCUAACCCUUUUACCUUCGCUGGCUACCUUUUUAUAGGCUUCCUUUGAAUCCCGGUCUUCCGUAGUCCACGCCCAUUAGUCUUCCCACCCUCGGAUGUGGAUGCCCCAUUGUCGUCAUUGUGGGCGAAUGGAGAUGGACUUCGUGCCUUGAUUCUCGGAUAGGAACGCACGUCUUGCCAACUGUCGUUGACCGGGUCUCCUCGCCUCGACCCCUAGCAGGAAUGGCCUUAUGCCUCUAACAGGAGUUCGUCCUCGUGAAUGGCAUAUUUGUGGACGAGCAGAAUAUUCCUGCUCCUGUUCCCUUGCUACCAGGCUCUUACAGGACAUACCUGUUCGCAGAACUCUGCCACCAAAUAUAUGCUCAUCAUGUCUGGUCUCGUCGAAGUAUUUCCCUCAAACAACACAUAGCAAACAUGACAUUAACUACUUGCAGCAGCAUCAUCCAGAAACUUCACUAUAAUCUUCUUGAGCUUUUCAGCGGCAUCUUUCGUAGAUGCCCUUUGUUUUGGUGACUCCAUGCAAAAAUCCAAUGCCGAAUGCAUGAUGCUUAAUAAACAAUUCAUUUUAUUAGUACAUUGGAUAUAAUCGAAGGCAGAGUAUAUUUCAGGACAAGUAGAGUAGCAUUCUUGGAUCCUUUGCUAUUAUCUUCUUUGCAAGGUGGGACUUGAGGUCCUGGUGGACAACAUACUGCAUAAUUCUAAAAAAAUUAUUGAGCUGAAAUGUUUUUAAAAGGUCUUUUGAUAGAAACUCCCCCUUCUAGCCUAUUGUGAGACACAUUAAGUUGUUUGAGAUAUAAGAGUGCCUCUAUUGACUUUGGAAUUUCUCCAGAGAAAUUGUUGCUUGGGAGAUCCAAAGAUUCCAACCUUAUCAAACUACCAAAUGAUUUGGGGAUUAGACCAUAAAAUUGGUUUCUAGCCAAGCUAGAUCUUUGGGGCCACCAAUAUUUACUGGCAUAUCACCUGAUAAUUGAUUUCUUGAUAAAUCUAACUCUAUUAAGACCCUUAAGUUUUGUAUAUCACUUGAUAAUUGUUUGUAUUGGGCCUUCUAUUUUCAUUAUAGAAUAAAUUAACUAUUAAUUUUCAUGAGAAAAAUACUUAUUUCCAUAAAAUUAUUCAAGCUUUUAAAAAGAUUUAGAAUUAAAAAUCAAACUUUGUACUGUAGAAAAUUUGCCGGUACGUUCAAUUAGUACUUUGUUUGAGGAAAUAAGAUUAGAAUAGGCUAUAGGUACGGUAGUUAUGCGGUACCUGUUUAAUAACCGUAGUAUAGUAAAUGUUUGACUUUUUUAUUAGAAAUAUAUCAUUAACAAUUUUGUUCGCUAAUUGAAUAGAGAAAGAAAGGGGGGGUGGGGGGGGGGGGAGGGCAAAAAGGUUAACACAUUUCGAAACUACAAACGAUUGCCUUUUCCUAUUAAUAAUGUUUGCGGAUUCUAACAAUUGAAUCUCAAGGUCAUUACAUAGUGAAUUUUAUAGUUAAUAAAAUUAAUAUUCCACAUACUAUCUACUCAAUUAAUGUCACAUUUUUUGAAACUUGAAUGAUCUAUUUGCUACAAUUAGGAGCCAACGUCGUAAUGAAUGUUAAAUUAUGCUGUUUGUUUUGAUUUACUUUUCUAUCUUAGCUCCAAGUGAUUAGCGGAAUGCUGGUCUUGUGAGUAUAAAAUGAACUCCUUAAGUCAAAUUCCUUCUGGGGUGUUGGAGAAAGAACUAAAUACAUGUAAUCUUGCUUUCGGAUAUGGAUUAUCUGAUGGAUGUUGUAUUUUCUAGGUAUUGAGGAGAUUCCUCAUUAUUGAAAAAUUACGUUCCCGAGCAUCAAAAGAUGAUCCCAUAGAAUUGCGUUCUCCUGUGACAAAAGAGGAGCUUGUAGCUGAGGUAUCGAUUUUUAUCUUUCUUGAUUGUUCUUUAUAGUUGUUUCUCAUCAAAAUAGAAAAAGCAGUUUGUUCUGAGUGACCUGUGCGGUCUACUAUCAAUCACUGCCAUUUCUAUCAUUUAGUACUAUUGACUGUGUGUAUAGAUAUUUUGUUUUUGCCAUGUAAUUUCAUGUUUGAUACAUUUCUAAUACAUUGCAUAGCGUUCAUGAACGAGAAUGAUAAACUAACUUUCAGGUGUGUUUAAGUAGAUGAAAAAACUUGGUACAAUUUAGAAGGAUUCACUAAUUUUCCAAUUUGUUUGUAUGGAGAAAUUGAAUAGUUAAUUGAUUAGAGGAUUGCAAAGUGGGUAGGUCCAGCUGGGCAUUGUCAAUAUUAACGAUCGAUGUUUUGAGAAGGUCUGGAGCUGACAUCACGGUUGCGUCUGUGGAGAAACAACUUCGUGUCGACGCGUGUCACGGUGUCAAGAUUGUCGCUGAUGCUCUCGUGUCUGACUGCCGCGACGCCGUUUUUGAUCUUAUAGCUCUUCCCGUAUGUAUUGCAGCUCACCUCAGCUCAUGCCAAUUUAUGUGAUGUUUGUAUAAUUAUAGAUGAUUAUUGCUGAUACUGAAUGUUAAGCUAAAUAAUUCGUUCUUAAGUCAUCUUCAUUUAAUUUUCGAUUGAAAAUGAAAAAAAUAAUAAUUGUAAGCAAAGAAAAAUAUCGAAAAUGUUUAUUUUGUUUUAAUUUUAUUUUUUAAUUUUUUGGGAUUUCCUUAUUGUGGCUGUUAUUAUUCAUUAUAUGGUCCUAGUUAAAUAUUUCAAGUUGUUGUAGUUAGUGAAUUUCUUUUCGAUAUUUAUUCUGGCAUGUAUAUUUUUUCUUUUCAAUUUCUUUUGUUGCUGAUUCUUUGAUUAUGUUAUAUCCUUUUUUGUUUCCCUUGUAGGGUGGCGUGCCUGGUGCUACCAAUCUGAAAGAAUCUGAAGUAUUAGAAAGCAUUGUGAAGAAGCAGGCUUCAGAUGGGCGUCUUAAUGCUGUUAUCUGUGCUUCACCUGCUGAGGCAUUAGGGUCUAGGGGUCUGUUGAAGGGAUUGAAGGUAAGAAUUAGAUAAACCUUUUUGAUGUUCUGUGGUCUUUUGGGAAUUGCACUGAUAUUUUUGUUAUAGUUCAGUUUUCUUCUCGCUGAUGAUUGUUAAGUUCUAAUUUAUGUAGUUGUUCAUUUUUCGUAGGCUACUUGUUAUCCGUCAUUUAUGGAGCAAUUAGCUCCUGCUUGUGCAACAACUGUUGAAUCAAGAGUACCACAGGAUGGUAAAGUUGUUACGAGUCGUGGACCCUGCACUACUAUGGAGUUUGCUGUUGCACUUGUUGAGCAGUUGUAUGGGAAAGAGAGAGCUGAUGAGGUUUCUGGGCCACUGGUAGUAACUUUUAUAGAUAAUGUUGUUUAAAAAAAUUGUGAGUUAUAUAAUUUGUUGAAAUUCAUUCUAAUAGGUUCAUCUGGUAUGUCAAAUUGGAAGGUUCAGAUGCUAAUGUAGUCCAAAAAAUUAGUUCAGGGGAAAAGUAUGACUUUUUGCAUUAGAGAUUUAUUAGAUGAAGUUGUAUACCUACUGGCCCAUCUUAAUAUGGUGAAAACGAUGUAAAAUCGGGAGAGGGGGUUCGGGGGAGAGGGGAAGCCCUCUCCAACCGCAAGGCCGUUAUUCUGACAUGAAUAGAGUAAGGCCUUUACUUUUAUAAAGAAAGGUCCCUGUUUUGCACGUCUCCACUGAUCACAUUCUUUUUAAUGUAAGUUCUUUCUCUUGGUAUUUGUCUUUGAUUUUUCUCUUCCUCAUGCUGUCGUCUGUCAAAAGAUUUGGCUGCAGCAUCUAGAAGUUUUGAAGAAGCAAAAUGGGUCACACGGCUUUGAAGUUCUAGAUGCCGUAAUGUUUGGUAAAAGUAAAAAAAAAUUCAAAGCUCAAAAAUUCAAAGUUCGAAAAACUGAAAUUUUUGAGCUGUAUGGCUUGUAAUUUUAUAGCCACUUUUUUGACUUUUAAGGAAAAGUUUUACCUAUAAAUACAAGCUCUCAAUUUAGAGCUUGCAUCCAAUUUUGUAAAGAGAGUCGAGAGCUGUGAAAAGCAAUUCUUGCAGAGCAGAGAGUUUGUAGAGCUUAAAUAAUAAAAGCUGUUGUUUUAAUGAUUUGAGAGUUUGGAUGUAUUGGGGUUUUGGGAAGUGAGCUAAAAUACUACAAUACUUGUAACUCCUUUUCACUAGUAAAAUAUUUUUCUUCUAUCUUCACCCAUGGACGUAGGUUAAAAGCCGAACCACGUAAUUUCCUGGUGUCCUCUUUGUGCUUCUUCUUGAUUUUUUUUUCCCAAUUUUACUUUAGUUGCGGCCCUGCUUCACCCGCCAAUUUCCUAACAGCGGUAUCAGAGCUAUUAGUUGUAUUAUUUGGAGUCGGGUACUAUUCACAUACGGUACUGUUCACAUAUACGGUACUAUUCAUGUAUACGUUACUAUUCACGUGAAACGGUGGGAGCAAUUCUAGUAUUGGCGAUGCAAAGCAGGGGAAUAGUGUGUGUGAGUGGAGUAAUUGUGUGGUUUUGGACAUGUGUAAGAAAGUUCUGUCACAAAGGCGAUAAGAGCCUAAGGAGUUAGGAUUUUAAGUGGGACUAUUGUGACCCCUCCAGUCUUUCCUGGGAACUUUCUUGGUGUGCUCUCACACAUACUCACAACUAUUCAAGCUGGUACACUAGUUUUGUACAAUAUUUAUCAACAAAAUGGUGGCAAAGUAUGAAAUUGAGAAGUUUAACGGAAAUAAUUUUUCGUUGUGGAAAAUGAAGAUGAAAGUUGUAUUGAAGAAAAAUAAUUGAUUGGCAGCAAUUAGAGAAAGGCCCAUGGAGAUAACUGAUGACAAGUGGAACAAGAUAUAUGGCAACGCCAUUUUUGAUCUACACUUGGCACUUACGGAUGAAGUAUUAUUCAGUGUGGCAGAGAAAACUACAGCGAAGGAAAUAUGGGAUACUCUCACAAAAUUGUACGAGACCAGGUCACUACACAACAAAAUCUUCUUAAAGAGGAAGCUCUAUACUCUUCGAAUGACGGAAUCUACAAUGGUGACCGACCACAUCAAUACCUUGAAGACUCUAUUUUCACAACUCACAACGUUAGGUCAUAAUAUAGAGGAAAAUGAACAUGCAGAGCUUCUACUUCAAAGUCUACCAGAUUCGUAUAAUCAACUCAUCAUCAACCUGACGAAUAAUAAUCCAGCGGACAGUUUGGUUUUCGACGAUGUUGCAGCCUCCGUAUUAAAUGAGGAGAGCAGGCGGAAAAAUAAGAAAAAUAGACAAGCAAGUUUGCAGCAAGCGGAGGCGUUAUCGGCGACGAGAGGGAGAUCAACGGAACGUGGCUGGCCCCAGUGGGAGUCACAAUCGUGGUAGAUCAAAAUCCAGAAGUAAGAAGAAUGUUAAAUGCUACAAUUGUGGUAAGAAAGGGCACGUCAAGAAAGAGUGUUAGAGUAACCAGAAGAGAAAAGAUGGCAAAAAACCUGAGUCAUCAAAUGCUCAGGGGUGUGUAGCAAGUACCUCGGAUGAUGACGAAAUUCUCUACAGCGAGGCAACAACUGUUUCAGAAGGUAGAAAAUGACUAUAUGAUGUCUGGCUUAUAGACUCAGGAGCUACCUGACACAUGACCUAUCGUAGAGAAUGGUUCCACACAUAUGAACAUAUCUCAGGAGAAUAUGCAUAUAUAGGUAAUGAUCAUGCCUUGGAGAUCGUUAGUAUUGGUACUAUCAAAAUAAAAAUAUUUGAUGGUACAAUUCGCACAAUUGAGGAGGUACAACAUAUCAGCGGCCUGAAGAAAAAUCUAUUGUCUUUGGGACAAAUGGAUAGUCAUAGGUACAAAACUCAUGUGGAGAAUGGAAUUAUGUAGAUCGUUAAAGGCGCGCUUGUAUUGAUGAAGGCAGAAAAGAUCAGUGCUAAUUUAUUCAUGCUUAAAGGAGAAACACUACAGGAGGCUGAUGUAUGUGUCGCGUCAAAUGGAGAAGAGUCAACGAUGAUGUGGCAUCUCAAACUUGGCCACAUGUCAGAACAAGGCUAGAAGAUUCUCUCUGAGUGAAAAUUGCUUCCAGGGUUCAAAUCGGUAAGUUUACCAUUUUGCGAGCAUUGUGUUAUAAGUAAGCAACAUAGAUUAAAGUUCAGUAGAUCUAUUACUAGAAGUAAAUGCAUUCUAGAAUUGAUUCAUUCUGAUGUUUAGGAAUCGCCGGAUAUGUCCAUGGGAGGUGCAAAGUACAUGGUGACUUUCAUUGAUGAUUAUUGCAGGAGAUGUUGGGUGUAUUCAAUUAAGAAAAAGUCAGAUGUAUUUCCAGUGUUUAAAGAAUACAAAGCGCGGGUGGAACUUGAAUUUGGUAAAAGGAUCGAGUGCUUGGGGACAAAUAAUGGUGGAGAGUAUACAGACGGCGAGUUUCUUGCUUUCUGUAAGCAAAAAGGUAUUUAGAGGUAGUUAAUGGUAGCAUACACUCCUCAACAAAACGGAGUGGCGAAGCGAAUGAACAUAACUCUUACAAAAAGAAUAAUAGCUAUGUUGAGGACUGCUGGUCUACCCAAUUCAUUCUGGGCAGAAGCAGCCAAAACUGCCUGUUAUAUCGUAAAUCGAUUGCCAUCUACAACAAUUGGGCUGAAGACAGCGAUGGAGAUAUGGACUGGAAAGCUAGCUGAUUACUCAUACCUACAUGCAUUUGGAUGUCCUGUGUACGUGAUGUACAAUGCCCAAGAAAGAAUAAAGCUUGAUCUAAAAUCUAGAAGAUGUAUCUUCUUGGGAUAUACUGAUGGAGUAAAGGGGUAUCGUCUGUAGGACCCCACUGCCCACAAGAUCGUCAUCAGCAGAGAUGUUAUUUUUUGUAGAAGAUCAACUACAAAGGAAAGAUAGAGAUGAUGACACUGUAAAAGAAAAGUCAGAGACUGUGCCAGUAUAUGUGGAAAAUAAUCCAGAAGAUUCAGAUUCUUCUGAAGCAACACCAGAGCAUGAAGAAUAAGAAUCAGUCGAGUUCGAGGCUCCAGAAGUUCGUCGGUUAACUCGUGAAAGACGACCGCCAACGUGACACUCGGAGUAUGUCACAGAGAUCAACGUUGCAUACUGUUUUCUAACAGAGGAUGGAGAGCCUUCAACUUUCCAUAAAUCUUUAAACAGCUCAGAUGUUACUUUAUGGAUGACAACAAUGCAGGAAGCAAUUGAGGCUCUACAUAAGAACAAGACAUUGGAGCUUGUACCACUACUACGUGGAAGAAAAGAUAUUGGAAACAAAUAGAUCUACAAGAUCAAAUGUGAUGGUAAUGACCAAGUGGAACGGUAUCAUGCAAGAUUGGUGGUGAAAUGAUAUGCUCAGAAAGAAGGUAUUGACUUCAACGGAAUAUUUUCUCUGGUGGUUUGACUCACAACAGUCAGAAUAGUCUUGGUAAUGUGUGCUACAUUUGACUUACAUCUUGAGCAGUUAGAUGUGAAAAUUGCAUUUCUUCAUGGAGAACUUGAAGAAGAAAUUUAUAUGCUCCAACCAGAAGGUUUUGCUGAAAAGGGAAAGGAGAACUUGGUUUGCAGGUUGAACAAAUCUUUAUACGGUCUCAAACAGGCACCGAUGUGUUGGUAUAAGAGAUUUGAUUCCUUCAUCAUAAGCCUCAGAUACAAUAGACUCAGCUCAGACCAAUGUGCAUAUUAUAAAAGGUUUGAAGAUAAUGAUUUCAUUAUUUUGAUAUUGUAUGUGGAUGACAUGUUGGUAGCAGGCCCCAACAAAGAUCGAGUCCAAGAAUUGAAGGUAUAAUUGAUUAGGGAGUUUGAAAUAAAGGACUUGGGACUAGAAAAUAAGAUUCUAGGGAUGCAAAUUCACCGAGACAGAAAUAACAGGAAGAUUUGGCUUUCUCAGAAGAACUACUUGAAGAAAAUUUUGCGACGCUUCAACAUGCAAGAUUGUAAGUCAAUUUCUACCCCACUUCCUGUUAAUUUCAAAUUAUCCUUAAGUAUGUGUCUGAGCAAUGAAGCAGAGAAGGAGGAGAUGUCUCGAGUACCGCAUGCAUCAGCAGUGGGAAGUUUGAUGUUCGCUAUGAUAUGUACUGGAUCGGACAUUGCACAAGCAGUGGGAGCAGUCAGUCGGUACAUGGCAAAUCCUAGUGGAGAGUAUUGGAUAACUGUGAAGAAGAUUCUGAGAUACAUCAGAGGAACCUCAGAUGUUGCAUUAUGUUAUGGAGGAUCAGAGUUUACUGUCAGGGGUUAUGUGGAUUCAGAUUUUGUAGGAGACUUUGAUAAAAGAAAAUCCACUAUUGGCUAUAUGUUUACACUUGCAGGAGAAGCUGUAAGCUGAGUUUUGAAACUGCAGACCGUUGUGGUUUUAUCUACAACAGAAGCAGAAUACAUGGCAGCUACACAAGCUUGGAAGGAAGCUAUCUGGAUACAAAGGUUAUUGGAGGAGUUCGGGCACAAACAAGAGAAAAUUUUUGUGUAUUGUGACAGUCAGAGUGCCUUGCAUAUUGUAAGAAAUCCAGCAUUUCAUUCAAGGACAAAGCAUGUAGGAGUUCAGUAUCACUUCGUUCAAGAAGUAGUGGAAGACGGAAGUGUGGAUUUACAGAAAAUCCAUACGAAGGAGAACCUAGCAGAUGUUUUGACCAAGCCGAUAAAUACUGAUAAGUUUGUCUGGAGUAGAUUCUCUUGUGGCCUAGCAGAAACGUAGGCAACAUGACAGUGGCGAAGCAGAAACGAUGGUGUGGAGAUUGAUUGAUCCUCAAUCAAAUCUCCAAGUGGGAGAAUGUCAAAAGAUUUGGCUGCAACAUCUAGAAGCUGCAUCUAGAAGUUUUGAAGAAGCAAAAUGGGUGGCACAUGACUUUGAAGUUCUAGAUGCUGUAAUGUUUAGUAAAAGAAAAAGAAAAAAAUUCAAAGCUAAAAAAUUCAAAGUUUGAAAAUCUAAAAUUUUUGACCUGUAUGGCUUGAAAUUUUAUAGCCACGUUUUUUACUUUUGAGGCAAAGUUUUGCCUAUAAAUACAAGCUCUCAAUUUAGAGCUUGCAUCCAAUUUUGUAAAGAAAGUCGAGAGCUGUUAGAAGCAAUUCUUGCAGAGCAGAGAGUUUGUAGAGCUUAAAUAAUAAAAGCUCUUGUUUUAGUGAUUUGAGAGUUUAGGUGUAUUAGGGUUUUGGGAAGUGAGCUAAAAUACUACAAUACUUGUAACUCUUUUUCACUAGUAAAAUAUUUUCCUUCUGUCUUCGCCCGUAGAAGUAGGCUAAAAGCCGAACCACGUAAUUUCCUGGUGUCCUCUUUGUGCUUGUUCUUUAUUUUUUUUCAAUUUUAUUUUAGCUGCGGCCCUGCUUCACCCACCAAUUUUCUAACAUCGUCUUCACUGUCACCCUGUGCCUAGGUAAUGCGUGCAAAUCAUGGGGUUGAAUACACUAUUGCUGAAUUCAAUCCAAUUCAGUGGACAUUUGACAAUUCUCCCCAGGUGAGAUUGGACUUCUAGUUUCUUGUAUUUGUUUUUCUUCAUCCGAUGUUUUCAGGGAUACCUAUUUGGCAGUAUAUAAAAAUCUGUGAUAUCGUCUAUACAUAUACAUAUACAUCAUUGGCUUCAGUCAUUUGUGAACAUAUUGGUGGUAGUAGAUGUAUUUUUAUGAUAUCUCUAAUAAAAUCCUAAGUUUGAUUAAUUACAAAAGAAGUAUGAGCGGUGCUGGACCGGGGGGGAGGGGGGAGGAGUGGGGUGUCGGUGUGUUGGGGGUGUGCAGUGCAUGAAUAAAAGGAAAUGAUAGGGGGUGAAAGUUUGUGCUACCGACAUGCUGUAAAAUGGGGACACAAUAUUUCAAAUUAGAGAUUGUGAGAUCCUUAAUAUUGCUGACUUGUGCUUAAAAUGGAAUUCUUGAUAACUUCAAAUGUUAAAGUUCUUGGUGAAAUUUUGUACUUUCUUUUCUUUCAGAUUCUUGUGCCUAUUGCAAAUGGUUCAGAGGAGAUGGAAGCUGUUAUGAUAAUUGAUAUUCUGCGACGAGCUAAAGCAAAUGUUGCAGUUGCAUCAGUUGAGGAUAAACUAGAAAUUCUGGCUUCGUCAAAUUAAAUUAGUGGUAGAUGUGCUCAUUGAUGAGGCGGCUAAACUUUCGUAUGAUUUAGUUGUCUUGCCAGUGAGUUGGGGUGCUUACUCUUGCUUCAUAGUCUUUACCACAUUAUUGACUUACUAACUACAAUUUAUCCAUGCACAUUGCACAGGGUGGACUUGGUGGCGCUCAAGCAUUUGCGAAGUCAGAUAAAUUGGUGAAUAUGCUAAAGAAGCAAAAGGAAUCAAAUAGACCUUACGAUGCUAUAUGUGCAUCCCCAGCUUUAGUGUUGGAGCCCCGUGGCUUACUCAAGGUACGACCAUUUCUGCUUAAAUUAUUUACUCAGAUUUGGAUCACCUAAUCUGAACUUGAUGAGAGAUUAUGAUGUUGUAUGAUUUUAUGAAUGUGGUCUUAUCUCAUGUAAGUCAGUGAUGAAUUAAUUGGAGUUUGUUGACAAAUUAGAAGCUGAAAAACUGCUGCUGCUUCGUUAGUUACAUUACCCAAAGAGUUAAAAUUAACAUCACAAAUUUGUUAUCCCAAAUGAUAUGGCAUUUAUUGAGUGAUUGGUAUUAAUUGUAUUAUCUAACCCACCAACAGAUGAAUGCCGCACCAUUUGAGACGAUCUUUUGGGAUAAAAAAUUUGGGAAGUGCAGCAAAUUUUUAUGCCGAUUUUUUUUGGCUUCAUUCAUGUAAACUCCUCCCCCCCCCCCCCCAAAAAAAAAGGAAAACCAGCAAACACCAAAAAAAAAAAAUUCUGAAGUACUUCCCUUAAUAUCAUUCCUGUGUAUUUCUUUUCCCCUCAAGACAUAUUUAACUUUGGUUCAGGGUAAAAAAGCUACAGCUUUUCCUGCCAUGUGCAACAAGCUGUCAGAUCAGAGUGAAAUCGAAAACAGAGUUGUGGUUGAUGGCAACCUCAUCACCAGUAGAGGGCCAGGAACUUCAAUGGAGUUUGCACUGGCAGUUGUGGAGAAGUUUUUUGGCCGCAACAAGGCACUUGAGCUUGCAAAGAUAAUGCUUUUCACUCGCGCCUAACGUUUGUACCGGGACCUGACUACUAUUAAACUAGUGUGUUUAUUUCUGUAUUACUACUGCUUGUAGAGAGGGGAAACGGAAACUUGAAUUCAUGUUUGAAUAUGGAUUCACUGUGUCGGUUUGUACAGCAGUUUGGUUUAUAAAUAAAUGAGUUCAUAGAGUCAUUUCAAAUAUUUGGAAUAAACCUGAGUUUAGUUCUGUUAUCAAUGGUCGGAGUCCAAUUGCGAUCGACUCACUGGGAAUUUUAAUUAUGACCACCUUUCUCAUAUAUAUAUAUAUAUAUAUCAAAUGUUAACUCGAUUUACAGGAUAAGAAGGAAAAGAAAGACGUUAAGAGAGGAGCAGAGACCCAAAAAGAGUUGACCACUUUGUUGGAGCAUAAAUCUCUAGAAUAUUGAAAUAAAACACAUACCAUAUCUAGUAUUAAGUAUGUAUAUGCAAGAAGAUACAAAUUUGAAGAUCAGAUUUCUCAUUUCAAUUUAUGUUCUGCUUAGAGCAAUGGCUCUCAUUCCACAAGCACAAACAGGAAAGAGUACGCAUGAAGUUAGGAAACAAACAUAGCAAAAUUUGCAUUAACUACUUGCAGCAACAUCAUCCAAGAACUUGACUUUAAUCUUCUUGAGCUUCGCUGCAGCAUCUGUCAUAUGCAUUCUCUUGUCAGGUGACUCCAUACAACAAUCCAAAGCCAAAUCCAUGAUGCUUAAUAAACAAUCCAUUUUGGCAGAAAAAGCUUGCUCUUCUCGCACCAAAUUUGUGUCAACAACUUCACUCAAUCUGUGAGGUAAUGACUCCUUUACCCAUCUCCUUAAACUCAUUUCUCCUGUGAACAUUUCAUCGGUGGGCCUCUUUCUCGUGAAAGUUUCCAUCAAUAACACACCAUAGCUGUAGACAUCGCAUUUGGCUGAAACAAUUCCUUCUGAUCCAUACUCUGCAUUUUUUAAUUUUAAUUAUGAAAAAAAUGAUAAAACAAAUAAUUUUUUGAUAAUUAAGGUAACCCAAACUUUGCUCGUGCUUGAAAAAAGAGUAAAAAUUUUAAUUACAAUUGAAACUUUACCUGGUGCCAUAUAACCAAUUGUAGCCAUUGUCGUGGUUUGUGUCACAGAAUCUUCUCCUUCACCUAAGAGUUUGGAAAUGUGCCACCAUAUUUUCAUCCAAGAGAAUGUUGGUAGGCUUCAAAUCACAGUGAAUUAUAGGUGCCGACGAAUGACCAUGACGGAGAUAUUCAAGAGCCGACCCCACAUCUAUCAUUAUAUUCAACCUCUCUAGAAUGUCUAAGAAAUAGUUGUGAGAAUACAACCACUUCUCUAGACUACCAUUCGGCAUGAACUCAAGUACCAAUGCUUUGAAAUCUGGAUUAGAACAACUGCUAAUGAUCUUUAUGAGAUUUCGAUGACGAACAUUCCGUAAAACUUCACAUUCAGAAUCAAAACUCCUAAAUGCUCUCUCUAGUUGCAGAUUGAAAAUCUUUAUCGCAACAUAAGUCCCGUUGGAAAUGGUUCCUUUAUAAACUGAUCCAAAGCUACCUGUACCCAGCAAGUUACAUUCAUUAAAUUCAUCAGUUGCUCGUUGAAUGUCUAGGUACGAUGUUCUUCUCCAUGUUGCAAGAGGUAGGAAAUCUUCGUGAUCUGAUUUUUUUGUACUCCUCUUUCGGCAUCUUAUGUACAUAAUGAUGAUAAUUACUAUAAGUACAGAGGAUACUAUCGGAGGCAAAAUAUAUUUAAGGACAAUUAGAGCAACGUUCUUGGUGCUUUUGCUGUCACCUUGUUUGCAAGGUGGGACUCGGAGUUUAGGUGGACCACAGAGUGCAUAAUUUUUGAAAAAUGAUUCAACUGACAAGUUUUUAAAAGAUCCCUUAACAGGAAUUUACCCUUCUAGCCUAUUAUGAGACACAUUAAAUUGUUUGAGAUGUGAAAGUGUCUCCAAUGACUUGGGAAUUUUUCCAGAGAGAUUGUUGCCGGAGAGAUCUAAGGAUUCUAAGCUUAUCAAACUGCCAACUGAUUCAGGAAUAGGUCCUUGAAAUUGAUUACUAGCCAAGGAUAGAAUUUCUAGAUCUACGAGGGCACCAAUAGUUGAUGGAAUAUCACCUGAUAAUUGAUUCCUUGAUAAAUCUAAAACUCUCAAGACCUUUAACUUUUGUAUAUUGGAAGGGAGAGAAUCAUUUAAUGAAUUUGACGACAAGUUUAUCAUCAGGAUGUACUCAAGGCUCCACAAGGAUGACGGUAUACUAGAACUGAGCUUGUUGGAGCCUAAGUGGAGUUCUCUUAGAGAUGUCAAACUCGCCAGGCACGGUGGUAUAUGUCCAGAGAGCUUAUUUCCACUUAAGUUUAAUAUAUUCAACCUCUCCAAAUGGCAAAGAUCAUGAGGAACGUAUCCUUGCAAAUUAUUCUCAGGGACAUAAAAACCUUGUAGCUGCUGUAGUGUGCCUAUGGAUGUUGGAAUAGUUCCAUUCAAGUCAUUGAAGCCGAGUCUUAAGGCGAUCAAGCCACGUAAAUUACCAAUUUCUUAUGGAAUGCUGCCCCCGAGCCUGCACUCGAAUGCAUAAAUAUUCUGAAGAGAAGCAGAGAAAUUUCCAAUUAAUUGUGGAAGGAUGCCACCUAAUGGAUUAGAAGCUAAGGCUAAAUUGGAUAGAUUUCUGCAAUUAGUCAAAGAAGAGAGAAAACUCCACUGAUCUGCUGAAGAGGAUUCUGUCGUCAAGUUAUUCAUCAUAACGUUGAGCACGCUGAGGUGUCUCAAGUUGCCAAAUGUAUUUGGAAUAUGGCCCGAGAAUGAGUUAAAGCCCAAGUCUAGGCCAAUGAGUUUAGUAGCAUUGGUAAUAGAGUUGGGAAUUUUCCCUAUAAGAUUAUUGGUCGACAAGGCUAGAUACUCUAUGUUCCGAAGCGAGUGGCCAAUCGUUGACGGUAAGCGGCCUGAGAGUUGAUUGCUCUCUAGAGUAAGGAUUCUCAUGGUUGAAAUAUUGAAGAUCGUGGGUGGAAUGAGGCCACUUAAUUUAUUAUCAGCAAGAUCAAGAUUCUUCAAAUUUUGUAGACUGCCAAUCUCGGUUGGAAUUUGACCUGCCAUCAGGCCAACAUUGAGAAGUCAUUGAGCUUUUAACUUAAGGUGAAUUGAGUUUGACAAUGUUACCCUUCAAAAUGUAAAAUGAUCAAAUUAAAUUUAUUACAUAAUAAUUUCAGCCAAUAAUGUUCUUUAAAAUAUUUCAUAGAUAACUCUGCAAAAUAUGCACGCAAAUGGAAAAUUAUGCUUUAAUUACAAGAGGUGGUGGAACGUACCUUGAAGAUUGCAAGACCAAAGACCCAGAUUCACGAGUUUUCUCAAAUUUCCAAUCCUUGAAGGAAUAGUUCCACCAAUAAUAUUGAACUCUGCACGCAGCAUCUCUAGCCUUGAUAAGUUGAAGAGAGAAUUAGGGAUGGGACCUGUGAAAUUGUUAUAAUCAAGUCUCAAUAUUCGAAGUUUAGAUAAGACACCAAUCCAUGAUGGAAAGCUUCCGCUCAAUUUAUUGUAAGCGAGACUCAUGACUCUGAGUCGACGUAAUUGCCCCAAUUCUUUCGGCAGAUGGCCAUGAAAAUUGUUCUCACUGAUGUCAAGAGACACUAGAAAUGAGAGAUUUCCGAAGUGUAGUGGAAUCGUGCCUCCGAGACCCAUAUCUGAAAGAUUCAAGGCAGUGACUCUUUGAUGGCGUGAACCACAAGAGAUACCAGCCCAGCUACAUAUUGGAUAAGAUAUAGACCAAUUAUUUGCCAGGGCACUCCGAUAAUCAAAAGCAUGGGCUUUGAAUGCUAGAAGAGAUGAUUGAUCUGUUGUUAAAUCGUUUAAAGUCGUCAUAGCUAAGCUGGCAAUGAGAUAUUGUAACACCAACAUAGGAACAAACAAGAAUAUAAACGCAUAUUGGUCGUUUUUAAUAGUAGUUGCAAGGCGAGAUUGAUACAAGUUUUAAGUGAAGGAAAUUAGCAUAUACUUAUAAUGAGACAUAUGAAUUUGAAAAUAAGAGCAGAAAAAAAAUACAGGAGACUUGCGAAUUGUUAUAUUCUCUCAUUGAGCGAGCCGUCCAAGAAAACGCAUUUAUACUUGAACCCUAAAUAAAGGCCUUAUGGCACUUUAAUUGCCAAAAGGAAGAAGAUGUUCUUUUUCUAAGGCUUAUGGCAACCAUAAUAUGUUCUUUUUCUUUUCUCUAAAAAGAAAAAAAAAAAAAAAAGGCAACCUUCACUUGACUUGGUCUAAUAAUUAUCACUAAACAAUUAAUAAUACUAAGGGUCAGUGGCAUCCAGCUUUAAAAUAACGACAUAAUUGGGGUAAGUUGUGUUUUAGAAAUAAAGAAAAUAGAUAACUAUACCUCCAUAAUUUGAUGAAAUAAUCAUAUAGACUUUCAAAUUUUUAAGAAUGGAUACUAAAACCCUGUUAUGUUACUUUCUACAGUUUAUUUAGAUGUCAAAUGCCUUUUUUUUUUUUCUCCUUUUUUCCACUGUGGAUGUCAAAUGUAAAAUUUAUUGUUAUUCCAAUAUCAUGUCAUCACUUGCUUCUAUACAUGGAACGAUAUAUUGACUGUUUUUCCAAAGUUUUAAAUUGAAUUAAAAACAUUCUAAUUAACCUUUAAAAAAAAGUCAUCCAACCAAAUAUAAAUCUUCUAAUUAACCUAAAAAUAGCUACGCCCCCUAUUAAUUUGAAUUAAAUAAAUCUUCAUUUUUGUCAUGAUUUUGGAUCGCCAAUGGGGUGGAUAUAUCCAACCAGAUCCGCCUCAUUGGCAUUCCUAUAUAUUCUGGAAUUGGAAGAGUAUCAACGACUUAAUGUGUAAUUCUAAAUUUGUAACGUUUAAUUCUAAUUUGAGGAUUCAAAUGAAUUUAUGAUGAUCUAAAAGGGGACUGAAGAUUGGCAUGCAUACACACAUACACACAUACAUAUAUGUAUAUAUAUAUAGAGAGAGAGAGAGAGGGGUAAUAUAAUAACAUUCUUCUUGAUGAAGAUUUUUGUGCCAUACGAAUUAAAUAAAGUGUUGUGUCGACGUUCGAGGCUAGAUUGGUUACAUUGCUUCAGAGGUGUUUAGUAGAAACUUUGUUGAGGCAUCACAUAAUUGAAAUUACUAGAUUUAGCGAGAUGUAUAUAUUUUCCACAUCUUCGAGCAGGUGUUUAGCAGGAUAAGCAUCGAGGAAAGUGAAAUUGCUAAGAAGAUGAAUAUUGUUGUUUUGUGGUGUAUACGGACUCGUCCAUCGGAUAGGUCGCCCAUGAACAGAGUGAUAGAAAUGUUAUUGCAAAGAAGCAGACUGACUAGCAGUGACGCUUUGAAAAGUCCACCGGACAUCUUCUCCUCCAAGACCACCAAUAUAUUCUUCCACCAUUCAACGUCGUGACGUGGGGAUCGGAAUUAAAUUAUAGGAUGCUUGUAAGUUUCCUUUGUGGAACUUGUGAAUUUGUGAUGGCAAAAGUCGAUGAUGUAUGCAACUAGCCGGCCCGUGUAGAGUCCGUUUGACUCAUAAAUAUUUGUCACUUUCACUCUUUUUCAAAACCCAAAAGCACGCUAAAUCUUAAUCUUAAAACAAUUUUUGAUUGAGUGCUGACAUUUUGGGCUUAUCUUUAAGUAAUCUUAUACCACGCAUGCAUUUUUGUCGUUGUGCGGUCAUCGUUACUUCUAAAGAUCGUAAUCUUUAAGAAAAAAAUUACUUCUCUUGAAAGUGAAAGCAGGGCAGCUAUUGGCGUAUUGCAAUGCAGCUGCUAUGUAUAGUAGUCAAUUCUUGAAAAGAACUAGUUUUCUUAAAUUGUAAAUGGUCCCCUUUAUGACUGGGAGAUUUUGAACAAAAUGAAUAUGAUGAAUUCUUUCCUUGAAGUCUCAUCUUUCAUAAUGAUUUGGAAAUAAAGAUAUUACCAUCUCUGGCUAAAUGUUUACUCUUGAUUUGGACCACCUAAUCUGAACUUGAUGAAAGAUUAUGAUCUUGCCUUAUUUUAUGGAUGUGGUCUUAUCUCACUAAGUCAGUAAUGAAUUAAUUAAAGUUUACUGUCAAAUUACGAACUCAAAAACUGCUGCUGCUUCAUUAUUCACAAUACCCAAAUUCAGUGCAGAACUUAUUAUAAGUUUUCCGAAAGUUUUAUGCUUUCUUUCCCCCAAAUCCCAAGUGCUUCCUGUAAUAUCAUUCCCCUGUAGAUGUCUUCUCCUAAGACAUGUUUAACUUUGGUUCAGGGUAACAAAGCUAUAGCUUUUCCUGCCAUGUGCAACAAGCUACUAAAUUGGAGUAUUUAUGAGUUGAUAACAAGCCAUUUUAAAUAUUUGCACCAAAAAAAAAAAAAAAGGUGAGUGAUGUCGAGUUCUAAUUUCAAUGUUCAGAGUAGAAUUUUGAUUACUGGAAAUUUUAAUUUAUGAAGUUGAACUAAGAAUUUGUUAUAAUAUAUUCCACCUUCCUAUACAGUCAUCUGGAAUAAUAAUAUAUCAAAAACAGUAAUAAGUCGAUUUGCAGGGUAAGAAAGAAAAGAAAGACGCUACGAGAGAAGCAGAGAUUCAAAGACUUCACCACUUUGUUGGAGGAAAAAUUUCAUAAGUCUCCAGAAUAUUGACAUAAAACACAUACCAUAUCUAGCAUUAAGUGUAUUUAUAUAUGUCCAAAGAUAAAAAUCGAAGAUUAGAUUUGUCAUUUCAAUUUAUGUUCUGCUCAAAGCAAUGGCUUUUAUUCCACAAGCACAAACAAGAAAGAGUACGCACAAAGUUAACAAGCACACAUAGCAAACAUGACAUCAACUACUUGCAGCAGCAUCAUCCAGAAACGUCACUAUAAUCUUCGUAGAUGCCCCCUGUUCUGGUGAUUCCAUGCAAAAAUCCAAUGCCGAAUGCAUGCUGCUUAAUAAACAACUCAUUUUAGCAGAAAAAGCUUGCUCUUCUCUCACCAAGUUUGCAUCGACAACAUCACUCAAUGCAUGAGUUAAUGACUCCCUUACCCAGUCUCUUAAACUUAUUUCUCCCGUAAAUAUUUCAUUUGUCGGCUUGUUUCUGGUGAAAGUUUCCAUCAAUAAAACACCAUAACUGUAGACAUCACCUUUGGCCGAAAUCAUUCCUUCUAAUCCGUACUCUGCAUUUUUUUGUUUCAAUUGAUCAAAUAGAUGUGACAUCAUAAAACAAAUGAUAAACAAAUAAUCUUUUGACAGUCAAGAUGGCCCAAACUUUGACUGUGCUUAGAAAAGAGCGGAAAUUUGAAAUUAUAAUUGAAACCUUACCUGGUGCCAUAUAACCAGUUGUAGCUACUGUCAUGAUUUGGGUCACAGAAUUUUCUUCAUCACCUAAGAGUUGGGAAAUGCCAAACUCACAUGUGCCACCAUAUUUUCAUCCAAGAGAAUGUUGCUAGGCUUCAAAUCACAAUGAAUUACAGGUGCUGAUGAAUGAUCGUGAUGGAGAUAUUCAAGUGCCAGCUGCACAUCUAUCAUUGUAUUCAUCCUCUCUAGGAUAUCUAGGAAAUAGUUGUGAGAACACAACCAUUUCUCAAGACUACAAUUGAGCAUGAACUCAAGCACCAGUACUUUAGAAUCUGGAUCGCAACAGCUGCUAGUGAUCUUUAUGAGAUCUUGAUGACGAACAUUCCACAGUACUUCACAUUCAGAAUCAAACCUCCUAAAAGCUCCCUCUAGCUGCAGAUUGAAAACCUUUAUUACAAUGAUAGUCACAUCAUAAAGUGUGCCUUUAUAAACAUAUCCGAAGCUAUCCGUACCUAGCAGGAUACAUUCAUCAAGGGUGCGUUUGGGAUUGGGGUUGGGCAGCUGUAGCUUAAAAGCUACAGCACUAAAGUGUUUGGUAAACACUAACUGCUGUAGCUUUAAAGCUAUGUUGAUAUGAUUUUUCACUUGUAUAAUAUAAAAUUUAUUAUAUCUUUAAUAAUCUUAUCAAAAUUAGUAUUUAAAAUUUAUAUUUACUAUAUAUUAUUAACUUUUGUUUCAUAAUUACAGCUUUUUUUUCACAACAGCUGUAGCUUAAAAGCUACAGCACCUCAAUCCCAAACACACCCUAAAUCCAUCAGUUGCUCGUUGAAUAUCAUGAUAGGAUAUUCUUCUCCAUGUUGUCGAAGAGAACAAAUCUUCUUUAUCUGGAGUUCUUGUUUUCCUAUUUUGAAAUAUUAUGAAGAAUCAUAACAAUUGUUAUUAGUACAUUGGAUAUAAUUGAAGGCAAAGUAUAUUUCCGGACAAGCAGAGUAGCAUUCUUGGAUCCUUUGCUAUUAUCUUCUUUGCAAGGUGGGACUUGAAGUCUUGGUGGACCGCAUAGUGCAUAAUUCUCAAAAAAACGAUUGAGCUGAAAUGUUUUUAAAAGGUCCUUUGAUAGGAAUUCCCCCUUCUAGCUUGUUGUGAAAAUUUUAAUAUACUCGCAAGCACACGAAUUUAGAAAUAUAAUAAUGGUAACGAGGGCGAUCCCACGUGGAUUGUUAUAAAUUGAAAAGUUUAAUUUAAAUCUAAAAUUAAUAUUAAUCAUAACCUAGUUGAGCGAAUUGAGUUUUAAAAGAAAUUAAACUAAUUAAACUAAGAAAACAAUUAAAGUAAAUGAGAUUUCAAUAAGAUAAAAAUUACCAAGGUUUCAGAAUCCACCACUAUUCAACUAGUAAUUAUCUAAUUAUUAAUUAAUCCCUAAUUUUAGAGUGACAACUCGAAAUCAAUUUAUGUCAUCUCAUGGAUACAACAAUUAAGUCAAAUAAAAUUAAUCUUGUGUAGGUUCUUUUUCUGCUUAAUAGUAUGAUAUCUAAGUAUUCCAUGUAAACAUAUUGAGUAACAAAGAGUCAAAGUUUUCCUAAGUACUCUGUGUAAAUAAUUUAAUAAAAGACAUAGAAUCAAAGAUAAUCAUAUAUAAACUUUAUAGAUUCAAGCAUAGAUUUAAUCGAAUAUUAAUCGUAACAAUCAAUAAUACAUGACAGAAUUAAUGAAAAGAUUUUAAUAACAUCUAAUUAAUCAUGUAAAAUAAAAACCAUAAUCAUCAAAGAAUAUCUAUAGGGAAUUAAAUAAAUAAAAAGAUAAUUAUUUCAUUGAAUAGAGUUUCAUCCUUAAGCUCAGUAUAAGAAAAUUAACUAGACGUACUUAAAUAGGGAGCAACAAAAAAAAUAAAAUCAGCCAUGAAAAGCCGAACUGUUGCAGUCGGAUUUCUCCCUAAUCGCGUCUGCGCUUUUCUUUUCUUUUCCUCUGGCGGCUGCCCCUCCUCUCCAAAAGCCAAAAGCUUGCUUUUAUAUUUAGUCUUUAAAAUGGGCCCCACCUCUUAAAUUCUAAAAAGGGCUUGGCCCUUUUAUUUGCUUCGUCUUGCACGUGCACUCCACUUGGAAUUUUCACUCUUUUUUUUAACGCCAUACAAUUGCUUCUCACGUGAUGGCCAUAAUCUUCUUUAUCUUCAUGUGCAUGGAUGAAUGAACUUGUCUUGAAUUCACAUGCAUAUUUGCCUAAUUGCUCCUAAAAUCAAUCAAUUAAUACCUCCAAAAUUUAGCUCUUUUAUGUCCUUUUUUAUCCAUAAUCUCCAAUUAAUCCCCUACUCAAUAAAAUAAUUCAAUUAAUUAAAAAUAACAAAUAAAAAUAACUAGCAAUUAUAUAAUUAAGGGUAAAAUAUGUAUGUAUUAUAUACUCAUCAUAGCUUAUUGUGAGACACAUUACGUUGUUUAAGAUAUGAGAGUGCCUCCAUUGACUUUGGAAUUUCUCUAGAGAGAUUGUUGCUAGGGAGAUCCAAAGAUUCCAACCUUAUCAAACUACCAAAUGAUUCAGGGAUCAGACCAUAAAAUUGGUUUCUAGCCAAGGAUAAAGUUGCUAGAUCUUUGAGGCCACCAAUACUUACUGGUAUAUCAACUGAUAAUUGAUUUCUUGAUAAAUCAACUCUAUUAAGACCUUUAAGUUUUGUAUAUCUGAAGAUAGAGGACCACUUAGAGAAUUUGUUGACAAGUUUGCAUACAAGAUGUACUCAAGACUCCACAAGGAUGAUGGGAUACUAGAAGUGAGCGUGUUGGAGCUUAAAAAGAGUGUUCUUAGAGAAGUCAAACUACCCAAGCAUUGCAGUAUAUGCCCGAAGAGCAUAUUUUGAUUUAAAAAUAAACCAGUCAACCACUCCAAGCGGCAAAGAGUUAAAAGAUAAAAUGCUCUGUAGAUUUUGUUUGUUUACUUAGAAAACAGGAGAGAAAGUUUAUUGACUUAGAGAAAAUACAAAGCUCAACAUAUUCAUUAAUUACAAUACAACACUAUUUAUAUUAGUGUGUAAAAUCUUCUCAAGGUUACAAGUUUACAAAACUUGUGAGCACAGAUUCUGGUAUUCAUAACAAACUUUUGGAGGGAAGCUAAUUAGCUUUCAACUAACUGCAAAACUAACUUUCCAGCAUGGCUUGAUGACUCAGCAGAUGACUCAGCAUUUUAUUCUUAACAUGCCCCCGUAAGCUCAAGGUCGUGGACAGACAUUGAGCUUAGUUCGCAUAUAGGCAAAAUGAUCAAAGCUCAGAGGUUUUGUAAGCACAUCAGCUAACUGAUUAGAACUGGACACAUGCUCAAUGAAUAGCUGCUUAUUAGCUAUGUGUUCUCUGACAAAAUGUCAAUCCAAUUCUAUAUAUUUAGUUCUGGAAUGAUACUUAGGAUUGCUGACCAAAGCUUCUGCACUGUUGUUAUCACAAUGAAGAGCAAGAGGUUUGUGGAGUGAUACUUUGAGCUCUUUCAACAGAUAUGUAAUCCACAAAACUUCAGACAUAGCCAAGGCUAAAGCUCUAUACUCAGAUUCAACAGAUGAUCUGGAAAUAAUGUUUUGUUUCUUAGAUGACCAAGACACAAGGUUUGAUCCAAGAUAAACACAAUACCCUCCAAUAGAUCUCCAGUCAUCUGGAUCAGACCCCCAAUCUGCAUCAGAAGAUGCUAUGAGAAUUGGAGAGCUUGACUUGAAGAACUAAAGUCCAAAAUGUGUUGUACUCUGCAGAUAUCGUAACACCCUCUUGCAAGCCUGCCAAUGCAAAGUAGUUAGAGCAGCUAAAAACUGGCUCAAUUUAUUUACUGUGAAUGCAACAUCUGGUCUGGUCAGUGUCAGAUAUUGCAGAGAACCAAUGAUGCUUCUGUAAAGUGAAGAAUUUUCAAAUGUGCAGCCUUUGUCCUUCUGCAACUUAUCAGCAACACUGAUGGGUGUAUUACAACCUUUUUUUUUUUUUUGAGAAGGGUGUAUUACAACCUUUACUUCCAAGCAUUUGAGCUUUUCUCAAGAUAUCACCAACAUACUUAGUCUGAGAUAGAUGUAAUCCUUCAGCAGAUGGAGUCACUUCUACCCCAAGGAAAUAAUUGAAAUCUCCUAAAUCUUUAAGUGCAAACUCUGAGCUGAGUUGACUGAUAACCUCUGUAAUGUAAACAUUACUAGAGACUGUUAUUAAGAUAUCAUCUACAUAGACAAGGAUGAUUAGAACAUCACAUCCAAUAUGCUUAAAAAAUAAUGAGGUUUCUGACUUGGAAGACCUGAAACCCCACUGAACUAGAGAUCCUUUCAGCCUAUCAUACCAAGCCCUGGGAGCCUGUUUAAGACCAUAAAAGGCUUUAUGUAAUUUGCAGACAUGAUUGGGAAACUGGGAAUUGGUAAAGCCUUCUGGCUGAGGCAUAAACACAUCUUCAGUAAGCAUGCAAUUAAGAAAGGCAUUGUUAACAUCUGAUUGCCGAAUUGGCCAACAAUUCAUGACUGCUAAGCUGAGAACAAUACGAACAGUGCAGGGUUUAACAACGGGACUAAAGGUUUCAAAGAAAUCUACUCCAUAAGUUUGAUGAAACCCUUUUGCAACCAACCAAGCCUUAUACUUGGAAAUGCUGCCAUUUGGGUUAUACUUCACUCGAAAAACCCACUUAUUGCCAACAAGUUUUGUAGCUGUUUCAGCUGGAACUAAUGUCCAGGUGCCAUUUUUCUGCAAAGCAUUAUACUCAUCUUGCAUAGCCAUCUUCCACUUUGUAUCAACCAAGGCUGCUUUAACACUCACUGGUUCAAGGUCUUGGGUAGCUGUAAGGUAGGUCUUUGGUUUAAAAACACCAGAUUUGGCUCGAGUAACCAUUGGAUGAGUGGAAAUUAUAGGAUGAGGAGAUGGUUGUGAUUCAACAUAAGGAUUGGAUAAAGAAUUAUGUGAUGAAGAAUGUGGUCAUGAUGAGUUAGAGGAAUCUGAUAUUGGAGAGGGACAAUGAGAAUAUGGAGCUUGUUGAGGUUGUUGAGGUGAAUGUGAAGAUGGUGAUAUUGGUAACACUACUGAAGCAGGAGAUAUAGCAGAUGACUGAUGCAAGCCAUUGUCAUUGAGGAUACAAAUAGAUGGAGAGUAGGAUGAUAGAGACUCAGAGGAAGAUUCAGAUGAGAAGAACAACUCUGAGUAGGGAAAAUCAGACUCAUUGAAAAUAAUAUGAGCUGCAACAUAGACUUUGCCUGAUUUUGUUAGACAUCUAUACCCUUUGUGAAGAGGACUGUAUCCUAAGAACAACCUUUUUUUUUUAAUGAAAGUCAAGCUUGUGGUUAUUGUAAAGUCUGAUAAAAGGGUAACAAGCACAGCCAAAAACUCUGAGAAGUUGGUAAUUUGGUGGCUGAUUAUGAAGUUUUUGAUAGGGAGAUAAGUUGUUAAAUGUAGUGGUAGGCAUUCUAUUAAUGAGAUAAGAGGCUGUAUGAAAAGCCUCCCACCAGAAAGAAAUAUGCAUUUUUGCUUGAGCAAGAAGUGUUAAUCCAAUUUCAACUAAGUGUCUAUGCUUUCUCUCAACAACACCAUUUUGGUGAUGUGUAUAGGGACAACUAAAUCUAGCUUGGAUGCCUUCUUAUUGAAGAAAGGACUGAAAGAUUUUAAAUUCACCUAAGCUCUUAAAGUUUUUUAAAGUAGUAAGAGCAUAUGAUUUCAAUACUAAGGGAAAGAUCCAACAAUAUCGGGUGAAAUCAUCAACAAAGGAGAUAUAGUAUCUAUAACCAUCCAAUGAUAAGACAAGUGCUGGUCCCCAUAAAUUUGUGUGUAUCAAUUCUAAAGGACAUUUUGUUUUGAUUUCAGUAGCUGGAAAAUGCAAUUGGUGUAACUUUCCAAGUUGACAGGCAUCACAGAAAUGAAAAAUUGAUUUGUUAACAUGAACUGACAGUAAACAAUUGUUCCUGAGAAUAGUUUGUAUAACAUGUUUGCUUGGAUGACCAAGUCUGUUAUGCAAUACAUUAGCUGACAUAGAACCUGAAGCUUGAAAGCUUAUAGGAGAUGUAGACUCAAAACAAAAGCCAUUAUUUGAAUUUUGAACAGAAGUAACUGCAUUAUUGAAAGAAAGGGUUGACAUCAUAGAACUAGGAUGACACAUUUGCAGAAAAGAAGAGGAAUGAGAGAUAUAUUCCUCUUUUGACAGUAGCUUGUACAGACCAUCUUUAGCAAUCCCUUGAGCUAACAGAGUGCCCUUCGCCUUGUAUUUUAGAAAGCAAAUGUAACACCCCAAAAAUUACCCAUGAAAACACAAGGGUAAAAUUGGAAUGAAACCUCACAUCAUUUAUUCUUAUUAAUAAAUCUCAAGAUAAACAAUCAUUAUUCAUACUCCAACUGAAUCCUUACAUAAAACAUAUGAAAUAAAGUCUCCAAAGUAAAGUCUCUAAUCCAAAAUAAAAAGUCUAGCCAAAUUUAAUCUUUAAAGCAACUCCAAAGAUCCACUAAGAAAAAUUCUCCAUCUAAGCACCCAAGCCACAUUUCUAAUCAAUCUGCAAAAUAUUAGAGACGAGGGGUGAGCCGUCAACUCGGUAAGCAGAUCCAUGCACAAUAUUUGAAAACCUUUGUCAUGUAUCGUUAAACAUUUUAUAACAACAUCUUCAUUUAGCAUAAGGGGUGGAUUCAUAUAAAAACAUUAAAACAUUUAUAAAAACAUUAAAGCGUAAACAUUGGUAGCUCAUGCCUCAUAGUCAUCAUCAUUCAUCAUUCAUCAUUCAUCAUUCAUCAUUUAGGGUGUUAUACCCUGCAUUGUUCCUCAUUCAGGGUACUAUACCCCACAUUGUUCGUAACAUCCUUGUGCACAAGAUCAUCAUCAUACCAGCAAGCUGGCCAUAACAUUUCAUAACAUCAUAACAUUAACAUCAUAUACAUUACUACGGACUAUGAGCCAAAACAUUUUUGAAUCCACCAUACAUUCUUUCAUAAAUAGCAGUUAAAGUCUUCUAAAACAUUUAAGAACCUUUCUUUGAUCAUUUAAUUCUUUUAGAAAAUUCUUUAAGAAAACAUUUUGUUUAAGAAAACUAAUUUCUUAAGAAAAAUUAAUUUUAAAAUAAUUUUAUAUAAAUUCAUUUAAAAGUGUUUUUAUUUUACAAAAUUAAUUUAAAUAUUUUAGAAAUCAGUUUUGUAAAAAUUUCCAUUUAAACAUAAUUUGUAACGUAAAUUGCAUUUAUUAUAAAGCACAUCAUGCAUGAAUCUACUUACCUCGAUCCGUAGCAAUCAAUUCAAUACCUCAAGAACAACCAACGAGCUCACCCUCGUCCUAUAAUCAUCAUAAAAAUAUUCUUAUCAAUAUCAUCUCUAACCUUAAACAUAAUCCCAAUCAUCCUUAAAUCAUAGACACUAAUACUACCUUAAUACUUAUACAUAUUCUAAACAUAUCCUAUACUUAUGAGUAUCCUGCACAUGCUGAUUUUUAAUAACCUAUACACAUGUCGGAAAACCAUGAAAAUUUACAGAGGCACUGUGAACAUGCAUAGCAUUGCAUACAAUAUUUCACAAAAAAAUCAGCACAAGUCAAAAUCGAGUCAGAAUAUUGACCUUUCACCAAAGUUAGAGCUGGCAAAAUGGGUCAUCGGGUCGUGUUCGUGUCGUGUCAGCUUCGUGUCGUGUCAAAUUUAGGUCGACCCAAACCCGACCCAUUUAAUAAUCGUGUCAAAAUAUUGAGAUCCAAACCCGACACGGAAAAAUAACCGGGUUACCCAAUAACCCGUUUAAUAUCUAUAUAUUGAACAAAAGUUACAUCAAAUAUUUACACACUAUCAUACAUACGUAUGUACAUAAAUACAUACAUACAUACAUACAUACAUAAUUUAUCGAUAUUAUAAAAUAUACAUAUCUACCAAUAUAUUACACAUGUACACUAUUGAGUUUUAAUUAUAUAUAUAUAUAAUAUUAUAUAUCAAUAUUAUAAAAUAUACAUGUCUAUCAAUUUUUACACAUUUACACUAUUGAAGCUCUAAAUGUAUGUAAAAUUUUAUAAAUAAAAUAUUGUGUUUAUAUUCACCCUUUUAAAGAAUAAAAAAAAAAAGAAAAUCAUCUCUAAUAUUUGAGUUUUAAUUAUAAGAAUAUGUAAAUUAUUUUAAAAUAGAAAAUAUAAUCGGGUCAUUGAUCGGGUAAAUGGGUCAAGAAUUUUAACCCAAACCCGACACAGAAAAAAAUCGUGUUGACCCAGACCCGACCCAUUUAAUAAUCGUGUUAAAUUUGACGACCCAUACCCAUUUAUUUAUGUCGUGUUCGUGUCGGGUAAUCGGGUCGUGUCAAAUUUUGCCAGCUCUAACCAAAGUAACAAAAACUGUCCAGCACUGACCAAAACAGACCUUUUCCAAUUAGAAAAUUCAUAAAAUAUUCUUUGGUACUCGAAAUAAUAUGUUUCUUUUUUCUAAUUACAGAAGACACAUUCAAAAAGCAUAUAAUUAAAAUUCAUAAUUUUUGGACUCCUGAAACUAUUUUAAAACGUUUUAUUUCCGAGAACAUCUAACCCGUCCAGACAAUUCCAGAUUUGAAAACAGAAUUUCAAAAAUUCGUAUCUUUUAUUUUACAUGCCCAAAAAUCGUGAUUCCAGUUUUUAAAGACAGAGGAAAGAUUCAAAUUUCAUUAUAAAAUCCUAACAUGGCCUGUAAUAUUCAUAAACUAGCCCAACUGUUACACGUUUCAGCUUCUGAAAUUCUGGAAAACAGUUUCCAGAUUUGCAGCAGCCAUAUGUUACGAUUUUUAGUAAUUCAACCAUAAAGAAUAAAACUACGAAAUUAAACAUGCAAGCAUAGGAGACAUAGAUCUGUUGGCAAAAAAAUCGGCAUAAUUUUAAAGGAUGUGUAACCUUAUAGAAAAAUUUCCAGAGUUGAGAACCGCUGCUGAAAAUCGGAAUUUUCCAGCACCAGUAACCCAACUUCGAAAACCCAGAACAAUUUGCAUACUCAGACGAUUUCAACACAAAGCCUAUCAAUGGAAAGCCUGGGAUGUCUAGUUCCAUGAUAUGUAAGAUAUUCAAGUGAUUCUAAAUAAAGAAAACGAUUUCAAGCAAGGAAUAGAGAGUGUUCAUAUCAUCACAACAUUACAAACACACAUAUAUUACCCAAAUCAUACUACAAGUAAUUAAAGGCCAACAAUUCCAUAAAAAUAAAUCAUAUAAGUCGAAGAAAUACUUAAUACCUUAAGGCAAACACUAAGAAAGAAGUGAUAAAACUUUCUUUUCCUUCUCCAAAGACUUAUAUUUCCUUCUUUUCUUUCUAGGGUUUGUAACGGUGUAAAAAAAUAAAAGACGGCUUCUUAAAAAAGAUGGUUUUCUCUUAAAUACUAGGUAAUUAAUAAAUAUUUAAAAAGAAAAAAAACUAAUAACUUACGUAACUUAUUUAAAACAAUCCGAUAAAUUUUACUCACACACAAACACUCAAUAAUAACUAUCCUACUCAAUUUAAUAAGGGCAAAAGAGGAAAAUUAAAUAAAUAAAAUUGGGCGUUACAGCAAACAUCAAAGAAAAAUUCAAUGGUUAUAUCAUUAUCAGUGAGGAGUUUGGAAAUACUAAUGAGGUUUUUGGUAAUUUGAGGAACACAUAAAAUAUUAUGUAGUUGUAAACAGGUGCCAAAAGAAGUGUAAAGUUGAGUAUAACCUAUGUGAGUGAUUCGAAGGCCUUGGCCAUUACCAACAGUUAGUAAAUUUGAGCCAAAAUAGAUCUUACCAUCACUCAGAUUCUGAACUGUGUUGGUUAAGUGAUGAGUUGCACUACUGUUCAGAAACCAUCCUUGGUCAGCAACUCCCUCAGAUGUUGUUAUGAAGGCUGCUCUUGGUCCCUAAUGCUGAUUAGAGAAGUGAUUUGGAGCUGGAGCUGGAAAAUUUGGAACAAAAUUCCUGUUGAACCUGUCUCUGCACUCACCUGCUGUGUGAUUAAACCUGAAGCAUAUUUGGCAAGCAACACCAGUUCCCUGAGCAAAAUUCUUUCCAGCGCCUCCUGAAUUGAAACCACCUCUGCCAUAAUUGUUAUUGAAGCCACCAGGACCAGGAAAUCCAUUGUUAAAUCCACCAGCAAAACCUCUGAAGUUGUUAUUAUUCCAGUUUCCUGUUCCUGGAUUGAUUCCUUGAUAACCACCUCUUCCAUUACCACCAAAACCACCUCUUCCACCAGAAUUAUUGUUCCAAUUAUUUCCUCCAGCCUUGUUCUAGUUGUUUUGAUUAUUAUUAUUACCUUUCUUUGAAAAAUUUCCAGCCUGAGCUAUAUUUGCUGCAUAAUUGUUCUUGGUUUCCUUACUAUCAUGAAGCUUAUUGUUCUCAAGUCUAGCCUCAUGUGUGAGAAACAUAGCAUAAGCCUCACUAAGAUCCAUAUUCAACAUAUUUGCCUCAAUAUAGACAACUACAAGAUAAUAUGACUGAUCUAGGCCAGAGAUAAGAUGAGUAAUUAGAUCCAAAUCAUUCACAGGACUACCAACUAGAGCAAGACCAUCUGUGACUGUUUUAAGCUUUGUAAAAUACUCAGACAUGGUUAAAGAUCCUUUUCGCAGGUUACUUAGAAGCAUUUUCAGAUGAACCUUCUUAGCCAUAGAUUCAGAUCCAAAUUGUUUUUCAAGGUUUUUCCACAACUCAAAAGAGGUCUUAGAGCUUACCACAAGACUAAGAAUAUCAACAUUCAUGGAUGACAUAAUCCAACUGAGCAGGAGCUGAUCUUGACGUUUCCAAGCUGCAUACUCUGGAUUCUCUUGACCUUCGAUGCUGGAAGAAGAAGAACCUUCAGAUCUAGCCUCUGGUGGAAGAAAUUGACCAGGACAGAUCCUGGAUCCAUCAAUAUAGCCUUCAAGACCAUUGCCACGAAUUGAAGAAAGUACUUGCUGUUUCCAGAUCAUAUAGUUCGAGCGAUCAAGCUUGAUUGGAUUUGUGACGGUGAAAGAAGUUAUGGGAGUGUUGCUGGAUUGUUGAUUAGAACCGAUUAAGGCCAUUUGAUUCAAGCUUUGAUACCAAGUUAAAAGAUAAAAUGCUCUGUAGAUUUUGUUUGUUUACUUAGAAAAACAGAGAGAAAGUUUAUUGACUUAGAGAAAAUACAAAGCUCAACAUAUUCAUUAAUUACAAUACAACACUAUUUAUAUUAGUGUGUAGAAUCUUCUCAAGGUUACAAGUUUACAAAACUCAUGAGCACAGAUUCUGGUAUUCAUAACAAACUUUUGGAGGGAAGCAAAUUAGCUUUCAGCUAACUACAAAACUAACUUUCCAGCGUUGCUUGAUAACUCAGUAGAUGACUCAACAUUUUAUUCUUAACACUCAGCAGAUGACUCAACAUUUUAUUCUUAACACAAAGAUCACAGGGAAUGCAUCCUUGCAAAUUAUUGGCAUCGAGAUAUGAAACUUGUAGUGUCUUUAACGUUCCCAUUGAUGCUGGAAUAGUUCCGUCCAAGUCGUUAUUGGAGAGGCUUAAAGGUAUCAAGCCACGAAAGUUACCAAUCUCUUAAGGAGUGCUGCCCCUAAUUUUGCAAUCAUGUGCAAAAAUUUUCUGAAGCGACUCACAGAAAUUCCCAAUUAAUGGUGGAAGGAUGCCACGUAAAGGAUUAUAACCUAAGCCUAAAAAUGCUAGCAUCCUUCAAGAAGUCAAAGAAGGGAGAAAACUCCACCCACCAGUAGAUGAUUCGUCGUCAGGUAAUAUACGCCAAGGAAUCUCAGGUUGCCAAAAGUGCUUGGGAUAAGGCCGGAGAAAGAGUUGUAGCUCAAGUCUAGGACUCUGAGUUUAGAAGCGUUGGUGAUGGAGUUGGGAAUUGUGCCGCUAAGUUUGUUCUUUGCCAAGCUUAACCAGUCCAUGUUUGGAAGCGAGUGGCCAAUCGUUGGUGGUAAAUGGCCUGUGAAGUGGUUUUCAGCUAGAGUAAUUCUUGUUAUGUUGAAAUAUUGAAGAUCGCGGGUGGAAUAAAACCAGUUAAGUUAUUGGAAUUAAGAGCUAAAUACUCCAGAUUUUUUAGAUUGCCCAUCUCAGUUGGAAUUUCACCUGCCAGAAUAAAUGCCCACAUUAUAUAUUAACGGUUAUUGAGCUGAAAGUACAAGCAGAGUAAUAUAUAUGUUCAAAUGCAUUAAAGUCGCAAGUUUCGUUUGACACCAAGCAUAUGGAUUAUGGUCUCUCUAGUUAAGCGAUUUUGUUAAUUAGUUGAAAAAAAAAUAUGAUGGAGAAUGUUUGAAUUGGGCCUUCUAUUUUCAUUAUAGAAUAAAUUAACUAUUAAUUUUCAUGAGAAAAAUACUUAUUUCCAUAAAAUUAUUCAAGCUUUUAAAAAGAUUCAGAAUUAAAAAUCAAACUUUGUACUGUAGAAAAUUUGCCGGUACGUUCAAUUAGUACUUCGUUUGAGGAAAUAAGAUUAGAAUAGGCUAAAGGUACGGUAGUUAUGCGGUACCUGUUUCAUAACCGUAGAAUAGUAAAUGUUUGACUUUUUUAUUAGAAAUAUAUCAUUAACAAUUUUGUUCGCUAAUUGAAUAGAGAAAGAAGGGGGGGGGGGGGGGGGGGGGGAGAGGGCAAAAAGGUUAACACAUUUCGAAACUACAAACGAUUGCCUUUUCCUAUUAAUAAUGUUUGCGGAUUCUAACAAUUGAAUCUCAAGGUCAUGAUAUAGUGAAUUUUAUAGUGAAUAAAAUUAAUAUUCCACAUACUAUCUAUUUAAUUAAUGUCACAUCAAUUGAGACUUAAGAUAGGGCUCAAUUGUUGGGAUACCUGAUAUUACUCUCUUUCUAAAUAUAAAAUUAAUGUUAAUAGUAAAAGCAUUUGGAAACUGGGUCGAAUCCCCCAUUAGGGAUCAAAUUGGGAUUGCGGUGGCUGAUGAAGCUACUUUAUGUUGUAUGGAUUAAAUAAGACGCCGAUUGAAAAAAUAACUUAGUGUUUUGAAAAUUGCGUUGUUAUGGUUACUGUAAGUUUGUAAAGUAGAAUACAUGCUUUUAGUAAAUUUGAUUACGAAAAUGUUGUUUUAUUAUAUAAUGACAAAAAAUAGACAUAAGUUUAAAUUGCCUUUUAUUUAUAUAUUAGGGUUUGCAGAAAAAUAAGACUUAAUUAUCUUUUAGUUAAAGUUUUAAGGUUAUAAUAAGAACUUUAAAAGUAAUGGCAGCUUAUUUAAUAAGCUGCUUAUAAAAUGGAACUUCAUAUCAGGAAGUCUGAGGAUAAUACGAGUAGAGAAUUUGAGAAGGCAGCUAGGCGCCUAGAGAAUGCUCGACUGGUUUGUGGCCUAUCUUUUAAUUUCUUCAGAUUCGGGACAAAUUGUCUUGGAGUGAACUGAUGUGUUGCCUUUUCUUUUUUUAAGCUUGAAUGAUCUAUUUGCUGCAGUAAGCAGUGAACGUCCUAAUGAAUGUUAAAUUAUGCUGUUUGUUUCGAUUUACUUUUCUAUCUUAGCUCCGUGUGAUUAGUGGAAUGCUGGUCCUGCGAGUAUAAAAAUGAACUCCUUAAGUCAAAUUCCUUCUUGGGGUGUUGGAGAAAGAACUAAAUACAUGUAACAUUUCUUUCGGAUAUGGAUCAUCUGAUGGAUGUUGUAUUUUCUAGGUAUUGAGGAGAUUCCCUAAUAUUGAAAAAUUACGUUCCCGAGCAUCAAAAGAUGAUCCCCUAGAAUUGCGUUCACCUGUGACAAAAGAGGAGCUUGUAGCUGAGGUAUGGAUUUUUAUCUUUCUUGGUUGUUCUUUAUAGUCGUUUCUCAUUAUAAUAGCAAAAGCAGUUUGUUCUGAGUGACCUGUGUAGUCUACUAUCAAUCUCUGCCGAUUCUAUCAUUAGUACUAUUGACUAUGUGUGCUUAGAUAUUUUGUUUUUACCAUGUAAUUUCAUAUUUGAUACAUUUCUAAUUGUGCAUUGCAUAGCGUCCAUGAACGGGAAUGAUAAAAUAAAUUUCAAGCGUGUUUAAGUAGAUGAAAAAACUUGGUACGAUUUAGAAGGAUUUACUGAUUAAAUAAUUUUCCAAUUUGUUUGCCUGGAGGAAUUGAAUAGUUAAUUGAUUAAAGGAUUGCAAGGUGGUUAGGUCCAGCCGAGCAUUGUAAAUUUUAACGAUCAUUAUGAAUGUGUAGUUCCUAUAUGUGAAAUUGAAUUUCCAUGGUGGCAUGAUAAAAUGAAUUUCUGCUAGGGUGUGAUCGUAUGGUAGUCAAUUGUGAGAAACAGAUCCACAUGGUAAUAUAGAUUGAAAUUUUGCGUCUUAAUCCACGAAGAUAUAGAUUUUGGCAAUAUUAUACAAGCACUGGGGGUUACCUUAAAUAUUCUGGACUUGCCAUUGAUAGAGUUUCUUUUACCUAGUUAUUGAUAUUGCUUUCAAUUUUCUAUUUUACUGAUACCAUAUAUACAAAUUUAGGUGGCAAGACACCUCUGUCUGCUUUCGGGGAAUACGAGGUUCCUAUGCGCUUACCCAAAGGUCCAGUGGACUCUCAAUGUCAAAGCCCGCGGCAAAUAAACAAUCGUUUCAUUUGUUUUGUUUUACUCGGUUCGGGAUCCAAAUUCCAUUGUAGAACAGUUUUUGGUUUUUCUUCAUAUAACAUUCUGAAGAUAAUACAGGCAACAUUGUUUGCAACGCUACAGCUAAUUUGCAGUAGCAUGAAACAAUCAGAAUUUUGCCUUUUUUGUGUAUAAAAUUUUAUUUUUUUAAUUGUGAUAUUACAGUUUUGCCCAUCGAGCAUUAUGAGGCCUAAUAUUUGGAUAAAUGUUAGGUUUAAUAUAUAUAUUUUAACUUCAGUGUUUAUUUAUUUUUUAGUUAAUUGUUUAGUCAAUAAAAAGAGGUAAUUAAAAAUGUAAUUAAUAAAUUACUUAUUAGCAAAUUAAAAAAUAAAUAUUAGCAUAAAAUAAUUGAUAUUUUAUUCUCUUACAACAAUCUUACUAAUUAUUAUUUAUAAAUUACUUAAUACAAGUUAAUUUAAAGUAAUGUUUAAUAUUCUUGUAACAACCUUCCUAAUAAUUUUUUUGUAAAAAAUUAAUCCUAAAAGUAAAAUAAUAAUAAUUAAUUUGUAUUUUACUUGGUAAAUUUAAAUUUUUUUAACUAAUAUCUCCAAGAAUAUGGUUGUAAGGAUAUUAUUACAAAAGUAAAACAAAUAUAAGAUUGUAAUAUAUUUAUUAGUAAGAAUAACUUAAGAUAUUUUUUAAGAUAUAAAAAUUAAACAAAUUCCUUCUUUGAAAAAUCGCAUUUUCUCCUUCACAACAACAGCUACAAUGUUGUAAUUUUAUCUUUUGUUUAGUUUCUUUCUGUUGCCUUUUUGUUUCGUUUUUUGAAUUUUCUGUGUCGUUUUUCCUGUUGAGGCCUAUUGCCUGUUGCGAACGGGAGUGAGCCGAUUGAGGCCGUGAUAACGAUCGAUGUUUUGAGAAGGUCUGGAGCUGACGUCACGGUUGCGUCCGUGGAGAAACAGCUUCGUGUCGACGCGUCAUGGUGUCAAGAUUGUCGCUGAUGCUCUCGUGUCUGACUGCCGCGACGCCGUUUUUGAUCUUAUAGCUCUUCCCGUAUGUAUUGCAGCUCACCUCAGCUCAUGCCAAUUUAUGUGAUGUUUGUAUAAUUAUAGAUGAUUAUUGCUGAUACUGAAUGUUAAGCUAAAUAAUUCGUCGUUAAGUCAUCUUCAUUUAAUUUUCGAUUGAAAAUGAUAAAAUAGUAAUUUUGAGCAAAGAAAAAUGUAGAAAAUGUUUAUUUUGUUUUAUUUUAAUUUUUAAUUUUUUGAGAUUUCCUUAUUGUGGCUGUUAUCAUUCAUUAUAUGGUCAUAGUUAAAUAUUUCAAGUUGUUGUAGUCAGUGAAAUUCUUUUCCAUAUUUAUUCUGGCAUGUGUAUUUUUCCUUUCAAUUUCUUUUGUUGCUGAUUCUUUGAUUGAUUAUGUUAUAUCCUUUUUUGUUUCCUUUGUAGGGUGGCAUGCCCGGUGCUACCAAUCUGAAAGAAUCUGAAGUAUUAGAAACCAUUGUGAAGAAGCAGGCUUCAGCUGGGCGUCUUUAUGCUGCUGUCUGUGCUUCACCUGCUGUGGCAUUAGGGUCUUGGGGUCUGUUGAAGGGAUUGAAGGUAAGAAUUAGAUAAGCCUUUUUUAUGUUUUGUGUUCUUUUGGGAAUUGCAUUGAUAUUUGUGUUAUACAUCAGUUUUGCUCUCACCGAUGAUUGUUAAGUUCUAAUUUAUGGGGUUAUUCAUUUUUUGUAGGCUACUUGUUAUCCGUCAUUUAUGGAGCAAUUAGCUCCUGCUUGUGCAGCAACUGUUGAAUCAAGAGUACAGCAGGAUGGUAAAGUUGUUACGAGUCGUGGACCUGGCACUGCUAUGAUUUAAUUGUCUUGCCAGUGAGUUGGGGUGCUUACUCUUGCUUCAUAGUCUUUACCACAUUAUUGACUUACUAACUACAAUUUAUCCAUGCACAUUGCACACGGUGGACUUGGUGGCAACAAGGCACUUGAGCUUGCAAAGAUAAUGCUUUUUACUCACGCCUAAUGUUUGUACAGGGACCUGACUACUAUUAAACUAGUGUGUUUAUUUUUGUAUUGCUACAGCUUGUAGAGAGGGGAAAUGGAAACUUGAAUUCAUGUUUGAAUAUGGAUUCACUGCGUGGGUUUGUACAGCAGUUUGGUUUAUAAAUAAAUGAGUUCAUAGAGUCACUUCCAUUAUUUGGAAUAAACCUGAGUUUAGUUCUGUUAUCAAUGGUCGGAGUCCAAUUGUGAUCGACUCACUGGGAAUUUUAAUUAUGAACUAAAAAAUUGUUAUGUUAUAUUCCACCUUUCUCAUAAAAUGUUAACUCGAUUUACAGGAUAAGAAGGAAAAGAAAGACGCUAAGGGAGGAGCAGAGACCCAAAAAGAGUUGACCACUUUGUUGGAACAUAAAUCUCUAGAAUAUUGAAAUAAAACACAUACCAUAUCUAGUAUUAAGUAUGUAUAUGCAAGAAGAUACAAAUUUGAAGAUCAGAUUUUCUCAUUUCAAUUUAUGUUCUGCUUAGAGAAAUGGCUCUUAUUCGACAAGCACAAACAGGAAAGAGUACGCACGGAGUUAAGAAACACACAUGGCAAAAUUUCCAUUAACUACUUGUAGCAACAUUAUCCAAGAACUUGACUUUAAUCUUCUUGAGCUUCGCUGCAGCAUCUGUCAUAUGCAUUCUGUUGUCAGGUGACUCCAUACAACAAUCCAAUGCCAAAUCCAUGAUGCUUAAUAAACAAUCCAUUUUGGCAGAAAAAGCUUGCUCUUCUCGCACCAAAUUUGCGUCAACAACUUCACUCAAUCGGUGAGGUAAUGAUUCCAUUACCCAUCUCCUUAAACUCAUUUCUCCAGUGAACAUUUCAUCGGUGGGCCUCUUUCUCGUGAAAGUUUCCAUCAAUAACACACCAUAGCUGUAGACAUCACAUUUAGCUGAAACAAUUCCUUCUGAUCCAUACUCUGCAUUUUUUAAUUUUAAUUACGAAACAAAUGAUAAAACAAAUAAGUGAUAAUUAAGGUAACCCAAACUUUGCUCGUGCUUGAAAAAAGAGGAAAAUUUUUAAUUACAAUUGAAACUUUACCUGGUGCCAUAUAACCAAUUGUAGCCAUUGUCAUGGUUUGGGUCGCAGAAUCUUCUCCUUCACCUAAGAGUUUGGAAAUGCCGAAGUCGCUCACAUGUGCCACCAUAUUUUCAUCCAAGAGAAUGUUGGUAGGCUUUAAAUCACAAUGAAUUAUAGGUGCCGACGAAUGACCAUGAUGGAGAUAUUCAAGAGCCGACCCCACAUCUAUCAUUAUAUUCAACCUCUCUAGAAUGUCUAAGAAAUAGUUGUGAGAAUACAACCACUUCUCGAGACUACCAUUCGGCAUGAACUCAAGUACCAAUGCUUUGAAAUCUGGAUUAGAACAACUGCUAAGGAUCUUUAUGAGAUUUCGAUGACGAACAUUCCGUAAAACUUCACAUUCAGAAUCAAAACUCCUAAAUGCUCUCUCUAGUUGCAGAUUGAAAAUCUUUAUUGCAACAUUAGUCCCGUCGGAAAUGGUUCCUUUAUAAACUGAUCCAAAACUACCUGUACCAAGCAAGUUACAUUCAUUAAAUUCAUCAGUUGCUCGUUGAAUGUCUAGGUACGAUGUUCUUCUCCAUGUUGCAAGAGGUAGGAAAUCUUCGUGAUCUGAUUUUUUUGUACUCCUCUUUCGGCAUCUUAUGUACAUAAUGAUGAUAAUUACUAUAAGUACAGAGGAUACUAUCGGAGGCAAAAUAUAUUUAAGGACAAUUAGAGCAACGUUCUUGGUGCUUUUGCUGUCACCUUGUUUGCAAGGUGGGACUCGGAGUUUAGGUGGACCACAGAGUGCAUAAUUUCCGAAAAAUGAUUCAGCUGACAAGUUUUUAAAAGACCCCUUAACAGGAAUUUCCCCUUCCAGCCUAUUAUGAGAAACAUUAAAUUGUUUGAGAUGUGAAAGUGUCUCCAAUGACUUGGGAAUUUUUCCAGAGAAAUUGUUGCCGGAGAGAUCUAAGGAUUCUAAGCUUAUCAAACUGCCAACUGAUUCAGGGAUAGGUCCUUGAAAUUGAUUACCAGCCAAGGAUAGAGUUUCUAGAUCUACGAGGGCACCAAUGGUUGAUGGAAUAUCACCUGAUAAUUGAUUCCUUGAUAAAUCUAAAGCUCUCAAGACCUUUAACUUUUGUACAUUGGAAGGGAGAGGACCAUUUAAUGAAUUUGACGACAAGUUUAUCUCUAAGAUGUACUCAACGCUCCACAAGGAUGACGGUAUACUAGAAGUGAGCUUGUUGGAGCCUAAAUGAAGUUCUCUUAGAGAUGUCAGACUGGCCAAGCAUGGUGGUAUAUGCCCAGAGAGCUUAUUUCCAUUUAAUCUUAUUUCGUACAUCUGCCCCAAGUGGCAAAGCUCAUAGGGAAUGGAUCCUUCCAAAUUAUUCUCAUCAAGAGAUAAACCUUGUAGCUGCUGUAAUGUUCCUACAGAUGUUGGAAUAGUUCCAUUCAAGUCAUUGAACUCGAGGGUUAAGAGGAUCAAGCCACGUAAAUUACCAAUUUCUUUAGGAAUGCUGCCCCCGAGUUUGCACUUGUCUGCAUUGAAUUUUUGAAGAGAAGCAGAGAAAUUUCCAAUUAUUGGUGGAAGGACGCCACCUAAUGGAUUAGAAGCUAAGUAUAAAACUGUUAAAUUUCUGCAAUUAGUCAAAGAAGAGAGAAAACUCCACCGAUCUGCUGAAGAUGAUUCUGUCGUCAAGUUAUUAAAUGCUACGCCGAGCACGCCGAGGUGUCUCAAGUUGCCAAAUGUAUUUGGAAUAUGGCCUGAGAAUGAGUUUAAGCUCAAGUCUAGGCCAGUGAGCUUAGAUGCAUUGGUAAUGGAGCUGGGAAUUGUUCCGAUAAGAUUAUUGCUCGACAAGGUUAAAUACUCUAUGUUCCGAAGCGAGUGGCCAAUCGUUGAUGGUAGGUGGCCUGAGAGUUGAUUGCCAAGCAGAUUAAGGAUUCUGAUGGUUGAAAUAUUGAAGAUCGUGGGUGGAAUGAAGCCACUUAAAUUAUUCUCACCAAGAAUAAGAUACUCCAAAUUUGGUAGAUUGCCAAUCUCGGUUGGAAUUUGACCUGCCAUAAGGCCAACAUUGAGAAGUUAUUGAGCUUUUAACUUAAGGUGAAUUGAGUUUGACAAUGUUACCCUUCAAAAUGUAAAAAGAUCAAAUUAAAUUUAUUACAUAAUAAUUUCAGCCAAUAAUCUUCUUUAAAAUAUUUCAUAGAUAAUUCUGCAAAAUAUGCAUGCAAUUGGAAAAAUAUGCUUCAAUUACAAGAGGUGGCGGAAAGUACCUUGAAGAUUGUUGAAACCAAGAUGCAGAUUCACGAGUUUACUCAAAUUCCCAAUCCUUGAAGGAAUAUUUCCACCAAUAAAAUUGAACGGUGCACGCAGGUCCUCUAGCCUUGAUAAGUUGAAGAGAGAAUUAGGGAUGGGACCUGUGAAACUGUUAUUAUCAAGGCUCAAUAUUCGGAGUUUAGAUAAGACACCAAUCCAUGAUGGAAAGCUUCCGCUCAAUUUAUUGUAAGCCAAACUCACGACUCUGAGUCGACGUAAUUGCCCCAAUUCUUUCGGCAGAUGGCCAUGAAAAUUGUUCUCACUAAUGUCAAGAGACACUAGAAAUGAGAGAUUUCCCAAGUGUAGUGGAAUGGUGCCUCCGAGACCCAUAUCUGAAAGAUUCAAGGCAGUGACUCUUUGAUGGCGUGAACCACAAGAGAUACCAACCCAGCUACAUAUUGGAUAAGAUAUAGACCAAUUAUUUGCCAGGGCACUCCGAUAAUCAAAAACAUGGGCUUUGAAUGCUAGAAGAGCUGAUUGAUCUGUUGUUAAAUCGUUUAAAGUCGUCACCGCUAAGCUAGCAAUGAGAUACUGUAACACUAACACCGACAUAGUAACAAAGAAGAAUGAUAAGCGCAUAUUGGUCGUUUUUAAUAGUAGUUGCAAGGCGAGAUUGAUACAAGUUUUAAGUGACGGAAAUUAGCAUAUACAUAUACAUGAGACACAUGAAUUUGAAAAUAAGAGCAGAAAAAAUAUACAGGAGACUUGCAAAUUGUUAUAUUCUGUCAUUGAGCGAGCCGUCCAAGUAAACGCAUUUAUACUUAACUUGGUCUAAUAAUUAAAAAAAAGGCGACCUUCACUUGACUUGGUCUGAUAAUUAUCACUAAACAAUUAAUAAUGCUAAGGGUUAGUGGUAUCCAAUUUUAAAAUAACGACAUAAUUGUCGUUAAAUGUGUCUUAAAAUAAAAAGACAACUAUACCCCAUAAUUUGAUGAAAUAAUUAUGUAAACUUCUAAAUUUUUUACAAUGCAUACCAAGACCUGUUUUGUUACUUUUUACAGUUUAUUUGGAUGUCAAAUGGUUUUUUUUUUUUUCACUGUGGAUGUCAAAUGUAAAAUUUACUGUUAUUCCAAUAUCAUGUCAUCACUUGCUUCUAUACAUGGAACGAUACAUUAACUGUUUUUCCAAAGUUUUAAAUUGAAUUAAAAACAUUCUAAUUAACCUUAAAAAAAAAUCAUCCAACCAGAAAUAAAUCUUCUAAUUAACCUAAAGAUAGCUACACCUCCAUAUUAAUUCCAGUUAAAUAAAUCUUCAUUUUUGUCAUGGUUUUGGAACUCGAGCAGGGUGGAUAUAUCUAACCAGAUUUUCCUUAUUGGCAUUCUAAUAUAUUCUGGAAUUGGAAGGGUAUCAACGAAUUAAUGUGUAAUUUAAAUUUGUAACGUUUAAUUCUAAUUUGAGUAUUCGAAUGAAUUUAUGUCGAUUUAAAAAUGGACUGAAGAUUGGCAAUAUAACAUUCUUCUUGAUGAAGAUUUUUGUCCUAAUAAGAUCUCCAAUUUUAUACAUCAAUUAUUGUUGGUUUGUGGUGUAUUCAGACUUGUCCAUCGGUUACGCCGUCCAUGAAUAGAGUGAUAGAAAUGUUAUUGCAAAGAAACAGACUAGCAGUGUCGUUUUGAAAAUUCCACCGAAGUCUUUUGCAUCUUCUCCCCCAGGACAGCCAAUAGAGUAUAAAUUUUUGUCACUUUCACUCUUUUGAACAGCACGGGAAAGCUUAUCAAUUUUUGUCACUUUCACUUUCACUCUUUUCAAUCUUUAUAGAAUUCUGGAUGGACGAUCACUCUUUUCAAUCUUUAAUGAAUUUUGGAUUCAGUGUUGAUAUUUUAGGCUUUGAUGGGCUAUAGAUUUUUUUUUUUUUUAAAGAAUUUUGAAUUCAAUGUUGAUAUCUUGAGCUUAUCCUUAACUAAUUUUUUACCACUCGUGCAUUUAUGUCGUUGUGCGGUUAUAGAUUCAGUUAUUUUUAAAGUAGAAAAAUUACUUCUCUUAAAAGUGAAAGCAGGGAAGGUACUGCAAUGCAGCCGCUAUUUGUAGUAGUUAAUUCUUGGAUGAAAUUUGGGUCUUCCUAUAAUACAUGCAAGGAAUAAAAAAAUUAAAAAAGCAUUGCCCGAAAGAGUAUUGUGCCGGUGUUGGAGGCUAGAAGGACAAGUCGUUACAUUGCUCCAGAAGUGUUUGAUAGAAAUUUUGGUGAGGCUUCACAUAAUUUAAAUUACUGGAAUUAGCGAUACACACACACUCAAGCAUUUCGAGCAGGAUAAUGAAUUUAAAUUACUCGGAAUUGUAAGCAGCGAUGAAAGAGAAAUUGCAAAGAAGAUGAUUAUUUUUGGCUUGUGGCGUAUAUAGAAUUGUCUAUCGGAAAUAGAGGGAUAGAAAUGUUAUUGCACAGAAGCAGACUAGCAGUGACGCCUUGAAUAAGUCCACCAAAGCCUCUUGCAUCUUCUCCUCCAACACCGCCAAUAGAGUCCGUUUGACUCAUAAACUUUUGUCGCUUUCAUUCUUUUCAAAAGCACGUGAAAGCUAGCUUAUAGGAUUUUGGAUGGACAAUCACUCUUUUCAAAAGCAUGUUAAAGCUAGUCUUCAAUGAAUUUUAGGGCUUAUUUUCAAGUAAUCUUUUAGCAUGCAUGCAUUUAUGCAAUCAUAUGAUUAUAUAUUCAAUUACUUUUAAAGUAGAAAAAAUUACUUCUCUUAAAAGUAAGAGCGGGGCAGGUAUUGCAAUUUGUAGCAGUUAAUUCUUGGAUGAAAUUUGCUAAAGUAUAGUCUUGUAAAAGAAUUAGUUUUCUUAAAUUGUAAAUCUCGUUUAUGAUUGGGAGAUUUUGAUCAAAAUUAAUAUGAUAAAUCCGUUGCAAGUGUUGUUCUUGAAGUCUCAUCUUCCGUGAUGUUUGUAAAAUCAAGGUUUUACCAUCUCUGAUUAAAUAUUUAGUCUUGAUUUCGACCACGUAAUCUGAACUUGACGAAAGAUUAUGAUUUUGUGUGAUUUUAUGAAUGUGGUCUUAUCUCUUAUAAGUCAGCAAUGAAUUAAUUAAAGCUUGCUGACAAAUUAUAAGCUCAAAAACCGCUGCUGCUUCAUUAAUCACAUUACCCAAAUUCAUUGCAGAACUCAUCAUAAGUUUUCCGAGAAUUUUAAGCUUUAUUUUGGCUUCAUUCAUGUACUUCCUUUGUAGAUCCCAAAGACAUGUUUAACUUUAGUUUAGGGUAACUGUUAGAGUGCAAUUUAUGCACUAGUUUUGCAUUAUUUACUUCCCUUAAUAUCGAUGCUUUGCACUUAAUAAUAAUGUUUUACUUGUGUUUUACUUUUGUAGGUGCAAUUCUAUUGAUUGGUGAUAAAAUUGAGCUAAAAGAUGAUGUUUAAGGAGGAUUGUUCUCUUGGAGAAAUUAUGAGCGUCACAAGAACUUUGUUGAUAAGGCGUGGGCGCGUGCUGUCAACUGCGGACCUGCAAUUUUUAAUUUAACGUGUUUUGUAUUUUUGGUUAUUUUUGUAAUUACGAAUUUAAUAUUUCAGAUAUUAGUAUUUUAUUUUAAAUAGAAUUCUAAAAGAGAAGAGAGAGAGAGUAUUUAAGGGAGGAAUCUAUUGUGAAAAAGGGGGGACUUUUGGAGAAGAGAAAGAAACCCUAGAUCUAAACUUUUCUCUUCUCUCUAUGAAGAACUAAACCUAUUUUUCUGGUUGAAGGUUAAUGAAGCUUUGAUUCAUCACUACUGUGAGAUCUUUCUUAUGCUUUAAUUGUUUUAUUACUUUUUGGAUAUUUGUUUAUUCUCUGAAUUAGUUUCAUGAUUAUGUUUGUUAAUUAGGUAAUUGGCCACUAUUUAAUUAUCAACUUAAUCUAUUGUCAAUUAAAGGAUUCAUCGUAUGAAGAUUUUAAUGUUUGUGACAAAUAACAUAGCAGUGAGUUGUGUUAUGAGAAUAAACAAUCUAAUUUAAAUGAAUCAUCAUAUGUGUUGAUUAGGAUUUGGGUCUCUCUGGUUUUUCAGGCUGUCAAUCGAUUAAAUCCUAUGAUCAUAUCUAGGGUUGUCUAUUGAUUAGGGAAAUAUCCAACGGUCGUACCUUGGUUAUCGACUAGUUAAGGAGAGAUUGGCUAUUAGAGGGUCUCAAUAGCUAUAACCGGUCUAUUCAUAAGUAAUAAUAAUCUAUAUUUGAAUCAAUGAUCAGUAGUCGAAUUAAGCUGAGUUAAUUCCUUCAACCAGAGCUUUCUCCAAUUUGAAUUACAACUUUAAUUUGCAUUCUUGUUAUUUUUAAUUUGAUUUUUAUUAUUAUUAACAAUUCCCCCAUUUUACGAUUUACGUUUCAAAAGGAUUUAAAUAAUUACCGAUCUCUGUGGACACGACCCUGCUCAAUCACUAUACACAAUUUAUUUAGAGUAGGAAUUUAUUUUUGUUGGCUUCGACAACCAUCAAAUUUUGGCGCCGUUGCCGGGGAUUGGUGUCAUUUAUUUAAUCCUUUUUAUGUUUUACUUGGUGUAUGGUUUGUUCUUCUCGUACAGGUACACUUUCGUUUGAUCCUGAAAUUGAGAAGACAGCUCGCCAGCUGAGACAGCAGACGAAGCGAGCUAAGCAACGAUCCUCGUCGCCUUUGCUUUCUGAAACAGAUACGGUGCCUGAUUUAGUUGAAUCAUCUAGCGAUUCAGAAGAACAAGUGAUGGAUAGAGUUGCACCUGUAGAAAGAACUCUUAGAGAAUUAGCUGAACCAGACUUGAAUCAACAACCACUCUGCAUUCAAUAUGUAGACUUGGAGGUAAAUUUUGAAUUAAAGUCUGGUCUUAUUCAUUUAUUACCCAAGUUUCAUGGUUUUGCAAGUGAAGAUCCUCAUAAACAUCUUAAGGAGUUUCAUGUUGUGUGUUCAAGUAUGAGACCACAAGGCAUGACUGAAGAGCAGAUUAAGCUGCGUGAUUUUCCGUUCUCUGUAGAUGGGCUAGCUAAAGACUGGUUGUAUUACUUGCCUCCUGGAUCGAUUACAACGUGGAAUGAUUUGAAGAAGCAGUUCCUCGAGAAGUACUUUCCUGCUUCAAGAGCUGCCAACAUCAGAAAAGACAUUUGUGGGAUUAGACAACUUCCUGGGGAGACUUUGUAUGAGUAUUGGGAGCGAUUCAAACAAUUGUGUGCCAGCUGUCCUCAGCAUCAGAUUUCUGAUCAACUUCUUAUUCAAUAUUUUUACGAAGGACUAUCAUUGAUGGAUAGAAGUAUGAUAGAUGCUGCUAGUGGAGGAGUGUUGGUGAACAAGACUCCUACUCAAGCAAGGGAGUUGAUAUCAAAUAUGGCUGCCAACGCACAACAAUUUGGCAGCAGGCAAGAUCCCACUUCAAGGAAGGUGAAUGAGGUAAAUAUUUCUUCUGUUGAACAACGUUUAGAUAAACUCACUUUUCUUGUGGAAAAGUUUGUUGUAGGUAAUGUGCAACAGGUGAAGACUUGUGGUAUUUGUUAUAAUAUGGGUUAUUCAACUGAUAUGUGUCCUACACUUCAAGAAGAACCCGUUGAACAAGCCAAUGCAGUUGGAGGAUUUCCAGGCAUGCCUCAGAGGAGGUAUGAUCCUUAUGCACAAACAUACAAUCCAGGAUGGAAGGAUCAUCCCAACUUCAGCUAUGGAGUUAGGCCGUCAGGAUUCCCACAACAGUAUCCACCAAGACAACCAGCACCUCCACAGUCAACCUCCAAGUCAGGUAUAUCUCUUGAAGAAAUUGUUAAAUCGCUUGCGACUAACACUCAACAAUUUCAGCAGGCAACUACAGCAAGCAUUCAGAACUUGGAGAACCAAAUAAGUCAAUUGGCGACUACAGUGAGCCGUCUGGAGUCUCAAGUAUUAGGGAGACUGCCUUCACAAUUUGAGGUGAAUCCAAAGCAAAACGUUAGUGCUGUCAUCCUUAGAAGUGGGAAGGAGUUGCAAGAGCCUAGUAAGAAAGUGACAGAGCAUGUAGAAGAUGAGCUUGAGAAGAAUGAAUUGAUGCCUCAAUCUCAAGAUGCACAACCCACCAGAGCGAAACCCCUACCUAUUGUGAUACCUCCUCCUUUUCCAAGCCGGUUUGCAAAAUCCAAGAAUGAGGAACAAGAGAAAGACAUCCUUGAGACAUUUCGCAAAGUUGAGGUAAAUAUUCCUUUAUUAGAUGCUAUAAAACAAAUACCUCGAUAUGCUAAAGUCCUUAAGGAACUAUGCACCUCUAAGAGAAAAUUAAGAGGAGAUGAAAAAGUUCAUAUGGGGGAGAAUGUUUCAGCAGUUCUCCAAAAGAAACUACCUCCUAAGUGCAAGGAUCCAGGUAUGUUUACUAUCCCUUGCAAAAUUGGUAAUGUCAAAGUUGAAAAGGCUAUGUUAGAUCUAGGAGCUUCUAUUAAUGUCAUGCCUCGUUCCAUUUAUUCAUCUUUGAAUGUUGGUCCAUUAAAAGAAACUGGCAUGAUAAUUCAACUAGCUGAUAGGUCUAUAGGUCUAAUGCAUAUCCUGAUGGGGUAUUAGAAGAUGUCCUAGUACAAGUUAAUGAGUUAGUUUUUCCUGCUGAUUUUUAUGUACUUGAUAUGUAAGAGGAUAACUUCUCUAAUUCUGUCCCAAUUUUGCUAGGAAGACAUUUUCUUAAGACUGCUAGGACUAAAAUGGAUGUACAUAAAGGGACUCUCACUAUGGAGUUUGAUGGAGAGGUUAUAGAAUUCAAUAUGAAUGAUGCCAUGAAAUAUGCUAGUGAGGAACAUUCGGUAUUUUUUGUGGAUGUUAUUAACCCUAUACCGCAGGAAGUUUUUUUCAAGGAAAAGACGAAGACAUUUCAUGAUAGAAUGAUUUUGAGAAAGGAGUUCUCUGUUGGUCAAAAAGUUCUUAUUUUUCAUUCUAAGCUUAAACUUUUUCCAGGUAAAUUACGUUCUUGCUGGGUUGGACCUUUUAUUGUUACUAAUGUUUUUCCUCAUGGUGCAGUUGAGAUUCGGAGUCCGACCUCUGACAAAGUUUUUAAAGUUAACGGUCAUCGCUUAAAACCUUUUUAUGAAGGUUUUUCGGUGAAUAUUGUGGAGGAAAUGGCUCUCGAGAGUCCUAUUUAUGGAGAUUGAUGCAUAAAGGUGUCUAGCCAAAGACAUAAAACAAAGGCGCUUUUUGGGAGGCAACCCAAAUGAUUUGUUUAUUUUGGUUUUUGUUUUAUUUUCUUUUAGUUUUGAUUCAGAUUUAAAAAAAAAAAAAUUUUGUGUUUGCUUAUUUUGGUCAGAAGAAAAUUUUUGAUAAGGCGUGCCCACGUUUUAACUAAUAAGUACUUCUGUAAUUUUUAAAGUAAAAUAGUUUUAAGACGUUCCCACGCGCUUAUUAAAAAAGUACUUCUGUACUUUUUAAAGUAAAAUAGUUUUAAGGCGUGCCCACGUGCUUAUUAAAAAAGUACUUCUGAAAUUUUUGGUGUCUCAAAGUGAUUCAUCACUAAAAAAAAAAAAAAAAAAAUUUACUGUUCACAAAAUCCCUAAUUUUCCAGAUCUUGUUUUCUUCUCCAGCCGCUUGCAGCACACCAGCAGCAAACCAGCCCGCCGGAAAACGCACCACCCCGCGUGCGCAGUACCAGCAUCUCGUGUCUCGCAAGUCCAACCAGUGCGCAACGCAAGCCCCAGCAGCGCGCAACGUAGCCCCAGCUGUGCGUGCAGCGCGAACCAGCCCCAACCCGAGCACGCAACCCAACAAGCAUCACCAGUUCGCAGCAUCAGUCCCAGCCCGCACGCGCAACACAACCAGCACCAACCCGGACAGCACAACCAUCCGCGCACAACUGAACCAACAGCCGUGUACCCGCAAGCUCCAGUCGAGCAGCAAUAGUCCGCAACCAGCCUACGACCUGCAUUCCAGCCGCGUGAAUCGAAAUCAGUGACAAGAUGGAGCAGAAUUUGGCCGCAUACUUCAAGAGUGUGGGAUUUAUCCCACCAUUCCCGCCAAGCCCAUAGACGUUAUGAGGAUCAAAGCUCACAAUUCAAGGAAGUUUUUGCCUUUAAUCUUUUAUCCUUACGCUUUAAUUUUUAUGUGAGCUUUGAUUAUCUUACAUUGGGGACAAUGUAAGUUCUUGGUGUGGGGGAGGGUUUUUGCAUUAUUGAUGUCUGGAAUUAUUGUUUUCACUCUACUUAUCUUUUUUUUCACUCUACUCAUCCUUAAAUGAUUUUGGAGUUAGUAUGCUUUAUAUAUUAUUAUUUUUUCUUUUCUUUUAUUUCUCACAACUUUUUUUUUCCCAUCUAUCUCAAAUUAUUUACAUCUAUUUUUAUUCUAUCAUACUCUUUCAUCACUCACAUUUUAUCUUUCACUUUUCAUCUUUCUCACUUCUUAUCAUUUUUACCUUUCCUUUUAUAUAUCACUCAUACCUUCUUCUCAUUCUACACCACUAUUGAUGGUUGAUUCAUUUGAAGAGUGUACAUGAUUUGAUGGCAAAUUUACCAACGUUGUGAGGAUUUGAGCCUAUGAGCAACCACUUUGCUCUAAUAUUUUUGUUAUGUGAAUAUCAAUCUUAGUUUGUUUAUUCUAGAACUUGCUUUGUUAUGCAUGUUGAAGCCGCAUUACGGGAUUUUAUGCAUUAAAAUGAUAAGGGCAAACCCUUUUCCAUUUUUCUAUUCUCGCAUUUUUUUUUUCUCUACCCGAAGACCUUUAUUUGCUACAUUUGUUUGAGCCUUAACCAUUACCCAUCUAAUUCUCUUCGUCUACUUAACCAUUUUUCUUCUUUUUGAGCCUCAAUUUAAGGAGAUUUUUGGACUCAUUGUGUGAAUAUAUUUUGUUGCCUUUUCUACCUUGUAUUAAAGUUUCUCAAUUAGAUCAACAAGCAUUAUGCUUGAAUUAAAUUGUGCAAGGUUCGUUUCUUUUGUUUGAUUCGAAAAAAAAAAUUGAAAAAAAAAAGUUUACAUUCUUGGUGACUUGAGUAGAAAUAAGCAUUUUGAUAUCAUAAGUUUAUUCAAUGAGUUCAUUCUUCUCAUUUUGAUCUCUUUUUCUUUCAUAGACCUUUCUUUUUCAUUUAACCUAUUUAACCCCAUUACAACCCUUUUAAGACCCUUAUAUUUUUGCAUUUUAUUCAUGUUUUGUGGAUUGAGAUGUGAUAUAUGAGCAAGCUUAUGGUAAUAGCAUUCUUUGAUUUGAUUUGAGUGCAUAAAUGAUACCCUAAACACUUUGAGCGCAUGGAGUGAAGUCAUUGAGAGGGCUAUUAAAUCUUGUUGCACUUGAAUUUUGAAUGGAUGUUCUUGGUGGUUGAAUGUUCUUAUUCUAUCUUAUGAGAUUCUAUGCUUUAAAAGUCCUUGUCUCUCGAAUGUUGAUCGACUUAAUUUCUUGAGGUAUGCUUGCUUAAAAUUAUUUUUGGAUGAGUUGAGAUGAGAAUUGAGUGGAGAUUUGGGAUUAAUCUUGAGUUAUAUGCUUGAGGACAAGCAUCAUCUUGGUGUGGGGGAAUUUGUUAGAGUGCAAUUUAUGCACUAGUUUUGCAUUAUUUACUUCCCUUAAUAUCGAUGUUUUGCACUUAAUAAUAAUGUUUUACUUGUGUUUUACUUUUGUAGGUGCAAUUCUAUUGAUUGGUGAUAAAAUUGAGCUAAAAGAUGAUGUUUAAGGAGGAUUGUUCUCUUGGAGAAAUUAUGAGCGUCAGAAGAACUUUGUUGAUAAGGCGUGGGCGCGUGCUGUCAACUGCGGACCUGCAGUUUUUAGUUUAAUAUGUUUUGUAUUUUUGGUUAUUUUUGUAAUUACGAAUUUAAUAUUUCAGAUAUUAGUAUUUUAUUUUAAAUAGAAUUCUAAAAGAGAAGAGAGAGAGAGUAUUUAAGGGAGGAAUCUAUUGUGAAAAAAGGGGGGACUUUUGGAGAAGAGAAAGAAACCCUAGAUCUAAACUUUUCUCUUCUCUCUAUGAAGUACUAAACCUAUUUUUCUGGUUGAAGGUUAAUGAAGCUUUGAUUCAUCACUACUGUGAGAUCUUUCUUAUGCUUUAAUUGUUUUAUUACUUUUUGGAUAUUUGUUUAUUCUCUAAAUUAGUUUCAUGAUUAUGUUUGUUAAUUAGGUAAUUGGCCACUAUUUAAUUAUCAACUUAAUCUAUUGUCCAUUAAAGGAUUCAUCGUAUGAAGAUUUUAAUGUUUGUGACAAAUAACAUAGCAGUGAGUUGUGUUAUGAGAAUAAACAAUCUAAUUUAAAUGAAUCAUCAUAUGUGUUGAUUAGGAUUUGGGUCUCUCUGGUUUUUCAGGCUGUCAAUUGAUUAAAUCCUAUGAUCGUAUCUAGGGUUGUCUAUUGAUUAGGGAAAUAUCCAACGGUCGUACCUUGGUUAUCGACUAGUUAAGGAGAGAUUGGCUAUUAGAGGGUCUCAAUAGCUAUAACCGGUCUAUUCAUAAGUAAUAAUAAUCUAUAUUUGAAUCAAUGAUCAGUAGUCGAAUUAAGCUGAGUUAAUUCCUUCAACCAGAGCUUUCUCCAAUUUGAAUUACAACUUUAAUUUGCAUUCUUGUUAUUUUUAAUUUGAUUUUUAUUAUUAUUAACAAUUCCCCCAUUUUACAUUUUACGUUUCAAAAGGAUUUAAAUAAUUACCGAUCUCUGUGGACACGACCCUGCUCAAUCACUAUACACAAUUUAUUUAGAGUAGGAAUUUAUUUUUGUUGGCUUCGACAACCAUCAGUAACAAAGCUACAGCUUUUUCUGUUGUGUGCAACAAGUGAAGAAAGUGAAAUUGUAAAGAAUACGAUCGAUUACUGAUACGAAAACAUAAAGAUUGAUAAAUUUUAGAGAAAUAAAGCUCCUAAAUAAUUAGAAUAUUAUUCUUAAGUCUUAAUAAAUAAAACUAGAAUUUUGGUUCUUUUUAAACAAUGAGAAAUAUUUUUUAAAAUAGGAAAACCAGAAAUAUUUUUUUGUAGUAAAAUUCUCUAGUCUAAAUAAGCAAAAUUUUAAUGUUUGAAGAAAAAAGAAGUAAACAUUCUGAAAGCAAUUAAAAAAAAGCAAAAUAACUUAAAAUUGCAAAAUAAUCAAGAAAAAAACGGAACUUUUGGCUCAAACACAGGGUAGAACAACAAUUUUUCCAUUUUAGUUAUCUUAUCGCAAGUUUUGAAAAGAUGUAUUAUGAGUUCUAAACAAACAGUGAAAGAAUCUAUAAUUAUGUGUUUGGAGAGUAAGAAAAACAAUGAGAAAAUGAAGAAAAGUUAUGAAGAAGAAUCUGGAAUUUAGUGAAUAAAACUCAACCACACAAUCGUGCUUACAACUAUUUAUUUAUACUUAGUUACAAUGUAAACUAAAUCUGUUUUAUAUUCUAUACACGCUAAACCAAUUGGUUAACAAAGUAGCUGACUCAGCUAACUGACUCUCUUACACGUCAGCUAUCAAGUUAUCAAGUGUGCUCAUCCUCACAGCUCUGACCAUGCUCUGUAACAUCCCCUCUCAAGCUAAACUGUCCAGGAUGGACAUUUAGCUUGCUGCGAAGAUAAUGGAAGCGGUCAAAAGUUAGUGGCUUGGUAAGUAUAUCUGCAGUUUGAUCCUCACUUGGAACAAAUUGCACUUCAAUAUUUUUGGCCGCUAUUUUCUCCCUGAUAAAGUGAAUGUCCAAUUCAACAUGCUUAGUUUUAGCAUGAUAAACUGGAUUGUAAGCCAAAGCUAUGGCACCUUGAUUAUCUCACCACAUAAUAGGUUCUGCAACAAGUUUGAUUUUCAACUCACUAAGCAGAUUUUCAAUCCAAAUAACUUCAAAUGUAGCUUGAGCUAAGGCUCUGUACUCAGCUUCAGUACUGGACCUUGAAACCACUUGUUGUUUCUUAGAACACCAUGAAACUAAAUUCGAACCAAGAUACACUGCAUACCCAGCUACUGAUUUUCUAUCAUCUUUGUCACAUGCCCAAUCAGAAUCACUAUAACAGUAUACUUGUAAAGUUCCACAAUGAUAAAAAUGCAAGCCAAAAUGAAUGGAUCCCUUCAAAUACCUCAAAAGUCUUUUACAUGCUUCCCAAUGUUCUGUCAUUGGCAAGGAUAGAAAUUGACAUAGUUUGUUAACUGAGAAUGCUAUCUCAGGUCUUGUUAGAGUCACAUACUGCAAGGCCCCAAUUAUACUUUUGGACUGAGAUGCAUUAGAAAUAAGUGAGCCUGAACCUUUUGUGAGAUGAUGCCCUGUGGACAUAGGAGUAGGAAUUGGACUGCAACUUGCCAUAUCAUGUUUUGCUAAGAGAUCAGCUAUAUAUUUGGCUUGAGAUAGAUGAACUCUAGCUGCUAUCUUAGAGACUUCAAUCCCAAGAAAAUAGCUUAACUCCCCCAAAUCCUUCAAGGCAAAAGUAGUCUGCAUAUUAUGAAUUACUUGCUCCACUAGUUGGUAGUUAGAUCCAGUAACAAUUAUGUCAUCAACAUAUACUAAGACAAGCAAGAUAUGAUUAUUUUCCCACUUAUAGAAGAGAGAGCUGUCAGACUUAGAGUUUAGAAAACCCCACUGAUCUACCAUAGCAUUCUUGAAUCUGUCAAACCAUGCUCGGGGGGCUUGCUUUAAUCCAUAGAUGGCCUUCUUGAGUUUGCAUACAUGAGUAGGCUUUGUAGGAUCAAUAAAUUCUUCAGGCUGGACCAUAUACACAUCUUCAACCAAAAAACCAUUCAAGAAUGCAUUGUUUACAUCUACCCGUCUGAGGAUCCAUUUGUUCAUGACAGCUAAACUCAAAACUAUUCUAACUGUGGAAGCUUUCACAACUGGACUAUAGGUUUCAGUAUAAUCUAUUCCAUGUGUCUGAUGGAAACCUUUUGCCACAAGCUUUGCUUUGUAUCUAGAAAUGGUUCCAUCCAAGUUAUAUUUAAUUCUGAAAACCCACUUGCUGCCAAUUACUUUGAUAGGUGUUGAUGGUUGUACUAAAACCCAGGUAUGAUUGUUUUGAAGUGCUUGAUACUCCUCAUGCAUUGCUUGAAACCAUUUUGGAUCAGUGAUUUCUUGGGAAACAGAGGUAGGUUCUGAGGGUGUGGCUAAAAGAGCAGCAAGAUAAGACUUUGGCUUAAAAAUGCCAGCUUUAGAUCUGGUGAUCAUAGAAUGUCCUAUUGGUGGUGCAGCAGGUAUUAAAUGUGGUGGUGAUUGAGUAUCAUUUAAAGGUUGAAUAUCAUACAUUUGUGGUGUAUGGGAAGAAGAAUAAAGGGAAUUUACCUGGCUAGGAAUUGUUGUUGAAAACUCAGAGGAACCACUUGCUGAAGAGGAUUGCAGUGCUGGAAAAUGAGUAAAGAUAGGAGUAGAGAUAGUGGCCGAAUGGGAAACUGUAUAAUUUGAAUUACAUGAUUGUGUGACAGAAGAAAAGUCUGAGCCAGGCACAUAUGGAAAGGAGUUUUCAUCAAAGAUGACAUGAUUGGAGAUGUACACCCUACCUGAAGAAUGAAGACAUUGGUACCCUUUAUGUUGAGAGCUGUACCCAAUGAAGACACAUCUACCUGAUCUAAACUCAAGUUUGUGCUUAUUAUAUGGCCUGAGGUAAGGAUAACAAGCACAACCAAAGGUUCUGAGAAAAUUGUAAUAUGGUUUUUGAUGAAAUUUUUUUUGAUAAGGUGAAAUAUUAUUCAAGGUUGGUGUAGGUAAUCUAUUGAUGAGAAACACAGCUGUGUGAAAAGCAUUCCACCAGAAUUUUAGUGGCAAACUCGCUUGGGCUAACAAAGUGAGGCCAAUAUCCACAAUGUGCCUAUGUUUUCUUUCUAUUCUACCAUUUUGAUGAUGAAUAUGAGGACAAGGAUGUCGGAAUUUAAUACCAAAUUGAUCAAGAUAUAUGGAGAAACUUCUAAAUUCCCCUCCCCAAUCUGUCUGGACAAUUUUGAUAUGCCUAUGCAAGUGUUUUUCAAUGAAGUUUUUGAAGUUUAUGAACACUUGAAGAGCAUCAGAUUUAGCAGUCAAGGGAAAGAUCCAUGUAAACCUACUGAAAUCAUCUAGAAUGGACAAAUAAUAGGAAUAACCCUGAGUUGAAGUAACAUGAGAAGGACCCCAAAGAUCAGCAUAUAAGAGUUGAAGAGGCUCUACUGUUUUUGUUGGAACAGAAUCAAAGUGUAACAGAUGACUUUUACCAAACUGACAAGCAUUACAGAAACUCAAGUGUUCGAUUUUAUUCAAGGAAAAGUCAGUACAAUCCUUCAAUACAUUUUUUAGAGUAUGAAAAGCCGGAUGUCCUAGCCUUUUGUGAAGCAAAUUGAUGUCAGCAGUGCUUGCAUUAGCUAUCAGGGCUGACUUACAUGAGUUAUUACUGACAAGGGAAGGAUUAUUCUGGACAGCAGAACCAUUACAAGACAAAGAAGGAAAAUAAGCAAACAUAGAUUCAAAGUGAUUGACAGAAGAUUGACAAAAUGAAACUGGGCUAUCAUCAGAAGAUUGGGAUGCAAUCUGGACUUGAUACAAUCCUCAUUUUGCAAUUCCUUUAAGCAAGAUGGUCCCUGAGCUCCUGGCCUUAACAAAACAACAAUUUUCAAGAAACUCAAUAGUGGCAUUAUUAUCAAAUAGAAGUUUCGAGACACUAAGUAAAUUUUUAGUUAUUUGAGGAACAUAAAGAACAUGACUUAGCAACAAAGGUUCAGAUGUAGUUGUGGCUAGCAAUACUGAUCCAACUUGUUUAAUAUGCAGAGAAGAACCAUUACCAACAAGCAACUUUUCACUUCCACUAUAAGAUUUUGGUUCAAGAAGUUUACCUGCAUCAUUGGUGAUAUGAUUAGUUGCACCACUGUCAAUGUACCAGGUGGGAUCUUCAACCAUCUUAGGAGUAGGAACUGUAGGUACGGAAGGAGAGCAGCCACUGUAAUCUCCAGUAAAACCAAAACCAGAUGCAGAAGAACUUGCACCAGUGGAGCUACCAGGUUGAGUAACAUAAAAAGCAGAUGGAUCUGAGCACAUCACAUAGCUUUGAUAUCCUGGACCUCUUGGCAAAUUGAAAUUUCCAGCAUUAUGAUUAGUAAAGACAUUGCCAAAUUGAGAAUUAAACCCUUUGCCAUAAGCACCAUUAAAAAAUCUGCCACCUGAAUUUCCAAAUCCCCUUCCAAAAUUCCUUUGACCAGCCCUAAAAUUGCCAUUAAAAUUUCCUCUUGCUUGAUUCCUUGAAGGUACAAAAGCAGAAUUGUACCUAUUCUUGCACUUGUGAGCUCCAUGACCCGGUACAAAACAGAUUUGACAAACGAUAGUUGAAUUACCAUCACCAGAUUGUCCCAUACCAUUUCUAUUAGCAAAAUUUCCAUAGACACCUCCACCAUAAGUUAUAUUAUUAUUAUAUCUUGGAUUACCACCAGCAUUUUUUCCAGAAUUAAACUGUUUUUAUGCCAUAUUAGCUGACAAAUUAUGAGUAACAUCACUAGCAAUUUUGCCUCUCUUCUGCUCAACUCUAUUCUCAUGACUUAACAGUAAAGAGUAAAACUCAUCAAAAUUAAUCUUGUCACCUCUAGUUAAGACGCUCGUAACAAGAGACUCAUAAUCUGAGGAAUCCAAUCCAGUCAAAACAUAUUGAACAAAAUCACUCAAUUCAACAGGUUUUCCAGCCAGAGCUAAGCUAUCAGAUAACCUUUUGAUUUUAGCAAAAUAAUCAAUCAUUGACAUUGAGCCUUUUUUAAGUGUUUGAAUCUGCAUUUUAAGAGGCAUUAUUCUAGCCUGAGAUUGUGAGAUAAACAUACUAGUAAGUGUGUCCAGAAGUUCUUUAGCAGUAGAGCAAUGAAUCACCGUUGCCAGUAAAUUUUGUUGAAUGGAUGACAUCAUCCAACUCAGAAUCAAUUGAUCAGUCUUCACCCAAGCUAAAAACUCUGGAUUAAUUUCUCGAUCCUCUGAUCUUGUUGAAUCAAUAGCUCCAGUGACAGCUGAUGGAAGAAAUUGCUCUGGAUAGGCUCGAUCACCAUUGAUGAAGCUCUCCAAGCCGUUACCUUUAAUCGUUGUUAAAAUCUGAGUUCUCCAAACAAUGAAGUUAUUCUGGUCGAGUUUCACAGGAGUAACAAAACUAUAAGAUCCAGAGGUUUGAUUCGAGCUCAUCAUUGUUUGCUCUGAUACCAUGAAAGAAUCUGUAAUUAUGUGUUUGGAGAGUAAGAAAAACAAUGAGAAAACGAAGAAAAGUUAUAAGAAGAAUCUGGAAUUUAUUGAAUAAAACUCAACCACAUAAUCGUGCUUACAGCUCUUUAUUUAUACUUAGUUACAAUGUAAACUAAAUCUGUUUUAUAUUCUAUACACGCUAAACCAAUUGGUUAACAAAGUAACUGACUCAGCUAACUGACUCUCUUACAUGUCAGCUAUCAAGUUAUCAAGUGUGCUCAUCCUCACAGCUCUGACCAUGCUCUGUAACAAACAACUAUCCCUACAAAGUACCAUGCUCAUGCUAUGUAUCCAGACUUUUCCAUCAGAUAGGCUGUCCAUAAAUACAGUGAUAGAAAUGUUAUUGCAAAGAAAAAUACUAGCAAUGACGUUUUGAAAAUUCCACCAAAGUCUUUUGCAUCUUCUCCUCCAGGACCACCAAUAGAUUAUAGAGUCCGUUUGACUCAUAAAUUUUUGUCACUUUCACUAUUUUCAAAAGCACGAGAAAGCUUAUCAAAAGGACCACCAAUCUUUAAUGAAUUUUGGAUUCAGUGUUGAUAUUUUGGGCUUAUCAAAGCUAGAGUCCGUUCGACCCAUAAAAUGUUGUCACUUUCACUCUUUUCAAAAGCAUGUUAAAGCUGAUCUUCAGUGAAUUUUUUAUUCGCUUACCUUUAAGUAAUCUGUUCAUUUAUAUAAUUAUGCGGUUAUAGAUUCAAUUACUACUUCUCUUGAAAGUGAAAGCAGGGCAAAGUUUCGCCCAUAGGCAUCGUACGUAAAGUUUUCUCAUCCCCAGUCCUCUCCUCAUGAAGUUUUCUCUUGGAGACCUCAAAAGGAUGAGAGAGUACAGUCGAGCCGUCAUGACUCAUUAAGUCACUCCGGAGUGGGUGGUUAUUUUCACUGCUUUAUUGAAGGUCUGUAGCUGGUAGAUGCAGAUUUAGUUUGGUUAGGGGCUUGGUGGGGGUGCUCUCUAAGAGGCUGAGACACCAAUUAAUUCAGCCAUUAUUGUUCAAAACAACCUCCAACGGAUGGAUCCAGAAGAGCUUAUAAGGAGAUGCAGAGCAAUAAGAUUAAGUGAAAAGGAGAGAGGGAGAGUCUCUUUCAAGACAAAAAUGAAGGCUAAGGGAGAAAAGAUAGCUGUGGGCUGUUUGGUCGGAAAAGUGCUCCACACAAGAGGGGUCAACACUGAAGGCUUAAAAACGACAAUGCAGAGGGUGUGGAAAACCUCAAGGGAGGUCAAGAUAGAAAGUUUAGGGGAUAACACGUUUAUGUUCAGGUUUGGCUUAGAGGCAGAUAAAAGAAGUAUCAUGGUGGGGGGACCGUGGCAUUUUGCUAGAGCCCUUAUUGUGCGUACCGAACCAGAAGGAAUAGGGGAUAUCAAAAAGCAAGACUUUAGUCAUGUAUCAUUCUGGGUACAAAUCCAUGAUGUUCCCAUUAUGUGCAUGACUAAAGAAAUGGCCACCGAAUUAAGGGAGGUAAUUGGGAAAGUAGAAGAGGUAUAAACAGAUACAACGGGGGAAUGCAUUGGGCAGUUCUUAAGAUUAAGAAUUUCAGUGGAUGUUACAAAGCCGCUAAAAAAGAUAAUUGAGCUGGAACAAGAAGGGGAAGAUGAAGAGGAUAUCCCCAUGCGUGUGAUGUAUGAAAGAUUACCUGACUUUUGUUUCUGUUAUGGGAGGAUAGGGCAUCAGUACAGAGAAUCUGCUCACUACAAAUCUCAAUCCAAAGAUGAAUUGGCUUAUGGUCCAUGGAUUAAAGUAACUACCAUAACAGAGAGAUUAAGACAGAAUAUGGAAAGAGAUAGAUGGGAUUUUGAGCGUAAUAAUUUCAAUCCAAAGGUCUCAACCUAGACAACAAUGGAAACAAGCAGACACACGGUAGAGGAGGAGCAACACAGGAGGGGGGAAUCGGGUAACAGGUGGUGCCCAGACCAUCAGGAUCCGGGUAAGGAUUACCCGACUGAUGAAAUGGGUAUGGUUCAGAGGGUGGUUGGGACGCAAUUAAUGAAAGGGACUGAAACAGGCCGAAAGACCCCUGGAAAAUGCAGCCUAGAUGCUGGGGAUACAGUACCUCGGGAUACGAAUGGGCAAACAGAAAUGAGGGGAAAAGGGAAAGAGCAGAGAGAGGCAAGCCUUAAAUCAGAAAAAGCAAAGUUUCCUGGAAUGGCAAACGCGGGAACUUUUGAGAUGGAAGAAGUUGAUGACUUGGGGGAUGGGAAAAAAAGGGGAGGCAAACAAAAGGUAAUGGUGGGCUCGGCCCAUGUGGAAAUUGAAGCUGAGAAUGCAGACAAUGGGAAUUGCUCGGACAAAAUGAAGCCCAGGAAAAAGAAAUGGAAGUCACAAGCCCGAAAAAUGGAAAAUAAAGUAAGGAUAAAUGAAGCAAUCAUAAACUUAAAAAGGCCCAGCAGUGCUAUGGAGUGGGAGAACCCGGAAGCAAAAAAAUGCAAAAUAAAUAGCUGGCAGGGCGCUGAACAUUCAUCAUAGCAUCAGGAAGUUACUACAACAGCUACUCAGCUAGUUUUCGAAAAUGAAGACGGGGAUGCUUCAAAGGGGGUUCAGAAUGCUGCUCCUAAGAUAUCGGCGGAGGCUGGAAGACAGCCCCGCCGACAGUCAUGAAGCUAAUAAGCUGGAACGUUCGGGGGCUGGGGCAAGACCGAACGUUCCGAGAAGCCCAGCAAAUCUUGCAGGAGCAUAGACCUCAACUUUUAUUUCUUUGCGAAACAAAGAUGACGUCGAAGCAAAUGCAAGAGAAAGCGAGUAAGAUGAAAUUUCAGAAUUAUUUUUCAGUUAGCCGUGAAGGAUUGGGAGGUGGGUUGGCAAUGUUGUGGAAUCCAGGGACAACAGUAGAGAUAAAGUCUUUUAGUAAACAUCAUGUGGAUGCAGUGGUUUGUAACGAAAAUGGCAAUUAUUGGAGGUGUACGGGAGUGUAUGGCCAUCCAGAAUCAGAUCAGAAGAGACAUACUUGGGAGCUAUUCAGAAGGUUAGCUACUUUAUCUUCGCUGCAGUGGCUUUGUUUUGGAGAUUUUAAUGAGGUGUUGAACUUAAAUGAGAAAUUAGGAGGAAGAGAUAAGAGGGUUAAUAUGGUCAAUGAGUUUAGAAAAGCUAUUAGGGAUUGUGAUUUAAAGGAUUUAGGAAGUAUUGGGUACCCGUUUACUUGGUCCAAUAGACGGUUUGGCCAUCACAUUAUAGAAGAAAAGCUCAACAGAUUUUUGUGCAACAAUAAUUGGGGAAACAACUUCCAAGAAAAGGCUGGGCGGAAUUUAAUUUCUUGAAGCUCAGAUCAUAGUCCAAUCUUGAUGGAGGUGGUAGAAAAGAGGAAGGGAAAACGUUUUAUGAAAAGAACUUUCCCAAGAGUCCAUUACGAAGAUAUGUGGAGCUCGUACGAGAAGUGCAGAGAGAUAGUUAGGCAGGAAUGAAGGGAGGUGAAUUAUGAGAAUGGUAGCAAUCCAAUUGAAAUCUUCAAGAAAAAAAUCAAAGAUGUCGUUGGCUGAAUUAAAGAAUUUGAGCAAUGAAGAAUUUAGUGGGAGAGAAAAGAAGCUGGAGCAGUUGUAAAACAAGCUGAAGGACAUUAAAAUCGGGUACAAUCAUGCUGUUAAUGGAGAGGAGAUUACAAAAGUAGAAAAUCAGAUUGAUAAUAUCCUUCUUGACAAGGAAGUUUAUUGGAGGCAAAGAUCGAGGGUGGUUUGGUUGAGGGAGGGGGAUAAGAACAUGAAAUUUUUUCAUUCGAAAGCCUCUGCGAGAAGGAAAAAGAACUGGACAAGUGGGCUGGAAGAUGAGAAUGGCAAAUGGCUUGAAGAAGUUGACGAUGUAGAGCGGAUGGUAUGUGAGUAUUUCACUAAUAUCUUCACUACAACAAACCCAUCAUCAGGCCAGAUAAGCACAACCUUAUCAAACCUGCCAGCUAAGGUUACAAGGGAGAUGGGGAGCUUCAUGGACCAGCUGUUUACAAAAGAAGAUGUAGCAGAUUCCUUAGCUCAAAUGUGCCCCACAAAAGCGCUAGGACCAGAUGGGCUUCCAGCAGCUUUCUUCCAGAAACAUUGGGGUUCUGUGCAGCAAGAUGUUAUCACCACAUGCCUACAUGUUUUAAAUGAGGGAGGUAACAUUGCACCCCUGAAUCAUACAUACUUAGCUUUGAUCCCCAAAGUGCAAAAGCCUAGAAAAGUGACUGAUUUCAGACCUAUUAGCUUGUGUAAUGUUAUAUAUAGAAUUAUUGCUAAAACGCUAGCUAAUAGGCUUAAGAAGAUUCUGCAUGUUAUCAUCUCCCCGAACCAAAGCGCUUUUGUACCCAAUAGACUCAUUACUGAUAAUCUUAUUAUAGGAUACGAGUGUCUUAAUAAGAUUAGACAAAGCAAGAGUAAAAGAAAUGGGCUGGUAGCUCUUAAACUUGAUAUUAGUAAAGCCUACAAUAGGGUUGAGUGGGAAUUUGGAAAAUGCACAAUGCAAAAACUUGGAUUUUCAGAAAAAUGGGUGAAGUUGAUCAUGAAUUGUAUCACUACAGCAAGUUUUUCAGUGUUAAUCAAUGGAGUGGCAAAAGGCCUAAUCCAUCCUCAAAGAGGAUUGAGACAGGGCUGCCCCCUCUCCCCUUAUCUCUUUAUUAUGUGUGCAGAGGUGUUUUCGAACUUAAUGGUGAAUGCAGAAAAUCAAAAUCUCAUAAAUGGUUUGAAAUGCAGCAGCCUCAAGACAGGUGUUUAAUUUCGAGAAGUCCUCUAUGUUCUUUAGCAGCAGCACAAGUUCAGGUAAAAGGGAGGAAAUCAGGAGUAUUUUCGGUUUGAAUGUCGUUUCAAAACAUGAAAAGUAUCUGGGACUUCCAUUGAUGAUAAGGAGGAAAAAGACUAGCUUCUUCAACGACAUAAAACUGAGAGUGCUAAGCAAGCUAUCAAGUUGGCAAAACAAGUGUUUCUCAAGUGGGGGAAAAGAAAUACUCAUCAAAGCUGUGGCACAAGCUGUGCCUGCAUAUGCGAUGAGCGUAUUUAAAAUUCCUCAAAGGCUGUGUGAUGAUAUACAAAAGGCUGUAGCAAGGUUCUGGUGGGGAUCAUCCGAAACUCAUAGAAGGAUUCAUUGGGCAAGGUGGGAGAAAUUAUGUUAGGCCAAGAUUAGGGGUGGUCUGGGUUUUAGGGACUUUUCAAGCUUUAAUCAAGCCCUUGUCGCCAAACAGGGGUAGAGGAUCCUACAUAAUCCUGAUGCUUUAAUGUAAAAAAUUUUAAAAGCCAAGUACUUCAAGCAUACUGACUUUAUGGAGGCAAAAUUGGGGUCAAAUCCCUCAUUUGUUUGGAGAAGUAUAUUAUGGGGGAGACAAGGGUUGCACAAAGGCUUAAGAUGGAGAAUAGGUAAUGGAAACCGGGUCUCAGUGUCCAGCAGGAAUUGGAUGCAAAAACUCGAAUGUUCCAGCUAUGUUCCUCACCAAAAUUUAGCAGAAAAUGCUGUUGUUGCUGAUUUUAUUGAUGACAAAAAUCAGUGGAUGGAGGAGAAGGUUGUGCAAUGUUUUCCCGAAGAGGUGGCACAAAGGAUUCUAAGAACCCCUCUGCCAAGAACCCCCCAGGAAGACCUGAUGAUUUGGCACUUUGAUAAGUAUGGCUGUUACUCAGUAAGAAGUGGAUACCAGGUGGCAGUUAGAAUGAAAUUCCCAGACAAUCCGGAGUGCUCUGAUAGCUCUAAAACUCAAUGGAAGGUAAUUUGGUCAAAUGAGAUUCCGGAAAAAAUAAAAAUUUUCAUGUGGAGAGCUGCUCAGAAUCUAUUACCAACAGCCAAUAAUCUAUGGAGGAAAAAUGUGGUGGGGAAUCCAGCCUGUCAAAGAUGUAAUUGUAAAAGUGAGAAUGUCACUCAUGUGUUAAUGGAGUGUAAGGCUGCUCAAAAAGUCUGGAAGUUGACAGAUUUUUACGAAGAUAUGAAGUUGUUGUCUCAGCAUGACAUACUGAGUAUGCUCCAAGAACUAGCAUCGAGAAGAACGAAGAAAGAGAUUGAGCAGAUUCUUGCAAUAUAUUGGGCCAUUUGGUAUGCGAGGAACCGCUUUGUAAUUGAAGGAAAGCAGGAAGAGCCAAAACUGGCAGCAGCUAGAGCAUCAGCUAUUGUGGAGUCAUAUAAGAGAAUCAAAACCCAAAACGGUCCAGCUAGAUCAAUUCAUUUUCAAAACAACCAACAAAUUUGGACACCUCCUCCAGAGGGGAAGUAUAAAGUCAAUGUGGAUGUUGCGAUUCAAAUGGCAGGUCUGAAGGCAGGGUUGGGGGCAGUGGUUAGGAAUUCCAAUGGAAAAAUCAUUGCUGCAGCUGUUAAGAAGGUGUGCUUUCAGGGAACAGUGGCGAGCAUGGAGGCUGAAGCAGUCCUUUUUGGCAUUCAAGUUGCCCAACAAGUAGAAUAUUUGCCCAUGAUUAUUGAAUCGGAUUCAACAGAAGUGGUGGAGCUGGUCUGGAGCAGGAAAAGUAGCUUGACUGAAGUUUCUUGGACAGUAGAAGAAAUAAAACAACAGCUGCAGAUCUCGAAUGCAUCUUCAUUACAGUUUGUUCCAAGGAAGUGUAAUGCCAUAGCUCAUGCUAUAGCAAAAGUGGCUCUGGAUUUUGAGAAUUCUGUUAUAUGGCUGGAAGAGUUUCCAGUCCAGAUCAUGAUGUUACUCUCAAAUUUUAUCAAUUAGAAAGCUUUACUUUCUUAUCAAAAAAAAAAAAAAAAAAAGCAGGGCAGAUAUUGUAACGCAGCUGCUAUUGGUAGCAAUUAAUUCUUGGAUGAAAUUUACUAAGGUAUAGCCUUGUUAAAGAACUGGUUUUCUUAAAUUGUAAAUGGUCCCGUUUAUGAUGGGGAGAUUUUGAUCAAAUCUGAAAGAAAGCUUGAAAAAUAUAUUGAAACUGUAAUGAAAUUUUAUGUUUGAUUUAUAUUACAAAUGUGGAUAAUGGGUUGAAGUUGCUAGCUUUGAAGAUAAUAUAGAAGAAGAUCAGAGUUUAUAUAAAUUGAGAUUCUUUUUUGCACUUAGAUUUUUAUUUAAAAAAUAUUGUUUGUGUUAUUAUUAAGAGGAAAAAUAUAAAUAAAUGAAUCUAAGUCUUAUAAUAUUAUAGUUGCCAUGUGUCAUAAUCAUAUUAAAAGGUUUGAAAAAAUUAGAUUAGGUGAGGAUUCAAUUCCUCCUUGAAGACCGCUAAUAGAAUUGGUUUCACUCAUAAAUUUUUGUCACUUUCACUCUUUUCAAAAGUGCGUGAAAGCUAGGUUAUAGAAUUUUGGAUGGACGAUCACUCUUUUACAAAGGACUACCAGUCUUUAAUGAAUUUUGGAUUCAGUGUUGAUAUUUUGGGCUCAUCAAAGCUAGACUAUAGAUUUUUUUUUUUUUUAAAGAAUUUUGAAUUCAAUGUUGAUAUCUUGAGCUUAUCUUUAACUAAUUUUUUACCACUCGUGCAUUUAUGUUAUUGUACGGUUAUAGAUUCAGUUAUUUUUAAAGUAGAAAAAUUACUUCUCUUAAAAGUGAAAGCAGGGAAUGCAGACGCUAUUUGUUGUAGUUAAUUCUUGGAUGAAAUUUGGGUCUUGCUAUAAUACAUGCAUGUAUCACAUACAUGCAAGGAAUAAAAAAAUUAAAAAAAAACAUUGCCAAACAUUUGAAAAAAAAAAAAAAAAAACUGGAGCAACUGGUAAAGAGCAACCGGUUGUGCCUUAAACGAUUAAAAAAUUAUGAAACAAUAUAAUAAAUAAAUAUAAUAAACAAAAUAAUAAUAAAAUAAUAAACAAAAUAAUAAUAAAAUAAUAAUUAUUUAAUAAUAAAGGCUAGAUAACUAUAAAAAAUUAGUUUCAAAUUUAAUGGUAUCAGUAUCAAGUUAACGGUAGGUGUUUCGUGUUUAUUGGUCUACUAAUUGCAUGAUAUUCAAGGUUGCAAGUGAAUGAUCCCAAGUUCCAUGUUCAUUGCCCUCAGUUUCAAGUUCUUUUGGUUUUAAGUUUAAUGGUCCUGGUAUCAAGUUAACGGUAGGUGUUUCAUAUUUAUUGGUUUAUUAAUUGCAUGAUUUUCAGGGUUGCAAGUUAAUUAUUCCAAGUUUCAUUUAUUGAAACCGAAUCUAAUGAAUCUGAGUCGGCGUAAUUGCCCCAAUUCAUUAGGCAGAUGGCCAUGAAAAUUAUUAUGAGCAACAUCAAGAGAUACUAAGAACGUGAGAUUUCCCAAGUGUGGGGGAAUGGUACCUCCGAGACCUAUAUCUGAAAGAUUCAAGGCCGUGACUCUUUGAUGACGUGAACCACAAGAAAUGCCAAUCCAGGUACAUAUUGGAUAAGAUAUAGACCAAAUAUUUGUCAGGACACUUUGAUAAUCAACGACACGGGCUUUGAAUGCAAGAAGAGCCGAUUGAUCUGUUGUUAAAUUGCUUAAAGUCGUCAUAGCUAAGCUAGCUAUGGAAUAUUGUAACAACAACAUGGGAACAAAGAAGAACGAUAAGCGCAUAUUGGCUCCUUUUUAUUAUAGAUGCAGCAAUCUAAUUGCUAAGUGAAGUUGAUACAAGUUUUAAGUGAAAGAAAUUAGCAUAUACUCAUACAAGAGACGUAUGAAUUUGAAAACAAGAAAAUAAAAAAUGUACAGGAGAGUGGGGACUUGCAAAUUGUUAUCUUUUAUCAUUGAGCGAAUCGUCCGAGUAAACGCCUAUAGACUUGUAAAUUGUUAUACGCCGUUGUACUUACCGAAAAGAAGAAGAUGCUCAGCAUUGGCAAGACCUAUGCAUUCUGUCCAUUUGUUCACAUUAUGCCGAGGCUCAUGGCAACCGCAAUAUGUUCUUUUUCUUUCGUCUAAAAAAAAAAAAAAAAAAAAAAAACGACCUUCACAUUAGGGCUAAUAAUUAUUGCUAAACAAUUAAUAAUGCUGAGGGUUAGUGGUAAUGUAGCUUUAAAAUAAUUGUUAUUAGUUGUGCCUUAAAAAUAAAGAAAUAAAUAUAGUUAUACCCCCAUAAUUUAAUAAAAUAAUCAUGUAAAUUUCUAAGCUUUUAACAAUAUACACCAAGACCCCUUCUGUUACUUUUUACCAUUUAUUUGGAUGUCACAUGCUUUUUUUUUUUUUUAAUUUUUCACAGCGGAUAUCAAAUGCUAAAUUUACUGUUAUUCCCAUAUCACGUCAUCGCUUGCUUCUACACAUUUUGAUUGUUUUUCCAAAGUUCAAAAUUGAAUUAAAAACAUUCUAAUUAACCUUAAAAUUAAAAAAAAAAAACUCAUCCAACCAGAUAUAAAUCUUCUAAUUAACCUAAAGAUAAGCUACACCCCCAUACUAAUUCCAAUUAAAUAAAUCUUCAUUUUUGUCAUGAUUUUGGAUCUCGAGCAGGGUGGAUAUAUCCAACUAGAUCCACCCCAUUGGCAUUCCAAUAUAUUAUGGAAUUGGAAGAGUAUCAAUGACUUAAUUUGUAAUUUUAAAUUUGUAACGUAUAAUUCUAAUUUGAGGAUUCAAAUGAAUUUAUGCGGAUCUAAAAGGGGACUGAAGAUGGGCAUGCAUACAUACAUACAUAUACAAUGAGAGAGAGAGAGAGAGAGAGAGAGAGAGGUAAUAUAACAUUCUUCUUGAUGAAGAUUUUUGUGCCAUACGAAUUAAAGAGAGUAUUGUGUCGAUGUUGGAGGCUUAAAGGGACAAGUGGUUACAUUGCUUCAGAGGUGUUUAGUAGAAACUUUGGUGAGGCAUCACAUAAUUUAAAUUACUAGAUUUAGCGAGAUAUAUAUAUUUUCUACAUUGGAUUUACAAGCAUUUGGAGCAGGAUAAUGAACUUAAAUUACUCGGAAUUGUAAACAGCGGAAAGUGAAAUUGCUAAGAAGAUGAAUAUUGUUGUUUUGUGGUGUAUACGGACUCGUCCAUCGGAUAGGUCGCCCAUGAACAGAGUGACAGAAAUGUUACUGCAAAGAAGCAGACUGACUAGCAGUGACGCUUUGAAUAAGUCCACCAAACAUCUUCUCCUACAAGACCACCAUUAUAUUUUUCCACCAUUCAACGUCGUGACGUGGGGAUCAGAAUUGAAUUAUAGGAUGCUUGUAAGUUUCCUUUGUGGAACUUGUGAAUUUGUGAUGGCAAAAGUCAAUGAUGCAUGUAACUAGCCGGCCCGUGUAGAGUCCGUUUGACUCAUAAAUAUUUGUCACUUUCACUCUUUUUCAAAACCCAAAAGCACGCUAAAGCUUAAUCUUAAAAGAAUUUUUGAUUUAGUGCUGACAUUUUGGGCUUACCUUUGAGUAAUUUUUACCACGCAUGCAUUUAUGUCAUUGUGCGGUCAUCCUUUACUUCUAAAGAUCGUAAUCUUUAAGAAAAAAUUACUUCUCUUGAAAGUGUAAGCAGGGCAGCUAUUGGCGUAUUGCAUUGCAGCUGCUAUGUGUAGUAGUCAAUUCUUGGAAAGAACUAGUUUUCUUAAAUUGUAAAUGGUCCCGUUUUAUGACUGGGAGAUUUUGAAUAAAAUUAAUAUGAUGAAUUCUUUGCAAGUGUUGUUCCUUGAAGUCUCAUCUUUCACAAUGUUUUUGAAAUAAAGAUAUUACCAUCUCUGACUAAAUAUUUACUCUUGAUUUGGACCACCUAAUCUGAACUUGAUGAAAGAAUAAAGAUUAUGAUCUUGCCUGAUUUUAUGGAUGUGGUUUUAUCUCACGUAAGUCAGUAAUGAAUUAAUUAAAAUUUACUGUCAAAUUACAAACUCAAAAACUGCUACUGCUUCAUUAUUCACAAUACCCAAAUUCAGUGCAGAACUUAUUAUAAGUUUUCCGAAAGUUUUACGCUUUCUUUCCCCCAAAUCCCAAGUACUUCUUGUAAUAUCAUUCCCCUGUAGAUGUCUUCCCCUAAGACAUGUUUAACUUUGGUUCAGGGUAACAAAGCUAUAGCUUUUCCUGCCGUGUGCAACAAGCUAUUAAAUUAAAGCAUUUAUUUCUGUAUUACUACUAGUAGUAAGAGAGGUGAAAUGGAAACUUGAAUUCAUGUUCAUACGACAGUUUGUUUAUAAAUAAAUGAGUUGAUAACAAGUCAUUUUAAAUAUUUGCCAAAACAAAACCGUGAGUGAUGUCUAGUUCAAUUUUCAAUGUUCAGAGUCCAAUUUUGAUUACUGGAAAUUUUAAUUAUGAAGUUGAAAUAAGAAUUUGUUACAAUAUAUUCCACCUUCCUAUACAGUCAUCUGGAAUAAUAAUAUAUCAAAAACAAUAAGAACUCAAUUUACAGGGUGAGAAAGAAAAGAAAGACGCUACGAGGGAAGCAGAGAUUUAAAGACUUCACUACUUUGUUGGAGGAACAAUUUCAUAAAUAUCCAGAAUAUUGACAUAAAACACAUACCAUAUCUAGCAUUAAGUAUAUUUAUUGUUUUCGACAUAUUUUGGGGGUAGGAAAAGCUAAACCUAUCUAGAACAAUGAAUUUAUAUUUUUAGGGGAGACGAGGUACCUCAUUGGUUUGUUGUGUGCGGUGUAUCUGAAAUUCGGGGUAGGUGAGAAGGGAAGAGGGAGUGGUAACAAUGGAGAAAGGUCAGAACAAAGAAAGAAGUCAUUCCAAAUGAGCUUCACGCCUGUAAAACAAUGAAAUAGAGGUUAGAGGUGAAGCCGUGAUACCCCGGCGUUCACACUCCGACGCUCAAGUUAGCAAACUCAAGCUUUUUAAUGGUAAAGAGGGCUUGUCAGCCCUCUGUAAAUCAAAGUUUAAGGUUGAAGAAAGCUUAUUUUGUGGAGUGUGAGUGUUAAUGGUGAAUGAGAACAUGAUGGAGAAUGAAACCUAGGCACCUUUAUAUAUGGAGUACCUCAGCUGCUACAUGACGUAUCAUUUUUAGCUUUUUAUGAUUUUUAGGCCGUUAUGUGCAUGUUCGCGGCGUAUCUCAUCUUUUGGAAAUGUGGCGCGCGCUUGAGAGCUGUCCAGGGUACCUCUGUAGUAGCUGUCGGAUAGGCGGCUGAAGACCACUGUCCUUGGGACAGUGUCCUUCACUUUUGGCAGAGGUGGCAGGCGAUUGCCCCCCAUUUUAGUACGACAUUUUUUAUUCCUAAUUCGGACAAAAUCGAAUAUUAUCCUUCAAAAUAUGGAGAUAUUUCCCAGGGCAGAUUUUUUCAGAGGAUUCCCCUGAGUCGGACCUGUCAGGUACCUCAAGUUAUCUGGGGUACCCUGAUAAAUGCGGGGUACCUCGAGUUACUUUGGAGUUAUGCGAGGUACCUCGAAUUAUGCCGGGUACCUCGAGUUAUUCCGGGUACCUUGAAUUAUUUUGGAGUUAUUCCGGGUAUCUCGAAUUAUACGGGGUACCUUGAAUUAUGUUGGAGUUAUUCCGGGUACCUCGAAUUAUGCGGGGUACCCCAAUCUAUGCGGGGUACCUCGAGUUACUCUGGAGUUAUGCAGGGUACCUCUGAUUGUGCCGAAUACCUCUAAUCGUGCAGGGUACCUUGAGUUACUCUGGAGUUAUGCGGGGCACCUCUGAUCACGCCGGGUACCUCUAAUCAUGCCGGGUACCUCUAAUCGUGCGAGGUAGUAUACCUCGAAUCAUGCCGAAUACCUCAGUUUACACUGAAGUUAUUCCAUUCGUUGAGACGUGGCGUUUUGCUAUCUUUCAUUUUUUCCCCCAAACAUUUAUAGAUGUCCAAAGAUAAAAAUUCGAAUAUUAGAUUUGUCAUUUCAAUGUAUGUUCUGCCCAAAGCAAUGACUUUUAUUCCACAAGCACAAGUAAGAAAGAGUACGCACAAAGUUAACAAACACACAUAGCAAACAUGACAUCAACUACUAGCAGCAGCAUCAUGCAUCUAGAAACUGCACUAUAAUCUUUUUGAGCUUUUCAACGGCAUCUUUCGUAUAUGCCUGCUGUUCUGGUGACUCCAUGCAAAAAUCCAAUGCCGAAUGCAUGCUGCUUAAUAAACAAUUCAUUUUAGCAGAAAAAGCUUGCUCUUCUGUCACCAAGUUUGCAUCGACAACAUCCCUCAAUGCACGACGUAAUGACUACCUUACCUAGUCUCUUAAACUUAUUUAUCCGGUAAACAUUUCAUUUGUGGGCUUCUAUCUGGUGAAAGUUUCCAUCAAUAAAACACCAUAACUAUAGACAUCACAUUUGGCCGAAAUCAUUCCUUCUAAUCCAUACUCUCCAUUUUUUGGUUUCGAUAGAUCAAAUGGAUGUGACAUCAUAAAACAAAUGAUAAACAAAUAAUCAGUCAAGAUGGCCCAAACUUUGACUGUGCUUAGAAAAGAGCAAAAUUUUGAAAUUAUAAUUGAAACCUUACCUGGUGCCAUCUAUAACCAAUUGUAGCCACUGUCAUGAUUUGGGUAACAGAAUCUUCUCCAUCACUUAAGAGUUCAAAAAUGCCGAACUCACAUAUGCCAGCAUUGAAAUACAAGUGUGCAACCCAAGAAGGGGGGUGAAUUGGGAUUCUAAAACAAAUUAUCAUGCAAAUCUAAAAUGAAUUUAAUGCAAUAACAAUUAAAUCAAUUACAAUAUAAAAAGAUAAGGGAAGAGAGAUUCAAACACGAAGAUUUUAUGCGGUUCGGCCAACCUCGCCUACGUCCACGCCUCCAAGCUUUCCAGGCUUGAGGAUUUCACUAAGCAAGCCUCCAAGGCUUCAAAUGCUUACACUUGACUUCCAAGGUGUCAAUGAACCUUUACAACAAGAGAUUAUCCCCAAUCUCUUAACCCAAGUGUAUCCCAACAUUUACAACCACUCAAAAUAAAAGAUUACAAAUUGUUUUUCUCUCACACAAUAUUUAAGAUUACAAAUUAAUGCCAAAUGUGUGAAUAGAUGAAGCAAGAAUAUGUUUAAAUCUCUAUGAAGAUUAUAUUCUCGAAUAUAAGCUCAAUAGUCGUGUUGUGAUCAACCUUGUUUGAAUUUUAAUGAGCUUAUUUAUAGUUGGAGAUGAAAAACUAGCCGUUAUAGACUGUCUGCUCGAAAACAAUUCACCAUUAACCAUUAACAGUUAACUGUUUAGGCUGGUCAAAGUUACCGUUGGGCCAAUUUUCAAAUAAACGGUUUUCCGUUUAGGAUUACCCUUUCGCCAUUAAAUUCCAGAGACCUGCAAGAUAAACUUCAGUUAUCCGUUUACAUUAAACGGUCAAAGAUUUGCAUGAAAUAACCUCUCUGGAAUUUAUCGGUUAGCCGUUUGUAAUAAACGGUUCGCUGUUUGUUUCCAGUAACAAGAUGAACACAGUUUUCCAUUCUGGAUUUUAUCGGUUAACCAUUUCAAUAAACGGUUCAUGGUUUAAUUCCAGUAGCCUUCUCAACAUUUUGUGUUUUCUGUUUUUGUUAACCGGUUAGAGCUUAAGCAAUUCGUUACUCUCUGGAUUUAAUCGGUUAACUGUUAAAAAGAAAACGGUUCAUCGUUUAUUUCCAGAAUCAUAUUGUUAGCCAGAUAUUGCAAAGAAUCAUUUUCCAAUUUUAAGUUUAACAGUAAUCCAACUUUUAUGAAUAUAAUUGGAAUGAUUAUAAGGUUUUCGUUUAUUAAUCCAACAUUUUAAUCAGAAACAUUUAAAGUUUGUUAUCAUCAAAAUCAAUAUUAUGAACAUAUACAUGUUAACAUUCUCCCCCUUUUUGAUGAUGACAAACUUCAUUCAAUAUUUGCUCCCCCUUAAUAUCUGCUCCCCCUAAAUGUGUGGCCAAAUCAAAAAUUGUCGAAUAAACUGAUUUUUGCUCAAGGAAACAUUUUAAAAAAAAUUCAUUGUUUUAAAAAAAAUUAAAAAACAAAAUUCAUUUCAAAUCUCCCCCUUUAUCAAUAUACUCAAUAUACAAGAGCAUAUACUCAAUAUACAAUAGCAUUACAAUAAUCUCUCCCCCUUCAUCAUCAAAAAGAAAAGAGAGAAAAGAAAUCCGUAAAGCAUAGAGGUGAGAAAGAAGUUGCCCAGUUUUGGCGAGCAAAAAAUUUGGCAUAGUUUCCCCUUAAAAUGGAACAAAUCCACUAAUACAAAAUGAGAUUAAAAAAGAAAACACUUCCAAAUAUAUUAACAACAACUCCAUCAUCCAACAUACCAACAACUCCAUCUUCCAAUAUCAAAUCAGCCAACAUCAAAUCAUCCAACAUCAAAUCAUCCAACAUUAAGAACAUCACAAAAACAAUCUAUCAUCAAAAUCAUAGAGAAGUAGCAAUGUAUACCAGAAUAUAAAUAGCAACACACAAACAAACAAAAUAUGAAAUGUAUGUGCGAAGAUGAGACUCAGAAACUAUGAAGGUGGUGAAGAUGUGCUCCCCGGAUCAUAACCGAAAUGACGAAGAAGAGUGCGCUAUCCAGCUAUAAGCUCAAGCUGCUGAUCAAUGCUCUGCUGCUGGAAGGUCUGAAACUCAGAACGAAGCUGCUGAUGGUCGUGGGAGAAGGUGUCCAAUCUAUCGAUAAUCAGCUGCUGCCUCUCUAAAAUCCUGCGAACAUCAUCCACCAACUGCUGCAAGGCGGCCGAAGUAGGGGGCUGAAUUGAAUCAUGAGGUUGUUCGGGAGCUGGAGGUGGCCCAGAAACGGAGGGCCGUGCAGGAACAACAGAUGGCUCGGGAGCGGAAGGCUAUGCUGGAGCUAGAGGUGGCAUCGAAGUGGAUGGAAUAUCAGCAUCCAUCUCACGCUCCUCAGAGUCAGAGUCAGCUGGAGGCUAGGGGACAAAACGGUGACGUGGAGGAGGUGGAUGAGCUCCUAAUCGAAAAUCUGGAAGCUGAUCGGGAGGAUAGACAUCGUUGAGCAUAUGAUCGUCCUCUGGAGCAAUCAAGGUAUCCCGAUUUUUGGAGUUUUUAGUCUUUAUCCACUGGCCAUUCUUUCUAGAAAAACUGAUACUAGUCAUGGCCUCUGGACCAAUCCGUCUAGUCUCCGUAUAACCGGUAUCUAGAAGAGGCACCUCAAAGCGUCGCAGUAUCUUAGUAAUGAUACUGCCAUAUGGAAGCAAGCGGCGAUUAACCGCGGGAGUACUCAACAUGUGCCUCACAAUAACAUAGAUGAGGUUAAUGGAUCGACCUGAAAUGAGGCUAUCUAAUAAGCCAACGUCUAACCUCGUAACCUCAUCCGAGUGACCCUUCCUAGGUGUCACUAUAUGCUGUAAAAUUGUGUGAAGUAUGCGAACUUGCAGAGGUAAAGGUUGAGACCAAAAAGGUAAGUGACAAGUUUCAUAACUCAGUUCUCGACGCCGACAGAUAUUACGAACUCCAUUAGCAUGACUAAAACCGUCAAAGGAAAGAGCUUUCCUAGAUGUAUAAAAUUUAUUACCAUCACUAGAGAUACCUAGAAAGCCAUUAAGGUCCUUAUCAUCAAAUUCAAUAUGAAUACCGCCAACCUAAGUAACUAUCCUAUCUAGGUGAGUUACGGAGAUUUCCAUAUUCGAAUAGAAAACUCGCACUAAAUUUGGAUAUACUCAGUCAUCAAAAUCAAUGGCAGACUCCCAAGGCUGAAGCAUAUCCCUAAUGCUUCUACCACACACAAUUAAAGUUUUAAAAUCUUCUAUAUCCACAUAGUAAGAAUCAAGUACCUUUCUACCAUUGAAGGGGUCCUCGAAACGCUUGGCCAAAGAGGCUAUGGGGAAAUGAAUUCUUUCGAAUUCAGAGACUCUCCGUGGUGGUAUAGAAUUCCUUUGAGGCGUAUCCUUCCUCCUUCGAAGUCUUCGAGAGUACGCAACCAUGGUGAAGAACAAGGAGAAUGAGGGAUUUUGAGAACAGUGACUUUGGACGAAAAAUAACUGAUUUUGGGAUCAAGAGAUAGUGGAGGAUGGAAUUUGGAAGCUUAAUGUGGUUGAAAAAUGACACGAAUUAGGUCAAAAAUGACAAAACCUAACCGGCUGCCCUUAGGGUUUUGAUUUGGAAUUUUUCAAUUUCAGGCUCGAUUCGAAGAUUUGAAUCGGUAAAAGUGAUCUAAAGGUGAUGGGAAAUGAUGUUAUAGGUGUGAUUUGGCAAGGAAAUCAAGAAAAAUGGAGUUUUGAUGAUAGAGAAAACUUCGGCUGCGCAACAAUGGCUGAAAUGGUAAGAAGGUAAAUGAAAAGAGAGAAGAAACCCUUGGAACAGUUUUUAUAUCGCAUGAAAACGGUUAACCGUUUAUUUAAACGGUUAGGGAGUAACUUUCAGAGACUAAUGAAUGGGAAACGGUGAAAGGGUAUCCUUUUAACGGCUAAGGAGUAACUUCCAGUGAGCUCUCUAUUUUUAAACGGUUUACCAAUUGCGUCAAACGGUAAAAGGGUAAAAGGCAGACAUCAUAAUCUAGUUUCUAGAAUAAAACGGUACACAGUUUAUUGGAAACGGUUAUCCGUUUAUUUUAUCUAUAAUUUCACACAUUUGAUUUAAUUUUUGGCCAGCAAAUAAUACAUUCAAAGAUCAUUUAAUUGAUCCAAAAAUGUUUUAUGAGCCAUUUUAAUGCAUGAUUCAUGAACAUGUAUUCAAGCAAUUAAUUCAUAUAAACAUUCAAGAAUUAUCAAAGCAAACACAUCACUUGAAUAUCAUGCUUAAGCAUUUCAUAAAUAUUAAAUCAUCAAAUCAUUAAUAAGUCAAUCAAUUCAAUACACUCAAUAACAUUAAUAGAGAAGUUAAUGCGAAAAUUUCAUCAUCCCAAGUUCAUGCCGAAUUUUUGAAAAUUAUUCUUCGCCAAGAGGUUUGGUAAAAAUAUCGGCAAGUUCUUUUUUUGUAGAAAUAAACUCUAAUGCAAUAUCUCCCUUUUGAACAUGAUCUCUCAAGAAAUGAUGUCUUAUUUCAAUAUGCUUGGUUCGAGAGUGUUGAAUGGGAUUCUUUGAUUCUAGUCUAGCUACGGGUGCAAAUGUUUCAUCAAAAUCAAUUCCUUCUUCUUGGUUGUAACCUUGAGCCACUAAUCUAGCUUUAUUCCUUACAACCACACCGGAUUCAUCCAUCAUAUUUUUAAAUACCCAUUUAGUACCUAUGACGGAUUGAUGUUCCAAUUUAGGAACUAAUUCCCACACAUUGUUUCUUUCAAAUUGAUUUAACUCCUCUUGCAUUGCCAUAAUCCAAGAUUUAUCAUUUUCCGUAUCCGCAAAGGAUUUGGGUUCAAUUUGAGAAAUAAAUGCAUUAUGCUCACAAGUAUUCCUAAGUGAUGAUCUAGUUGUAACACCUCGUGAGGGAUCUCCUAAAAUUACAUCCUUAGGGUGAGAAGAAACAUACCUCCACUCUUUGGGGAGUGAUUGAGAAGUACCUUUAUUUUGCUUUACCUUUGUUUCUUCAUGUUGGUCAUCUUGAUUCCCAUGAGACGCAUCCUUUUGGUUAGCUUUUGAUGAUUCUUUUUGUAAGUCUUCAUCUACAUCAUUAUUAACAACAAAUUUCUCCAUAGAGGAGGGGUUAGAUUUAUCAAAUGUAACAUGCAUCGAUUCUUCUACAACUAGAGUUCUUUUGUUAUAAACUCUAUAAGCUUUGCUUGAGUUUGAAUAUCCAAGAAAAAUACCCACAUCAGAUUUUGGAUCAAAUUUGCCAAGAUUAUCUUUUGUGUUCAAAAUAAAACAUUUGCAUCCAAAAACUUUGAAAUAACCAAUAUUGGGUUUUCUAUUUUUCCAAAGCUCAUAUGGAGUUUUUGUAAGGUUAGGUCUAAUCAACACACGAUUUAAAACAUAACAAGCGGUGUUGACGGCCUCGGCCAAAAAAUACUUAGGCAAUGAAUUUUCAUUCAACAUAGUCCUAGCCAUUUCUUGAAUGGAUCUAUUCUUUCUCUUAACAACUCCAUUUUGUUGUGGAGUUCUAGGUGAUGAAAAUUGAUACUCAAUGCCAAAAUCAUUACAAAAAAUCUCAAAUGCAUGAUUUUCAAACUCUCCUCCAUGAUCACUCCUAAUGCAUCUUUUUCAUUUUGAAUUUUCUUACAAAGUACUUUAAAGACAUCAAGAGCAUCAUCCUUAUUAGCUAAGAAUAAUACCCAUGUAUAUCUAGAAUAAUCAUCCACUAUCACAAAUGCAUAAUAUUUGCUAUUUAGACUAGCAUAUCUAGAGAGCCCAAAUAAAUCUAUGUGAAGAAGUUGAAGUGGUUUUGAAGUAGAAAUAUGAUUUUUAUUUUUGAAAGAUGUUUUGAUUUGUUUUCCAAAUUGACAAGCUUCACAAAUCUUAUCUUUUUGAAAACUAAUUUUUGGAAGACCUUUAACUAAAUCAUUUUUCGAAAUUUUUGAAAUCAAAUCCAUACUUGCAUGUCCUAACCUUCUAUGCCAUAACCAACUAUCAUCAUGCAAUGCCGAAAAGCAUUUAUCAAGAGCAGAUGCAUAUUCUAUGUCAAUGAUAUAAACAUUACCACAUCUAUUCCCAACAAAUAAGAUCUUGCCAUCACAUGAAUUCUCAAUAACACAACUAAAUUUAUCAAAGACAACUUUAUAACAUUUGUCACAUAAUUGACUAAUACUAAUUAAGUUGUGUUUCAAGUUCUCAACCAAACAUACAUUAUUAGAGUUGAGGAAACUUUACCAACAUUUCCAAUUCCAAGAAUUUUUCCUUUUGAGUUGUCUCCAAAAGAUACCUCUCCACCAUUUUCAAUUUUGGUGAAGCUUGAGAACCAUGCAUAAUUUCCGGUCAUGUGCCUUGAACAACCACUGUCUAAGUACCAUUUAUUUUUCUUCUUCUUCAAGCCCUCAUUGAGAUCAUCAUCCUCUCCUAUUGCCAUAAGCGCUAGGUUUGAUACUUCUUGCAACCCUUCUUCAUCACUUGAAUCUUCCUCGUUAUCAUCCCAAGUUGCAACGAUGGCUUUCUUCUUGAGUUUGUUGAUAAGUGGGCACUCCGGUCUUAUAUGGCCAAGCUUCUUGCAUUCAUAGCAUGUGAUUACCUCUUUCUUCUCCCUUUGGUUCUUGAAGUUUCUGAAUUUUCUUCGCUCUCCGAUUUUCUUGAAGAAAUUUCUAAACAUCCUUGCCAGCAUGGCCAACUUUUCAUCAUCCGGUUCACUCUCCCUAUCACUCUCAUAUUUUGAAGCUUUGAGAGUAAUGCUUUUCUUAUUCUCCUCAUGCCCUUUUUCUGCUGCCAAAUCUUUUUCAUAUGAAAUGAGAGAACUGAUUAAAUCAUCAAGAGGUAAAGUAUUUAAAUUUUUGGCCUCUUCAAUAACGGUUCUUUUAGGUCUCCAUUCUUUUAGAAGUGACCUAAUGAUUUUCUUAACUUUCUCGCUAUUUGAGAAGGUCUUUCCUAGGGCUCCUAGGGUGUUUACUAUGUCGGUAAAUCUAGUAAAGCAUUCAUAGCUUUGGAAUUUAGAGAAACUUUUCUCUUUUCCAAUUCAUUCCAUUCUCGUGAAGGUUUUGGAAUAUCUUCCCCGACUUCAUUUUUAGUUAGGGGCAAAAAUGGACCAUCACAUAUAACUUCCCAAAUUUCAUAAUCUAAUGCUUGUAAAUAAAUUCUCAUCCUAGUUUUCCAAUAUAGGUAGUCAUUUCCGUCAAAGAACGGUGGUCUAGUUGUGGACUGUCCUUCCCUAAAGGUUGAGUCAUUUUGGGUUGCCAUGGAUCUUUUACUCUAGACGGUUAAGUCCUAACAAAAGAACCAAGCUCUAAUACCAAAUGAAAUACAAGUGUGCAACCCAAGAGGGGGGUGAAUUGGGAUUCUAAAAAUUAUUUGAUUAUAAAACAAAUUAUCAUGCAAAUCUAAAAUGAAUUUAAUGCAAUAACAAUUAAAUCAAUUACAAUAUAAAAAGAUAAGGGAAGAGAGAUUCAAACACGAAGAUUUUUACAUGGUUCGGCCAACCUUGCCUACAUCCACGCCUCCAAGCUUUCUGGGCUUGAGGAUUUCACUAAGUAAGCCUCUAAGGCUUCAAAUGCUUACACUUGACUUCCAAGGUGUCAAUGAACCUUUACAACAAGAUAUUGUCCCCAAUCUCUUAACCCAAGUGUAUCCCAACACUUACAAUCACUCAAAAUAAAAUAUUACAAAUUAUUUUUCUCUUACACAAUAUUUAAGAUUACAAAUUAAUGUCCAAUGUGUGAAUAGAUAAAGCAAGAAUAUGUUUAAAUCUCUAUAAAGAUUGUAUUCUCGAAUAUAAGCUCAAUAGUCGUGUUAUGAUCAACCUUGUUUGAAUUUUAAUGGGCUUAUUUAUUGUUGGAGAUGAAAAACUAGCCGUUAUAGACUGUCUGCUUGAAAACGGUUCGCCGUUAACCAUUAACGGUUAACUGUUUAGGCCGGUCAAAGUUACCGUUGGGCCAAUUUUCAAAUAAACGGUUUUUCGUUUAGGAUUACCCUUUCGCCGUUAAAUUCCAGAGACCUGCAAGAUAAACUUCAGUUAUACAUUUACAUUAAACGGUCAAAGAUUUGCAUGAAAUGACCUCUUUGGAAUUUAUCGGUUAGCCGUUUGUAAUAAACGGUUCGCUGUUUGUUUCCAGUAACAAGAUGAACACAGUUUUCCAUUAUGGAUUUUAUCGGUUAACCGUUUCAAUAAACGGUUCACGGUUUGAUUCCAGUAGCCUUCUCAACAUUUUGUGUUUUCCAUUUUUGUUAACCGGUUAGAGCUUAAGCAAUUCGUUACUCUCUAGAUUUAAUCGGUUAACCAUUAAAAAGAAAACGAUUCACUGUUUAUUUUCAGAAUCACAGUGUUAGCCAGAUAUUGCAAAGAAUCAUUUUCCAAUUUUAAGUUUAACAGUUAUCCAACUUUUAUGAAUAUAAUUGGAAUGAUUAUAAGUUUUCGUUUAUUAAUCCAACAUUUUAAUAAAAAACAUUUAAAGUUUGUUAUCAUCAAAAUCAAUAUUAUGAACAUAUACAUGUUAACAAACAUAUUUUCAUCCAAGAGAAUAUUGCUAGGCUUCAAAUCACAAUUAAUUACAGGUGCUGAUGAAUGAUCGUGAUGGAGAUAUUCAAGUGCCAGCCGCACAUCUAUCAUUAUAUUCGACCUCUCUAGGAUAUCUAGGAAAUAGUUGUGAGAACACAACUAUUUCUCAAGACUACCAUUGAGCAUGAACUCAGGCACCAGUGCUUUAGAACCUGGGUUGCAACAGCUGCUAGUGAUCUUUAUGAGAUCUUGAUGACGAACACUCCACAAUACUUCACACAUUCAGAAUCAAAACUCCUAAAGGCUCUCUCUAGCUGCAGAUUGAAAACCUUUAUUACAAUGAUAGUCACAUCAUAAAGUUUGCCUUUAUAAACAGAUCCGAAGCUAUUCGUACCUAACAUGAUAUUCUUUUCCAUGUUGUCGAAUAGAACAAAUCUUCUUAUCUGGAGUUCUUGUUUUCCUAUUUUGAAGUAUUAUAAAGAAUAUUAUAACAGUCGUUAUUAGUACAUUGGAUAUAAUCGAAGGCAAAGUAUAUUUUAGGACAAGCAGAGUAGCACUCUUGGAUCCUUUGCUAUUAUCUUCUUUGCAAGGUAGGACUUGAAGUCCUAGUGGACCACAGAGUGCAUAAUUCUCAACAAACGAUUGAGCUGAAAUGUUUUUAAUAGGUCAUUUGAUAGGAAUUCCCCCUUUUAGCCUAUUGUGAGACACAUUAAGUUGUUUGAGAUAUGAGAGUGCCUCCAUUGACUUUGGAAUUUCUCCAGAGAGAUUGUUGCUAGGGAGAUCCAAAGAUUCCAACCUUAUCAAACUACCAAAUGAUUUAGGGAUCAGACCAUAAAAUUUGUUUCUAGCCAGGGAUAAAGUUGCUAUAUCUUUGAGGCCACCAGUACUUAUUGGUAUAUCACGUGAUAAUUGAUUUCUUGAUAAAUCAACUCUAUUAAGACCUUUAAGUUUUGUAUAUCUGAAGAUAGAGGACCACUUAGAGAAUUUGUUGUCAAGUUUACAAACAAGAUGUACUCAAGACUCCAUAAGGAUGAUGGGAUACUAGAAGUGAGCGUGUUGGAGCUUAAAAAGAGUGUUCUUAGAGAAGUCAGACUGCCCAAGCAUUGCGGUAUAUGUCCGAAGAGCUUAUUUUCAUUUAAAAAUAAACCAGUCAACCGUUCCAAGCGGCAAAGAUCACUGGGAAUGUAUCCUUACAAAUGAUUGGCAUUGAAAUAUGAAACUUGUAGUGUCUUUAACGUUUGCAUUGAGGCUGGAAUAGUUCCGUCCAAGUCGUUAUUGGAGAGGCUUAAAAGUAUCAAGCCACGAAAAUUACCAAUCUCUUGAGGAGUGCUGCCCCUAAUUUUGCAAUCAUGUGCAAAAAAAUUUUGAAACGACUCAGAGAAAUUCCCAAUUAAUGGUGGAAGGAUGCCACGUAAAGAUUAGAACCUAAGGCUAAAAAUGCCAGCAUCCUGCAAGAAGUCAAAGAAGGGAGAAAACUCCACCACCAGUAGAUGAUUCAGUCGUCAAGUAAUUAUACACCAGGUUGAGGAGGCCAAGGAAUCUCAGGUUGCCAAAAGUGCUUGGGAUAAGGCCGGAGAAAGAGUUGUAGCUCAAGUCUAGGACUCCGAGUUUAAAAGCGUUGGUGAUGGAGUUGGGAAUUGUACCGCUAAGUUUGUUCUUCGCCAAGCUUAACCAGUCCAUGUUUGGAAGCGAGUGGCCAAUCGUUGAUGGUAAAUGGCCUGUGAAGUGGUUUUCAGCUAGAGUAAUUCUUGUUAUGUUGAAAUAUUGAAGAUCGUGGGUAGAAUAGAACCAGUUAAGUUAUUGGAAUUAAGAGCUAAAUACUCCAGAUUUUGUAGAUUGCCCAUCUCAGUUGGAAUUUCACCUGCCAGUAUAGAUGCCCACAUUAUAUUCACACCUAUUGUGCUAAAAGGACAAGCAGAGUAAUAUAUAUGUUUAAAUGCAUUAAAGUCGCAAGUUUCGUUUGACACCAAGCAUAUAAAUUAUGAUCUCUCUAGUUAAGCGAUUUUGUGAUUUUGUUAAUUAGUUGAAAAAAAAAUAUGAUGGAGAAUGUUUGAAUUGGGCCUUCUAUUUUCAUUAUAGAAUAAAUAAACUAUUAAUUUUCAUGAGAAAAAUACUUAUUUCCAUAAAAUUAUUCAAGCUUUUAAAAAGAUUCAGAAUUAAAACUUUUGUACAGUAGAAAAUUUGCCGGUACGUUCAAUUAGUAGUUUGUUUGAGGAAAUAAGAUUAGAAUAGGCUAUAGGUACGGUGGUUAUGCGGUACCUGUUUCAUAACUGUAGUAUAGCAAAUGUUUGACUUUUUUUAUUAGAAAUAUAUCAUUAACAAUUUUGUUCGCUAAUUGAAUAGAGAAAGAGGGGGGGGGGGGGGGGGGGCAAAAAGGUUAACACAGUUCGAAACUACAAACGAUUGCCUUUUCCUAUUAAUAAUGUUUGCAGAUUCUAACAAUUGAAUCUCAAGGUCAUUAUAUAGUGAAUUUUAUAGUGAAUAAAAUUAAUAUUCCACAUACUAUGUACUCAAUUAAUAUCACAUUAAUUGAGACUUAAGGUAGGGCUCAAUUGUUGGGAUACCUGAUAUUAUUCUCUUUCUAAAUAUAAAAUUAAUGUUAAUAAUAAAAGCAUUUGGAAAUUGGGUCGAAUCCCCCAUUAGGGAUCAAAUUGGGAUUGCGGUUGCUGAUGAAGCUACUUUAUAUUGUAUGGAUUAAAUAAGAUGCCGAUUGAAAAAAUAACUUAGUGUUUUGAAAAUUGCGUUGUUAUGGUUACUGUAAGUUUGUAAAGCAGAAUACAUGCAUUUAGUAAAUUUGAUUAUGAAAGUGUUGUUUUGUUAUAUAAUGACAAAAAUAGACAUAAGUUCAAAUUGCCUUUUAUUUAGAUAUUAGGGUUUGCAGAAAAAAAAGACUUAAUUAUCUUUGGUUAAAGUUUUAAGGUUAUAAUAAGAACUUUAAAAGUACAUGGCAACUUAUUUAAUAAGCUGCUUAUAAAAUGUAACUUCAUAUCAAGAAGUCUGAGGAUAAUACGAGUAGAGAAUUUGAGAAGGCAGCUAGGCGCCUAGAGAAUGCUCGAUUGGUUUGUGGCCUAUCUUUUAAUUUCUUCAGAUUCGGGACAAAUUGUCUCGGAGUGAACUGAUGUGUUGCCUUUUCUUUUUUGAAGCUUGGAUGAUCUAUUUGCUACAGUUAGAAGUGAAAAUCGUAAUGAAUGUUAAAUUAUGCUGAUUGUUUCGAUUUACUUUUCUAUCUUAGCUCCAUAUGAUUAGCGGAAUGCUGGUCCUGCGAGUAUAAAAAUGAACUCCUUAAGUCAAAUUCCUUCUUGGGGUGUUGGAGAAAGAACUAAAUACACGUAAUAUUUCUUUCAGAUAUGGAUCAUCUGAUGGAUGUUGUAUUUUCUAGGUAUUGACGAGAUUCCCCAAUAUUGAAAAUUACGUUGCCGUGCAUCAAAAUGUGAUCCCCUAGAAUUCACCUGUGACAAAAAGAGGACCUUGUAGCUGAGGCAUGGAUUUUUAUCUUUCUUGGUUAUAGUUGUUUCUCAUCAUAAUAGCAAAAGCAGUUUGUUCUGAGUGACCUAUGUGGUCUACUAUCAAUCUCUGCCAUUUCUAUCAUUUAGUACUAUUGACUAUGUGAGUAUAGAUAAUUUGUUUCUACCAUGUAAUUUCAUGUUUGAUACAUUUCUAAUACAUUGCAUAGCGUCCAUGAACGGGAAUUAUAAAAUAAAUUUCAAGCAUGUUUAAGUAGAUGAAAAAAACUUGGUACGAUUUAGAAGGAUCUACUGAUUAAAUAAUUUUUCCUAUUUGUUUGCCUGAAGGAAUUGAAUAGUUAAUUGAUUAAAGGAUUGCAGGGUGGUUAGGUCCAGCUGGGCAUUGUCAAUAUUAACGAUCAUUAUGAAUGUGUAGUUCCUGUAUGUGAAAUUGAAUUUCCAUGGUGACAUGAUAAAAUGAAUUUCUGGUAGGGUGUGAUCGUAUGGUAGCCAAUUGUGAGCAACAGAUCCACAUAGUGAUAUAGAUUGAAAUUUUGCGUCUUAAUCCUUGAAGAUAUAGAUUUUGGCAAUAUUGUACAAGCACUGGGGGUUACCUUAAAUAUUCUGGACUUGCCAUUGAUGGAGUUUCUUUUACCUAGUUAUUGAUAUUGCUUUCAAUUUUCUAUUUUACUGAUACCAUAUAUACAAUUUUAGGUGGCAAGACAACUUUCGAUUUCUAUUGAGCCUGAAAACCUACAUCUACCAUCACCUCUGUCAGCUUUCGGGGAAUACGAGGUUCCUAUGCGCUUACCCAAAAUACGAGGUCCAGUGGACUCUCAAUGUUAAAGUUCGCGGCAAAUAAACAAUCGUUUCAUUUGUUUGGGUCGUAUUUUUUGUGUCGUAUUUUUCUGUGUCGUAUUUUUUCCCCCAAGGUUUUGGUGCCUGUUGCAAACGGGAGUGAGCUGAUUGAGGCCGUGAUAACGAUCGAUGUUUUGAGAAGGUCUCGAGUUGACGUCACGGUUGCGUCUUGGAGAAACAGCUUCGUGUGGACGCGUGUCAUGGUGUCAAGAUUGUCGCGGAUGCUCUCGUGUCUGACUGUCGCGACGCCGUUUUUGAUCUUAUAGCUCUUCCCGUAUGUAUUGCAGCUCACCUCAGCUCAUGCUAAUUUAUGUGAUGUUUUUAUAAUUAUAGAUGAUUAUUGCUGAUACUGAAUGGUAAGCUAAAUAAUUCGUCAUUAAGUCAUCUUCAUUUUAUUUUCGAUUGAAAAUGAAAAAAUAAUAAUUUUGAGCAAAGAAAAAUAUAGAAAAUGUUUAUUUUGUUUUAUUUUUAUUUUUAAAUUUUUUGGGAUUUCCUUAUUGUGAUUGUUAUCAUUCAUUAUAUGGUCCUAGUUAAAUGUUUCAAGUUGUUGUAGUUUGUGAAAAUCUUUUCGAUAUUUAUUCUGGCAUGUACAUUUUUCCUUUCAAUUUAUUUUGUUGCUGAUACUUUGAUUAUGAUAUAUCCUUUUUUGUUUCCCUUGGAGGGUGGCAUGCCUGGUGCUACAAAUCUGAAAGGAUCUGAAGUAUUAGAAACCAUUGUGAAGAAGGCAUGCCCGAUGCUACAAAUCUGAAAGAAUCUAAAGUAUUAGAAACCAUUGUGAAGAAGCAGGCUUCAAAUGGGCGUCUUUAUGCUGCUGUCUGUGCUUCACCUGCUGUGGCAUUAGGGUCUUGGGGUCUAUUGAAGGGAUUGAAGGUAAGAGUUAGAUAAGCCUUUUUGAUGUUUUGUGUUCUUUUGGGAAUCACAUUGAUAUUUGGAAUCACAUUGAUAUUUGUGUUAUACGUUAGUUUUCUUCUCAUCGAUGAUUGUUAAGUUCUAAUUUAUGGGUUAUUCAUCUUUUGUAGGCUACUUGCUAUCCAUCAUUUAUGGAGCAAUUAGCUCCUGCUUGUGCAGCAACUGUUGAAUCAAGAGUACAGCAGGAUGGUAAAGUUGUUACAACUCGUGGACCUGGCACUACCAUGGAGUUUGCUGUUGCACUUGUUGAACAGUUGUAUCGGAAAGGGAAAGCUGAUGAAGUUUCUGGGCCACUGGUAUUAAGUUUUAUAGAUUAUGUUGUUUAAAAAAAUUAUGAGUUAUAUAAUUUGUGGGAAUCCAUUCUAAUAGGUUCCGCUGGCGUAUCUAAUUGAAGGUUCGGAUACUAAUGUAUUCAAAAAAAUUAGUUUAGGGGAAAAUUAUGACUUUUUGCAUUAGUAGUUCAUUAGGUGAAGUUGUAUACUGCUUGUGUUGAAAUGUCAAAUAUUUGGCUGCCAAUUUCAAAGAAACAAAUUUGGUUGGCUUGACAAUUUCAAAAGACAAAGUUAGGUUUUGAAAUGUGGGUUGAGCAAUUACUAAUACUGCGACUUCUAGAGAAAUAUAAAUGUGGUGAUAAACAAAUGCAAAGAAAAUAGGACACAAUAAUUUAUGUGGUUCGGCGUAAUGCCUACGUCCACAGGCAAAGACUGAAAAAUAAUUUUACUAACAAAUGGGAAUUUACAAAAGUGGGAAAAAACUCACAAAACCCACAACCCCAAUACACCCAAAUGGAACCUCACUAGAACACUCAAGUGGAAGCUCUCUCAAACUGUCUCAAAAAACUCACUUGCAAUUGCUCUCUACUUCUCUCAAAUUGGGAAUGCUUAGAAUGAAUGAUCUCUCCUCUAUUUAUAGCUGAGCCUUGCCAUUCAUGCUUUCCAUUUUCAAAGCAAAAGUCUUGAGCUCCUUCCAAAUUGUCAAGGGUCGGCGCCAUCUUUAGCCAAUUUUGAACAUCACCAAAUUGCAUGUACAAGCUUUUCAAAACCUUUUUCAUGCUUUCAAAACCUAACUUUGUCUUUUGAAAUUGUCAAGCCGACCAAAUUUGUUUCUUUGAAAUUGGCAGCCAAAUAUUUGACGUUUCAACAGCUUGUCCAUCUUAAGAUGGUGAAAACAAUGUCUGAUAUAAUUAAUGGCAUCUCGAUAUGUGCAUUUGUUGAGCUUUAAUGUCUGGACUGAUUAAAUUACUUUUAAUGUAAUUUCUUUCUCUUGGUAUUUGUCUUUGAAUUUUCUCUUCCUCAUGCUUUCGUCGUUAUUGUCACCUUGUGCCUAGGUAAUGCGUGCAAAUCAUGGAGAUGAAUUCACUAUUGCUGAAUUCAAUCCAAUCCAGUGGACAUUUGACAAUUCUCCUCAGGUGAGAUUGGACUUCUAGUUUCUUGUAUUUGUUUAUCUUCGUCUGAUGUUUUCAGGCAUACCCAUUCGGCAAUAUAUAAAACUCUGUGAUAUCUUCUAUAAAUAUACAUACAGAUCAUUGGCUUCACUCAUUUGUGAACAUAUUGGAGGUAGUAGAUUUAUGGUUAUGAUAUCUCUAAUAAAAUCCAAAGUUCGAUGCAACCACAAAAGAAGUUGUAGAAACUAAGGUGCUAUGAACAGACUAAGCAACCUUAUAUUCUGCCCCAAGAUCACCAACCAACUAAUCAAGAUGCUGCAAGAUUGAUGACUGAAAAGCUACGACUAAGAUGAAUCUAUAGAACUAGAGAAUUAACCAAUUUGCGUUUAAAAGAAUCAACAGAAGUAGAGCAAUCAAAGAACAAAAGAAACUUAACAUGGUUCAGCUAGAUUUCUCUGGCUUACAUCCACGGGAGGGUAAAGAAUAGCUUUAUUGACUUAACAAGAUGAAUUACAGAGUAAUGCUCAUAUUAUGGAAAGAACGUAACUGACUAUAUAUAUAGACCAGUCCCCCUCUCUCUCUUCAGCUCUCUCUGCAUACCAAUCUGUUGCUUCUUUUAAACCCAAAUUAGUUAAUUCUCUAGUUCCAUAGAUUCAUCUUAGUUGUAGCUUUUCAGUCAUCAAUCUUGUAGCAUCUUGAUUAAUUGGUUGGUGAUCUUGGGGCAGAAUCUAAGGUUGUUUAGUCUGUUCAUAGCACCUUAGUUUCUACAAUUGGUAUCAGAGCUGGAUCUACAACCAAUAACAAGUAUGGUUUCAACCAAGAUCGAUCUUGAGAAGUUUACUAGCAAGAAUGAUUUCAACAUAUGGAAGGUGAAGAUGGAGGCCUUGCUGAUAACACAGGGGUUAGGAGAUGCACUUGAACCUAUCACCAAGAAGGAAGAAAAAGAAGUAUCAUCCUCUAAGACACCUGAAAUGGCUGCCGAGAUAGACAAGAAGGCCAGAAGCACCAUCAUAUUGAGCUUUGGUGACUCAGUGAUAAGAGAGGUUGCCAAGGAGAAGACUAUUGCAGACCUAUGGGCCAAAUUAGAAAAGAUUUAUAUGACAAAAUCUUUAGCUAAUAGGUUAUAUAUCAAAAGGAGGAUGUUCACUCUGAAAAUGGCUGAAGGGUCCUCUCUGGAUGAUCAUAUCGAUGAAUUCAAUCAAGUUUAUGACACACUUGAAACCAUUGAUGAGGGGCUGGAUGAUGAAGGAAAGGCAUUGCUUCUGGUGAGUUCUUUACCUCAGUCUUACUCAAAUCUUGUUGAUGCUCUUAUGUAUGGAAGAUCAACCUUAUCAUUAGAUGAGGUUAAAGCUGCCUUGAAUACUAGAGGGCUACAAGAAAAAUCUGGAAAUAUAAUGCAUGCUAAAGGAUUAUCAGUUAAGGGUAAGUUUAACAAGAAUGAUGGAAAGAAGAAGAAACAAAAGCAAGACAAGUCUAAAUCACAAAACAAGAAGUGCUUUCAUUGUAACAAAGAAGGCACUUCAAGAGAGGCUGUCAAGAACUGAAGAACAAAAGCAAGGAAAGAAAUGGUGAUACAGCUACAGUGGAGGAAGAAGGUUAUGAAUCUGCUGGUGUAUGUGUGGCUACAGAGGAUCUCCAGAGAGGUAAAUGGAUACUAGAUUCUGGUUGCACAUUUCAUAUGUGCCCAUUUAAAACUUACUUUUUUAUUACCAUGAUUUAGAUGGGGGAAAAGUAAUGAUGGGUAACAAUGUUGUAUGGAAAGUCAUAGGCAUAGGCAAUGUGAGUCUUACGCUUCAUGAUGGAACAAUUUGGGAACUUAGAGAGGUCAGAUAUGUUCCUGAUUUAAAGAGGAACUUAAUCUCACUAGGUUUGAUAGAUCAGAAUGGGUUUAGUAUUAAGCUUGAAUCUAGUAGAUUGUUGAUCAUGAAGGGCUCUAAGAUAGUGAUGAAAGGUUAAAAAAGAAAUGGAGUAUAUGUCCUAGAUGGUGAGGCAGUUACAGGAAUAAUAGAUGUGAUUGUUGGCACUGGUGGGGUUAGCACUAGGCUGUGGCACCUAAGAUUGGGGCAUAUGAGUGUUAAGGGGUUAAAAGAACUUGAGAAACAAGGAGUUCUGGGGAAGGAUAAGAUAGAAGAGUUAGAUUUUUGUGAAGAUUGUGUAUUUGGGAAGUCCACAAGGCACAGUUUCAAACACUCAACUAACAAAUCUAUUGGCAUCCUAGAUUACAUACACUCUGAUCUCUGGGGACCAGCACAUACCAACUCAUUAGGUGGUAAUAGCUAUUUUUUGUCAAUAAUUGAUGAUUAUUCAAGAAGGGUUUGGGUCUAUGUACUGAAACACAAAGAUCAAGUCUUUAGUAAAUUUAAAGAAUGGAAAACCUUAGUUGAAAAUCAAACUAGAAAGAAGGUCAAGAAACUAAGGACAGAUAAUGGACUUGAGUUCUGCAAUCUGCAAUUUAACAGCUACUGUGCAAAUGAGGGGAUAACAAGGCACAAAACAGUGAGGUUAACAGCUAGUUAUCUGGUGAAUUUGAGUCCCUCUACUGCUCUUGAUUUUAAGACUCCAUUUGAAAUAUGGCAUGAAAAACCAGCAAGCUAUGUCAAUCUUAAAGUGUUUGGAUGCCCUGCUUAUGCACAUGUCAAUCAAGAGAAGCUAGCACCUAGGGCUCUUAAAGGUCAGUUCCUAGGCUAUCCUGAUGGAGUUAAAGGAUACAAACUAUGGUGUACUGAUCUAGAACCUCCAAGGUGCAUAAUAAGCAGAGAUGUGGCAUUUAAUGAGAAGGCUAUUUUGGAAGUCAGAAAGGAUGCUAGGUUGAAAACUAAGAAACCUCAAGUGGAAGAUAACAUCCAAUUUGGGGUGGAGCACCCUGAUUCAAAGAAAUCUGAGAGGAGUGAAAGUUCAGAUCAAGACAGUGAAGAUCAUGAUGAAUGCAGUGGCCCUCAACCACAAUCUCAAAGGCAGACUCAAGUACAAGGGUAUCAGCUGACAAAAGAUAGAGAAAAGAGACAAAUCAGACCACCACAGAGAUAUGGAUAUGUUGAUCUGAUAGCGUAUGCACUAGCUGCUUCACAUGGUAUUGAUGUAGAUGAACCCAAGAGUUAUGCUGAAGCAAUUCAAAGCUCAAACAAAUUAGAAUGGCAGGAAGCUAUGAAUAAAGAGAUAUCUUCCCUAAAGAAGAAUCACACUUGGAUACUGGUUGAGAAGGCUGGUAACAGAAGGACAAUGGGUUGCAAGUGGGUUUUCAGAGUCAAAGAAGGCCUCACAGCUAGUGAACUUAGCAGCUACAAAGCUAGGCUGGUGGCUAAGGGGUACACUCAAAGGGAAAGAGUUGACUUUAAGGAGGUAUUCUCCCCUGUGGUCAGACAUGCCUCCAUAAGGGUAUUGUUAGCAAUGACUGCAGUUCAUGAUUUAGAGCUUGAUCAACUCGAUGUCAAGACUGCAUUCCUACAAGGAAGACUACAGUAAGAAAUUCUUAUGACUCAACCUGAGGGUUAUGUGGAUUCUGAAAAACCAAACCAUGUUUGCUUACUAAAGAGAUCAUUUUAUGGGCUCAAGCAAUCUCCAAGGCAAUGGCAUCUCAGGUUUGAUGAAUUCAUGUUGUCACAUGGAUACCUGAGAUGCAGUUUUGAUUGCUGUGUAUAUUACAAGCUAAUAAGUUCAAAUCUCUACAUAUACCUGUUACUAUAUGUAGAUGAUAUGUUGGUAGCCUGUAAGUCAAGAGAAGAAAUUGAAGUUUUGAAGAAUUUGCUGAGCUCUGAAUUUGAGAUGAAAGAUUUGGGGUCAGCAAAGAAGAUACUGGGCAUGGAGAUCAAGAGGGACAGAAGCAAAGGUAUUAUAUUCCUUUCCUAAGAGAAAUACCUGAAGAGGGUACUGGAAACUUUUGGGAUGACCUCAUGUAAACCUGUGAUGACUCCAAUAGCAACAUAUUUUAAGCUCUCCAGUUUGCAGUGUCCAAAGACAGAAGAAGAAAAGUUAGAGAUGACUAAGAUUCCCUAUGCUAAUGCAGUUGGCUGCAUGAUGUAUGUUGUUGUGCAAAUUUUAUUGAACUCGCAAGUGCACGAAUCUAUUGUAGAAUAGACUAAUGGUGACGAGUGUCGAUCCCACGAGGAGGUGGAUUUUAAUUAUGUGUAGAAUUAAUUUUGUAAAUGGGUGGUUGGAUUUGUGGUGGAAGUGAUUUAAAUUAUCCUAAAAUUGGAAUUGAAAUGACAAGAAUAAAUUCUAAAAUUAGAAUUGCAAUGGCGAGAAUAAAUUGAAGAGAAAAUUAUUGAAAUGAUGUACUUGGGUAUCUGGAUUCGUAUCAACAUGCAUCAUGGGCUAAAUAAUCCUUAUUAAUGCCAAUUAAAUCAUGAGGGGGGAAUCCAUACCUCAUGAACCACGCUCUAAUCAAUAUGGUGCUAAGGGCUUAUCGUGCCAAAUAAUAAUAACCUUGUACUAGGGGGCCGGUGAAACCAAGGCGGUACUAGACAAGAUUAAUAUUAUUUGUCGACGAGAAGUCAAAACAUCCACAAAAAUUAGAGGGGAAGAGAAAGUAAAUUUACCAAAUAAAGCCCAUGACACAUGUUGAGACUUCACCUUCAACCCAAGCUUGAAAGAAAAUUAGCCACUUAUAAUUGAACUAGGGGUAAAAUGGAAAUUUAUUAAAAUACGUAGAAAAUACAAGAUGGAGAAGGAAUUACAGAAAAUGGAUCCCAAAAAUGGAUUCAGAGAUAUCAAAUUAGCGGGGGGAAGCCCCCUUUUUAUAGAUGCAUGGAGUAAAUCAUGGCCAUCAGAUUAAAAACAGUUUGGACGCUCAGGAUUGCGCCACGUCAUCAGUCAACAGUACGCGGUUUGACCAUGUGGAUGAACAGUAACACGGUUUGACCCGGGUGAACAGUGACGCGGUUUGGUUGAAAAUAAUCAUGUGUGAUGCAUGUACCGUACGUGAGAUUUUUCAUCCACUGAUAUGCUGCCACGUCACCAUCAACAGUACAUAAGAAUUUUAGCCCAACAGGAUCAUGACACCUCAUCAGUCAAUGCCACAUCAUCGGUCAAUGCCACGUCAUCGAUCCGUCUAUGUGAACAGUGUCAUGAACAGUAACGUAGACAGUACCGUACACGUGAAUAGUACCGUACAUGUGAAUAGUGCCAUUUUUCCUUUUAUGCUCCUCUUAAGGUUUUCGACCGUCCUGAGUUCAAAAGUGAUGUCCGUUUUGCCGUCUGAUCUCUGGUUUAUUGUGAAAUGACCAUGAUGCCCUAAAAUACAUAAAAUACUUAAUUAAAAUUAAACACACAUAAUUAAAUUGCAAGAAGCUUAAAUACAUAAAAGUAAGGGUUGUUAGUAAAACUUGAAAUGUAAAAUGAUGAUUUCUCCUUUAUAAAUAUGCAUUUUCUAACACUCAACACACCCCCCAACCAGCUUAUUGCUAGUCCCUAGCAAAUAAAGCGAAAACAAAAUUCAAAUCCAAAAUGAUUUUUUUUUUUAAUAAAAACACUCGUGUUUAUUCAAUCAGAUUAAUGAUAGCAAUCAAAUAAAAGUAUAAGCAUUAUCUGCAGUCUAAAGAAACAUCACACCCACAUCAACCAUCCACAUGAAUCAGCCCAGUAGACUUUGUUAUAGCUACUUUCAAGAAUGACAUGUCAAACCCCAAAAUCUCACUUGAAGUAGUGACACUCUCACAAAGAAAUUAAACCCAAUAAAAAUAGUCACUCCAAUGAAUGGUAAUUGAGAGAAAAUAAUAAAGAAGUGAUAUAACAUGCUCUUACCAAGAUGAAAGAAAUAUGCCCUCAGCUUAGAAAUAAUACGAUCUCAAGUCAAACAAAAAUGCUAGUCAACCCAUUUUCUUUAUCUCUUUUUUUUUAUUAUUAUACACUAUUACAUCUUUUUAGCCCAUAUAACUAGUUUCUACUUCAAACCAUAGUUCCCUAAAAUCAAGAAGGACUUUUAUUAGGACGUAAUGUAGGCUAGGGACAUGGCUAACACAGAAGGGAAAUAAGGAAAACAAAGUGUAUGUUUGAGAGAAAUGCAGAGAAAGUUUUUUUUUUUUUUGAAGUUGCAAGGUGUAUUUCACCUAUUGUUGUUAUUUUUAUUCUUUUGAAACAACAACUUUUGUUUUGUUUUGUUUUUUUUUUUUUAUUUGGCAUAACUUCACUGAACAAAAUAAUUAUUUACAUUUUCUCAAACAUAAAUAGGUGAUGGAACUUAUAAGACAUCGCGUAAUACUCCAAAUCGGAGUGGGUUAAGAUGAUAAGUUGACAAAGAAAAUGUUUUUUUUUUUUAGGCUCAAAAGGGUUAACUAUAGAUAUUUAAUAAAAGGGAUGGCUAGAAAGGAUCAAACGGAUCAAAGAUGGCCUUUUCAUCGUCUUUUAGGGCUCUAAAUAAUCAUCCAUAUCUACUAGUUAGAUGGGCCUCCCAAUGUAGCAACACAUAUAUAUAUAUAUAUAUAUUUUAAGGGUUAACUCAAAAGAAAUCUAGAGAUCGUGUGUAAAAUAAUAAACUGCUAAGUUGUAUAAAGAAUGGGCAAAAGGGUUACUCUCCAAGAAAAAUAAUAGGCUCAAAAACUCACUUGGUACUUAUUAUGAAAUGUUCAUUCCUUCAAGCAACUCAUAUUUGUCUCCAACAUCAACAUGUAGAGUAGUAAACAUAGUGUAACAUCACUUAAGACCAAAGAUAAUACAAAUACUAAAAUUUGAAAUGAAUCAUGUCAUCCAAUGUUAAAACAAAUCACACAAUUUUUUUUUUUUAAACAACAUUCUAGCCCCCAACCUAUUCUAAGCAUGAAAGGAAAAUAUGCAUGUAGAAAUGUGAAAAUGAUGCAAAAAAAACUAAUUAGAAAAGUUACACUUAAAAUGAUAGAAAAAGAAAUGUUUUGUUUUUUUUUUUUAACUAAGAAGAUGCGUUUCUAGAGGCACUACACUCCAUAUUCAGCCAUCUUUAACUUAAAAAAAAAAAAUUGAAAGUGUAUAUUUAUAAAGUAGAAAUUAAAAAGAAGAAGAAAAAUAAACAUCAAAACAUAAUAAAGAAAAAUGAAAAUGUCUGAAUUUUUUUUUUUUCAAACGAUGAAGAUGCGUUUCUAGAGUCACUACACUCCAUAUUCGACCAUCUUCAACACAAAAAGUUAGCAACAGUUAGUUUCUACAACAAAAAAUUAGUAAAAACUUAACCAAUAUUCCACAAUUGUCGACUAUUCCCUCCCCCCAACCAGAACGAAACAUUGUCCUCAAUGUUGUAAAAGAAAGAAGAAGAGUUUAGAAGACAUCACCUGGGUGGUGCAACACAGAAGAAAAUAUUUACAAGCGGAGAGUUAAAUCUAAUUUGUACUUCUUACUGCGGCUACUGUUACCGUCAUUAUUUGGACGUUCCAACACAAAGCUCCAGGGGUUUGGCUCCGGUUUAUGAGCUUGUAACAUAUCAAGGAGCUCAUUAGCAGUAUUCGCACAAAUAAAAAGCUUUUUGGCAUUGGAAGGAACAAAAUAAUUUUUUAUUGCAUGGUUAAGAAAUGCGAUAAAGCCAUCAUAAAAGUUAUUGACAUUUAGCAAACCGAUGGGUUUCUAGUGAUGGGCCCAAGAUGCUAGUGUGAUAAGUGCCUCUAGCGUUGCAAGAUCUCCUGGAAGGAAAAUAAAAGCAUCAGCAUGAUUAAGCAUUUCAGUUAUUCUUUCUUGCAUACCUGAGACGACUAACUCUUCUCCAGUCGAUGAGUCAGACAAACUGCCCAAAGGUUUUAGGACUCUUGGGAUGAUGCCUAACACUUGGCUUCCUAUGAUGAAAGCAGCUUCUGAGACCAAUUUUGAUAACCCUCGGUUACCUCCUCCAUACACCAAGUGUAAUUUUCUCUCUGCUAUACUUCGACCAAGAUCUAUGGCUGCAUCAACGAACUCUUUAUGUUUGCCAUAGGUAAAUCCAGAAAGCACAUAAAUGUUCUUGAAUUGUCUAUUGGGAGUAGCUGCCAUUGGAAAAUUUCUCAAAAAUAAUUUGUGAGUGCUUAACAAAAAGUCAUCUUUAAGAAUCUUGGUGACAGUGGAUCACGACUGUGUAUGAGGUGGCAUGUCAGUGUCAAAUAACGCGUAAAGCACAGGGCUCGAUAGUCAAAAAAUAAAUAGUAAAAAGGAAAAAACAAACAGUAAUAAAAUUAUUAAAGACAAUAAUGUAAACAAUAAAACAACAGUGAAAUGAAAUAAAAUAACAGUAAAGUAAAAGGAUAUUUACAGGUAGUUGCGACUGUGGCUCACAUCUUCCUCUGGUUUUACGUCCAGAAACGGCUUGAACGCCCUCUAUGGGUCGAGGAUAGGCUUCCCAUCCAGUUUUCUUAUAAACUGGCAAACAGGGUCGUUUAUAGUCAGAUUCCCGAGACUAUAUCAUGCAUGCUCUUUCUGGAAUAAUGGCCAUAACUGGAGAAUCGCUUCUUGCACAUAUCCACUGGGAUGCGUUUCAAGAGACAUAAGGAUAUCAUCCAAUGACUCCUUAUUCAAGCCAUCCCUAAUGAAUUGAAUCUUAUCUUCCCUGUUAUCAGACACCAUUCCUAAAGAACAUGGGUUUUUAUCGCAACUCAUUCUGGCACACUUGUGACAAGCAACAAAAAUUCUUCGAGCUCGUCGUUUUCUUGCAUAAUUUCCUUUACCACAACCGGGCAUGUGUUGAGUGUUAGAAAAUGCAUAUUUAUAAAGGAGAAAACCAUCAUUUUACAUUUCAAGUCUUACUAACAACUCUUACUUUUAUGUAUUUAACCUUCUUGUGAUGUAAUUACGCGUGUGUUAUUUUAAUUAAGUAUUUUAUGUAUUUUAGGGGCAUUAUAGUCAUUUCACAAUAAAGGAGAGAUCAGACGGCAAAACGGACAUCACUUUUGAACUCAGGAUGGUCGAAAACCUUAGGAGGGGCAUAAAAGGAAAAAUGGCACUAUUCACAUGUACGGUACUAUUCACGAUACUGUUCACAUAGACGGAUCGAUGACGUGGCAUUGACCGAUGAUGUGGCAUUGACUGAUGAGGUGUCACGAUCCUGUUGGGCUAAAAUUCUUAUGUACUGUUGAUGGUGACGUGGCAGCAUAUCAGUGGAUGAAAAAUCUCGCGUACGGUACAUGCAUCACACAGGAUUAUUUUCAACCAAACCGCGUUACUGUUCAUCCGAGUCAAACCGCGUUACUGUUCAUCCGAGUUAAACCGCGUUACUAUUCAUCCGAGUCAAACCGUGUUACUGUUCAUCCGCGUGGUCAAACCGUGGACUGUUGACUGAUGACGUGGCGCAAUCCUGAGCGUCCAAACUGUUUUUAAUCCGAUGGCCAUGAUUUACUCCAUGUAUCUAUAAAAAGGGGGCCUCCCCCCUCUAAUUUGAUAGCUCUGAAUCCAUUUUUGGGAUCCAUUUUUUGUAAUUCCUUUUCCAUCUUGUAUUUUCUUCGUAUUUUAAUAAAUUCCCAUUUUGCCCCUAGUUCAAUUAUGAGUGGCUAAUUUGCUUUCAAGCUUGGGUUGAAGGUGAAGUCUCAACAUGUGUCAUGUGCUUAAUUUGGUAAAUUUAUUUUCUCUUCCCCUCUAGUUUUUGUGGAUGAUUUGAUUUAUCGUCGACAAAUAAUACUGAUCUUGUCUAGAUACCGCCUUGGUUACACCGGCUCUCUAGUAUAAGGUUAUUAUUAUUUGGCACAAUAAGCCCUUAUCACCAUAUUGAUUAGAGCGUGGUUCAUCAGGUGUGGAUUCCCCCCUCAUGAUUUAAUUGGCAUUAAUACAGAUUAUUUAGCCCAUGAUGCAUGUUGAUACGGAUCCAGAUACCCAAGUACGUCAUUUCAAUAGAAUUCUCUUCAAUUUAUUCUCGCCAUUUUAAUUUAAGUUUUAGCAUAUUCCAAAUCAUUUCCACCACAGAUCCAAUCAACCAUUUGCAAAAUUAAUUCUAUACACAAUUAAAAUCCACCUCCUCGUGGGAUCGACACUCAUCACCAUUGAUCUAUACUACAAUAGAUUCGUGCGCUUGCGAGUACAUUAAAAUUUGCACAACAAGUUUUUGGCGCCGUUGCCGGGGAGAAAGGUUUUAAUAGCGCAAUAAGGGAAAUCUCGGAGUUUACCCAGAGAGAGGACGAGCAAUUUUUCGAAACAUGAGAGCGAUUCAAUGGGCUACUCUUGAAGUGUCCACAUCAUGGGUACGAGAAAUGGCACCAAUGUCAAUACUUUUUGGAGGGAUUAUUGCCGAAUGUGCAAGAAUGGCUAAUGGCAACAAGUGGAGGAGAGCUAAUGUCAAAAAGUGCAUCAGAAAUUUGGGAAUUCUUCCAGCGACAAGCAGAUAAUUCCCAACAACGGAGUCGAUCACUCAGGACUACUAGAAGAGUUAAAGGAGUGAAUGAGGUUCAAAUUGGCGAAUCAACUUCAGGAAUCAAAGAAGUCAAAGAGAUGGUUGAAGGUCUUGCUCGACAAAUAGCAUCGUUAUCGAGUGCUAAAUCAACAGAAUCACAUGACCAUGACUCAUACUCAGAUCAAGCCAAUGCCAUAGGUGUAAUAAGAAAACCAUCGAAUUACAACCCAUACUCCAACACAUAUAAUCCUGGAUGGAGAGACCACCCCAAUUUUUCAUGGUCUCAAGGAUUCCAACAGAGUGGACCAGCAGCUCCAGCUCCACCAAUGCAACCAAUUCCGCAAAUUCCUCAAGCCUCUCAGCCCCCAUUUAGGCCAUACAAUCAGAACCAGAACUACUCUCAACCUAGACCAUGGGAGGAUUCAUUCCAGAAUCUCAAGAAUCUUACUCACUCUACGAUUGAGCAACAGAACCGCACUAUUGAUGGACUACGAAAUGAAUUGAGAGCGGGCUUCAACUCACAAGCCCAAUCAGUUUCAAGCCUCGAGAAGAUGGUGGGACAACUUGCUUCUUCAGUUCAGACCUUGGCAAUGACCGUUGAGAAAGGUAAGUUUCCAAGUCAACCAGUGCCUAACCCUAAAGGAGUGCAUGAAGCAAGUACCAGUUCACCACAGCAGCAUGGAGAAGUUAAAGCAGUAAUGACCUUGCGAAAAGGAAAAGAAGUCGACAACAAAGUGGAGAUGCCGGUGACAAAAGAAAAUCAAAUUGUACCUGUGAAUGUUGAGGAAUCAUCACCGGAGGAGAAAGAAGAAACCAACCCACGAGAAUACGUUCCGAAAGCUCCAUUUCCUCAGAGGUUAGCUAAAGGAAAAAAGGAAAAAUCCACAGGUGAGAUUCUUGAAAUCUUCAAACAGGUAAGUGUUAACAUCCCUUUGCUUGAUGCUAUUAAACAAGUUCCAUCUUAUGCCAAGUUUCUUAAAGACCUUUGUACUAAAAAGAGAAACAUGCAUGUUCAAAAGAAGGCAUUUUUAACAGAAAACGUUAGUUCUAUACUCCAACAUAAAAUUCCUUUAAAAUGCAAAGACCCAGGCUCCCCCACUAUCUCAUGUAGUAUAGGGAAUCACACAAUUGAGAAUGCUUUGUUGGAUUUAGGAGCUAGUGUAAAUCUUUUGCCUUACUCUGUACUCGUGAAACUUGGACUUGGAGAAUUACACCCAACUCCAGUGGUGUUACAGCUUGCAGAUAGGUCCACGAAAAUACCUCGUAGUAUUGUGGAGGACGUGCUUAUCCAGGUAGACAAGUUUUAUUUUCCUGUUGAUUUCAUUGUAAUUGACACUCAACCAAUACAGGACUCAAGGAAGCACAUCCCCAAUAUUCUAGGCCGACCUUUCUUGGCAACUGCAGAUGCUCAUAUUCAAUGCAGGACUGGAAAUAUGCAGUUGUCCUUCGGCAACAUGACUAUGGAGCUAAACAUUUUCAACAUUGCCAAACAACCUCACAGUGCAGAUGAUGGAAUUGUUGAUGUGGAUUUAAUAGAAACAAUAGUUGAUAAUACUUUUCUUUCAAACCUUAGUGAUGAUCCUUUACAAACAUGUUUAACUCACUUUGGUUUGGAUUUUGAUAUUGACAGAUCGGUCGAUGAGGUCAACGCCCUGCUUGACUCAGCACCAUCUAUGGACACUAAUAAAUAGAAGUCAAGAGUUGAGCAACUAGCACCAUCAGAGAAGAAACUCAUCCCAUCAUCAGAAUCACCACCGAAACUCGAGCUCAAACCAUUACCCAACACUCUGGAAUAUGCAUUUUUGGGAGAAGAAAGUACUCUGCCGGAAUUUGACUUGGAAUUUAAAGAUAAGAAAGGCACAGAAAAUGUUGUGGCGGACCAUCUCUCUCUCUCGUCUCCAUUUUGACACAAUUACAGAGCCAUUAAUAUUAAAUGAGUCAUUUCCAGAUGAACAAUUAAUGAGUGUGGAAGUAUUACCUUGGUAUGCUGAUAUAGUUAAUUAUCUUGUUACAGGUGUCAACGAAUGGGGAGCAUUACACGAAGGAACAUGAUGCCACUAAAUCCAAUUUUAGUGGUUGAGAUUUUUGAUGUAUGGGGUAUCGACUUCAUGGGACCCUUUCCCUCUUUUUUUGGCCAUCAAUACAUAUUAGUUGGUGUUGACUACGUAUCGAAAUGGGUAGAAGCAAUUCCAUGUAGGACCAAUGAUCACAAGGUGGUGAUAGCAUUUUUGAAAAGCAACAUUGUUUCGCGCUUUGGAUUCCCUCGAGCAAUAAUUAGUGAUGGUGGUGCCCACUUUUGUAACAAAGCAUUCAAAGCUCUUUUGACAAAGUAUUCAAUCACACACAAAGUGGCGACCCCGUAUCAUCCGCAAACCAGUGGCCAAGUUGAGAUCUCCAAUCGAGAAAUAAAGCACAUAUUAGAAAAGACAGUGAGGCCGGAUAGAAAAGAUUGGUCAUUAAGACUUGAUGAUGCCUUAUGGGCAUAUAGAACGGCUUUCAAGACCCCGAUUGGGAUGUCACCCUACAAGCUAGUGUAUGGAAAAGCUUGCCACCUACCUGUGGAACUCGAGCAUCGUGCAUAUUGGGCCAUCAAGAAAUUCAAUUUUGACAUGCAGCAAGCCAGCUCAGAAAGAAGAUUACAACUGGCAGAACUUGAAGAAAUUCGCAAUGAUGCAUACGAAAAUGCCAAAAUUUACAAGCAACGAAUGAAAGUCUUUCAUGACAAGCACAUUAUGAGAAAAUCUUUCACUCCAGGUCAGAAAGUGCUUUUAUUCAAUUCUCGCUUGCACCUAUUCCCAGGUAAGUUACGCUCUCGAUGGUCUGGUCCCUUUAUUGUUCAUACUGUUUUUCCACAUGGGGCAAUUGAAAUUAAGGACCCAAAGAACGGUGUCACGUUUAAAGUUAAUGGUCAAAGAUUAAAGCCAUAUCUAGAAUACCAACCACAUGGAGAAGACACCGAAAUAAAUUUGAGUGACCCACCAGAUUUGAAUUGAUUUGUUUUUUCUUUUCGUUGAUUUGAUUUUGUUUUCUUUCUUUAUAUUAUUCUUCUGCUAAUUGAAAUUAUUUUUGCAUAAGUGUGUUUGUUUAACUAUUAAGUUUUCUCUUAUCAUUUUUAAUCAUGAGUACCUUGCUUAGACCGUUCCUCCUGAACAUUCUUAAACCACUUCAACGUGUCAAAACUCAUCUCAAAAGGCAGAUUCAAUUUUGUAAAACACAUCGCAUUUGGGCUCUACAACCACCAGAGUUAGUAGCCUAUGUUGAGAAUCUAGAAAGCCAACUCCGAGAUAUUGAGAGAAGUGUUUACGACAUCCAGUUGGAGCUUGAGUUUGUUACCCCGGUGAAGUGGCGGAUAACGGUACUCCGUGACAAUCAAGUCGGUUACUUCAGUUUCCCAUAAUAAUUGAUAUUCUGAGGCAAAGGUAUGGACAGAAACGAGAUUCUAGCGAAGCUUCACAAGCGAUUCCCUUCACUUCCUCAGAAUGCCCUCCUUACGAUCUAUAAAGCUCGGUCCGAACGCAUGCGAUUACUCAUGAAGAAUAACAUACCUGCUGACAUCCGUUGGUUAAUCGAGGCUAAAGUACGAUCGGCAGGUGAGUUACCUCCAAAAUUUAUUGCAUACAUGCCUGGUUGUGGUAAAGGAAAUUAUGCAAGAAAACGACGAGCUCGAAGAAUUUCUGUUGCUUGUCAUAAGUGUGCCAGAAUGAGUUGCGAUAGAAACCCAUGUUCUUUAGGAAUGGUGUCUGAUAACAGGGAAGAUAAGAUUCAAUUCAUUAGGGAUGGCUUGAAUAAGGAGUCAUUGGAUGAUAUCCUUUUGUCUCUUGAAACGCAUCCCAGUGGAUAUGUGCAAGGAGCGAUUCUCUAGUUAUGGCCAUUAUUCCAGAAAGAGCAUGCACGAUAUAGUCUCGGAAAUCUGACUAUAAACGACCUUGUUUGCCAGUUUAUAAGAAAACUGGAUAGGAAGCCUAUCCUCGACCCAUAGAGGGCGUUCAAGCCGUUUCUGGACGUAAAACCAUAGGAAGAUGUGAGCCACAGUCGCAACUACGUGUAAAUAUCCUUUUACUUUACUGUUAUUUUAUUUCAUUUCACUGUUGUUUUAUUGUUUGCAUUAUUGUCUUUAAUAAUUUUAUUACUGUUUGUUUUUUUCUCUUGACUGUUUCCUUUUUGACUCGCAAGCCAUGUGCUUCACGCGUUAUUUGACACUGACAUGUUACCUCAUUCACAGCUGUGAUCUACUGUCACCAAGAUUCUUAAAUGUGAUUUAUCUUUUGUCAAGCACUCACAAAUUAUUUUUGAGAAGUAUCACAAUGGCAGCUACUCCCAAUAGACAAUUCAAGAACAUUUGUGUGCUUUCUGGAUUUACCUAUGGCAAACAUAAAGAGUUCGUGGAGGCAGCCAUAGAUCUUGGUCGAAGCAUAGCAGCGAGAAAAUUACAUUUGGUGUAUGGAGGAGGUAACCGAGGGUUAUAAAAAAUGGUCUCAGAAGCAGCUUUUAUCAGAGGAAGUCAAGUGUUAGGCAUCAUCCCAAGAGUCCUAAAACCAUUGGGCAGUUCGUCUGACUUAUCAACUGGAGAAGAGUUAGUCGUCUCAGGUAUGCAAGAAAGAAUAACUGAAAUGCUUAAUCAUGCUGAUGCUUUUAUUUUCCUUCCAGGAGAUCUUGCAACACUAGAGGCACUUAUGACACUAGCAUCUUGGGCCCAUCUGCACAUCCACCAGAAACCUAUCGGUUUGUUAAAUGUCAAUAACUUUUAUGAUGGCUUUAUCGCAUUUCUUAACCAUGCAAUAAAAAAUUAUUUCAUUCCUUCUAAUGUGAAAAAACUUUUUAUUUGUGCUCACACUACUAAUGAGCUACUUGAUCUGUUACAAGCUUAUAAACCGGAGCCAGACCCCUGGACCUUUGUGUUGGAUCAUCCACAUAAUGAUGGUAACAGUAGCCGCAAUAAGAAGUACAAAUUAGAUUUAACUCUCCGCUUGUAAAUAUUGUUUUCUAUGUUGCACCACCCAGGUGAUGUCUUCUAAACUCUACUUCUUUCCUUUAAAACAUUGAGGACAAUGUUUCGUUCUGGUUGGGGGGAGGGAUUAGUCGACAAUUGUGGAAUCUUGGUUAAGUUUUUACUGAUUUUUUGUUGUAGAAACUAACUGUUGCUAACGUUUUGUGUUGAAGAUGGCUGAAUAUGGAGUGUGGUUACUCUAGAAACGCAUCUUCAUCGUUUAAAAAAAAAAAAAAUGUUUUCUUCCUCUUUCUCCUUUAUAAAUAUAUAUUUUCAAAUUUUUGAGUCUAAGAUGGCUGAAUAUGGAGUAUAAUGCCUCUAGAAACGCGUCUUCUUAGUUAAAAAAUAAAAAAAAAAUUUCUUUUUCUAAUUAAUUUUUCUACAUCAUUUUCGCAUUUCUGCAUACAUAUUUUCCUUUCAUGUUUAGAAUAGGUUGGGGGGUAGAAUGUUGUGUAAAAAAAAAAAAAUUGUGUUUUUUGUUUUAACAUUGGAUGACAUGAUUAAUUUCAAAUUUUAGUAUUUGUAUUAUCUUUAGUCUUAAGUGAUGUUACGCUAUGUUUGCUACUUUACAUGUUGAUGUCGGACACAAAUAUGAGUUGCUUGAAGGAAUGAACAUGUCAUAAAUAAGUGCCAAGUGAGUUGUUGAGCCUAUUAUUUUCUUAGAGAGUAACCCUUUUGCCCAUUCUCUAUACAGCUUAGCAGUUUAUUAUUUUAUACACGAUCUCUAGAUUUCUUUUGAGUUAACCCUUUAAAAAAAAUGGUAAAAUUAAAAAAAAAGAAAAAAGAAAAAAAUGUGUGUUGCUACAUUGGGAGGCCCAUCUAACUAGUAGAUAUGGAAGAUUAUUUAGAGCCCUAAAAGACGAUGGAAAGGCCAUCUUUGAUCCGUUUGAGCCUUUCUAGCCAUCCCUUUUAUCAAAUAUCCAUAGUUAACCCUUUUGAGCCUUUAAAAAAAAAAAAAAAAAAAAACUUUUUCUUUGUCAACUUAUCAUCUUGACCCACUCCGAUUUGGAGUAUUACCCAAUGUCUUAUAAGUUCCAUCACCUAUUUAUGUUUGAGAAAAUGUAAAUAAUUAUGUUGUUCAGUAAAGUUAUGCCAAAAACAAAAAAAACAAAAAAAACAAAAGUUGUUGUUUCAAAAGAAAAAAAAAAUAAAAAUAAUAGGUGAAAUCCACCUUGCAACUUCCAAAAAAAAAAAUUCUUUGCAUUUUUCUCAAACAUACACUUUGUUUUCCUUAUUUUCCUUCUUUGUUAGCCAUGUCCCUAGCCUACGUUACGUCCUAAUAAAAGUCCUUCUUGAUUUUAGGGAACUAUAGUUUGAAGUAGAAGCUAGUUAUAUGGGCUAAAAAGAUGUAGUGAUGCAUAAUAAAAAAAAAAAAAGAAGAUAAAUAAAGUGGGUUGACUAGCAUUUUUGUUUGACUUGAGUUCGUAUUAUUUAUAAGCUGAGGGCAUAUUUAUUUCAUCUUGGUGAGAGCAUGUGAUAUCACUUCUUUAUUAUUUUCUCUCUCAAUUACCAUUCAUUGGAGUGACUAUUUUUAUUGGUUUUAAUUUCUUUGUGAGAGUGUCACUACUUCCAGUGAGAUUUUGGGGUUUGACAUGUCAUUCUUGAAAGUAGCUAUGACAAAGUCUACUGGGCUGAUUCAUGUGGAUGGUUGAUGUGGGUGUGAUGUUGCUUUAGACUGGAGAUAAUGCUUAUACUUUUAUUUGAUUGCUAUCAUUAAUCUGAUUGAAUAAACACGAGUGUUUCUAAAAAAAAAAAAAAAAAAAAAAUCAUUUUGAAUUUGAAUUUUGUUUUCGCUUUAUUUGCUAGGGACUAGCAAUAAGCUGGUUGGGGGGUGUGUUGAGUGUUAGAAAAUGCAUAUUUAUAAAGGAGAAAACCAUCAUUUUACAUUUCAAGUCUUACUAACAACUCUUACUUUUAUGUAUUUAACCUUCUUGUGAUGUAAUUACGCGUGUGUUAUUUUAAUUAAGUAUUUUAUGUAUUUUAGGGGCAUUAUAGUCAUUUCACAAUAAAGGAGAGAUCAGACGGUAAAACGGACAUCACUUUUGAACUCAGGACGGUCGAAAACCUUAGGAGGGGCAUAAAAGGAAAAAUAGCACUAUUCACAUGUACGGUACUGUAUACGUUACUGUUCACGAUACUGUUCACAUAGAUGGAUCGAUGGUGACGUGGCAGCAUAUCAGUUGGGCUAAAAUUCUUAUGUACUGUUGAUGGUGACGUGGCAGCAUAUCAGUGGAUGAAAAAUCUCGCGUACGGUACAUGCAUCACACAGGAUUAUUUUCAACCAAACCGCAUUACUGUUCAUCCGAGUCAAACCGCGUUACUGUUCAUCCGAGUCAAACCGUGUUACUGUUCAUCCACGUGGUCAAACCGUGGACUGUUGACUGAUGACGUGGCGCAAUCCUGAGCGUCCAAACUGUUUUUAAUCCGAUGGCCAUGAUUUACUCCAUGUAUCUAUAAAAAGGGGGCCUCCCCCCCAUAAUUUGAUAGCUCUGAAUCCAUUUUUGGGAUCCAUUUUCUGUAAUUCCUUCUCCAUCUUGUAUUUUCUUUGUAUUUUAAUAAAUUCCCAUUUUGCCCCUAGUUCAAUUAUGAGUGGCUAAUUUUCUUUCAAGCUUGGGUUGAAGGUGAAGUCUCAACAUGUGUCAUGGGCUUAAUUUGGUAAAUUUAUGUUCUCUUCCCCUCUAGUUUUUGUGGAUGAUUUGACUUAUCGUCGACAAAUAAUACUGAUCUUGUCUAGAUACCGCCUUGGUUACACCGGCUCUCUAGUAUAAGGUUAUUAUUAUUUGGCACGAUAAGCCCUUAUCACCAUAUUGAUUAGAGCGUGGUUCAUGAGGUGUGGAUUCCCCCCUCAUGAUUUAAUUGACAUUAAUACGGAUUAUUUAGCCCAUGAUGUAUGUUGAUACGGAUCCAGAUACCCAAGUACGUCAUUUCAAUAGAAUUCUCUUCAAUUUAUUCGCGCCAUUUUAAUUUAAGUUUUAGCAUAUUCCAAAUCAUUUCCACCACAGAUCCAAUCAACCAUUUGCAAAAUUAAUUCUAUACACAAUUAAAAUCCACCUCCUCGUGGGAUCGACACUCGUCACCAUUGAUCUAUACUACAAUAGAUUCGUGCGCUUGCGAGUACAUUAAAAUUUGCACAACAGCAUGUAUGCAAUAAAUUUUAGAGGUAACUCACCUGCCGAUCGUACUUUAGCCUCGAUUAACCAACGGAUGUCAGCAGGUAUGUUAUUCCUCAUGAGCAAUCGCAUGCGUUCGGACCGGGCUUUAUAGAUCGUAAGGAGGGCAUUCUGAGGAAGUGAAGGGAAUCGCUUGUGAAGCUUCGCUAGAAUCUCGUUUCUGUCCAUACUUUCGCCUCAGAAUGUCAGUUAUUAUGGGAAACUGAAGUAACCGACUUGAUUGUCACGGAGUACCAUUAUCCGCCACUUCACCGGGGUAACAAACUAAAGCACACAAACAGAAAAACAAAUCAAAACACACAAAGAAAAUUAAAAUCGUACUCUUAUUGAAUUUACCUCAAGCUCCAACUGGAUGUCGUAAACACUUCUCUCAAUAUCUCGGAGUUGGCUUUCUAGAUUCUCAACAUAGGCUACUAACUCUGGUGGUUGUAGAGCCCAAAUGCGUUGUGUUUUACAAAAUUGAAUAUGCUUUUUGAGAUGAGUUUUGACACGUUGAAGUGGUUUAAGAAUGUUCAGGAGGAACGGUCUAAGUAUGGUACUCAUGAUUAACAAUGAUAAGAAAAAACUUAAUGGUAAAACAAACACACUUAUGCAAAAAUAAUUUCAAUUAGCAAAUAAAAAGAAAGAAAGAAAAAUCAAAUCAACGAAAAGAAAAAAAGCACUUUCUGACCUGGAGUGAAAGAUUUUCUCAUAAUGUGCUUGUCAUGAAAGACUUUCAUUCGUUGCUUGUAAAUUUUGGCAUUUUCGUAUGCAUCAUUGCGAAUUUCUUCAAGUUCUGCCAGUUGUAAUCUUCUUUCUGAGCUGGCUUGCUGCAUGUCAAAGUUGAAUUUCUUGAUGGCCCAAUAUGCACGAUGCUCGAGUUCCACAGGUAGGUGGCAAGCUUUUCCAUACACUAACCUGUAGGGUGACAUCCCAAUCGGGGUCUUGAAAGUCGUUCUAUAUGCCCACAAUGCAUCAUCAAGUCUUAAUGACCAAUCUUUUCUGUCCGGCUUCACUGUCUUUUCUAAUAUGUGCUUUAUUUCUCGAUUGGAGAUCUCAACUUGGCCAUUAGUUUGUGGAUGAUAUGGGGUCGCCACUUUGUGAGUGAUUGAAUACUUUGUCAAAAGAGCUUUGAAUGCUUUGUUACAAAAGUGGGCACCACCAUCACUAAUUAUUGCUCGAGGGAAUCCAAAGCGUGAAACAAUAUUGCUUUUCAAAAAUCCUAUCACCACCUUGUGAUCAUUGGUUCUACAUGGAAUUGCUUCCACCCAUUUCGAUACGUAGUCAACAACAACCAAUAUGUAUUGAUGGCCAAAAGAAGGGGGAAAGGGUCCCAUGAAGUCGAUACCCCAUACGUCAAAAAUCUCAACCACUAAAAUUGGAUUUAAUGGCAUCAUAUUCCUUCGUGUAAUGCUCCCCAUUCGUUGACACAUAUCACAUGAAGAACAAAAAGUGUAAGCAUCUCGAAAUAUAGUUGGCCAAUAGAAACCACAUUGUAAAACUUUAGUCGUUGUUUUCUUAGCACUGAAAUGGCCUCCACAAGCUUGUUCAUGGCAGAAUGAAAGGAUAUUCUGAAUUUCAUUUUCUGGGACACAUCGUUUAACAAUUUGAUCUGCACAAUACUUGAACAAAUACGGGUCAUCCCAAAAGAAAUUCUUUAUUUCUGCAAAGAAUUUAGCCUUGUCUUACUUGGUCCAAUGCUCUGGAAGUUUACCUGUAACAAGAUAAUUAACUAUAUCAGCAUACCAAGGUAAUACUUCCACACUCAUUAAUUGUUCAUCUAGAAAUGACUCAUUCAAUAUUAAUGGCUCUGUAAUUGUGUCAAAAUGGAGACGAGAGAGGUGGUCCGCCACAACAUUUUCUGUCCCUUUCUUAUCUUUGAAUUCCAAGUCAAAUUCCUGCAAAAGUAACACCCAACGAAUUAGUUUAGCUUUUGCAUCUUUCUUUGUGAGAAGAUAUUUAAGAGCAGCAUGAUCUGUGAAUAUAAUUAUUUUACAACCAAUGAGAUAAGAUCGAAAUUUUUCCAAUGCAAACACUACUGCUAGCAUUUCUUUUUCAGUAGUUGAAUAGUUCAACUGUGCAUCAUUCAAUGUCAUACUAGCAUAGUAAAUAACGUGGGGAAUUCGAUCAACUCUUUGUCCUAAUACUGCUCCUACUGCAUAAUCAGAUGCAUCACACAUGAGCUCAAAUGGUAAGCUCCAAUUUGGGGGCUGAAUAAUGGGUGAUGAUGUCAACAAUUGCUUUAAUUUUUCAAAAGCCACAAGACAUGAAUCAUUAAAGAUAAAAGGUACAUCCUUAGCAAGUAAAUUGCAUAAAGGUCUAGAAACUUUGCUAAACUCUUUAAUGAAACGUCUAUAGAAACCAGCAUGCCCAAGGAAAGAUCUUACUUCUCUGACUGUUUUGGGUGGAGGAAGAUUAGAAAUGAGAUCCACCUUGGCUUUGUCAACCUCAAUACCUUUGCUCGAAAUGAUAUGACCGAGAACAAUACCUUAUUUUACCAUAAAAUAACACUUCUCUUAAUUUAAGACCAAGUUUUUUUUUAUACAUCUCUGCAGAACUAGUGUUAGAUGAUGUAAACAUUGAUCAAACGAGUCACCAAAGAUAGAAAAAUCAUCCAUAAAGACUUCAAGGAAUCGUUCAACCAUAUCAGAAAAAAUGCUCAACAUGCAUCGUUGAAAUGUAGCAGGUGCAUUACAUAAUCCAAAUGGCAUUCUCCUAUAUGCAAAUGUGCCAAAAGGGCAAGUGAAAGUAGUUUUCUCUUGAUCUUUUGGUGAUAUGGGAAUCUGAUUAUAUCCUGAGUAGCAAUCUAGAAAGCAAUAAAAUUCAUGGCCUACCAAUCUAUCAAGCAUUUGAUCGAUAAAUGGUAAAGGAAAAUGAUCUUUACGUGUGACAUAAUUCAACUUUCUAUAAUCAAUGCAUACACGCCAUCCUGUAGUCACUCUAGUUGGUAUUAAUUCAUUAUCGGCAUUCGUAAUUACUGUGACUCCUGACAUUUUGGGGACAACUUGUACAGGACUGACCCAUGAACUAUUAGAAAUUGGGUAAAUGAUACCUGCGUCUAAUAGCUUAAGGACUUCAGUUCUAACUUCUUUCAUAUUAGGAUUUAACCGACGUUGCAUUUCCCUAGUAGAUUUAGCAUUUUCAUCGAGGUGAAUGUAAUGCAUGCAGUCUACUGGGUUUAUACCUUUUAUGUCUGCUAUGGUCCAUCCUAAUGCUCCUUUGUGCUCUUUUAAAACAUCCAACAACUUACAUUUUUGUUUGUCAUUGAGGGAUGAUGAGAUAAUUACCGGCAGAGUACUUUCUUCUCCCAAAAAUGCAUAUUCCAGAGUGUUGGGUAAUUGUUUGAGCUCGAGUUUCGGUGGUGAUUCUGAUGAUGGGAUGAGUUUCUUCUCUGAUGGUGCUAGUUGUUCAACUCUUGACUUCCAUUUAUUAGUGUCCAUGGAUGGUGCUGAGUCAAGUAGGGCGUUGACCUCAUCGACCGAUCUGUCAAUAUCAAAAUCCAAACCAAAGUGAGUUAAACAUGUUUGUAAAGGAUCAUCACUAAGGUUUGAAAGAAAAGUAUUAUCAACAAUUGUUUCUAUUAAAUCCACAUCAACAACUCCAUUAUCUGCACUGUGAGGUUGUUUGGCAAUGUUGAAAAUGUUUAGCUCCAUAGUCAUGUUGCCGAAGGACAACUGCAUAUUUCUGGUCCUGCAUUGAAUGUGAGCAUCCGCAGUUGCCAAGAAAUGUCGGCCUAGAAUAAUGGGGAUGUGCUUCAUUGAAUCCUGUAUUGGUUGAGUGUCAAUUACAAUGAAAUCAACAGGAAAAUAAAACUUGUCUACCUGGAUAAGCACGUCCUCCACAAUACCACGAGGUAUUUUCGUGGACCGAUCUGCAAGCUGUAACACCACUGGAGUUGGGUGUAAUUCUCCAAGUCCAAGUUUCAAAAAUACUGAGUAAGGCAACCAAUUUACACUAGCUCCUAAAUCCAACAAAGCAUUCUCAAUUGUGUGGUUCCCUAUACUACAUGAGAUAGUGGGGGAGCCUGGGUCUUUGCAUUUAAGAGGAAUUUUAUGUUGGAGUAUAUAACUAACAUUUUCUGUUAAAAAUGCCUUCUUUUGAACAUGAAUGUUUCUCUUUUUAGUACAAAUGUCUUUAAGAAACUUGGCAUAAGAUGAAACUUAUUUAAUAGCAUCAAGCAAUGGGAUGUUAACACUUACCUGUUUGAAGAUUUCAAGAAUCUCACCUGUGGAUUUUUCCUUUUUUCCUUUAGCUAACCUCUGAGGAAAUGGAGCUUUCGGAACAUAUUCUCGUGGGUUGGUUUCUUCUUUCUCCUCCGGUGAUGAUUCCUCAACAUUCACAGGUACAAUUUGAUUUUCUUUUGUCACCGGCAUCUCCACUUUGUUGUCGACUUCCUUUCCUUUUCGCAAGGUCAUGACUGCUUUGACCUCUCCAUGCUGUUGUGGUGAACUGGUACUUGCUUCAUGUACUCCUUUAGGAUUAGGCACUGGUUGACUUGGAAAUUUACCUUUCUCAACAGUCAUUGCCAAGGUCUGAACUGAAGAAGCAAGUUGUCCCACCAUAUUCUCGAGGCUUGAAACUGAUUGGGCUUGUGAGUUGAAGCCCGCUCUCAACUCAUUUCGUAGUCCAGCAAUGGUACGGUUCUGUUGCUCAAUCGUGGAGUGAGUAACAUUCUUGAAAUUCUGGAACGCAUCCUCCCAUGGUCUGGGUUGAGAGUAGUUCUGGUUCUGAUUGUAUGGUCUUAAUGGUGGCUGAGUGGCUUGAGGAUUUUGAGGAAUUGGUUGCAUUAGUGGAGCUGGAGCUGCUGGUCCAUUCUGUUGGAAUCCUUGAGACCAUGAAAAAUUGGGGUGGUCUCUCCAUCCAGGGUUAUAUGUGUUGGAGUAUGGGUUGUAAUUUGAUGGUUUUCUCAUUACACCUAUGGCAUUGGCUUGAUCUGGGUAUGAGUCAUGGUCAUGUGGUUCUGUUGAUUUAGCAGUCGAUAACGAUGCUAUUUGUCGAGCAAGACCUUCAACCAUCUCAUUGACUUCUUUGAUUCCCGAAGUUGACUCGCCAAUUUGAACAUCAUUCACUCCUUUAAUUCUUUUAGUAUUCCUAAGUGAUCGACUCCGUUGUUGGGAAUUAUCUGCUUGUCGCUGGAAGAAUUCCCAAAUCUCUGAUGCACUUUUUGACAUUAGCUCUCCUCCACUUGAUGCCAUUAGCCAUUCUUGCACAUUCGGCAAUAAUCCCUCCAAAAAGUAUUGGCAUUGGUGCCAUUUUUCGUACCCAUGAUGUGGACACUUCAAGAGUAGCCCAUUGAAUCGCUCCCAUGUUUCGAAAAAUUACUCGUCUUCUCUCUGGGUAAACUCUGAAAUUUCCCUGCGAAUAGCAUUGAUUUUAUGCACUGGGAAAUAUUUAUUCAAAAAUUUUGUAACCAUUUGUUCCCAUGAUGCAAUGCUAUUAGCAGGCAACGUAUUAAGCCAUGAAUGAGCUCUAUCUUUUAAAGAAAAUGGGAAUAGUCUAAGUUUUACAUCAUCAUCUGAAAAAUUCUCAUAUUUAAAUGUUUGACAAAUAGCAUGAAAAUCAUUCAAAUGAUUAUAUGGGUCCUCAUUUUCUAGGCCAUAGAAUGUUGGGAGACAAUUUAGCACACUAGGUUUUAGUUCAAAACUCCUAGUAGCUACAUUUGGGUAUCUUAUACAUGAUGUGCUCAAAUUAGCUAAUGGACUAAAAUAGUCCUUAAAUGAUCUCUCUUGUGGUGCUUGUAAAUCCAUUCCAAAUUUAUUUUUAACGUGCUUGUGUGUGCGAAGUGUUUUUUCUAUUUCAAGGUCUAUAGGUUCAAGAUUAGGUAAUAAUAACCUACGACCAUGCAUGCAAAACAAAUAAAAUAAAAAUAAAGAUGGGAACAAAACAAAUAAAAAUAAAGAAGAGGGAGAAAUUACAAUACUAACCUUAUUGUACUAUUACAACCUUUCUAUAAAAAUACACAAAAACAAAUACGUGAAAUAAAUUAACUAAAAAUUAAAUUAAUAAAAUAAACAAAAAUUACAAAGAAAAAAAUAAAUUGAAAAAUAAAUUACAGAAUUUUAAAGAAGAGAAAAAGAAAAGAAAUACUAACCUUUAUAUGUAAAUUCACUUUUUUUUAAUAAGAAAAAAAAUACAAGAAAACAAAUAAAAGAAAUUAUUUACAAAAAUUAAUUCUAUGAAUUAAAAUUACUUACCUCCCCGGCAACGGCGCCAAAAACUUGUUGUGCAAAUUUUAUUGAACUCGCAAGUGCACGAAUCUAUUGUAGAAUAAACUAAUGGUGACGAGUGUCGAUCCCACGAGGAGGUGGAUUUUAAUUAUGUGUAGAAUUAAUUUUGUAAAUGGGUGGUUGGAUUUGUGGUGGAAGUGAUUUAAAUUAAUUUUGUAAAUGGGUGGUUGGAUUUGUGGUGGAAGUGAUUUAAAUUAUCCUAAAAUUGGAAUUGAAAUGACAAGAAUAAAUUCUAAAAUUGGAAUUGCAAUGACGAGAAUAAAUUGAAGAGAAAAUUAUUGAAAUGAUGUACUUGGGUAUCUGAAUCCGUAUCAACAUGCAUCAUGGGCUAAAUAAUCCUUAUUAAUGCCAAUUAAAUCAUGAGGGGGGAAUCCACACCUCAUGAACCACGCUCUAAUCAAUAUGGUGCUAAGGGCUUAUCGUGCCAAAUAAUAAUAACCUUGUACUAGGGGGCCAGUGAAACCAAGGCGGUACUAGACAAGAUUAGUAUUAUUUAUCGACGAGAAGUCAAAACAUCCACAAAAAUUAGAGGGGAAGAGAAAGUAAAUUUACCAAAUAAAGCCCAUGACACAUGUUGAGACUUCACCUUCAACCCAAGCUUGAAAGAAAAUUAGCCACUUAUAAUUGAACUAGGGGUAAAAUGGAAAUUUAUUAAAAUACAUAGAAAAUACAAGAUGGAGAAGGAAUUACAGAAAAUGGAUCCCAAAAAUGGAUUCAGAGAUAUCAAAUUAGUGGGGGGAAGCCCCAUUUUUAUAGAUACAUGGAGUAAAUCAUGGCCAUCGAUUAAAAACAGUUUGGACACUCAGGAUUACGCCACGUCAUCAGUCAACAGUACGCGGUUUGACCACAUGGAUGAACAGUAACACGGUUUGACCCGGGUGAACAGUGACGCGGUUUGGUUGAAAAUAAUCAUGUGUGAUGCAUGUACCGUACGCGAGAUUUUUCGUCCACUGAUAUGCUGCCACGUCACCAUCAACAGUACAUAAGAAUUUUAUCCCAACAGGAUCAUGACACCUCAUCAGUCAAUGCCACAUCAUCGGUCAAUGCCACGUCAUUGAUCCGUCUAUGUGAACAGUGUCAUGAACAGUAACGUAGACAGUACCGUACACGUGAAUAGUACCGUACAUGUGAAUAGUGCCAUUUUUCCUUUUAUGCUCCUCUUAAGGUUUUCGACCGUCCUGAGUUCAAAAGUGAUGUUCGUUUUGCCGUUUGAUCUCUUGUUUAUUGUGAAAUGACCAUGAUGCCCCUAAAAUACAUAAAAUACAUAAUUAAAAUCAAACACACAUAAUUAAAUUACAAGAAGCUUAAAUACAUAAAAGUAAGGGUUGUUAGUAAAACUUGAAAUGUAAAAUGAUGAUUUUCUCCUUUAUAAAUAUGCAUUUUCUAACACUCAACAUAUGCUAUGGUUCUAACUAGACCUGAUAUCUCCUAUGCUCUAAGUGUAGUUAGCAGAUAUAUGGUGUCUCCUGGAAAAGAACAUUGGAGAGCUGUAAAAUGGGUGCUAAGAUAUCUAAGUGGAACCUUGAGCCAUGGGCUGGUUUAUGGAAAGUCAGGGAUCAAGUCUGAGGGGAUCUGUGGAUUUGUUGAUUCUGACUUUGCAGGAGACUUAGACAGAAGAAUAUCUCUCACAGGGUAUCUGUACAUGUUGGAUGGCUGCUUGAUUAACUAGAAAGCAAGUCUUCAACAUGUUGUUGCAUUAUCAACAACAGAAGCUGAGUAUACAGUAGCUGCUGAAGUAGUAAAGGAAGCCUUAUGGUUGAAAGGCUUGAUUUCUGAGCUUGGAAUGAGUCAGAAGACAGUUGAUGUAUUCUGUGAUAGCUCAAGUGCCAUUUACUUGAGUAAAAACCCAGCUCAUCAUGAGAAAACAAAGCACAUCGACAUCAAGCUGUAUUUCAUUAGAAAUGUAGUUUCCAUUGGUGUGGUCAGAAUGGUAAAGAUACAUACAGACAUAAAUCAUGCUGACAUGUUAACUAAAGUAGUCACUACAGCUAAGUUCAAGGUUUGCUUGGACAUAGCUGGUCUUGGCUGCUGGUACUUCAUUAUGGAAAUGGAGGGGAAAAUCAAGGGUGAUUUAUUUCAAGGUGGAGAAUUGUUGUUUGUGAAGCAAAUCCAGGAAGCUAAAACGGCAGAAGACCUUUGCGUUUAGAGCUGAAAACACUUUAGCUCAACGACAUAGAGUCUCGCGUUUUGAAGAGUAAAAGAAAUACUCUUCUAAACGACAUGUGAGUUUGUCGUUUAAGUUUAAGUGAAGCACGCUUGUAUCACGUGCUUGUGUUUAGCUUGCAAAGGUUGUUAGAAGCCGUUAAACGCAUGAGGAACUCACGUGAGUUGCUGGGGAAUUUCUGGGUUUGUUAAUUAAAGCUGUUAUCAGCAGCUGAUGUGGAAGCAACAUAUUGGUAUGCAGAAAGAACGUCAGUUACGUUCUUUCCAUAAUAUGAGCAUUACUCUGUAAUUCAUCUUGUUAAGUCAAUAAAGCUAUUCUUUACCCUCCCGUGGAUGUAAGCCAGAGAAAUCUAGCUGAACCACGUUAAGUUUCUUUUGUUCUUUGAUUGCUCUACUUCUGUUGAUUCUUUUAAACCCAAAUUGGUUAAUUCUCUAGUUCCAUAGAUUCAUCUUAGUCGUAGCUUUUCAGUCAUCAAUCUUGCAGCAUCUUGAUUAGUUGGUUGGUGAUCUUGGGGCAGAAUCUAAGGUUGCUUAGUCUGUUCAUAGCACCUUAGUUUCUACAGAAGUAUGAGCGGUGCUCAACCAGAGAGGGAGAAUAAAUUUUUCUUUUUUUUUUUGGGGUAGGGUGGUUGGGUGGGGUUGGGUGGCAAAGGGAAUGAUAGGGUUGAAAGUUCACGGUGUCGACAAGCAGUAAAAUGGCUAUUGACAAGCUGAUAUUUCAAAUUAGAGAAUGUGAGGUCCUGAAGAUUGCUGACUUGUGCUCAAAAUGGAAUUCUUGAUAACUUCAAAUGUUAAAAGUUCUUGGUGAAAGUUUUGUACUUUCUUUUCUUUCAGAUUCUUGUGCCUAUUGCGAAUGGUUCAAAGAAGAUGGAAGUUGUUAUAAUAAUUGAUAUUCUGCGACGAGCUAAAGCAAAUGUUGUGGUUGCGUCAGUUGAGGAUAAACUAGAAAUUAUGGCUUCUCGUCAAGUUAAAUUAGUGGCAGAUAUGCUUAUUGAUGAGGCAGCUAAACUUUCGUAUGAUUUGAUUGUCUUGCCAGUAAGUGGGGUUGCUAACUCUUGCCUCAUAGUCUUUACCAAAUUAUUGACUUACUAACUACAAUUUAUCUAUGAACAGGGUGGACUUGGUGGUGCUCAAGCAUUUGCGAAGUCAGAAAAAUUGGUAAAUAUGCUAAAGAAGCAAAAGGAAUCAAAUAGACCUUACGGUGCUAGAUGUGCAUCCCCAGCUUUAGUGUUGAAGCCCCAUGGCUUACUCAAGGUAUGACCAUUUCUGCUUAAAUAUUUACUCUCGAUUUGAAUCACCUAAUCUGAACUUGAUGAAACAUUAUGAUCUUGUGUCGUUUUAUGAAUGUGAUCUUAUCUCAUGUAAGUCUGUAAUGAAUUAAUUGAAGUUUGCUGAUACAAACUCAAAAAGUGCUGCUGCUUCAUUAGUUACAUUACCCAAAGAGUUAUGAUAGACAUCCUAAAUUUUUUAUCCCAAAUUCCCUCUCAAAUGACAUGGUAGUUAUUAAGUAGUUGGUAAUUUUUUAUAAAAUCUAAGUGAAUUAAUUAUAUUAUCUAACCAACUAAUUGAUGAAUGUCACGCCAUUUGAUAUGAUUUUUUGGAAUGUGUAGCAAAAUUUUAUGCUGAUUUGUUUUGGCUACAUUCAUGUAAAACCUGUUUCCCCAAAUCUCAAGAACUUCCCGCAAUAUCAUUCCUGUGUAUUUGUUUUCCCCUUUAGACAUGUUUAACUUUGAUUCAGGAUAAAAAAGCGACAACAAGCUAUCGGAUCAAAGUGAAAUCGAAAACAGGGUUGUGGUUGAUGGCAACCUUAUCACCAGCAGAGAGUCAGGAACUUCCAUGGAAUUUGCACUGGCAAUUGUGGAGAAGUUUUUUGGCCGCAACAAAGCGCUUGAGCUUGCAAAGAUAUUGCUUUUCACCCGCACCUAAAAUUUGUACUAGGACCUGACUACUAUUAAACUAGAGUAUUUAUUCCUGUAUUACUACUGCUUGUAUCACUACACUCACUGGAAUUUUAAUUAUGAACCAAGAAUGAAGUUGAACCGAGAAUUUGAUAUAUUAUAUAUUCCACUUACCAUAUCUAAGAAAGAAUAUUGAAAAGAAAGACGCUAAGAGAGAAUAUAGAAUAUUGAAAAGAAAGACGCUAAGAGAGAAUAUUGAAGUUAAACACAUACCAUAUCUAGUAUUAAGUCUGUAUGCCAAAAUUACAAAUUUGAAGAUUGGAUUUCUAAUUUCAAUUGAUGUUCUGCUCAAAGCAAUGGCUUUAAUUCCACAGUAGAAGAAGGAAAGGGUACGAACAAAGUUAACAGACACGCUAUAAAAAUUACGUUAACUGGUUGCAGCUGCAUCAUCCAGGAACUUCACUUUAAUCUUCUUGAGCUUUGCUGCAGCGUCUGUCAUAUUUAUCCUCUUAUCGGGUGACUUCAUACAACAAUCCAAUGCCAAAUCCAUUAUGCUUAAUAUACAAUCCAUUUUGGCAGAAAAAGCUUGCUCUUCUCGCACCAAAUUUGCGUCAACAACUUCACUCAAUCCGUGAGGUAAUGACUCCUUUACCCAUUUCCUUAAACUCAUUUCUCCUGUGAACAUUUCAUCGGUGGGCCUCUUUCUCGUGAAGGUUUCCAUCAAUAAAACACCAUAGCUGUAGACAUUACAUUUAGCUGAAACAAUUCCUUUUGAUCCAUACUCUGCAUUUUUUAAUUUCAAUUAUGAAACAAAUGAUAAAACAAAUAAUUUUUUGAUAAUUAAGGUAACCCAAACUUUGCUCGUGCUUGAAAAAAGAGCAAAAUUAUUAAUUACAAUUGAAACUUUACCUGAUGCCAUAUAACCAAUUGUAGCCAUUGUCAUGGUUUGUGUCAUAGAAUCUUCUCAUUCACCUAAAAGUUUGGAAAUGCCGAAGUCGCUGACAUGUGCCACCAUAUUUUCAUCCAAGAGAAUGCUGGUGGGCUUCAAAUCACAAUGAAUUAUAGGUGCCGACGAAUGACCAUGAUGGAGAUAUUCAAGAGUCGACCCCACAUCUAUCAUUAUAUUCAACCUCUCUAGAAUGUCUAAGAAAUAGUUGUGAGAAUACAACCGCUUCUCGAGACUACCAUUUGGCAUGAACUCAAGACCAAUACUUUAAAAUCUGGAGUAGAACAACUGCUAAGGAUCUUUAUGAGAUUUUGAUGACGAACAUUCCGUAAAACUUCACAUUCAGAAUUAAAACUCCUAAAUGCUCUCUCUCGUUGCAGAUUGAAAAUCUUUAUUGCAACAUCAGUCCCGUCGGAAAUGGUUCCUUUAUAAACUGAUCCAAAACUACCUGUAACAAGCAAGUUGCAUUCAUUAAAUUCAUCAGUUGCUUGUUGAAUGUCUAGGUACGAUGUUCUUCUCCAUGUUGCAAGAGGUAGUAAAUCUUCGUGAUCUGAUUUUUAUGUACUCCUAUUUCGGCAUCUUAUGUAGAUAAUGAUGGUAAUCACUAUAAGGACGGUGGAUACUAUCGGAGUUCAAAUAUAUUUAAGGACAAUUAGAGCAACUUUCUUGGUUCUUUUAUUGUUAUCUUGCCUGCAAGGUGGGACUCGGAGUUUAGGUGGACCACAGAGUGCAUAAUCUCCUAAAAACGAUUCAGCUGAGAAGUUCUGAAACGACCCCUUAACAGGAAUUUCCCCUUCUAGGCUAUUAUGAGACACGUUAAAUUGUUUGAGAUAUGAAAGUGUCUCCAAUGACUUAGGAAUUUUUCCAGAGAGAUUGUUGCCGGAGAGAUCUAAGGAUUCUAAGCUUAUCAAACUGCCAAUUCAUUCAGGAAUAGGUCCUUGAAAUUGAUUACCAGCCAAGGAUAUAGUUUCUAGAUCUACUAGGGCACCAAUGGUUGAUGGAAUGUCACCUGAUAAUUGAUUCCUUGAUAAAUCUAAAACUCUCAAGACCUUUAACUUUUGUACAUUGGAAGGGAGAGAAUCAUUUAAUAAAUUUGAUGACAAGUUUAUCUCUAAGAUGUACCCAAGGCUCCACAAGGAUGACGGUAUACUAGAAGUGAGCUUGUUGGAGCCUAAGUCAAGUUCUCUUAGAGAUGUCAAACUCGCCAGGCAUGGUGGUAUAUGUCCAGAGAGCUUAUUUCCCCCCAAGUGUAAUAGAUUCAACAUCUCCAAAUGGCAAAGAUUAUGAGGAACGUAUCCUUGCAAAUUAGUCUCAGGGAGAAAAAAACCUUGUAGCUGCUUUAGUGUGCCAAUGGAUGUUGGAAUAGUUCCAUUCAAGUCAUUGAAGCCGAGACUUAAGUAGAUCAAGCCACGUAAAUGACCAAUUUCUUUAGGAAUGGUUCCCUUAAGCUUGCACUCGGAUGCAGAAAAACGCUGAAGAGAAGUAGAGAAAUUUCCAAUUGAUGGUGGAAGGAUGCCACCUAGUGGAUUACCAGAUAAGAUUAAAUAGACUAGAUAUCGGCAGUUAGUCAAAGAGGAGAGAAAACUCCAUUGAUAUGCUGAAGAUGAUUCUGUGGUCAAGUUAUUCAUCAGAAGGCUGAGCACGCUGAGGUGUCUCAAGUUGCCAAAUGUAUUUGGAAUAUGGCCUGAGAAUGUGUUAAAGCCCAAGUCUAGGAUAAUGAGCUUAGUAGCAUUGGUAAUAGAGUUGGGAAUUGUCCCAAUAAGAUUAUUGUCCCCCAACUCCAAAUACUUUAUGUUCGGAAGCGAGUGGCCAAUCAUUGAUGGUAAGUGGCCUGACAGUCGAUUGCCACCCAGAUUAAGGUUUCUUAUGGUUGAAAUAUUGAAGAUCAUGGGUGGAAUGAGGCCACUUAAAUUAUUCGCACCAAGAAAAAGAGACUUCAAAUUUUGUAGAUUGCCAAUUUCGGUUGGAAUUUGACCUGUCAUAACGAUUAAUGGCAACAUUGAUGAGUUAUUGAGCUUUUACUUAACAUAAAUUUAAUUUCAUACUGCAUGAAAUCAAAUUUGCCCACAAAAUGUGUGUAAUUAGUUUUAUAAUUUUUUUUGGGGGGGGGGGGGGGGGGCAGUCGGUGUUGAUAUUUCUACUAGGAAUGACAACGGGGUGAGAUGGGAGUGGGGAGGCCUACCCCAUUCUGCAUCCUAUUAAAAAUUUCACCUCUAUUUCCCAAUAAAUUUAGUGGAGUGGGGAUGGAGAAUCCCAUGUGUGGAAUGAUUUUCCCAUCACCACCUCAUUCCCCAUUUGUUAUUUUAUAAUGUAUGAAUACAUAAUUUCAAUAAAUAAAAAAUUAAAGACUUAAAUAAAAUCAUCACCAUAUUAUAAAGUAUUUAAAUUAAAAAAAAUCUCAAAAAAAUUGAAACAAUAUCUUGAAGUAAUAUCAAAAUUGUAAAAUAUUUGGAUAUAUAAAUAAUAACUAAAAAAAUUAAAAAUGUAUAGCAAUGUUUCAUAUUCUUCUUUGUUAAUGGCUUCAUCUUCUCUUUAUCAUAUUCAUAUACCUAUGAUCGUAAAGUUUAUCAUUCUUUUAUAAAUAAACCAAUGUCUUAAGGGUGAGCAAAAAUCAUAUUAUAGGGUUUUCUUUUAGUUAUACCUUAUUUCUAUUAAGUAAAAAUAAAAGAAAAUUUAUAAACCAACAUUGUAAUUGAUAAAACAAAAAUUAUUAAAUAAAAUAUUAAAAAAAUAUUUACAUAUAAUGAGGAUUGAGUAUGGGGUGGGGUGGAGAGUACUAAACUAAACCCUACUCCAUUAAAAAUUUGGGGAUUAUUUUUUCCCAUUCCCCAAAAUUAUUCAAGAUUCACCCCAUUUGGGGUGGGGUUUCAUGGAGCUCCAAACCCAUGGAGGAUUUUGUCAUUUCUAGUUUCUACCUCAUAAUUUUUGUAAAACCCACCCGCUUUCAGAAAAUUAUUGCAACAAGAUUCUUUAAAAAAUUCAAAUAAAGAAGAAGUUUGGAGAAUUGAUCAAUUAAAUCCAUCUUAAUCUAUUUUUGAAACUUAUUUUCAUUUAUUAUAUUUAAUAACUAAGGUUGCUUUAAUAUAAAAUUAAUAUGACUAGUUUACUCUCACAAGGUAAAAGUACUAAUACCCACAAAUUUACUUUAACUUCAACUAAACUAACAAAAUGUAUUUGUGACAUGUGGUGCACUAAAAAUUAUUGAAUUUUAUUUUAGAAAUAUCGUAUUACAAAACAUAAAACAAAAUGUUGAAACUAUAUAUUAGAUACAAUAAUACAUGUUUUUUGGGGUAAUCUGGUCAUUUUAUAUUAUAAGAGUGAAAUAAUCAAAUUAAACUUAUUUUAAAGCAACCGUAAAUGGCCAAAGAUUGUUAAAAGCCUUAAGUCAUAAAAGGAAGUAUCAUAAGAAUAAUUUAUGUAGUUAAUUGUUCAAACUUAUUGUUAAUUUAUAAUUCUAUAAGAUAAUGUGAGCUUAUUAUAACUAUCUUAUCAAGAUGAGGUGUGUUUGCAAGAAUAAUGAGUGGAAAUAUCUCCAACCUCUAAAAUAAAAAGAAUUUUACAGCUAUGCCAAUGCAAAUAUGUAGACGUACCUUGUAGGUUGUUAUAACCUAUAUUCAUAUUCAAAAGAUUGCUCAAAUUUCAUAUCCUUGAAGGAAUAUUUCCAUCAAGAAUGUUAUCCUUUGCUUUUAACAUCUCCAGCAUCGAUAAAUUGAAGAGAGAAUUUGGGAUUGGACCCGUGAAACUGUUAUUACGAAGACUCAACAUUUGUAAUUUGGAUAAGAUACCAAUCCAUGUUGGAAUGCUUCCACUCAAUUUGUUGAGAGUGAAACUAAUAAAUCUGAGUCGGCGUAAUCGCCCCAAUUCAUUAGGUAGACGGCCAUGAAAAUUGUUCAGGCUAACAUCAAGAGAUACUAAGACCGUGAGAUUUCCCAAGUGUGGGGGAAUGGUACCUCCGAGACCUAUAUCUGAAAGAUUCAAGGCCGUGACUCUUUGAUGGCGUGAACCACAAGAAAUACCAAUCCAGGUACAUAUUGGAUAAGAUAUAGACCAAUUAUUUGUCAGAACACUUCGAUAAUCAACGACACGGGCUUUGAAUGUAAGAAGAGUCGAUUGAUCGGUUGUUAAGUUGCUCAAAGUCGUCAUAGCUAAGCUAGCUAUGGAAUAUUGUAACAACAACAUAGGAACAAAGAAGAAUGAUAAGCGCAUAUUGGUUGUAUUUUUUUUUUUAUAGAUGCAGCAAUCUAAUUGCUAAGUGAAAUUAAUGUUGAUACGAGAUUCUGGUUUUCUGCUCGCCCACGACCAGGAUCUCUCCUCAACUAACUCGACCACGACCAAGAUCUCCCCUCGUAAGACUUCUUCUCUACAGACUCCUACGUAUACAGAAACAAGUCAGAGCACGCCGGGUGUUUUCCUGGCGCAAACCCUCCGACGCUCAAGUCAGAAACGUAGGUUUCGUUUUCCUGGGGAAAUCAGCCACUAAUCUUAUGGCUCGUUUUGAGUACUAAUUAUUCAGAGCUCUUUUUAUCUCAGUUCCAAUGUCAAAAAAUCUAACCCUUUUACCUUCGUUGGCUACCUUUUUAUAGGCUUCCUCUGAAUCCAAGCCUUCCACAAUCCACGUCCAUCACUUCCCCCACCCUCGGAAGUGGAUGCUCCAUUAUCGUCAUUGUGGCUGAAUGGAAGUGGACUUCGUGCCUUGAUUUUCGGGCAGGAGUGCACGUCUUGCCAACCGUCAUUGACUGAGUCUGCCCACCUCAACAUCUAGCAGGAAUGGCCUUAUGCUCCUAGUAGGAGGCCGGCUCCCGUUGUGACCUCGUGGAGGGUGCGUUUGUGAACGAGCAUAAUAUUCCUACUCGUGCCAUCCUGCUACUAGAUAUCUGCUCAUCAUAUCUGGUCUUGUCGGCGUAUAUCCCCCAAACACCGGUCCCCCAGUUUCUAGUGUCGGGUAACGCAGUGGACCGACAGUAGAAAUUCAACAGUCCUGGCUCGCGCAGGAUAGGAAGAGGUUUUGAGGAGUCGUGUCGCAUUUAAUUGCGGACGAGGUGAUGUGGCAGAAAUCUAUCCCUCCAUUUGAAUUUCAAAUCGAUGGUCACGAAACCCUUGGAAUUUGUGCCGUUAAAUGCUGGCAGCCCAAGAGUUUGUUCCUCAUUAGGGAACCCAAAACCCCAAAAAGAGAAACUCGUCUUUUGUCCCAUUUAUAUCUCUCCGGUGAUUGAGUCAUUCCUCUCCCUCGGCGUAAAAGCUUCUAUCCUUGUCUCUAUCCGGCUAGGACACAACUUCAGAUAUUAUUUCUACUUCCUCGGUCUUGGAUAGUUGUAGAAAAUUUCAUUUCUCUCUGUUUUUCUUGGGUAGUGUUUGGUAAUACUGCCCUGGUUAUAGUUUAGGAAAUGUCCGAAGGCAAAGAGAAGGUCAUUGAGAUUAAUGACGACGAGUUAGACUUCCUGCCUAGUCUGCUCGCCGAUCCUGCCUUUGACCCCGGGAUCCCCUUAGAACCCAUUAGAUCUAGUGUUGGGACUAGUGCUAAGAGGAUGUCCCCCCAAAUAACCUCCUCAACCGGCAAUAGCAGCGACGAGGGAUCUUCUGGUUCUGAAGACACCUUGAGUGAGGACCAGGGAGAUGAUUCUGGUGAAAUGUCCUCACCAGGAACAUCGCGACCAGAUAGGAAGUGCAAAAUAGGAGGUAAGGCUCUAUCAGAGCAUUACGCUAUUGACUUCAUCACGUGCACGCCUACAGUAGAUGAGCUCGAUAACCUCCGAGCUAGGUAUGACAUUCCUGAUGAUAUACCCCUUAGGAUCCCAGGAAAAAAGGAUACUCCUAGCCAGCCUCCUAGGGGAUACGUUACUCUGUUUCUGGAAAGUUUUAAGCUUGGGAUGAGAUUCCCCCUACAACCCUAUUUUGCCCGAAUACUCAACGGGUGGAAUUUAGCUCCUGGUCAACUGAACCCCAACGGGUGGAGGGUAUUUUCUGGUCUGUUCAUAUUGUGGGACAGAUGUUGCCAGAGUGAGCUCACAGUUAAUGAGGUGAAGCACCUGUACCAGCUAAAGAGUAGCCCCAAAGACGCCGGCUGGUAUUACUUCUAAUCAAGUACCAAGACCAAGAAACCCAUAACUGACCUUCCAACCGGUGGUGGUGGGAAUUGGAAGAAAAAAUUCUUUUUUGCUGGGGGUCCCUGAGGUCAAGUUGCAUAGGUUGACGGGAAGAAUUAUCGCGUCCCACCCCGUUUCGUGGUCCCAGGUUGCCUGCUCGCUUUAGUUGUCUUGUCGCCAUAGUUGUUUUUAUUUUGCUGAUUUAUCUCUAACCCAACAUCUCCUGGAAUUCCAGGUUCCUGGGGCGUGCACUACCAGCUUAAACCUGAGCCGCUCAAGGGGGUCGAGGCUGUGUUGGCCAAUUCCUGUUCGAACCGAGAGUUGCUAACUACUUACAACUUAUUCGAAUCUUGUUUGGUGUCCACUGACCUUAAGAUGGAGGAUGCUGUGAUCGGGGCUCUGAAUCGAAAACGUCAUCGACCUCAUACUGCUAAGCACGACCAGAAUAAGGGCAUUCCCUCUGCGAAACGGGUGAACAUCGCGGAGUAGGUCCCUCUUUGAGGACUCUACCACCUCUUCCUGCCAAAGCUGGAGAAACUAAUAGAGCAGCCACUGACCCCACUUUCUCUUCUCCACCAGCUAGGUCGAAACCCCGUUUGCCCGACAAUCGAGCAGAGCAUCUGGUCCCCUAUAUCAGCGAGUUUUCUAGUCCCCUAUAUCAGCGAGUUUUCUAGGCUCGUGAGCAAGAAGGACUUGGAGGAUUUUGACGGCAGCACUCUCGGCAAUCUGGUGGGGGCUAUGCAGUAUAGUGCUUUUCACCUCGGCUGCAUGGCCACUAACUAUAAAGCGAAGCUCGGACGCUAUGAUCGAAAGAUGAGAGAGGACGUUCAAUCGACCAAAACCAAAGCUGACGCAGCCGAGAAGAAAGCAGGAGAUCUGAACCUCUAGAAUCUGAAGUUGAUAGAGCGAGAAUCUCUCGCGCAGGUAAGGGCAAUCACUCUAGAGGAAGAGCUGACUAAGGUCAAGGAGGAUCUGCAGAGGCAGAAGGCCACCUACGAGGCUCAGCUCGAAUCUCUCAAGGAUUCCCACCAGGUUCAGGUCAAGAACCUAGAGAAGGAAGCUGACAACCAAAAUGACCAGGGGCUUCGGCAUUCUUAUUGCUGCAUCAUGGCCGUCCUUGGGAAGCAACAUCCUGAUCUGAAGAUGGAUGAGCUUGCUGCUGGGGUUGCUCAAUAUAUAGAUGAUGAGGCAGCAAAAGAGGAUGUCGAAGAGUUGGAGCCAAAUGCAAUUGAGGAGGGAAACUCUCCUCCUCGUGCAGUCCCUGCUGAUGUUGCCGAGGCAAGUACCCCCCGGGUGCAACUGGUGAGACCCCCCUGCACCUAAGGUGGACCAGCCAACAGAAACUGCCCAGCUUACUGACCCGUCGUCCUCUUGAAUGUAUCUUGUGUUGUAAUUACUUUUUUGGAACACUGUAUGUUAAGCCUAGUAGUUUUUCGUGAUUAUUGAUAGAUUAAUAAGAAUGUUCUUAUUUGCUUUCUUUGCCUUGAGCUCUUGGCAAAUUAUUAUAUUUUUUGCUCGCUUACAUUGCGGUCGAGGAGGUGCCGAAAAGUUCAGCUUCCUGCUGUCCUAUGUUUGAGAGUCUGCUGGCCUUCGCUUGGUAGAACAGGUCCUGGCAUGCUUGGCUUCUGGUCUUGCCAUAAACAGGCUUUGAGGCUUAGUGAGCCUUUGCAUGCCUUAGAAAAUUUUACAAUGUUUGAGCAUCUGCUCGCCUUCGCUUGGUCGAGCAGAUCCUAGCACACUUGGCUUCUGGUUUCACCAUGAAACAGACUUUGAGACUUAGCCUUUGCAUGCCUUAGAAAAUUUUAUAAUGCUUGGGAGUCUGCUCACCUUCGCUUGGCCGAGCAAAUCCUGGCACGCUUGGCUUCUGGUCUCACCAUAAAACAGGCUUUGAGACUUAGCCUUUGCAUGCCUUAGACACUUUUACAGCAUUUCGGAGUCUGCUCGCCUUCGCUUGGUCGAGCAGAUCCUGGCACACUUGGUUGUUGGUCUCGCCAUAAAACAUGCUUUGAGACUUAACCUUUGCAUGCCUUAGACACUUUUAUAGCGUUUCGGAGUCUGCUCACCUUCACUUGGUCGAGCAGAUCCUGGCACACUUGGCUGUUGGUCUCGCCAUAAAAUAGGCUUUGAGACUUAACCUUUGCAUGCCUUAGACACUUUUACAGCAUUUCGGAGUCUGCUCGCCUUCGCUUGGUCGAGCAGAUCCUGACACACUUGGUUGUUGGUCUCGCCAUAAAACAGGCUUUGAGACUUAACCUUUGCAUGCCUUAGACACUUUUAUAGCGUUUCGGAGUCUGCUCACCUUCGCUUGGUCGAGCAGAUCCUGGCACACUUGGCUGUUGGUCUCGCCAUAAAAUAGGCUUUGAGACUUAACCUUUGCAUGUCUUAGGCACUUUUAUAGCGUUUCGGAGUCUGCUCGCCUUCGUUUGGUCGAGCAGAUCCUGGCACACUUGGUUGUUGGUCUUGCCAUAAAACAGGCUUUGAGACUUAACCUUUGCAUGCCUUAUAAGUUUUUAUAAUACUUAAGGGUCUGCUCGCCUUCACUUGGUCGAGUAGAUCCUGGCACGCUUGGCUUCUAGUCUCGCCAUAAAAUAAGCUUUGAGACUUGGUGAGCCUUUGCAUGCCUUAGGAGUUUAAAGAACAUUACAGCUGACUGAAAUUCCUCAUCGUUUCAUUAAUUGCUGAAUUCGGCUUACACGAGAUUAAUUUAACAUAGAAUGAAUAAUAACGAGAGCGAAUAGAAAUAACUUUAAAACAUGAACGAGUCUUACUGGAAAUAUUUCCUGAGGUGUACUGCGUUCCAGGGGCGUUUCACCUCGUGGCCAUCCGCACGAACAAGCUUAUAGGCUCCCCCCUCCCAGUUUGGUCCAAGUACUCCUUGUGUCGAGUCUUUCAUGUUCUGAUUCACCCUCCUUAGUACCCAAUCUCCGACCUUGAGCUGUCGUACACACACCUUCUGGUUGUAAUACCGAGCAACCCUCUGCUGGUAGAUGGCUGAUCGCUUCGAUGCUUGCUCCCUCUUCUCGGUCAGCAAAUCAGAUUCAAGCACAUCUGGUCAUUGUUUUCCUGCUCAUCGAAGUGUUCUGUCCAGUUCGUGGUCGUCCCUAUCUCGACCGGUACGACAGCUUCAUGUCCGAAGGCCAAAGCGAACAGAGUUUCGCCGGUUGCUGUUUUGUGGGUUGUCCUGUAUGCCCAUAAUACACCUGGUAGCUCAUCAACCCAUGCACCAUUUUUUGCUCCAAGCCUGAUUUUCAGAAGCCUUUUUAUUAUCUUGUUGGCUGCUUCUACUUGCCCGUUAGACUAAGGGUGAGCCAACGAGCAAUACUUCAUCUCUAUCCCGAGGUUUUAGCAGAAAUCCCUGAAGUUAUGGUUGUCAAACUGCCUGCCAUUGUUUGUUAUCAGGUCACAAAGGAUCACGUACCGAUAGACCAGGUUUCUCCAUACGAAGUCAGUCGUCUUUUUUUUUCUGUGAUCCUGCUGAGGGCCUCUACCUCUAUCCAUUUCGUGAAGUAGUCUAUCGCAACUAUUGCAUGUGUUGCUGCCCCUCGUCCCUCUAGAGACAGCGGGAACACCCUGCAUCUUUGAGCUUGGGAUAAUCCUUGCACCCCAGUUAUGUCGUUGAAGCGCUCUAUGUGCACCAACGGAUCGAUUCGCCCCGAGUAUCUGAGGUCUGGGAGGCGAAAAUCCCUCGAAAUGACUGCCCUCAUGAUUUCUGCUAAGAGCGGGGAUUCUCCGUCCAGCAUUAUCCUUCAACCUGGUGCUCUGCUCCGUCCUUGCAUGUUAUCUAUUAUCUGCGCUAACCUGCGCACUUCUUCUUCCAGCUGUACGGCACGACCAGGGUCACGUGCUGCAACCUGAUCUCGCUCCUGCUCAACAUCAAGCAGGUGUUUCCGGAGUUCUCUUUCCUCUGCAUUCGCCACUCUGUCAUCGUUAUCAAAGAUCUUCCUUCCCAGGGAUUGAUUCUCUCCUCUAUGGCUUUUUCCCCGUAGAGAUGAGUUACCCCCCUCACCACCAAAUCUUCUGGUGGCCCGACUUCUCAUCAUGUUGUCGUGCCCUGGUGUCACUCUGCCACUUCUCACCCCCUCCUCUUGAGCUCCUCUUCGUUCACUUCUCAGCUCGUGUAGGAUGGUUGUCAGGGUCUCCAUCUGUUUCUCCAUCUGUUCCAUCCGCUCAUACAUUGCUUUUUCCCGUACUUUGUUGGCUAUCUCUGUCAACGUCACGGACUCGUUAAGCCUCGGUUUACCUCCUUGUGCACUGCCUCCUCCUACAUCCAUUGUUCCAUCACUUUCUUUCAUCUUCUUCUCUCUAAUAACAGAAGCGUUUUGCUCAGCUCCCCACAGACGGCGCCAAAAUAUUGAUACGAGAUUCUGGUUUUCUGCGCCCCCACGACCAGGAUCUCUCCUCAACUAACUCGACCACGACCAGGAUCUCCCCUAGUAAGACUUCUUCUCUACAGACUUCUGCGUACACAGAAACAAGUCAGAGCACGCCGGGUGUUUUCCCGGCGCAAACCCUCCGACGCUUAAGUCAGAAACAUAGGUUUCGUUUUCCUGGGGAAAUCAGCCACUAAUCUUAUGGCUCAUUUUGAUUACUAAUUAUUCAGAGCUCUUUUUAUCUCAGUUCCAAUGUCAAAAAAUCUAACCCUUUUACCUUCGCUGGCCACCUUUUUAUAGGAUUCCUCUGAAUCCAGGCCUUCCACAAUCCACGUCUAUCACUUCCCCCACCCCCGGAAGUGGAUGCUCCAUUAUCGUCAUUGUGGCUGAAUAGAAGUGGACUUCGUGCCUUGAUUUUCGGUCAGGAGUGCACAUCUGCCCACCUCAACAUCUAGCAGGAAUGGCCUUAUACUCCUAGUAGGAGGCCGGCUCCCGCUGUGACCCCGUGGAGGGUGCGUUCGUGAAUGAGCAGAAUAUUCCUGCUCGUGCCAUCCUGCUACUAGAUAUCUGCUAAUCAUAUCUAGUCUUGUCGGCGUAUAUCCCCCAAAUAAGGCGUGCAAAGGUGCAAAGUCUCAAAGCCUGUUUUAUAACGAGACAGGAAGCCAAGCAUGCCAGGAUCUGCUCGACCAAGCGAAGGCGAGCAGACCACCAAAGUUCCAAAAAGUUUCUAAGGCGUGCAAAGGCUCCAAAAUCUCAAAGCCUGUUUUAUGGCGAGAAAGGAAGCCAAACAUGCCAGGAUCGGCUCGACCAAGCGAAGGCAAGUGAUAAUUCUAGGAAAUAAGAGUUAUUACUUCAAUUCUAGACUGAAAUCAAGAUCAUUUAGAGAGCAAAUAAGGUGUUUUUAUUACAUUUUGGUUACCUUUUGCAUAAACAUUCAUUUUAGUUGGAUAUUAAUAAGUUUUGCUUAAAUCAAGUAAUUUGUACUAAAAACAGGUGCGUAAUUGUAAGGUUUAAAUUCAUGAAGAGGAUGCAGAGACAUUAGAUGAGCAAGAGGAGGAAAGAAGAUGGCCAAAAAAGAAGAAAAGCACAAUCGAGAAUAAUGCAGUACUGUUGUGAAUGUUAGAGCAACCAGUGCUGCAGCAAUCUGGGAGCAAUGCGGUAGAAAGCUUAAAGCGCGGGUCAGCCAUAAAGUCGCGAUCUGCAUGUUUCCUAAUUUAGACGCAUGCAAGCUCAUGGGCUUUAGUUUUUACCCUAAUUCGGAAUAUAAAAAGGAGGCGUGCAUCACAUAGAGAGGGGGCAGAGAGAUUACUAUCCAAGUGAUUACAAAGGCAAGAAGAAGAAGAAGAAGAUCAAGAUUUAGGAGUGUUGUUCGGCAUCAUUGAAGAACCGAGGAGGAUCACUAGUCUUUCACCGUGCUCAACUCAUAUUAUCUUUCUUCCUUGAAAUUGUUUGGAUGUAUUCUGUGAUCAGUAUAUUUAUGUUUACUUUUCUCAUUCAGAACAUGAACAAAAUUUACUUGUAGUUGAGUGACAAAUAAACCAAUGGGUUCUUGACUGUUCUUAUAUGUUGUUAUGGUAUUGCUGUAGCAUUAUACUCUAGUAGUUUUUAUAAUUACAACUGUUAUUUCAGUUGACCACCCAUUUAAUAGUUUCAGUUAAGAUAGAGCAGCAAAAUGGCAUGUCUUAGCGGACAUUAUUAGAGUAUUACUCGUUCUUAAGUCAAGUUUCCUGGAUUAGGUUAUCUUGAAUCCCAUAAGGGCAAUACUUGAAGUUAAGAUUUGUGACACUCUAGACAUAGGUGUUCACCUUGUAGGGUAGAGAGAUUAAAGGUUAUUAUGCCGUACCAUAAAUAUAUGAGCAACUGGUCAUUGUUAGUAGAUUUAAAGGUAUGAAAUUUCCAACAUGCAAUAGCUGCGGAUGCAGAUAUAUUCUACCCAUUGCUGCAGCACUUAUUGUAACAACUGGUGCUAAUUCGGUAAACAACAGUCAUCCCAUUAGGAGAGUUUGAUCAUUCAACUACUAUAUUCUCAAUUGAAUCUUAGACACAUUUAACUUAGUUUAUUUCAUUACAGUAUUGUUUUAUUUCCAUCUCUCGAAAUUAAUAAUUACGAUAAAAUUAUUUGACAUUUGUUUGUUUCGACCUUUAGUUGAUUUGCAUUAUUGUGAUUGUUUCAGUAUUUUGAGCAACAUCAAUCCCCGUAGAGACGAUCUUGAAUACUCAUCACUUUAUUACUUGUUGUGUAUACUUGCACAUUGGCAUUGAUAGUAAUUGAUUAUAAUAAAUUACCAACAAGUUUUUAGCGUCGUUGCCGGGGAAUGAUUGUUUAUUUUUGAAGUGUGAAGUAAAUUAUGAUAGCACCAAACUUAACUUGAUUCAUUCUAUUGAUUGGUAGAUCAGUACGUGCAUACGCAAGGAUAGAUCUGUGGUAUUCCAAUUCGAUCCUGAGAUUGAAAGGACUAUCAGGAGAUUGCGAAGAGAACAAAGAAAUUCAAAGACUGUUUCAGGCAUGAAUAAUUUGCAGGAUGAGGGAAAUUUGAACCCUCACGGGCCUUUACAUCCAGCCAACAUUCAAGAAGUGCAGAAUGAACAUGCUAAUGGGAGAUAGCCAGGUAAUAACAAUAUUAUUUACAUGGCUGAUGACAGGGACAGAGCUAUAAGAGAUUAUGCUGUACUAACUCCUCAAGUUGUCCAUCCUGGCAUCAUCAGACCUGAAGCAGACGCUGCCAACUUUGAGAUAAAGCCCGUGAUGUUUCAAAUAUUGCAAACAGUUGGGCAAUUCAAUGGAUUGACAAAUGAAGAUCCUCAUCUCCAUCUUAAAUUGUUCUUGGAAGUAAGUGAUGCUUUCAAGAUUGCUAGAGCAACACAAGAUGCCUUAAGGCUGAGGCUAUUCCUUUAUUCCUUAAGAGAUCGAGCAAGGGCAUGGUUAAAUUCAUUACCAUCUGAUUCCAUCACUACAUGGAAUGAAUUGGCUGAUAAAUUCCUAGUGAAAUAUUUCCCACCGACAAAGAAUGCAAAAUUAUGAAAUGAGAUUACCUCCUUCCAUCAACUUGAAGAUGAGAGUUUGUACGAGGCUUGGGAAAGGUUCAAGGACUUGCUCAAAAGGUGUCCUCAUCAUGGUAUUCCUUGUUGUAUUCAAUUGGAAACUUUUUACAAUGGGUUGAAUCCGAGUACAAGGUUAAUGGUGGAUGCUUCAGCAAAUGGAGCUCUGUUAUCCAAAUCCUACACUGAAGCUUAUGAAAUUUUGGAAAGAGUUGCCAAUAAUAAUUACCAGUGGCCUUCAGUCAGGCAGCCAGCAGCAAGAGGAACAGCAGGGGUACAUAGCAUUGAUGCAAUUACAGCCUUAUCAGCUCAAGUAACCUCAUUGACUAACAUGGUAAAAGCCAUGACAGCUGCUCCAGCAACAGUAAAGCAAGUUACUGAACUUUCUUGUGUCUACUGUGGUGAAGAACAUGAUUUUGAUAAUUGUCCUGGAAAUCCAGCCUCAGUAAAUUAUAUGGGUAACUUCAAUCGACAACCUCAGAACAACCCAUAUUCAAAUACUUACAACCCAGGCUGGAAACAAUACCUAAAUUUCUUAUAGAGCAAUCAGAAUCGAAAUGCUCCAGCAUUGAAUGGACUAAGUAGAAACACACAACCACCUGGUUUUCAUCAACAAAGUCAAGGGCAAAAGCAUAUCAGUCAGGAUCCAAUCACUUCAUUGGAAGCACUGAUCAAGGAAUACAUUGCAAAGAAUGAAGCAAUUGUUCAAAAUCAAGCUGUGCCCUUGAGAACCAAAUGGGACAAUUAGCUACAGCAAUGAGCAGCAGAACUCAAGGAAGCCUACCUAGCAACACAGAAGACCCUAGGAGAGAUAGCAAAGAACACUGCAAAGUAAUUAGUUUAAGAUCUGGAAAGAAUGUUGAUAUCCUAGUUGAGGUGACCAAAAAUGGGAUGGAAUGCAAUUCAGCUCAAAACCCAACUCAAAAGGGAAACCUGUUACAGCAGGCUCCCCAUCAAGACACUGAUGUAAUGGGCCAAGCUACAGCAGCUGCAGAAGAAAUUCAACCAGAUCUUGCUGAAAAAGAAGUUGCAACACCAGUAGCCACAACCUGCACCAACUUAAACAAACAGAGUUUGGUACCUCCUAAAUCUAACCAGCAGUUUAGACAUCCACUACCCUUCCCUCAAAGGUUCCAAAAGCAAAAACAAGACAAGCAGUUCAGCAAAUUCCUGGAAGUGCUGAAGCAACUGCACAUAAAUAUACCUUUUGUGGAAGCUUUAGAGCAAAUGCCAAAUUACGUGAAAUUUCUAAAAGAUAUCUUGGCACGAAAAAGAAGGCUGGGAGAGUUUGAAACUGUUGCUUUAACACAGGAAAGUAGCCAUAUGCUCUAGAGUAAAAUUCCCACAAAAUUGAAAGAUCCAAGGACUUUUACAAUACCCUGCUCUAUAUGGACUAGGUAUACUAGCAGAGCACUUUGUGAUUUGGGAGCUAAUGUUAACUUGAUGCCAUUAUCUGUAUUUAAGCAGCUUGGAGUAGGGGAGUGCAGACCAACAACUGUCACUCUGCAAUUAACUGACAGCUCUCAUGCAUAUCCUGAAGGAAAGAUAGAUGAUGUACUGGUGAAGGUUGACAAAUUCAUUUUUCCAGUGGAUUUCAUUGUGCUAGACUUUGAAGCUGACAAAGAGGUACCCAUUAUACUUGGUAGACCUUUUCUAGCAACUGGAAAGACUCUGAUAGAUGUGCAGAAAGGAGAGCUGACCAUGAGAGUGAAUGAUCAGCAAGUCAUAUUCAAUGUACUAGAGGCUAUGAGAAACCCUGAUGAAAUAGAAGAUUGCAAUUUCCUAAGUGUAGUGGAUCUUGUUGUAGCAGACAGAAUGGACAGAUGCUACAGUAAUGUACUUGACAAAGUCACCACCUUUGAGGAUGUUGAAGAGGAAGAUGUUGAAGCAAUUCAAACAGAUUGGAUGGACAAACAACAAUCUAAUAGGCACAACAGGGUUAUUGAACACUUGAAUCUGUCAGACAGGGAAGUAAAAACAAUUUUACCAUCUAUUGAAUCACCUCCUAGUUUUGAAUUAAAACUGUUACCUUCACAUUUGAAGUAUGCUUAUCUUGGUCAAAACAACACACUCCUUGUAAUCAUUUUUUCUACUUUGGAUGCAGGUCAAGAACAAAGCCUAGUAGAUUUGCUGGGAAAAUACAGAAGAACAAUUGGAUGGACCAUGGCAGAUAUAAAGGGGAUCAGCCCAUCCAUAUGUAUGCAUAAAAUCCUGUUAGAAGACUGUUCCAGCAAUUCGGUGGAGCACCAGAGAAGGCUGAAUCCUAUUAUGAAAGAAGUGGUAAAGAAGGAAAUCAUAAAAUGGUUAGAUGCUGGAAUCAUAUACCCAAUAUCAGACAGUUCAUGGGUAAGCCCAGUUCAAUGUGUUCCAAAAAAAUGAGGGAUAACAAUAAUGACUAAUGAGAAGAAUGAACUUAUUCCUACAAGGACAGUGACUGGAUGGAGAGUGUGUAUGGAUUACAGGAAGCUCAACAAAGCCACAAGGAAAGACCAUUUCCCACUUCCAUUCAUAGAUCAGAUGCUGGACAGACUUGCUGGAAAACAAUACUAUUGUUUCUUAGAUGGGUAUUCAGGCUACAACCAGAUUGCUAUAGCUCCAGAGGAUCAAGAGAAUACUACAUUUACUUGUCCUUAUGGAACAUUUGCCUUCAGAAGAAUGCCAUUUGGGCUAUGCAAUGCUCCAGCAACUUUUCAGAAAUGCAUGAUGUCUAUAUUUUCUGAUAUGGUGGAGCAUAUUUUGGAAGUUUUCAUGGAUGAUUUCUCAGUUUUUAGAGAAACAUACAGUAAUUGUUUACAUAACUUGGAAGAAGUUCUUAAAAGAUGUGAGAUGACCAACUUAGUACUCAAUUGGGAGAAGUGUCAUUUUAUGGUGCAAGAAGGAAUAGUGUUGGGUCACAAGAUAUCCAAGGAUGGUAUUGAGGUAGACAAAGCCAAGAUAGAGGUAAUAGAUAAACUGCCACCUCCAACUUCAGUAAAGAGUAUUAGGAGUUUUUUGGGUCAUGCUGGAUUCUACAGAAGAUUCAUUAAGGAUUUUUCCAAAGUAGUUAAGCCUCUGUGUUCAUUGCUGGAGCAUGACAAACCAUUUCACUUUGACAAAGAGUGCCUUCAAGUAUUUGAAGAAUUAAAGAAAGCCUUGAUCACUGCCCCAGUUGUUAUAUCUCCAGAUUGGAAUUUACCAUUUGAAUUGAUGUGUGAUGCUAGUGAUCAUUCUGUGGGAGCAGUAUUAGGGCAAAGAAAGGAUAAGGUUUUUCAUUCCAUAUACUAUGCAAGCAAAACUUUCACCCCAACUCAGAUCAAAUACACGACUACAGAGAAAGAGUUACUGGUAGUAGUUUUUUUGACAAAUUCAGAGCUUACCUGGUGGGUACUAAAGUAACUGUUUAUACAGACCAUGCAGCCAUCAAAUAUUUAAUUUCAAAGAAGGAUGCCAAACCAAGAUUAAUAAGAUGGAUCUUAUUGUUUCAAGAAUUUGAUCUGGAAAUUAAAGAUAGAAAGGGGACUGAAAAUCAAGUGGCAGACCACUUGUCACGGUUGGAAGUAGAUACUAGUACAUUGACAAGGAAGGGCAUCACUGAAACUUUUCCUAACGAACAGCUGCUGGUAGUACAGCAAGCACAGAUGCUGCAGCAGUCAGAAUCUCCAUGGUAGGCAGACUUUGCUAACUAUUUAGUAAGUGGGUUGCUACCACCUGAGAUGAAGUUUCAAGAGAAAAAGAAAUUUCUUCAUGAUGCUAGAAGCUAUCAGUGGGAUGACCCACAUUUAUAUAAGCUAUGUGUUGUGCAAAUUUUAAUGUACUCGCAAGUGCACGACAUCUAUUGUAGUAUAGAUCAAUGGUGACGAGUGUCGAUCCCACGAGGAGGUGGAUUUUAAUUGUGUGUAGAAUUAAUUUUGUAAAUGGGUGAUUGGAUUUGUGGUGGAAAUGAAUUGGAAUAUGUUAAAACUUAAAUUAAAAUGGCGAGAAUAAAUUUUAAAAUUGGAAUUAAAAUGGCAAGAAUAAAUUGAAGAGAAUUCUAUUGAAAUGACGUACUUGGGUAUCUGGAUCCGUAUCAACAUGCAUCAUGGGCUAAAUAAUCCUUAUUAAUACCAAUUAAAUCAUGAAGGGGGAAUCCACACCUCAUGAACCACGCUCUAAUCAAUAUGGUGCUAAGGGCUUAUCGUGCCAAAUAAUAAUAACCUUGUACUAGGGGGCCGGUGAAACCAAGGCGGUACUAGACAAGAUUAGUAUUAUUUGUCAACGACAAGUCAAAACAUCCACAAAAAUUAGAGGGGAAGAGAAAGUAGAUUUACCAAAUAAAGCCCAUGACACAUGUUAAGACUUCACCUUCAACCCAAGCUUGAAAGAAAAUUAGCCACUUAUAAUUGAACUAGUGGCAAAAUGAGAAUUUAUUAAAAUACGUAGAAAAUACAAGAUGGAGAAGGAAUUACAGAAAAUGGAUCCCAAAGAUGGAUUCAGAGAUAUCAAAUUAGGGGGGGGAGGAGGCCCCCUUUUUAUAGAUACAUCGAGUAAAUCAUGGCCAUCGGAUUAAAAACAGUUUGGACGCUCAAGAUUGCGCCACGUCAUCAGUCAACAGUACGCGUGAAUAGUACGCGGUUUGACCACGUGGAUGAACAGUAACACGGUUUGACCCGGGUGAACAGUGACGCGGUUUGGUUGAAAAUAAUCUUGUGUGAUGCAUAUACCGUACACGAGAUUUUUCGUCCACUGAUAUGCUGCCACGUCACCAUCAACAGUACAUAAGAAUUUUAGCCCAACAGGAUCAUGACACCUCAUCAGUCAAUGCCACAUCAUCGGUCAAUGCCACGUCAUCGAUCCGUCUAUGUGAACAGUGUCAUGAACAGUAAUGUAGACAAUACCGUACACGUGAAUAGUACCGUACAUGUGAAUAGUGCCAUUUUUCCUUUUAUGCUCCUCCUAAGGUUUUCGACCGUCCUGAGUUCAAAAGUGAUGUCCGUUUUGCCAUCUGAUCUCUCGUUUAUUGUGAAAUGACUAUGAUGCCCCUAAAAUACAUAAAAUACUUAAUUAAAAUAAAACACAUGGAAUUAAAUCAAAAGAAUGUUAAAUUCAUAAAAGUAAAGGUGUUAGUAAAAUUUGUAGUGUAAAAUGACAAUUUUCUCCUUUAUAAAUAUAUAUUUUCUAACACUCAACACACCCCCCAACCAGCUUAUUGCUAGUCCCUAGCAAAUAAAGCGAAAACAAAAUUCAAAACCAAAAUGAUUUUUUUUAUUUAUUUAGAAACACUCAUGUUUAUUCAAUCAGAUUAAUGAUAGUAAUCAAAUAAAAGUAUAAGCAUUAUCUCCAGUCUAAAGCAACAUCACACCCAUAUCAACCGUCCACAUGAAUCAGCAUAAUAGACAUUGUUAUAGCUACUUUCAAGAAUGACAUGUCAAACCCCAAAAUCUCACUGGAAGUAGUGACACUGUCACAAAGAAAUUAAACCCAAUAAAAAAUAGUCACUCCAAUGAAUGGUAAUUGAGAGAAAAUAAUAAAGAAGUGAUAUCACAUGCUCUCACCAAGAUGAAAUAAAUAUGCCCCCAGCUUAAAAAUAAUACGAUCUCAAGUCAAAUAAAAAAUGUUAGUCAACUCAAUUUAUUGAUUUAUUUUUUAUAUGCACCACUACAUCUUUUUAGCCCAUAUAACUAACUUCUACUUCAGACUAAAGUUUCCUAAAAUCAAGAAGGACUUUUAUUAGGACGUAACGUAGGUUAGGGACAUGGCUAACAAAGAAGGGAAAUAAGGAAAACAAAAUGUAUGUUUGAGAAAAAUGUAGAGAAAUUUUUUUUUUUUUUUGGAAGUUGUAAGGUGGAUUUCACCUAUUAUUGAUUUUUUUUUCUCUUCUUUUUUUUUGAAAUAAUUUUUUUUUUUUUUACUUUUGCUUGGCACAACGUCACUGAACAAAAUAAUUAUUUACAUUUUUCUCAAAUAUAAAUAGGUGAUGGAACUUAUAAGACAUCGGGUAAUACUCCAAAUCGGAGAGGGUCAAGAUGAUAAGUUUAGCAAAUAAAAGUUUUUUUUUUUAAAGGCUCAAAAUAGUUUACUAUGGAUAUUUAAUAAAAUGGAUGGCUAGAAAGGCUCAAACGGAUCAAAGAUGGUCUUUCCAUCAUCUUUUAGGGCUCUAAAUAAUCUUCUAUAUCUACUAGUUAGAUGGGCCUCCAAAUAUAGCAACACACUUUUUUUUUCUUUUUUUUUUAAUUUUACAAAUUUUUUUUAAGGGUUAACUCAAAAGAAAUCUAGAGAUCGUGUAUACAAUAAUAAACUGCUAAGCUGUAUAAAGAAUGGGCAAAAGGGUUACUCUCCAAGAAAAAUGAUAGGCUCAAAAACUCACUUGGCACUUAUUUAUGACAUGUUCAUUCCUUCAAGCAACUCAUAUUUGUCUCCGGCAUCAACAUGUAAAGUAGCAAACAUAGCGUAACAUCACUUAAGACCAAAGAUAAUACAAAUACUAAAAUUUGAAAUUAAUCAUGUCAUCCAAUAUUAAAACAAAUCACACAAAUUUUUUUUUUUUAACAACAUUCUACCCCCCAACCUAUUCUAAACAUGAAAGAAAAAUAUGCAUGCAGAAAUGUGAAAAUGAUGCAUAAAAACUAAUUAGAAAAGUUACACUUAAAAUGAUAGAAAACGAAAAUGGUUUUUUUUUUUUAAAAAAAAAAAACUUAGAAGAUGCGUUUCUAGAGGCAUUACACUCCAUAUUCAGCCAUCUUCGACUCAAAAAUUUGAAAAUAUAUAUUUAUAAAGGAGAAAGAGGAAGAAAACGGUUUUUUGUUUUUUUUGUUUUUUAAACGAUGAAGAUGCGUUUCUACAGUAACUACACUCCAUAUUCAGCCAUCUUCAACACAAAAAGUUAGCAACAGUUAGUUUCUACAACAAAAAAUCAGUAAAAACUUAACCAAGAUUCCACAAUUGUCGACUAUUCCCUCCCCCCAACCAGAACGAAACAUUGUCCUUAAUGUUUGAAAGGAAAGAAGUAGAGUUUAGAAGACAUCACCUGGGUGGUGCAACACGGAAGAAAAUAUUUACAGGCGGAGAGUUAAAUCUAAUUUGUACUUCUUACUGCGGCUACUAUUACCAUCAUUAUUUGGACGCUCCAACACAAAGGUCCAUGGGUCCGGCUCCGGUUUAUAAGCUUGUAACAGAUCAAGUAGCUCAUUAGCAGUGUAAGCACAAAUAAAAAGUUUUUUCGCAUUGGAAGGAAUGAAGUAGCUUUUUAUUGCAUGGUUAAGAAAUGCGAUAAAGCCAUCAUAAAAGUUAUUGACAUUUAACAAACCGAUGAGUUUUUGGUGAAUGUGCAGAUGGGCCCAAGAUGCUAGUCUGAUAAGUGCCUUUAGUGUUGCAAGAUCUCCUGGAAGGAAAAUAAAAGCAUCAGCAUGAUUUAGCAUUUCAGUUAUUCUUUCUUGCAUACCUGAGACAACUAACUCUUCUCCAGUCGAUGAGUCAGUCAAACUGCCCAAAGGUUUUAGGGCUCUUGGGAUGAUGCCUAACACUUGACUGCCUCUGAUAAAAGCUGCUUCUGAGACCAUUUUUGAUAACCCUCGGUUACCUCCUCCAUACACCAAAUGUAAUUUUCUCGCUGCUAUGCUUCGACCAAGAUCUAUGGCUGCCUCAACGAACUCUUUAUGUUUGCCAUAGUUAAAUCCAGAAAGCACACAAAUGUUCUUGAAUUGUCUAUUGGGAGUAGCUGCCAUUGGGAUACUUAUCAAAAAUAAUUUGUGAGUGUUUGACAAAAGAAAUCACAUUUAAGAGUCUUGGUGACAGUGGAUCACAACUGUGUAUGAGGUAGCAUGUCAGUGUCAAAUAACGCGUAAAGCAUAUGGCUUGUGAGUCAAAAAGGAAACAGUAAAAAGAAAAAGAAAUAAUGAUAAAAUAAAAUUAUUAAAGACAAUAAUGCAAAAGAUAAAAUAACAGUGAAAUAAAAUAACAGUGAAGUAAAAGGAUAUUUACAGGUAGUUGCGACUGUGGCUCACAUCUUCCUCUGGUUUUACGUCCAGAAACGGCUUGAACGCCCUCUAUGGGUCGAGGAUGGGCUUCCCAUCCAGUUUUCUUAUAAACUGGCAAACAGGGUCGUUUAUAGUCAGAUUCCCAAGACUAUAUCGUGCAUGCUCUUUCUGGAAUAAUGGCCAUAACUGGAGAAUCGCUCCUUGCACAUAUCCACUGGGAUGCGUUUCAAGAGACAUAAGGAUAUCAUCCAAUGACUCCUUAUUCAAGCCAUUCCUAAUGAAUUGAAUCUUAUCUUCCCUGUUAUCAGACACCAUUCCUAAAGAACAUGGGUUUUUAUCGCAACUCAUUAUGGCACACUUAUGACAAGCAACAGCAAUUCUUCGAGCUCGUCGUUUUCUUGCAUAAUUUCCUUUACCACAACCAGGCAUGUAUGCAAUAAAUUUUGGAGGUAACUCACUGCCAAUCGUACUUUAGCCUCGAUUAACCAACGGAUGUCAGCAGGUAUGUUAUUCCUCAUGAGCAAUCGCAUGUGUUCGGACUGGGCUUUAUAGAUCGUAAGGAGGGCAUUCUGAGGGAGUGAAGGGAAUCGCUUGUGAAGCUUCGCUAAAAUCUCGUUUCUGUCCAUACAUUCGCCUCAGAAUGUCAGUUAUUAUGGGAAACUGAAGUAACCGACUUGAUUGUCACGGAGUACCGUUAUCCGCCACUUCACCGGGGUAACAAACUAAAGCACACAAACAGAAAAACAAAUUAAAACACAUAAAGAAAAUUAAAAUCGUCCUCUUAUUGAAUUUACCUCAAGCUCCAACUGAAUGUCGUAAACACUUCUCUCAAUGUCUCUGAGUUGGCUUUCUAGAUUCUCAACAUAGGCUACUAACUCUGGUGGUUGUAGAGCCCAAAUGCGUUGUGUUUUACAAAAUUGAAUCUGCCUUUUGAGAUGAGUUUUGACACGUUGAAGUGGUUUAAGAAUGUUCAGGAGGAACGGUCUAAGUAUGGUACUCAUGAUUAAAAAUGAUAAGAGAAAACUUAAUAGUUAAACAAACACACUUAUGCAAAAAUAAUUUCAAUUAGUAAAAGAAUAAUAAAAAGAAAGAAAGAAAAAUCAAAUCAACGAAAAGAAAAAAAAAUCAAUUCAAAUCUGGUGGGUCACUCAAAUUUAUUUCGGUGUCUUCUCCAUGUGGUUGGUACUCUAGAUAUGGCUUUAAUCUUUGACCAUUAACUUUAAACGUGACACCGUUCUUUGGGUCCUUAAUUUCAAUUGCCCCAUGUGGAAAAACAGUAUGAACAAUAAAGGGACCAGACCAUCGAGAGCGCAACUUACCUGGGAAUAUGUGCAAGCGAGAAUUGAAUAAAAGUACUUUCUGACCUGGAGUGAACGAUUUUCUCAUAAUUUACUUGUCGUGAAAGACUUUCAUUCGUUGCUUGUAAAUCUUGGCAUUUUCAUAUGCGUCAUUACGAAUUUCUUCAAGUUCUGCCAGUUGUAAUCUUCUUUCUGAGCUGGCUUGCUGCAUGUCAAAGUUGAAUUUCUUGAUGGCCCAAUAUGCACGAUGCUCGAGUUCCACAGGUAGGUGGCAAGAUUUUCCAUACACUAGCCUGUAGGGUGACAUCCCAAUCGGGGUCUUGAAAGCCGUUCUAUAUGCCCAUAAUGCAUCAUCAAGUCUUAAUGACCAAUCUUUUCUGUCUAGCCUCACCGUCUUUUCUAAUAUGUGCUUUAUUUCUCGAUUGGAGAUCUCAACUUGGCCACUGGUUUGUGGAUGAUACGGGGUCGCCACUUUGUGUGUGAUUAAAUACUUUGUCAAAAGAGCUUUGAAUGCUUUGUUACAAAAGUGGGCACCACCAUCACUGAUUAUUGCUCGAGGGAAUCCAAAGCGUGAAACAAUGUUGCUUUUCAAAAAUCCUAUCACCACCUUGUGAUCAUUGGUUCUACAUGGAAUUGCUUCCACCCAUUUCGAUACGUAGUCAACACCAACCAAUAUGUAUUAAUGGCCAAAAGAAGGGGGAAAGGGCCCCAUGAAGUCGAUACCCCAUACGUCAAAAUCUCAACCACUAAAAUUGGAUUUAGUGGCAUCAUGUUCCUUCGUGUAAUGCUCCCCAUUCGUUGACACCUAUCACAUGAAGAACAGAAAGUGUAAGCGUCUCGAAAUAUAGUUGGCCAAUAGAAACCACAUUGUAAAACUUUAGUCGUUGUUUUCUUAGCACUGAAAUGGCCUCGACAAGCUUGUUCAUGGCAGAAUGAAAGAAUAUUCUGAAUUUCAUUUUCAGGGACACAUCGUCUAACAAUUUGGUCUGCACAAUACUUGAACAAAUAUGGGUCAUCCCAAAAGAAAUUCUUUAUUUCCGCAAAGAAUUUAGCCUUGUCUUGCUUGGUCCAAUGCUCUGGAAGUUGACCUGUAACAAGAUAAUUAACUAUAUCAGCAUACCAAGGUAAUACUUCCACACUCAUUAAUUUUUCAUCUGGAAAUGACUCAUUCAAUAUUAAUGGCUCUAUAAUUGUGUCAAAAUGGAGACGAGAGAGGUGGUCCGCCACAACAUUUUCUGUCCCUUUCUUAUCUUUGAAUUCCAAGUCAAAUUCCUGCCAAAGUAACACCCAAUGAAUUAAUCUAGCUUUUGCAUCUUUCUUUGUGAGAAGAUAUUUAAGAGCAGUAUGAUCUGUGAACACAAUUAUUUUACAACCAAUGAGAUAAGAUCGAAAUUUUUCUAAUGUAAACACUACUGCUAGCAUUUCUUUUUCAGUAGUUGAAUAGUUCAACUGUGCAUCAUUCAAUGUCAUACUAGCAUAGUAAAUAACAUGGGGAAUUCGAUCAACUCAAUGUCCUAAUACCGCUCCUACUGCAUAAUCAGAUGCAUCACACAUGAGCUCAAAUGGUAAGCUCCAGUUUGGGAGCUGAAUGAUGGGUGAUGAUAUCAACAACUGCUUCAAUUUUUCAAAUGCCACAAGACAUGAAUCAUUAAAGACAAAAGGUACAUCCUUAGCAAGUAGAUUGCAUAAGGGUCUAGAAACUUUGCUAAAAUCUUUAAUGAAACAUCUAUAGAAACCAGCAUGCCCAAGGAAAGAUCUUACUUCUCUGAUUGUUUUAGGUGGAGGAAGAUUAGAAAUGAGAUCCACCUUGGCUUUGUCAACCUCAAUACCUUUGCUCGAAAUGAUGUGACUGAGAACAAUACCUUGUUUUACCAUAAAAUGGUACUUCUCCCAAUUCAAUACUAAGUUCUUCUCGGUACAUCUCUGCAGAACUAGCGUUAGAUGAUGUAAACAUUGAUCAAACGAGUCACCAAAGAUAGAAAAGUCAUCCAUAAAGACUUCAAGGAAUCGUUCAACCAUAUCAGAAAAAAUGCUUAACAUGCAUCGUUGAAAUGUAGCAGGUGCAUUACAUAAUCCAAAUGGCAUUCUCCUAUAUGCAAAAGUGCCAAAAGGGCAAGUGAAAGUAGUUUUCUCUUGAUCUUUUGGUGCUAUGGGAAUCUGAUUAUAUCCUAAGUAGCCAUCUAGAAAGCAAUAAAAUUCAUGGCCUGCUAAUCUAUCAAGCAUUUGAUCGAUAAAAGGUAAAGGAAAAUGGUCUUUACGUGUGACAGAAUUCAACUUUCUAUAAUCAAUGCAUACACGCCAUCCUGUAAUUACUUUAGUUGGUAUCAAUUCAUUAUCAGCAUUCGUAACUACUGUGACUCCUGACUUUUUGGGGAUAACUUGUACAGGACUGACCCAUGAACUAUCAGAAAUUGGGUAAAUGAUACUUGCGUCUAAUAGCUUAAGGACUUCGGUUCUAACAAUUUCUUUCAUAUUAGGAUUUAACCGACGUUGCAUUUCCCUAGUAGAUUUAGCAUUUUCAUCAAGGUGAAUGUAAUGCAUGCAGUCUACUGGGUUUAUACCUUUUAUGUCCGCUAUGGUCCAUCAUAAUGCUCAUUUGUGCUCUUUUAAAACAUCCAACAACUUACCUUUUUUUUCGUCAUUUAGGGAUGAUGAGAUGAUUACCGGCAAAGUACUUUCUUCUCCCAAAAAUGCAUAUUCCAAUGUGUUGGGCAAUGGUUUGAGCUCAAGUUUUGGUGGUGAGUCUGAUGAUGGGAUGAGUUUCUUCUCUGAUGGUGCUAGUUGUUCAACUCUUGACUUCCAUUUGUUAGUGUCCAUGGAUGCUGCAGAGUCAAGUAAGGCGUUGACCUCAUCGACCGAUCUGUCAAUAUCAAAAUCCAAACCAAAGUGAGUUAAACAUGUUUGUAAAGGAUCAUCACUAAGGUUUGAAAGAAAAGUAUUAUCAACUAUUGUUUCUAUUAAAUCCACAUUAACAAUUCCAUCAUCUGCACUGUGAGGUUGUUUGGAAAUGUUGAAAAUGUUUAGCUCCAUAGUCAUGUUGCCGAAGGACAACUGCAUAUUUCCAGUCCUGCAUUGAAUGUGAGCAUCCGCAGUUGCCAAGAAAGGUCGGCCUAGGAUAAUGGGGAUGUGCUUCCUUGAAUCCUGUAUUGGUUGAGUGUCAAUUACAAUGAAAUCAACAGGAAAAUAAAACUUGUCUACCUGGAUAAGCACGUCCUCCACAAUACCACGAGGUAUUUUUGUGGACCGAUCUGCAAGCUGUAACACCAUUGGAGUUGGGUGUAAUUCUCCAAGUCUAAGUUUCAUAAAUACAGAGUAAGGCAACAAAUUUACACUAGCUCCUAAAUCCAACAAAGCAUUCUCAAUUGUGUGGUUCCCUAUACUACAUGAGAUAGUGGGGGAGCCUGGGUCUUUGCAUUUUAGAGGGAUUUUAUGUUAGAGUAUAGAACUAACGUUUUCUGUUAAAAAUGCCUUCUUUUGAACAUGAAUGUUUCUCUUUUUAGUACAAAGGUCUUUAAGAAACUUGGCAUAAGAUGGAACUUGCUUUAUAGCAUUAAGUAAAGGGAUGUUAACACUUGCCUGUUUGAAGAUUUCGAGAAUCUCACCUGUGGAUUUUCCCUUCUUUCCUUUCGCUAACCUCUGAGGAAAUGGAGCUUUAGGAACAUAUUCUCGCAGGUUGGUUUCUUCUUUCUCCUCCGGUGGUGAGUCCUCAGCAUUUACAGGUACAAUUUGAUUUUCUUUUGUCACCGGCAUCUCCACUUUGUUGUCAAUUUCUUUUCCUUUUCGCAAGGUCAUGACUGCUUUGACUUCUCCAUGCUGCUGUGGUGAACUGGUAUUUGCUUCAUGCACUCCUUUAGGAUUAGGCACUGGUUGACUUGGAAACUUGCCUUUCUCAACAGUCAUUGCCAAGGUCUGAACUGAAGAAGCAAGUUGUCCCACCAUCUUCUCGAGGCUUGAAACUGAUUGGGCUUGUGAGUUGAAGCCCGCUCUCAACUCAUUUCGUAGUCCAUCAAUGGUGCGGUUCUGUUGCUCAAUCGUAGAGUGAGUAACAUUCUUGAGAUUAUGGAAUGAAUCCUCCCAUGGUCUGGGUUGAGAGUAGUUCUGGUUCUGAUUGUAUUGUUUGAAUAGUGGUUGAGCGGCUUGAGGAUUUUGAGGAAUUGGUUGCAUUGGUGGAGCUGGAGCUGCUGGUCCAUUCUGUUGGAAUCCUUGAGACCAUGAAAAAUUGGGGUGAUCUCUCCAUCCAGGGUUAUAUGUGUUGGAGUAUGGGUUGUAAUUCGAUGGUUUUCUCAUUACACCUAUAACAUUGGCUUGAUCGGAGUAUGAGUCAUGGUCAUGUGGUUCUGUUGAUUUAGCAGUCGAUAACGAUGCUAUUUGUCGAGCGAGACCUUCAACCAUCUCCUUGACUUCUUUGAUUCCUGAAGUUGACUCGCCAAUGUGAACCUCAUUUACUCCCUUAAUUCUUCUAGUAUUCCUGAGUGAACGACUCCGUUGUUGGGAAUUAUCCGCUUGUCGCUGGAAGAAUUCCCAAAUCUCUGAUGCACUUUUUGACAUUAGCUCUCCUCCACUUGUUGCCAUUAGCCAUUCUUGCACAUUCGGCAAUAAUCCCUCCAAAAAGUAUUGGCAUUGGUGCCAUUUCUCGUACCCAUGAUGUGGACAUUUCAAGAGUAGCCCAUUGAAUCGCUCCCAUGUUUUGAAAAAUUGCUCAUCUUCUCUCUGUGUAAACUCUGAAAUUUCCCUGCGAAUAGCAUUGGUUUUAUGCACUGGGAAAUAUUUAUUCAAAAAUUUUGUUACCAUUUGUUCCCAUGAUGCAAUGCUAUUAGCAGGCAAUGUAUUAAGCCAUGAACGAGCUCUAUCCUUUAAAGAAAAUGGGAAUAGUCUAAGUUUUACAUCAUCAUCUGAAAAAUUCUCAUAUUUAAAUGUUUGACAAAUAGCACGAAAAUCAUUCAAAUGAUUAUAUGGGUCCUCAUUUUCUAAGCCAUAGAAUGUGGGGAGACAAUUUAGCACACUAGGUUUUAGUUCAAAACUCCUAGCAGCUACAUUUGGGUAUCUUAUACAUGAUGUGCUCAAAUUAGCUAAGGGACUAAAAUAGUCCUUAAAUGGCCUCUCCUGUGGUGCUUGUAAAUCCAUUCCAAAUUUAUUUUUAACGUGCUUGUGUGUGCGAAGUGUUUUUUUUAGUUCAAGAUCUAUAGGUUCAAGAUUAGGUAAUAAUGACCUACGACCAUGCAUGCAAGGAAAAAAAAAUAAACGGGAACAAAACAAAUAAAAAUAAAGAGGAAGGAGAAAUUACGAUACUAACCUUAUUGCGCUAUUACAACCUUACUAUAAAAAUACACAAAAAAAAUACGUGAAAUAAAUUAACUAAAAAGAAUUAGUAAGAUAAACAAAAAUUACAAAGAAAAAAAAAUAACUUGAAAAUUAAAUUACAGAAAUUUAAAGAAGAGAAAAAGAAAAGAAAUACUAACCUCUAAAUGCAGAUUCACUUUUUUUUUUCUUUUUUUUUAAAAGAAAAUAAAUACAAGAAAACAAUUAAAUGGAAUUAUUCACAAAAAAUUAUUUCUAUGAAUUAAAAUUACUUACCUCCCCGGCAACGGCGCUAAAAACUUGUUGUGCAAAUUUUAAUGUACUCGCAAGUGCACGAAUCUAUUGUAGUAUAGAUCAAUGGUGACGAGUGUCGAUCCCACGAGGAGGUGGAUUUUAAUUGUGUGUAGAAUUAAUUUUGUAAAUGGGUGAUUGGAUUUGUGGUGGAAAUAAAAUGGAAUAUAUUAAAACUUAAAUUAAAAUGGCGAGAAUAAAUUCUAAAAUUGGAAUUGAAAUGGCAAGAAUAAAUUGAAGAGAAUUCUAUUGAAAUGACGUACUUGGGUAUCUGGAUCCGUAUCAACAUGCAUCAUGGGCUAAAUAAUCCUUAUUAAUGCCAAUUAAAUCAUGAGGGGGGAAUCCACACCUCAUGAACCACGCUCUAAUCAAUAUGGUGCUAAGGGCUUAUCGUGCCAAAUAAUAAUAACCUUGUACUAGGGGGCAGGUGAAACCAAGGCGGUACUAGACAAGAUUAGUAUUAUUUGUCAACGACAAGUCAAAACAUCCACAAAAAUUAGAGGGGAAGAGAAAGUAAAUUUACCAAAUAAAGCCCAUGACACAUGUUGAGACUUCACCUUCAACCCAAGUUUGAAAGAAAAUUAGCCACUCAUAAUUGAACUAGGGGCAAAAUGGAAAUUUAUUAAAAUACGUAGAAAAUACAAGGUGGAGAAGGAAUUACAGAAAAUGGAUCCCAAAAAUGGAUUCAAAGAUAUCAAAUUAGGGGGGGGAGGGCCCCCUUUUUAUAGAUACAUCGAGUAAAUCAUGGCCAUCGGAUUAAAAACAGUUUGGACGCUCAGGAUUGUGCCACGUCAUCAGUCAACAGUACGCGUGAAUAGUACACGGUUUGACCACGCGGAUGAACAGUAACACAGUUUGAGCCGGGUGAACAAUGACGCGGUUGGGUUGAAAAUAAUCCUGUGUGAUGCAUGUACCGUACACGAGAUUUUUCGUCCACUGAUAUGCUGCCACGUCACCAUCAACAGUACAUAAGAAUUUUAGCCCAACAGGAUCAUGACACCUCAUCAGUCAAUGCCACAUCAUCGGUCAAUGCCACGUCAUCGAUCCGUCUAUGUGAACAGUGUCAUGAACAGUAACGUAGACAGUACCGUACACGUGAAUACUACGUACAUGUGAAUAGUGCCAUUUUUCCUUUUAUGCUCCUCCUAAGGUUUUCGACCGUCCUGAGUUCAAAAGUGAUGUCCGUUUUGCCAUCUGAUCUCUCGUUUAUUGUGAAAUGACUAUGAUGCCCCUAAAAUACAUAAAAUACUUAAUUAAAAUAAAACACACGGAAUUAAAUCAAAAGAAGGUUAAAUUCAUAAAAGUAAAGGUGUUAGUAAAACUUGUAGUGUAAAAUGACGAUUUUCUCCUUUAUAAAUAUACAUUUUCUAACACUCAACACUAUGCUCAGAUCAAGUAAUAAGAAGAUGUGUUGCAGCAGAAGAAAUACCUCAUAUACUGGAGUCAUGUCAUGCUGCGGCAUAUAGAGGACAUUUUGGUAGUCACAGAACAGUUGCCAAAGUUAUGCAAUCAGGUUAUUAUUGGCCCACUAUUUUCAAAGAUGCUUAUGAAUUUGUUAAAUGUUGUGACAGGUGUCAAAGGACAGGGAACAUAACUAGAAAACAUGAAAUGCCAUUGACCAACAUCCUGGAAGUGGAGGUUUUUGAUGUAUGGGGAAUAGACUUUAUGGGACCCUUCCCACCAUCUUUUGGGAACUUAUAUAUCCUUGUUGUUGUGGAUUAUGUCUCCAAGUGGGUAGAAGCUGCAGCAUUACCUACCCAUGAUGCUAAAACAGUGGUAACUUUUCUUCAAAAAAAUGUGUUUUCCAGGUUUGGCACUCCUAGAGCAAUUAUUAGUGAUGAGGGCACACAUUUUUGCAACAAAGUAUUUGCUGCAGCAAUGGUAAAAUAUGGAGUCAGACACAAGGUAGCUACAGCAUAUCAUCCACAAUCUAAUGGUUAGGCUGAAGUGUCAAAUAGAGAGAUAAAAAAAAUCUUAGAAAAAGUGGUGAACCCAACAAGGAAGGAUUGGUCUUUACACUUACAUGAUUCUCUAUGGGUCUACAGAACAGCAUACAAAACCCCACUCGGCAUGUCCCCUUACCGAAUUGUUUAUGGAAAGGCUUGUCAUUUGCCACUAGAACUAUAGCAUAAAGCACAUUGGACACUGAAGAAAUUAAAUUGGGAUAUGCAUGCUGCAGUAGAGCAAAUGAAACUUCAACUUUGUGAACUUGAUGAAUUACGGCUAUUUGCAUAUGAAAAUGCAAGAAUCUAUAAGGAGAGGACAAAACAAUGGCACGACAAGCAUCUUCAACACAAGAAAUUCAACCCUGGUCAAUUAGUGUUGCUCCACAAUACAAGACUAAGAUUAUUUCUGGGAAAGCUCAAGUCAAGAUGGUCAGGCCCGUUUAAGCUGCUCAAAGUUUAUCCUCAUGGAGCUGUUGAUCUUUUAGAUGAACAAACAGGCCACGAGUUCAAAGUUAAUGGACACAGGGUUAAGCACUACAUACAUCCAGUAGCAGAAUAUUCAAAGGAGGUGUUACUCCUUCAAGAACCUAGCUACUGAACAAAGAAGGAAGGUCAGGCUGAAGGACCUUAAAUCAAGCGCUUCAUGGGAGGUAGCCCAUUGAGGAGAUAGCCACUUCAAACCAAUUUUGAUAUCCUUUGGUUUUGGAGACAACCCUUCCUCUUUACCAUUUUAUUUAAUCUUGUUUUUCCAUGAUUAACCAUUUAUUUUUUUUCUAUCCUUUUUCAUUAUUGCAUACUUUAUUUUUACAUUAAUUUGAUAUAUCAAUUUCUUUUAAUAAUUUUAGACUUAAAUUUAGUUCUUUUUUUUUUUAAGAAAGCGUGAAAAUUGAAGUCCAUAUUGACAAGUGAGAGUGUAUGGUGGCAGAAUUCAGAGGUGAACCACGUGUCAAAAGCCUUAGUGUGGAGUAUGUAUCUGUUAUCAGAAUAAGCGAAUAGGUGCUGCAGCAACUAAUCUUACCGUUACAGUAAAUUAAAAGCUGGAGCCUUUCACUUACCAUUGGAGAUAAAAUCGUGACAGAUGGACGCAUGGAUAUGGAUAGAAAUUGGAAAACAAAUCUCCGAAAUUAAAGCUUUAAUUUCACUGGCUGCUAAUUUUGGGGAUAUGCACAUUUAACUCAAAUAUUUUAUUCCCUCAAUUAGCUCUAGUUACCGUAUUUAUCUUCAAAUUAAAGUCCAUUAUAAAAAGGAGUCACUGUGCUUAGUACUCUACGCCACUAUUCCCCAUCUCCUUCGCAAAUCCAACUCUCCUAAUUCUUAACCUCGUUUUCUCUUUUUACUCUCAGGAACAGUAGUUUCAAUUUGUUACUGCUACAGCAAUGCCGAGAUAUAAGAAAACAGCAAGUCACCUCAAAGAUCCGUCACGCUUCCAGAGUUACCAGCCGAAGAAAAAUAUGAAGAAUUCAUAGAGCCGCGUAAGAUUCUGGAAGAGAAAGGGUUUCAAUUCCCAGAACAACUCACUGGAAUCGUACAAACAAUUCAUAAUGCUGCAACAAAGCGAGGAUGGUUAGAGUUUUGCAAUCACCCUCGUGAUCCUGUGCUUCAAGUAGUCAAAGAAUUUUAUGCUAAUUUGGUAAGCCUUGAUCAGCACAACAUCUGGGUAAGAAACACACUUGUUCUAUUAGACUCCCAUGUUAUCAAUACUUUUUAUAAUUUACCUGCUGAAAUUACUUGUGAGUAUGCUAAAUUGCGGGAUAAGUUAACCCCAAAAAAGUGGACCACCAUUUUUACAACUCUUACCAUCGAAGGGGUAUCAUGGGCUAACGAGGAAGGGCGUGUAGUUAAUAGGAUAGAUUUGAAACCUAUUGCUAAGGUGUGGGUAAAUUUUUUGAAAUUUAGGCUUAUGCCCACCACUCACACUACUACGGUUUCCCAAGAGAGAUUGGUUUUGCUAUAUGUCCUUAUUCGAGGGCUUCCCAUAGAUGUGGGUAGCAUCAUUGCAAAAGAAAUCUGAGAGUGUGCAGUCAAGACUCACCGAACUGCUGCCUUGCUAUUUCCUUCACUUGUCACUAGCAUUUGUGUAGUUUCAGGUGUUCGUCUUAAAGCCAGAGAUGAUCAUGUCAAGAAUGAUGGUGCCUUUACGACACGUACAAUUGAGAGAGUUGCUGGCGAGAGUGCUGGAACAACCACUGAACCAGCUGCUGUAAUAGGCGCAAGACGCACUAUUGGCUUAGACUAGACCAUCCAGGCACUCAGCACCAGUAUCACUCAAUGUGUGGAAGCUCAGCAGAGGGAAAAUGGUCGGUUUUGGAGUUAUCUACAACACCUGGAUAACCAACUACACCAAUUUGCUUUGUACAUGAAGCACACUCACUGAAACUUCUCUGCUUUCUUGCUCCAGCAGUACAAUUUUGACACCAACACCCCAGGUGCUCCAGCAGAAGCCAUUGAAGAAGCCACUGCUACAGAUGAACCAGUAGAACAAGUUGAAACUGAACCACCAGUAGAAGUUGAAUCAGAAGAUGCUGAACCAUCUGACCCACCUGAGGACGAAGGUGACAAGUCUGAGACUGAUAGCUCACCCCAGAGGUAGAGGACACUUCGGAGCAAGAACGUGAGGAACUAACCAUCCCAACCCAAUCCAAAACUAGGAAGCAGCACAUUAUUCAAGAAGAGAAUGAGGAAGACCUUGAUGUGGAACCGUCUAUUCCAGUUUUUGUAGGCAAAGGAAAGGACAAGGGAAAAGCAAAAAUGGCAACACCUCCAGCCUCUAAAGAUGAGAUGGAGCAAGUCGAUGCUGAGAUAGUUGCUGCAGCAGCCAGAGCUAUGCCUACAUCUGAGCAAGCCAAGCAACUACUUGCGGUAAUUGCUGCCAUCAUAGUUGAGGGCCAGGCCGCCGAUGCAUUGACUCAAAAGCCUCUACAGCAAACUCCUAGCCAACCUAUCCGCACCAUUCUAAGACAAUCCAGCAAAAAAAAAGGCAGUACGUCUACAGGUACUGCUACAGCAACCCCAGCUACAACUCCUCUCACCAGCCCCGCAGCGAAAAAGACAAAGACAUUGCCAGCCACCUCCCCAAAAGCUUCACCAAAAGAUAAGCUGCGCAGUGCCUCCAAGAAGCGUUGAUAACAACAUGUCAUGUGCUGCAGUCCCCACCACAGGGGAGUACUCUUAUCUCCCUAGUUUCUUUCUUUAUAAAAAAAAAAAAAAAUUUGUUUGUCAAUUUGUGUGCCUUUGUUAUGUUUGCUUGUGAGGACACAACAACUCUCAAGUUUGGGGGGGUUGUGUUCCCGUAUGCAUGUGUUUAUGUUUGUGUGGUGUGGAGCUCUAUUAUCCAAUAUUUGUGUAUGGAUUUGAACACCUAAUGAAGAUAAAUUGAGUGCUAUUCUAUAUAUAUAUGCCAAGUAGAGAUGGUUAUAGAUGAAAGUGAAAUUCUGUCUCGACACUUAGACUUUGGUUGAAUUGUAUGAGACUGUUAGAGCAAAGCCAAAAGAAGAGAAAAGAUUUCAAGUUUGGGGAGGGGGGGGGGGGAGAAGCAAGUUUGAAUAACUGUGAUAUCUAUGGAAUACAAGCUGUUCCAAUGGCUCAAGUUGCUGAGUAACCAGAUCUGAGUAUGUACUGCAUAUGCAGACUUGUGUUCAAAGGUAGCGAGAGUUAUGAGCAAUGUUGUAGCAUAUAUAUAUAUAUAAGAGAAAUCCUCUAUCUAAAGCAUUGAGUAACCAGGUCUGUUCAUGAGCCCCAUGUUCAACCUUGAGUAAAAGAUACCUCUAGAUAAGAUUACAUUACAGUUAUUGCUGUAGUAACUCUAAUCUGGGCAUGGUUUGAGUAAUUGGGUGUCAUCAUUACAAUUGAUUGACAUUCACAUGAAAGAUAAAUGUUACAGUGAGGAGGUGAAAUAUUCCCUAGUCUGUCAAUCCUAAAAUAAUCACAGUUGAGUAUGUGAAAGUUAUGAUUACCCCAUUUAUGAAUGAAGUGUUCUCACUGCUGACCUUCAUGCAAUCCCUUGGUGAUGCUAUAGCAUAUCUAGAAUUCAAUCGAAAGAAGCACACACACACUAUGGACAGAAAGAAGCUUAAGUCUAGGACUAAUUUACUAUGGUCAUCUUGUAUGGUUAAGAAUAUGAUCUGAAGGUGGAAGAAUCUUUGCAAAGUUGAUAAAAGAACUAAAUUUGUGUGAAUGAUUAUUUGUGUGAAGUGUUAGUAUGUGUCAUUACUUGAGGACAAGUAAUAGUUUAAGUUUGGGGUAUAAUAACUCUAGGAAAUAAGAGUUACUACUUCAAUUCUAGACUGGAAUCAAGAUCAUUUAGAGAGCAAAUAAGGUGUUUUUAUUACAUUUUGGUUACCUUUUGCAUAAAUAUUCAUUUUAGUUGGAUCUUAAUAAGUUUUGCUUAAAUCAAAUAAUUUGUGCUAAAAACAGGUGCGUAAUUGUAGGGUUUAAAUUCAUGAGAAGGAUGCGGAGACAUUAGAUGAGCAAGAGGAGGAAAGAAGAUGGCCAAAAAAGAAGAAAAGCACAAUCGAGAAUAAUGCAGUGCUAUUGUGGAUAUUAGAACAACCAGUGCUGCAACAAUUUGGGAGCAAUACAGGAGAAAGCUUAAAGCGCGGGUUAGCCAUAAAGUCGCGAUCUGCAUGUUUCCUAAUUUAGACGCAUGCAAGCUCAUGGGCUUUGGUUUUUACCCUAAUUCAGAAUAUAAAAAGGAGGCGCGCAUCACAUAGAGAGGGGGCGGAGAGAUUACCAUCCAAGUAAUUAUAAAGGCAAGAAGAAGAAGAAGAAGAUCAAGAUUUAGGAGUGUUGUUCGACAUCAUUGAAGAACCGAGGAGGAUCACUAGUCUUUCGCCGUGCUCAACUCAUAUUAUCUUUCUUCCUUGAAAUUCUUUGGAUGUAUUCUGUGAUCAGUAUAUUUAUGUUUACUUUUCUCAUUCAGAACAUGAACUAAAUUUACUUGUAGUUGAGUGACAAAUAAUCCAAUGGGUUCUUGACUGUUCUUAUAUGUUGUUAUGGUAUUGUUGUAGCAUUAUACUCUAGUAGUUUUUAUGAUUACAACUGUUAUUUUGGUUGACCACCCAUUUAAUAGUUUCAGUUAAGAUAGAGCAGCAAAAGGGCAUAUCUUAGCGUACAUUAUUAGAGUAUUACUUGUUCUUAAGUCGAGUUUCUUGGAUUAGGUUAUCUUGAAUCCUAUAAGGGCAAUACUUGAAGUUAAGAUUUGUGACACUCUAGACAUAGGUGUUCACCUUGUAGGGUAGAGAGAUUAAAGGUUAUUAUGCCGUACCAUAAAUAUAUGAGCAACUGGUCAUUGUUAGUAGAUUUAAAGGUAUGAGAUUUCCAACAUGCGAUAGCUGCGGAUGCAGAUAUAUUCUACCCAUUGCUGCAGCACUUAUUGUAACAACUGGUGCUAAUUCGGUAAACAACAGUCACCCCAUUAGGAGAGUUUGAUCAUUCAACUACUAUAUUCUCAAUUGAAUCUUAGACACAUUUAACUUAGUUUAUUUCAUUACAGUAUUAUUUUAUUUCCAUCUCUCGAAAUUAAUAAUUACGAUAGAAUUAUUUGACAUUUGUUUGUUUCGACCUUUAGUUGAUUUGCAUUAUUGUGAUUGCUUCAACAUUUUGAGCAACAUCAAUCCCUGUAGAGACGAUCUUGAAUACUCAUCACUUUAUUACUUGUUGUGUAUACUUACACAUUGGCAUUGAUAGUAAUUGAUUAUAAUAAAUUACCAACAGUGAGCAGACGACCAAAGUUCCAAAAAGUUUCUAAUGUGUGCAAAGGCUCUAAAGUCUCAAAGCCUGUUUUAUUGCGAGACAGGAAGCCAAGCAUGUCAGGAUCUGCUCGACCAAGCGAAGGCGAGCAGACCACCAAAGUUUCCAGUCUUGAUUCGUUUCACUCUCAACACUAGAAACUGGGGGACGGGUGUUUAUGGAAUGAAAUAGGGUGACCAAGAUAAAGGUGUUUGCUCAUACAUUAUCGUGCUCUCCUCAAAGUAAAAGUGAGCAAAUGAUUGAGCAAAUCACCUCGACCAGGAUGUUGUUUGGUGACCUCGAGCACAUCACCUCGACCAGGAUGUUAUUGGUCACCUCGAUCAGAUCAUCUCAACUAGGAUGUUAUUGGUCACCUCGACCAGAAUAAUAUGUGGUGACCUCGAGCACAUCACCUCGACUAGGAUAUUAUUGGUCACCUCGACCAAAAUAAUAUGUGGUGACCUCGAGCACAUGACCUCGACCAUGAUGUUGUUGGUCACCUCGACCAAAAUAAUAUGUGAUGACCUCAAGCACAUGACCUCGACCAAGAUGUUAUUAGUCACCUCGACCAGAUUAAUAUGUGGUGACCUCGAGCACAUCACCUCGACCAGGAAGUUACCAGGAAGCACGAUUCAGUCAAAAUAUUUUCUCCGAAAUAUUAAGGAUCAUAUUCUUAGUGGGCUGAAAAUUAGUAGUUUUCUUGAGAAUUCAAGGGGAAAGGAUAAAAACCGCUAUAGUUUCCGAUAAAAACCCUUGGAAGGGGAAGGAAAAGGGGGAUUUCUUGGAACUCUCUCUCUCUCUCUGGGCAACUAAACCCAUUGGACCUUUUUCUCUCUCUACUACUGGGAAAUUUCUCUUUCGCUUAUGAUUUCUUUAAGAUUAAUUAUUCUCAAUUAUUUUCCUUUAAAUUUACUUAAAAACUUUUUUGUUUAAAGCAAUCAUAAUUAAGCCACAUGAAUUAUGGUAUGAGUUUUUCCAAGUAAGACCCAAAUUGCUGACUUGAGCGUCGGAGGGUUCUCGCCGAAAAAACUUCCGGCACCUCCUGACUGUUGGUUGUGCUCACGGGCUCACAGGUUAUCUGCUCAUCGAUCGUCUGCUCAUGGAUUGUCUGCUCAUGGGUUGUCUGCUCAUGGAUUGUCUGCUCAUGAGUUCUCUGCUCAUGUAUCAUCUGCUCAUGGAUUGUCUGCUCAUGGAUCAUCUGCUCAUGGAUUGUCUGCUCAUGGAUUGUCUGCUCAUGGGUCGUCUGCUCAUGGGUAGUCUGCUCAUGGGUUAUCUGCUCAUGGAUCGUUUGCUCAUGGAUUAUCUGCUCAUGGAUUGUCUGCUCAUGGAACAUCUGCUCAUGGUGCUAACUAAUCAGCGGCUUCCCACCAAACAAAUUCAAUGCUGAUGCAGGGAUCUAAGAUUCGAUCAACUCAUCUGGAUUUCGGCAUCAACAGUUGAUACAAGUUUUAAGUUAAGGAAAUUAGCAUAUAUAUACAAGAGGCGUAUGAAUUUGAUAACAAGAAAAGAAAAAAUAUAUAGGAGAGUGGAGACUUGCAAAUUGUUAUAUUUCAUUAUUUAGCGAGUUGUCCGAGUAAACGCGUAUAGACUUUUAAAUUGUUAUACGCCGUCGUACUUGAACCGUGAAUAAAGGGCUUAUGGCACUUGACUUACCAAAAAGAAGAAGAUGCUCAACAUUGGCAAGGCCUAUGCAUUAUGUCCAUUUGUUCACGUUUUGCCGAGGCUCAUGGCAACUACAAAAUGUUCUUUUUCUUUCCUCUAAAAAAAAAAAAAAAGAGGCGACCUUCACAUUUGGGCUAAUAAUUAUCAUUAAACAAUUAAUAAUGCUGAGGGUUAGUGGGAAUGUAGCGUUAAAAUAAUUGUUAUUAGUUGUGCUUUAAAAAUAAAGAAAAAAAGAUAGUUGUACCCCCAUAAUUUAAUGAAAUAAUCACGUAAACUCUUAAGUUUUUAACAAUAAACAACAAGACCCCCUUCUAUUACUUUUUACCAUUUAUUUGGAUGUCACAUGCUUCUUCUUUUUCAAUUUUCGCAGUGGAUAUCAAAUGUUAAAUUUACUGUUAUUCCCAUAUCAUGUCAUCGCUUGCUUCUACAUAUAUCGAUUGUUUUCCCAAAAUUUUAAAUUGAAUUAAAAACAUUCCAAUUAAACAAAAAAAAAACACUCAUCCAACCAGAUAUAAAUCUUCUAAUUAACCUAAAGAUAGCUACACCCUGAUGGUUGUCGAAGCCAGCAAAAAUAAAUACCUACUCUAAAUAAAUUGUGUAUAGUGAUUGAGCAGGGUCGUGUCCACAGAGAUCGGUAAUUAUUUAAAUCAUUUUAAAAUGUAAAAUGUAAAAUGAGGGAAUUGUUGACAAUAUUAAAAAUCAAAUUAAAAUAACAAGAGUGCAAAUUAAAAUUGUAAUUCAAAUUGGGAAAAGCUCUGGUUGAAGGAAUUAACUCAGCUUGAUUCGACUACUGAUCAUUGAUUCAAAUAUUAAUCAUAUCUACUUAUGAAUAGAUCGGUUAUAGCUACUGAGGCCCUCUAAUAGCCAAUCUCUCCUUAACUAGUCGAUAACCAAGGUACGACCGUUGGUUAUUUCCCUAAUCAAUAGACAACUCUAGAUACGAUCAUAGGAUUUAAUUAAUUGACAGCCUGAAAAACCAGAGAGACCCAAAUCCUAAUCAACAAACGCAUACGAUGGUUCAUUUAAAUUAGAUUGUUUAUUCUCAUAACACAGCGCACUGUUAUGCUAUUUGUCACAAACAUUAAAAUCUGCAUACGAUGAAUCUUUUAGUUGACAAUUGAUUAAGUUGAUAAUUAAAUAGUGGCCAAUUAUCUAAUUAACAAACAUAAUCAUGACAAUAAUUCAGAGAAUAAACAAAUACCCAAAAAGUAAUAAAACAAUUAAAGCAUAAGAAAAAUCUCACAGUAGUGACGAAUCAAAGCUUCAUUAACCUUCAACCAGAAUAAUAGGUUUAGUUUUUCAUAGAGAGAAGAGAAAAAUUUAGAUCUAUGAUUUUUUUUUUUACAAUAGAUUCCCUCAUUCAAUUCUCUCUCCCCUCUUCUCCUCUAGAGUUCCUUUUCAAAUCAAAUACUAAUAUCCAAAAAUAUUAUCUAAAUAGUAAAUUCGAAAUUACAAAAAUUACCAAAAAGACAAAACACGUUAAACUAAAAACUGCAAGUCCGUAGUUGACAACACGCGCCCACGCCUUAUCAACAAAGUUCUUCUGAAGCUCAAUUUUAGCACCAAUCAAUAGAAUUGCACCUACAAAAAUAAAACACAAGUAAAUCACUAUUAUUAAGUGCAAAACAUCGAUAUUAAAGGAAGUAAACAAUCUCCUUGAUACUUGAGAUUCCAGGCGGCUCACUGUAGUCGCCAAUUGACUCAUUUGGUUUUCUAAAUUUUGAAUGCUUGUUGUAGUUGCCUGCUGAAAUUGUUGAGUGUUAGUUGUAAGUGAUUUAACAAUUUCUUCAAGAGAUAUACCUGACUUUGAGUUUAACUGUGGAGGGGCUGGUUGUCUUGGUGGGUAUUGUUGUGGGAAUCCUGACGGCCUAACUCCAUAGCUGAAGUUGGGAUGAUCCUUCCAUCCCGGAUUGUAUGUUUGUGCAUAAGGAUCAUACCUCCUCUGAGGCAUGCCUGGAAAUCCUCCAACUGCAUUGGCUUGUUCAACGGGUUCUUUUUGAAGUGUAGGACACAUAUCAGUUGAAUGACCCAUAUUAGAACAAAUGCCACAAGUCUUCACCUGUUGCACAUUACCUACAACAAACGUUUCCACAAGAGAAGUAAGUUUAUCUAAAUGUUGUUCAAUAGAAGAAAUAUUUACCUCAUUCACCUUCCUUGAAUUGGGAUCUUGCCUACUGCCAAACUGUUGUGCAUUAGCAGCCAUAUUUGAGAUCAACUCUCUUGCUUGAGUAGGGGUCUUGUCACCAACACACCUCCACUAACAACAUCUAUCAUACUCCUAUCCAUCAAUGACAGUCCUUCGUAAAAGUAUUGAAUAAGAAGUUGAUCAGAAAUCUGAUGCUAAGGACAACUGGCACACAAUUAUUUGAAUCGCUCCCAAUACUCAUACAAAGUCUCCCCAGGAAGUUGUCUGAUCCCACAAAUAUCUUUUCUGAUGUUGGCAGCUCUUGAAGCAGGAAAGUACUUCUCAAGGAACUGAUUCUUCAAACCAUUCCAUGUUGUAAUCGAUCCAGGAGACAAGUAGUACAACCAGCCUUUACCUAGCCCAUCUAAAGAGAAAGGAAAAGCUCGCAGCCUAAUCUGCUCUUCAGUCACGCCUUGUGGUCUCAUACUUGAACAUACAACAUGAAACUUCUUGAGAUGUUUAUGAGGAUCUUCACCUGCAAAACCAUGAAACUUGGGUAAUAAAUGAAUAAGACCAGACUUUAAUUCAAAAUUUACCUCCAAGUCUACAUAUUGAAUGCAGAGUGGUUGCUGAUUCAAGUUUGGUUCAACUAACUCUCUAAGAGUUCUUUCUACAGGUGCAACUCUAUCCAUUACUUGUUCUUCUGAAUCGUUAGAUGAUUCAACCAAAUCAAGCACCAUAUUUGUUUCAGAAAGCAAAGGCGACGAGGAUCGUUGCUUAGCUCACUUCGUCUGCUGUCUCAGUUGGCGAGCUGUCUUCUCAAUUUCAGGAUCAAACGAAAGUGUACGUAUACGAGAAGGACGAACCAUACACCAAGUAAAACGUAAAAAGGAUUAAAUAAACGACGCCAAUCCCCGGUAACGGCGCCAAAAUUUGAUGGUUGUCGAAGUCAGCAAAAAUAAAUACCAACUCUAAAUAAAUUAUAUAUAGUGAUUGAGUAGAGUCGUGUCCACAGAGAUCGGUAAUUAUUUAAAUCCUUUUAAAAUGUAAAAUGCAAAAUAGGGGAAUUUUUGACAAUAAUAAAAAUCAAAUAAAAAUAACAAGAGUGAAAAUUAAAAUUGUAAUUCAAAUUGGGGAAAGCUCUGGUUAAAGGAAUUAGCUCAGCUUGAUUCGACUACUGAUCAUUGAUUCAAAUAUAAAUCAUUACUACUUAUGAAUAGACUGGUUAUAGCUACUGAGACCCUCUAAUAGUCAAUCUCUCCUUAACUAAUCGAUAACCAAGGUACGACUGUUGGUUAUUUCCCUAAUCAAUAGACAACCCUAGAUACGAUCAUAGGAUUUAAUCAAUUGACAGCUUGAAAAAUCAGAGAGACCCAAAUCCUAAUCAACAAACGCAUACGAUGGUUCAUUUAAAUUAGAUUGUUUAUUCUCAUAACACAACGCACUGCUAUGCUAUUUGUCACAAACAUUAAAAUCUUCAUACGAUGAAUCUUUUAAUUGACAAUAGAUUAAGUUGAUAAUUAAAUAGUGGUCAAUUAUCUAAUUAACAAACAUAAUCAUGACAAUAAUUCAGAGAAUAAACAAAUAUCCAAAAAGUAAUAAAAUAAUUAAAGCAUAAGAAAGAUCACACAGUAGUGACGAAUCAAAGCUUCAUUAACCUUCAACCAGAAUAAUGGGUUUAGUUCUUCAUAGAGAGAAGAGAAAAAUUUAGAUCUAGGGUUUUUUUUUUUUACAAUAGAUUCCCCCCUUCAAUUCUCUCUCCCCACUUCUCCUCUAGAGUUCCUUUUCAAAUCAAAUACUAAUAUCUAAAAAUAUUAUCUAAAUAGUAAAUUUAGAAUUACAAAAAUAACCAAAAAGACAAAACACGUUAAACUAAAAACUGCAGGUCCGUAGUUGACAGCACGCGCCCAUGCCUUAUCAACAAAGUUCUUCUGAAGCUCAAUUUUAGCACCAAUCAAUAGAAUUGCACCUACAGAAAUAAAACACAAGUAAAUCACUAUUAUUAAGUGCAAAACAUCGAUAUUAAAGGAAGUAAACAAUGCAAAACUAGUGCAUAAAUUGCACUCUAACACACUCCCAUAUUAAUUCCAAUUAAAUAAAUCUUCAUUUUUGUCAUGAUUUUGGAUCUCGAGCAGGGUGGAUAUAUCCAACCAGAUCCGGCCCGUUGGCAUUCCAAUAUAUUCUGGAGUUGGAAUAAUAACUUAAUGUGUAAUUGCAAAUUUUUAACGUUUAAUUCUAAUUUGAGGAUUCAAAUGAAUUUAUGCGGAUCUAAAAGGGGACUGAAGAUUGGCAUGCAUACAUACAUACAUACAUAUAUUAUACAUAUAUAGAGAGAGAGAGAGAGAGAGAGGUAAUAUAACAUUUUUCUUGAUGAAGAUUUUUGUGCCAUACGAAUUAAAGAGAGUAUUGUGUCGAUGUUGGAGGCUAGAGGGACAACUGAUUACAUUGCUUCAGAGGUGCUUAGUAGAAACUUUGGUGAGGCAUCACAUAAUUUAAAUUACUAGAUUUACCGAGAUAUAUAUAUAUAUAUAUAUUCCACAUUGGAUUUACAAGCAUUUCGAAUAGGAUAAUGAAUGUCAAUUACUCGGAAUUGUAAACAGCGAGGAAAAUGAAAUUGCUAAGAAGAUGAAUAUUGUUGUUUUGUGGUGUAUACGGACUCGUCCAUCGGAUAGGUCGCCCAUGAACAGAGUGAUAGAAAUGUUAUUUCCAAGAAGCACACUGACUAGCAGUGAUGCUUUGAAUAAGUCCACCAAACAUCUUCUCCUCCGAGACCACUAAUAUAUUCUUCCAUCAUUUCAACGUCAUGACGUGGGGAUCAGAAUUGAAUUAUAGGAUGCUUGUAAGUUUCCUUUGUGGAACUUGUGAAUUUGUGAUGGCAAAAGUCGAUGAUGUAUGUAACUUUCUAUCCCGUAUAGGGUCCGUUUGACUCAUAAAUAUUUGUCACUUUCUCUCUUUUCCAAAACCCAAAAGCACGCUAAAGCUUAAUCUUUAAAGAAUUUUUGAUUGAGUGCUGACAUUUUGGGCUUAUCUUUAAGUAAUCUUUUACCACGCAUGCAUUUUUGUCAUUGUGCGGUCAUCGAUUACUUCUAAAGAUCGUAAUCUUUAAGAAAAAAAUUACUUCUCUUGAAAGUGAAAGCUGGGCAGCUAUUGGCGUAUUGCAAUGCAGCUGCUAUGUAUAGUAGUCAAUUCUUGGAAAGAACUAGUUUUCUUAAAUUGUAAAUGGUCCCCUUUAUGACUGGGAGAUUUUGAACAAAAUUAAUAUGAUGAAUUCUUUGCAGGUGUUGUUCCUUGAAGUCUCAUCUUUUAUAAUGUUUCUGAAAUAAAGAUAUUACCUUCUCUGGCUAAAUAUUUACUCUUAAUUUGGACCACUUAAUCUCAACUUGAUGAAAGAUUAUGAUCAUGCCUGAUUUUAUGGAUGUGGUCUUAUCUCACGUAAGUAGCAAUGAAUUAAUUAAAGUUUACUGUCAAAUUACGAACUCAAAAACUGCUGCUGCUUCAUUAUUCACAAUAUCAAAAUUAAAAGCAGAACUUAUUAUAAGCUUUCCGAAAGUUUUACGCUUUCUUUCGCCCAAAUCCCAAGUACUUCUUGUAAUAUCAUUCCCCUGUAGAUGUCUUCCCCUAAGACAUGUUUAACUUUGGUUCAGGGUAACAAAGCUAUAGCUUUUCCUGCCGUGUGCAACAAGCUAUUAAAUUAGAGUAUUUAUUUCUGUAUUACUACUAGUAGUAAGAGAGGCGAAAUGGAAACUUGAAUUCAUGUUUAUACAACAGUUUGUUUAUAAAUAAAUGAGUUGAUAACAAGUCAUUUUAAAUAUUUGCAAAAAAAAAACGGUGAGUGAUGUCUAGUUCUAUUUUCAAUGUUCAGAGUCGAAUUUUGAUUACUGAAAAUUUUAAUUUAUGAAGUUGAACUAAGAAUUUGUUAUAAUAUAUUCCACCUUCCUAUACAGUCAUCUGGAAUAAUAAUAUAUCAAAAACAGUAAUAACUCGAUUUACAUGGUGAGAAAGAAAAGAAAGACGCUACGAGGGAAGCAGAGAUUCAAAGACUUCGCCACUUUGUUGGAGGAACAAUUUCAUAAAUCUCUAGAAUAUUGACAUAAAACACAUACCAUAUCUAGCAUUAAGUGUAUUUAUGUAUGUCCAAAGAUAAAAAUUCGAAGAUUAAAUUUAUCAUUUCAAUUUAUGUUCUGCCCAAAGCAAUGUUUUUUAUUCCACAAGCACAAACAAUAAAGAGUACGCACAAAGUUAACAAACAGACAUAGCAAACGUGACAUCAACUACUUGCAGCAGCAUCAUCCAGAAACUUCACUCUAAUCUUCUUGAGCUUUUCAGCGGCAUCUUUAGUAGAUGCCCCCUGUUCUGGUGAUCCCAUGCAACAAUCCAUUGCCGAAUGCAUGAUGCUUAAUAAACAAUUCAUUUUAAGAGAAAAAACUUGCUCUUCUCUCACCAAGUUUGCAUCGACAACAUCACUCAAUGCACGAGGUAAUGACUCCCUUACCCAGUCUCUUAAACUUAUUUCUCCGGUAAACAUUUCAUUUGUGGGCUUCUUUCUGGUGAAAGUUUCCAUCAAUAAAACACCAUAACUAUAGACAUCACCUUUAGCCGAAAUCAUUCCUUCUAAUCCAUACUCUCCAUUUUUUGGUUUCGAUAGAUCAAAUGGAUAUGACAUCAUAAAACAAAUGGUAAACAAAUAAUAUUUGGACAGUCAAGAUGGCCCAAACUUUGACUGUGCUUAGAAAAGAGCAAAAAUUUGAAAUUAUAAUUAAAACCUUACCUGGUGCCAUAUAACCAAUUGUAGCCACUGUCAUGAUUUGGGUCACAGAAUCUUCUCCAUCAUCUAAGAGUUCCGAGAUGCCGAACUCGCAUGUGCCACCAUAUUUUCAUCCAAGAGAAUGUUGCUAGGCUUUAAAUCACAAUGAAUUACAUGUGCUGAUGAAUGAUCGUGAUGGAGAUAUUUAUGUGCCAGCCCCACAUCUAUCAUUAUAUUCAAUCUCUCUAGGAUAUCUAGGAAAUAAUUGUGAGAACACAAACAUUUCUCAAGACUGCCAUUGAGCAUGAACUCAAGCACCAGUACUUUAGAAUCUGGAUUGCAAUAGCUGCUAGUGAUCUUUAUGAGAUCUUAAUGAUGAACAUUCCACCAUACUUCACAUUCAGAAUCAAAACUCCUAAAGGCUCUCUCUAGCUGCAGAUUGAAAACCUUUAUUACAAUGAUAGUCACAUCAUAAAGUGUGCCUUAAUUAUAAACAGAUCCGAAGCUAUCCGUACCUAGCAGGAUACAUUCAUUAAAUCCAUCAAUUGCUCGUUGAAUAGCAUGAUAGGAUAUUCUUCUCCAUGUUGUCGAAGAGAAAAAAUCUUCUUUAUCUAGAGUUCUUGUUUUCCUGUUCUGAAAUAUUAUGAAGAAUCAUAACAAUCGUUAUUAGUACAUUGGAUAUAAUCGAAGGUAAAGUAUAUUUCAGGACAAGCAGAGUAGCAUUCUUGGAUCCUUUGCUAUUAUCUUCUUUGUAAGGUGGGACUUGAAGUCCUAGUGGAUCACAUAGUGCAUAAUUCCCAAAAACGAUUGAGCUGAAAUGUUUCUAAAAGGUCCUUUGACAGGAAUUCCCCCUUCUAGCCUAUUGUGAGACACAUAAAGUUGUUUGAGAUAUGAGAGUACCUCCAUUGUUACAGAGUAUGAUAAUAUGGUAUAGAUGAGGGCAUCUGAUUAAAUGAAGCAGCUGGUAAUGCUUACGUGUGUUAGUUAGUUAUCCAGCUCAGCAGCAAAGCAAACGAACUGUAUUGCAUGCAUAUUAGAUCCAACAAAUUGUUAAGCUACGACAUUCUUCUCUCAUUUAGUAUAAAUACCAAGUUGUAAUCAUUUGUUAAAGAUAUAAUAAGAUGAUCAUUUUCAGAUCUUUCUUUUAUAAUUUUCUAUCACUUUCUCGUUAGUUUUCUCUUAAACCAAACACUUUGUACGAACUCUUUCAUGGUAUCAGAGCAAACAAAUGGCAAACUCAAAUCAAAAUUUUGGAUCCUAUAGUUUUAUUACUCUAGUAAAACUAGAUCAUAAUAACUUCAUUGUUUGGCGAACUCAAAUCCUUACAUCCAUAAAAGGAAAUGGUUUAGAAGAUUUCAUCAAUGGAAAUCAAGUCUGUCCAGAAAAAUUUUUCUCUGCUACGAGCUAUGUUGCUGGUUUCUCAACUGGAACAGAGAAUCAAGAGAUCAAUCCAGCUUACACAAUGUGGAUAAAGACGGAUCAAUUGAUUCUGAGUUGGAUGUUGUCAUCCAUUCAGCCAAAUCUGCUGACAACAGUGAUCCACUGCUCAACUGCAAAAGAGCUACUGGAUACACUUACAAGUAUGUUUGUCUCUCAGUCCCAAGCUAGAAUAAUGCCUCUAAAAAUGCAGAUCCAAACUCUUAAAAAAGGCUCAAUGUCCAUGAUUGAUUAUUUUGCAAAAAUGAAAAGGAUAUCUGAUAGCUUAGCUUUAGCUGGAAAACCUGUUGAAGUGAAUGAUUUUGUUCAACAUGUUUUAACUGGAUUGGAUUCAUCUGAUUAUGAAUCAUUAGUCACUACUGUGUUAGCUAAAGGAGAUAAUAUCAAUCUUGAUGAGUUUUAUUCAUUGUUACUGAGUCAUGAAAAUCAAGUGGAACAAAAGAGAGGAAAAAUUGCAAGUGAUGUUACACAUAACUUGUCAGCUAAUGUUGCUCAAAAGUAGUUCAAUCCUGGUAAAAAUACCGGUGGCAAUCAAAAGUUUAACACUAGACCUUAUGGAGGAGUUUAUAAUUCUGGAGCUGGAUCUGGUGAUGGUAACUUCUCACAAAUUGUAUAUCAGAUCUGCUUUAUUCCUGGUCAUAGUGCCAAUAAAUGUAGAAAUAGGUUUAAUUCAGCCUUUGUUCCUUCAAGAAAUCAAGGAAGAGGUGGUUUUAAUGGAAAUUUUAGGCCUGGUCAGAGGCAGUAUGGUAGAGGAUUUGGCUAUGCAAAUGGUAAUAGAUCUUCUAUGGUUUAUGGAAAUUUUGGUAGAAACUUUAAUCCUCAAUUUGGUGCUGGAAUUGGUAACUCUCAGUUUGGGAAUUUCAACAUACCAAGAGCACCUGGUUAUCAAGGUCAUUUGAUGUACUCAGAUCCAGCUGCAUUCAAUAUUUACCAACAAACUAACUCUCAUGGUGUUUACUCCCCUGCACAUGCUUUUGUUCCAACUGGAGAUUACUCUGGAUCUCCAUCAUCACUCUCAAUUCCUUCAGUUCCUGCUCCAGCUCAUGCACUUGAGAUGAUUGAAGAUCCAGCCUGGUAUAUUGACAGUGGUGCUACUAACCACAACACAAAUGAUUCAGGUAAAUUACUGGAUCUUAAGCCAUAUGUUGGAACUGACAAAUUGCUUGUUGGAAAUGGUUCUGCAUUGCAUAUUAAACAUAUUGGAUCAGUAUUGCUAGCUACUACUACAAAUAAACCCUUGUGUUUAAACCGUGUUCUUCAUGUUCCAAAUAUUAAAAAGAAUUUACUCAGUGUUUCAAAACUCUUAAUAGAUAACAAUGUGACACUUGAGUUUUUUAAAAAUGUUUGUGUUGUCAAGGCCAGGAACUAAGGGAUCAUUUUGCUUAGAGGAAUUGCAACAGGGGGAUUGUAUCAAGUCUAAUCUGCAGCUCAAUUCUCUAAAACUAGCUCAGCUUUGUCAUGUCAACUUUCUUCCAAUAAACCUCAGUCUUUGUUUGCUUAUCAUUCUCCUUUGUCUAGUGAUGUUUCUUCUGAAAUAAAUAAGAGUACUUCUUUUAAUCAUUUGCUGUGUAAAUCAGCCUUGGCUGUCAAUACUAGUUCAGUUGAUGUCAAUCUUCUUCAUAAAAGGCUAGGACAUCCUGCCUUACACACACUCAAAUCUGUAUGGAAAGCUUGUAAUAGUCACAAUGUACUCAAUAAAACUCCAAAUUUUUGCAAUGCCUGUCAGCAUGGUAAAAGUCAUCUUUUACAUUUUGGAUUUGUUCCAACAAAAACAGCAGCACCAUUACAACUCAUAUAUGCUGAUCUUUGAGGACCAUCACAUGUUGCCUCCACUCAAGGCUAUAUAUAUUACUUGUCCAUUUUAGAUGACUUUAGCAGAUUUACAUGGAUUUUUCCUUUGUCUGCCAAAUCUGAUGCACUUCAAGUUUUCACAGAAUUCAAAUCAUUCAUUGAAAAACACUUACAACAACAUAUCAAAACAGUUCAAACAGAUUGGGGAGGGGAGUUUAGAACCUUUUCAUCAUAUCUCACUUAGUUUGGAAUCCAAUUCAGGCAUCCUUGUCCACAUAUCCAUCAUCAAAAUGGAAGAAUUGAUAGAACACAUAGACACAUAGUUGACAUUGGCCUCACUCUGUUAACUCAAGCUAAUUUGUCACUUAAAUUCUAGUGGAAUGCUUUUCAUACUGCUGUAUUCCUUAUCAACAGACUACCCACACCAACAUUGAUCAACAUUUCACCUUAUCAAAAAAAUUUUCAGCAAGUACCAGAUUAUACAUUUCUUAGAGUCUUUGGGUGUGCUUGCUAUCCUUAUCUUAGACCUUAUAGCAAUCACAAGCUUGGUUUUAGAUCAAACAGGUGUGUCUUUAUUGGGUAUAGCUCUUAUCAUAAAGGGUAUCAAUGUCUUCAUUCAUCUGGACAUGUAUAUGUUUCAAACCAUGUCAUAUUUGAUGAUCAAUCUUUUCCAUAUGUUUAUGGAUCAGAUUUUUCUUCCAUUGCUCAGUCUUGCAGUUCCUCAGAUAUUUCUUCAGAGUCCAUAGUUACUCUUGUUCCAAUACCACAAGUACAAUCCCCUCUGCAAGUAUCUCCAGCAAAUGAUUACCUACCUACUGACACUUCACAGGUAUUCCCUACAUCUUCAACUUCUUCUUCAUUAUCUUCUUUAACAUCACAUACGCAUCCUAUACAUACUACACAAUCUCCACCUCAUAUAUUACCUGCUGCACCACCUAUAGGUCAUCCUAUGAUAACCAGAUCCCAGGCUGGUAUUUUUAAGCCUAAAUCCUAUCUAGUUGCUUUACUAGCCACACCUUCAGAACCUACUUCUGUUUCAGCAGCUUUAUCUGAUCCAAAAUGGUUUAAGGCAAUGCAAGAAGAAUAUUAGGCACUUCAAAACAAUCAUACUUGGGAUCUGGUCUUGCCAAAUGAACCAGUUAAUGUAGUUGGAAACAAAUGGAUAUUGAAGAUAAAAUAUCAUGUUGAUGGAACCAUUUCUAGAUACAAAGCCAGGUUGGUGGCUAAGGGGUUUCAUCAGACACAGGGAGUUGAUUACAUAGAAACAUUCAGUCCAGUUGUUAAAGCAUCAACAGUCAGGGUUAUUUUAAGUUUGGCAGUCAUGAAUAAAUGGGAGCUCAGACAAGUGGAUGUGAAUAAUGCAUUUUUUAAUGGCAUAUUAGUUGAAGAUGUGUACAUAGGGCAGCCAGAGGGCUUCAUUGAUCCAUCUCGACCUCAUCAUGUCUGUAAGUUGAAAAAGGCACUCUAUGGUUUAAAACAAGCCCUCAUGGCAUGGUUUGAGAGACUGAAAGAUGCUAUGGUUAUGCAAUGGAGGUUUCAAAAUUUAAAGUCAGACAACUCCCUUUUCUACAAAUGGACAGGUGGUCAUGUAAUUUUUAUUCUUGUCUAUGUGGAUGAUAUAAUCAUAACAGGCUCCAGUGAUCAACUGGUGCAACAAGUGGUUACAAAUAUGCAAAAUGAUUUUGCUUUGAAGGAUCUGGGAAAACUAAAUUACUUUCUUGGGAUAGAAGUUACCAAAACAGCAUCUGGAAUGUAUCUCUCUCAGUCAAAAUACAUAGCUGAUCUUCUAGCCAAACACAAUAUGGCUGACUGCAGUUCAGUUCCUACUCCCAUGUAACAUAUGCACUUUGAUUUUUCCUAAUUAAGUGUAUGAUUUAAUUUUUCCUCUUCGAUAUUAAUUUUAAAAUUGUCACAACAUUAAAUCAAGAUAAAUUGAGCGCGAUUAAAAGCUUGGGUAGUCGGAUUUUAUUUUCGUCACGGGUCCGGUAUUAGCUUAAUUUGUAUUCGGAUUCUAUUUCGCCGGAGUUUGGGCACGCCUCCUGCUGGGUUCUACUCCUCACGCCACUAGCUUUCAUUUCCGACCAACCCCGCCACCUGAAACCUCCGUUUUGGCCGUGAACGACCGCCGGAAAGUUCACGACUUUGGGAGCACGAUCCGCCGCCAUCGCCGCGCGUGGGAGGUCACCGCUGGCACCGUUGGACUCACCGAGGUCUGAACUAUCAUACCUAAGCUUCCCGUCGUCGUUGACUGAAGUCCGAUCACCGUUGACCGGCAGGGGCAAUUCGGUAAAUUCAUAAAACUUUAGGGUGAAUUUGUAAUUUGUGGAAUCAGUGGAUAAUUUGGUAAUUUUAGGUUAGGGCAGUGAGGUAAUUUGAGAUUUCAAGGAUAAUUCGGUAAUUUAAGUCGUUAAGGACAUUUUGGUAAUUUUAUGCUCCGAGGGUAAUUUUGUAAUUUCUGACAUUGUGGUAAUUUCGUGAUCUGAAUUGAGGACAAUUUAGGGGCUGUUCGGUAUCAUUUUGAGGAGGGUGUUUUCAUUUUCAUUUUGAGAAUACAGCUGUAAUACUUGUUCGGUGAAUUGGAUUCAAAAAACAAAUUAUAAAACAGAUAAUUUGAAUUUUCAUUUGUAGUUAUAAAAGUGAGAACGUGUUUAACACGUUCUCAAAGAAUCCCAAUACAAACUUUAAAAUAAAUUACAAAACAAACCCCAAGCCUCAUCUCAUUAAAAAUCCACGGCUCUCUCUCUCGUGGAUACAUCUCUUCUUUAACCACAAUUCAUUGUGACAGCUCUCUCACUCCGUCGCAGUAACCAAAAUCAACUGUUGCUGCUAUCGCCUCUCGGCUCUGUCUCGGCCGGUGGUGGUACUACUACUUCAUCUCUGCUCUGGUUCCGCCAUGGUAGAUCGACUGCUGUUGCUGCGUCUCUGUUGAGAAGGGCUUGGCGACCAGAGGCGGCGAGUGAAUCGCCGAGUGGAGUGAAGACUAGGAGAAAGAAGACAAGGAGUAAGCCGAAGACUAUGGCAGAGAUGAUGUCUAGAAAAGUUUCCAUUGUUGAGCUUUGCGUUUUGAUAUGGGUAAAUUCAGGUGACCCAUACUGCAAGUGAAGGAUCCAAUUAACUUAAAUACUUAAUUGCAUUUUCGAUAAACUACUCAAGCAUCAAAGCCCAAAGGAGCCAGUUUAUUGGUUUUGAGGAGAUGAUGGUGAAUUGAUGAUGGGACUUGGGUAGUGGAAAUCUGGAAUUGAUUUGAGUGAGUAUUGAGUGGAUGAGUUCGGUGGAGAAAAGGCAAGCACGGUAACUAGUAAGAAGAUAAACUGCAACAUGACGAUGACAAAAUUAAUAUUAAUUCAAAUAAUAAUUUUAUAUACGUAUUAUACCAUGUGGAUGUGUGGUUGGCAGCUGUCUACUUUCUACCGUAUAUUAUUUAUUUCGUAUUACAAAAUCUAGUAGUGUUGUGAUAAAUUAAUGCUAAUACUAAAUUAUUUAUUGUAUGUUUAUGUAUGUAUUAGUUAAAUACUUUUUUUAAUUAUAAUUUAAAUGUUUAGUAAAAAUUAUUUUUGAGAAUGGUACUACCGAACAUUUAUUCUCUGUUUUUAUCAUUUUUAAUUGUGUCUACCAAACGCAUAUUACUGAUUUCAAUUUUAAAAUACAGAAUAUAGAAAACGAUACCAGACGUAUAUUUAAAUUCGAAAUACUGCAACUAUAAAACACCAUUUUCAUUCUUAUAUUUGUUUUCAGAAAAUACAAAUUCAGAAACAAUACCAAACGGGCCCUUAGUAAUUGAAGAUUCUGAGGAUAAUUUGGUAAAAUAAUAUGUUGGGGGCAUUUUGGUAAUUUUGACAUGUAGGGGUAUUUUGGUAAUUUUGUGCAUGCGGGAAUAGUUUAUUGUGGAUAGAUAUUCGUUUGAGAAUUGUUAUGUAAAAUUAGUUGUAUUUCAAAUCUACGGAGAAUAAUUGUGUCGUUUCCUUGAUUAGGAGGAUCCACGAACGAGAAUCAACCCGCGGACGUUGUAGAUACCGAGUCUGGACUUCAUCACUGUGAGUGGAAUAUACAAAACCUAUUUUCAUAGUAUAUUCUGAUUUUACCAUACAGUACAACAUGUUUUGAUAAUAAGUUUUUGAUGCUUCGAUUUAAUGAUUUUCUAGAAAAUUGAUUUUUAUUUACGUGCUGAUAUUUAUUGUUAUCAAGAAUGAGUUUGAUUAAUGAUUUUAUUGUCGUUUUUGAGUAAAUGCAUGAUAUUAGAAUUCAGUGGAUUUGAGAUAUGUUAAAUAAAAAGAAAAUGAGAUUUCAGAUGUGAUUAUAUGUUUAUGAACAUGUGUAUAAAAAAGUUGUUUGGAAAAUCAUUGGACAGUACCCUUCCCCUCCAGAUACAGAGAUACAGAUAAUAUGAGAUGAAUACAGAAAUACAGAUGAGAUGAGAUAGAGGCCUUUAGGGCCCGUCUGAACACACAUAGAGGCUUUGGGCCGUGUGUUUGGGCGCUUUUGCCUUUUGGGGGCUUAUGCAUGCAGUAUGAUGAUUACAGAGAUACAUAUGUUGAGAUACAUGAGAUAUGAGAUGAGAUUUCCCCAUCUAUCCGUGGUAGCUCCGGGGCAUGAUGGUUCCCUGAUUGCCCGUCCGUCGAGGUCCGAAUAUGAUGAGAUCAUUCCCCUGGGUACUUGUUUGAUGAUAGUUUUUAUUAUUCAGUAUUUGAUAUUAUAAGUAUUAUUAUUUCAUUGAUUUUAUGCAGAUUUAUGUAAUAUAGUUAUUUCAGUGCAUGAUUUGAAUUGAAUAUGUUUAUAUAAGUUCUUAUGAUAUUUUGAUGAAAUUGAUUUGAGAAAGAUUAAAUCAUUUUAAAUAAAUUUAUUUUUCAAAAACUAUUAUCCACUCACUGAGCUCACUGAAUUUUAUACUCAUCCCAUUUUUAUUAUAUUUUUCCCCCCCACAGGAGAUUUGCAGGUACAUCAGUCGACCCAGCAACGAUAGUUAGAUUUGAAAUUGUGGCCACGUGACGGUGCUAGGAGUCGUAGAUUUAAUAUUUUGAUAUUUGGGAUAUUGCGGAUUGUAUUUAUUUGUUAUAUUUUGUAAUUAAGGAUAACCGUUAUAUUUUAAUAUUAGAAUGAUUUGGGUGGUAUUUGGUAUGUUGACUUGAGAAGUUGGUUAUGAAGGAUGGAUGGAUAUUGAAUUAUUUUGGGAGUAUUGUUUUGUAAAUUGCAGGCUUGGGAUGUUUAUUUAUAGGGGAGAUUCUGUCGAAUUUUUGAUCGAAUUCUUAGAUAUCAUAAUUAUUAUCGAUUUGAUUAUACGAGUUUAGAUAGACUCGCCCUGGGGGUGCGGGACGGGUCGUUUCAAGUUGGUAUCAGAGCAUGGUUUUAGAUUCUGUAGACUUUACUGUCGUAAAUAGAAUAAGUUUUAUUGUUAUUAAAGUCGGAAUUGAUAUUUUAUAGGCACCAUCAUGAUUCGUCGUAGUAGUAGACGUGGCCGCGGACGUGGUCGUGGCCGUGGCCAUACUAGGCUAGUAGCUGGGUUAACUCCAGGAGAUGUACCUGCGGGGGAAAAUGAUACCGUAAACGAGGGAAUAGUUGAGUCUUCAACGCACGAGGUUGUGCAACAAGCACCAGGAAAUGCUCCGAACAUUGAGCAGUCAAUUGAUAGAUUAGCUCAGAUUGUGACUACAGUGGUCAGACUCAUCCGCAUGUCGGUCAUGUAAAUACUAUCGAGCGUGUACGAAGUUUAGGGGCCAAGAGUUUUAAUGGUUCUGGAGAUCCACCUGAGGCAGAGUCGUGGCUUAUUAAAUUAGAACGUAUUUUUGAUAUGAUGAGAUGCUCAGAGGAGGAUAGACUUUCAUUUGCCACUUUUCUACUCGAGGAUAGGGCUUAUCAUUGGUGGCAAACAAUAGAGCGUAGAUACCAAGGGCAUGCUGCGCUUACAUGGGCUAUUUUUCGUAAGGAAUUCUAUGAUCAUUAUUUUCCAGCUGUGUAUCAGGAUAUUAAGCGGAGUGAAUUCCUUCGGCUGGUUCAAGGAUCUAUGUCAGUAGAAGAGUAUGAGAAGAAAUUUUUGGAUCUUUCUAGAUUUGCCACUUCAGCUGUUGGUGAUGAGAGAGAGAAAGAUGCAGGCGUUUUGAGGAGGGUCUCCAAUUUGAGAUUCGUACAACUGUGACGGCACACGAUACACUGAGUUUGCUGAGGUAGUUGAGGCAGCCAAGAGAGUAGAGCAUAGUAUCUCUGAGGGAUGUAGAGUUCAGGCUCUGAAACAAAAACGUAGCCAGAGUUGGACAGAGGGUGGCUUGAGUAGUAGACCGCCGAAGAGAGGCUCACAUACAAAUUAUUUUGCUGGCGUGCAAAAGAAUCAGAGUAUAAGCAGCAGGGGAGAUCAGAGACAGGCCGUCAGUUACAGUUCGGCACAACCAUCAGUGGGGAGUAAUGUUAGGACUCAGGGGUAGUAUGACAGGAAUAGCGAAGGACACUGUAAGAGUAUACAACAGACCUCUUGCCCUUCGUGUGGUAGGAACCAUCAGGGCUAAUGCCGUAUUGGAGACAAUGUGUGUUAUUUAUGUUGAUAACCUGGACAUAUUAAGAGAUUCUGCCCCACUUUAUCUCAGGGUGACAGUUCUGCUCGAGGGACAGGCCCACAGUAUCAAUCUCACUCUGGACCAGCUCAGGGUCAAAGGGGUAUGCCGACAAGGGGUUCUAUAUCUAUGAGUCAGACCACUAUUCCAAGUCAGAGACGUCAACCUGGUCAUCCUCGUACUCAGGCUCGAGUCUUUGCCUUAACACAGCAGGAGGCUCAUGCUACACCAGAGUGUGGAUUGCGAGCAGCCCACAGUUAGGGUAACAACAGGGCGACCUACACUAGCCGGCGAUCCGAACAUGGCAUGAAAGAAUUACGGGAGGUACGCGAUGAAUAGUAAGGAAGUGCUUUUUAACUUGCCCUCAACAAAGAUAGCAAAGGUGAGGUAAAUUCUAAUCAUGUGGGCACAUGAUGGUGAGAAAUGCAUUAUGUAUCCUCACGAGGAUGCUUUGGUGAUAAAUGCCAAUGUAGUGAGCAAAGAAUUUAAUAGGAUACUCAUAGAUACGGGUAGUUCAGUAGACAUGCUCUUUCAAUAUAUACUCGAGGAGAUGGGAAUUGCAUAUCUGAGGUUGAAACAUACAAAUACCUCCUUAAAAGGAUCUAGAGGAGGAAAGUUGACUCCUAAGAGGAUUAUAGAACUGUCAGUCAUCAUUGUCUUAAGGCCAUUCGAGAAGAUUAUGAUGUUAGAUCUUGUUACUAUUGAAGAAAACAGUUCCUAUUAGAUAUUUUUGGACAUUUAUGAGGAUAAGUCAAUGUGUCAUAUCCACUCACUGUUUGACGCUCAAAUAUCUUGUGAAUGGGGUUGUAGGUGUAGUAAAGGGCGACCAAAUGAUAACUCGGAGCUGUUAUGCCACGGACGCUAAGGAAACCUUGCAAAUUACAUCACUAAACACUCGAGGAGACUCUGUGAAAGGCCGGCAAGAGCCAGUGGAGAACUUAGAAGAGGUGGUGAUGAAACAAGAUAACCCGGAUAAAGUUGUAAAAAUCAGGUCCAGUUUAAAGCAAGACUUGAGAAUAGAGCUAAUAAACUACUUAAGAUCCCAUGCUGACGUGUUUUCCUGGUUGCAUGAAGACAUGCCCAGGAUCGACCCAAAAAUUGCUUAUUAUAAAUUGGCUAUAAGAAAGGGUAUGAGGUUAGUAAAGCAAAAAAUGAGGUGCUUCAACCAAGAAAGAUAUGAGGCCAUAAACAUCGAGGUGGAGAAGUUGUUGUAAGCAGGAUUCAUUAGGGAGGCUAAGUAUCUCGAAUGGAUUUCUAACGUAGUUCUAAUGAAGAAAGCGAAUGGAAAGUGAUGAAUGUGCAUGGAUUUCACCGAUCUUAACAAGGCAUGCCUAAACGACAGCUUCUCAUUGCCCAAGAUCGACCAGCUGGUUGACUCAACAGUAGGGCACAACCUACUCAGAUUUAUAGAUGCCUUCUCUGGUUACAACCAAAUACCCGUGGACGAGUAGGACAAGGAAAACACUGUAUUUAUUACUAACAUAGGUUUAUUUUGUUACAAUUUAAUGGAGUUUGAUCUAAAAAAUACAGGGGCUACAUAUCCAAUGUUGGUGAAUAAAGUCUUUAAACCCCUGAUUGGACAUACUAUGGAGGUCUACAUAGAUGACAUGAUCACCAAGUCCAAAGAUCCACUAGAACACACACGACAUUUAGAUGAAACUUUUAAGUUGCUAAGCAAAUACAAAAUUAAGCUUAAUCGAGAGACAUGUGCAUCUAGGGUAUGCUCGAGAAAAUUUUGGGUUUUAUGGUGAGCCAUAUGGGGAUCGGGGCCAACCCCAAGAAGGUAUAGGCAAUAACAGAGAUGAAAUCCCCUCGUGCACUCAAAGAAGUUCAGAGCCUUACGGGAAAGCUAGUAGCUCUCAAUCGAUUUAUAUCAAAAGCAAUAGAUAAAUAUCGCAUUUUCUUUAAAGUCAUAAAAAAAGAAAGAAAGAUGGAAGGGGAAAGCAAUAGAUAAAAACCGCGAUAGGGCGACAUAGUGUAUUUAUACUUAGCCCUGUCCCGAUGGGCUAUCGACUUGAUCCUGAUAAGAGAAGAAGCAGAAACUCAGCACUUGGUGUACCAUACCAGAAAGGCCCUACUAGACGCAGAAACUAGAUAUCCGAUGAUGGAAAAAUGGGCUCUGACACUAGUAACAACAGCUCGUAAGCUGAGACCAUACUUCUAGGUCUAUCUAGUAAUCGUGAUGACCGAUCAUCCUCUUCGACAGGCACUACAGAACCCAGAGGCAUUUGGUCGAUUGGUAUUAAAGCACAACCUAUGGCUGAUUUCAUCGCCGAAUGUACAAAUUGGGAGAAGAAAUUCGUAAAGAGCAGAUAAUUGACGAAGAAGGUUCGAAUAGAGUUUGGCUGAUAAUGAUAAAUGGAUCUUGCGAGGAACAAGGGUCCGGAGCAGAUGUGGUAGUGCAUAAACUAGAAGGUGUUGAAAUUUCUUAUGCUUUGAAGUUUGAAUUUAAGGCGACUAACAACCAGACAGAUUAUAAAGCUUUUAUUAUUGGUUUAAAGCUAGCUCAUGCGCUGUGAGCAGAUAGCAUUAAAGUUCGAAUAUACUCCCAAUUAGUAAGCAACCAGUUCAACAAAAUAAUGGAGUUAUAUCUGAAUAAGGCAAAACAACUGAUAGGAAUGUUUAAGAAAGUGAAGAUCGAGAACAUAAAACUAUGGGGCAGAUAUGUUGGCCAGAAGGACAACAACAACAGAUGCAAAGAUGCCAAAAUCAAUCUCGAUAGAAAUCAAGACCUCGCCGAGCAUCAAACAUGAAAAUGAGAUAAUAAGGGUAGAUAUAAGAAGCUCAUGGAUGGAUCCAAGUAUCUUAGAUAUCCGCAAUAGAAAUUUGCCAGCAGAUAAAAGGCAAGGUAGAAAGUUGAAGUGUCAGGCAGUCAGAUACUCGCUACUAAAUGGGGGUGUUCUACAGACGAGGAUUAACCUUGCCCCUCUUACGAUGUUUAAACCACGAGGAUGCAGAUUAUAUAUUACGACAAAUACACGAGGGAAUUUAUGGUAACCAUUUUGAGGCAAGGUCCUUGAAAUUUAAAGCCCUAAGAAAGGGAUAUUUCUGGGCGACUAUGCACCAAGACGCACGGAAAGUGACCAAGAAUUGUAAAAGCUGCCAAAGUUUCACAAGUUUCCCAACCCAACCAUUAAAAAACUCAUUUGUCACCACAAUGUCCUCUUCGUGGCCCUUUGCACAAUUGGGGAUUAAUCUGAUUGGCCCAUUACCUAAAGGGUGGGCAGCUGCUACACACGUCAUUGUAGCUGUAGAUUAUUUUAGAAAGUAGGUGGAGGUUGAAGCUUUAAGUCAGAUCAUAAAGAAGAUGACGAUUGGAUUCAUCUAGAGAAAUAUUUUAUGUAGGUAUGAGAUUCCCUAUAUAAUCUUAAUAGACAAUGGGAGGUAGUUUGACAAUCAUAAUUUCAAGGAAUUCUGUCAGAACUUGAGUGUUGAGCUGAGGUUCUGCUCCCCAGCACAUCCGCAAUCGAACGAGUAGGUGGAGGCUGCUAACAAGGUAAUAAAGAAGCUCCUGAAAACCAGACUAAGGAAAAGAAUAUGGCAUGGAUUAACGAGCUGGCUGGUGUGUUAUGGGCCUACCGAACGACCCACAAGGCCGCAACUGGAGAGACCUCGUUUUCCUUGGCCUUUGGUCAUGAAGCAGGAGUCCCUGCAGAAAUUGUGAUGGGAACACAUCGAACAAAAUACUUUGACGAAGAGCAAAACGAUGAGUAUAUGUGUCUGAAUCUAGAUCUGUUUGAGGAAAAGAGAGAGAGAGCCUCGUGGAAAGUAGUGGAAUAUUAGUAGAGGGUUGCUCGAUACUAUAACUAGAAUGUGCGGUUGCGGCAGUUUAGAGCUGGAGAUUAGGUGCUCAGGAGAAUAAAUCAAAACACGAAGGAUCCCAGCCAGGGCAUCUUUGGCCCUAACUAGACGGGCUCUUAUAAAGUUAUAUGAGCAAUAGGUCUAAGAACUUACAAGUUGGCUUAUCCAGACGGUCGAGAAGUAAAAUGAUUAUGGAACGCGAAGCAUUUAAGGAAAUAAUUCCAAUAAGCAAGUUGUUCUUGAGAGUUUUCCUAUUAUAACGUUUAUGCUUAAUGUAGUAGGAGUUAUUAGAUGUUCAUGUUUUCCUAUAUUCUGUAAUAACUAGAAUAUUUAAUAAUAAAAUGAUGAAGUUUAUUCAAAUGUGUUUAUGAAAUAUUUUCUAAGGUAAAGAAAUAGCUCGAUAGUCUCAAAGCUUGCUUGAGGCGAGACAAGAGUCAGAAGUUUGCCAAAACCUGCUCAAUCAAGCGAAGACGAGUAGGCAAAGUUUGUAAAUAUUUUCUAAAGCAAAUAGAAGGCUCAAUAGUCUCAAAGCCUACUCGAGGCGAGAUAAGAGUCAGAAGUUUUCCAAAACUUACUCAGUGAAGCGAAGACGAGUAGGCAAAGUUUAUUAAAUAUUUUCUAAGGCAAACAAGAAGCUCCAUAGUCUUAAAGCCUACUCAAGGCGAGAUAAAAGUCAGAAGUUUGCCAAAACCUACUCAUAAAGCGAAGAAUGGCAGGCAAAGUUUAUUAAAUAUUUUCUAAGGUAAACAAAAAGCUCGAUAGUCUCAAAGCCUGCUCAGUGCGAAAAAAAAGUCAAAAGUUUUUCGAUCAUAUAAGGUUAAACAAAUAACUGAUUCGAAAAUUUAGAAAACAAAGCAAAGACCCGUAAAAAUUCUUCCAAACCAAACAUUAAUGUGCAUGGCGAAUGAAGGAAAAAAUUUACACAUGUUCCAAAACAUACGAAUAACAAAAGUACAAUUUAUGGGUCUCUGGAAAGAGGAUCAGCCGGCUCAGUGUUGAGUGUUAGAAAAUGCAUAUUUAUAAAGGAGAAAACCGUCAUUUUACAUUUCAAGUCUUACUACCAACCCUUACUUUUAUGUAUUUAACCUUCUUGUGAUGUAAUUACGUGUGUGUUAUUUUAAUUAAGUAUUUUAUGUAUUUUAGGGGCAUUAUAGUCAUUUCACAAUAAAGGAGAGAUCAGACGGCAAAACGGAUAUCACUUUUGAACUCAGGACGGUCGAAAACCUUAGGAGGAACAUAAAAGGAAAAAUGGCACUAUUCACAUGUACGGUACUAUUCACGUAUACGUUACUGUUCACGGCACUGUUCACAUAGACGGAUCGAUGACGUGGCAUUGACCGAUGAUGUGGCAUUGACUGAUGAGGUGUCACGAUCCUGUUGGGCUAAAAUUCUUAUGUACUGUUGAUGGUGACGUGGCAGUAUAUCAGUGGAUGAAAAAUCUCGCGUACGGUGCAUGCAUCACACAGGAUUAUUUUCAACCAAACCGCGUUACUGUUCAUCCGGGUCAAACCGCGUUACUGUUCAAAGUCGGGUCAAACCGUGUUACUGUUCAUCCGCGUGGUCAAACCGUGGACUGUUGACCGAUGACGUGGCGCAAUCCUGAGCGUCCAAACUGUUUUUAAUCCGAUGGCCAUGAUUUACUCCAUGUAUCUAUAAAAAGGGGGCCUCUCCCCCCUAAUUUGAUACCUCUGAAUCCAUUUUUGGGAUCCAUUUUCUGUAAUUCCCUCUCUAUCUUGUAUUUUCUUUGUAUUUUAAUAAAUUCUCAUUUUGUCCCUAGUUCAAUUAUGAGUAGCUAAUUUCUUUUCAAGCUUAGGUUGAAGGUGAAGUCUCAACAUGUAUCAUGGGCUUUAUUUGGUAAAUUUAUUUUCUUUUCCCCUCUAGUUUUUGUGGAUGAUUUGACUUAUCGUCGACAAAUAAUACUGAUCUUGUCUAGAUACCGCCUUGGUUACACCGGCUCUCUAGUAUAAGGUUAUUAUUAUUUGGCACGAUAAGCCCUUAGCACCAUAUUGAUUAGAGCGUGGUUCAUGAGGUGUGGAUUCCCCCCUCAUGAUUUAAUUGGUAUUAAUAAGGAAUAUUUAGCCCAUGAUGCAUGUUGAUACGGAUCCAGAUACCCAAGUACGUCAUUUCAAUACAUUUCUCUUCAAUUUAUUCUUGCCAUUUCAAUUCCAAUUUCAGCAUUUAUUCUUGCCAUUUUAAUUUAAAGUUUUAGCAUAUUCCAAAUCAUUUCCACCACAAUUCCAACCACCCAUUUACAAAAUUAAUUCUAUAUAUAAUUAAAAAUCCACCUCCUCGUGGGAUCGACACUCGUCACCAUUGAUCUACACUACAAUAGAUUCGUGCGCUUGCGAGUACAUUAAAAUUUGCACAACAAGUUUUUGGCGCCGUUGCCGGGGAGGUAAGUAGUUUUAAUUCAUAGAAUUAAUUUUUGUGAAUAAUUUCUUUUAUUUGUUUUCUUGUAUUUUUUUUAUUAUAAAAAAAAAAAGAAAAAAAAAGUAAAUCUACAUUUAAAGGUUAGUAUUUCUUUUCUUUUUCUCUUCUUUAAAAUUCUGUAAUUUAAUUUUCAAUUUAUUUUUUCUUUGUAAUUUUUUUUAUUUUAUUAAUUUAAUUUUUAAUUUAUUUCACGUAUUUGUUUUUGUGUAUUUUUAUAGUAAGGUUGUAAUAGCGCAAUAAGGUUAGUAUCGUAAUUUCUCCCUCUUAUUUAUUUUUAUUUGUUUUGUUCCCAUCUUUAUUUUUAUUUUUAUUUUAUUUUGCAUGCAUGGUCGUAGGUCAUUAUUACCUAAUCUUGAACCUAUAGACCUUGAAUUAGAAAAAACACUUCGCACACACAAACACGUUAAAAAUAAAAUGGAUUUGCAACCACAGGAGAGGCCAUUUAAGGAUUAUUUUAGUCCCUUAGCUAAUUUGAGCACAUCAUGCAUAAGAUACCCAAAUGUAGCUGCUAGGAGCUUUGAACUAAAACCUAGUGUGCUAAAUUGUCUCCCCACAUUUUAUGGCCUAGAAAAUGAGGACCCAUAUAAUCAUCUGAAUGAUUUUCAUGCUAUUUGUCAAACAUUUAAAUAUGAGAAUUUUUCAGACGAUGAUGUUAAACUCAGACUAUUCCCAUUUUCUUUAAAGGAUAGAGCUCGUUCAUGGUUAAAUACGUUACCUGCUAAUAGCAUUUCAUCAUGGGAACAAAUGGUAACUAAAUUUUUGAAUAAAUAUUUCCCAGUGCAUAAAACCAAUUCUAUUCGCAGGGAAAUUUCAGAGUUUACACAAAGAGAGGACGAGCAAUUUUUCGAAACAUGGGAGCGAUUCAAUGGGCUACUCUUGAAGUGUCCACAUCAUGGGUACGAGAAAUGGCACCAAUGUCAAUACUUUUUGGAGGGAUUACUACCGAAUGUGCAAGAAUGGCUAAUGGCAACAAGUGGAGGAGAGCUAAUGUCAAAAAGUGCAUCAGAGAUUUGGGAAUUCUUCCAGCGACAAGCGGAUAAUUCCCAACAACGGAGUCGAUCACUCAGGAAUACUAGAAGAAUUAAGGGAGUAAAUGAGGUUCAAAUUGGCGAGUCAAAUUCAGAAAUCAAAGAAGUCAAAGCAAUAAUAGAAGGUCUCUCUCGACAAAUAGCAUCGUUAUCGACUGCUAAAUCAACAGAACCACAUGACCAUGACUCAUACUCCGAUCAAGCCAAUGCCAUAGGUGUAAUGAGAAAGCCAUCUAAUUACAACCCAUACUCCAACACAUAUAACCCUGGAUGGAGAGACCACCCCAAUUUUUCAUGGUCUCAAGGAUUCCAACAUAAUGGACCAGCAGCUCCAGCUCCACCAAUGCAUCAAAUUCCUCAAAAUUCUCAAGCCUCUCAGCCACCAUUCAGACCAUACAAUCAGAACCAGAACUACUCUCAACCCAGACCAUGGGAGGAUUCAUUCCAGAAUCUCAAGAAUCUUACUCACUCCACGAUUGAGCAACAGAAUCGGACCAUUGAUGGACUACGAAAUGAGUUGAGAGCAGGCUUCAAUUCACAAGCCCAAUCAGUUUCAAGCCUUGAGAAGAUGGUGGGACAACUUGCUUCUUCAGUUCAGACCUUGGCAAUUAAUGUUGAGAAAGGUAAAUUUCCAAGUCAACCAGUGCCUAACCCUAAAGGAGUACAUGAAGCAAGUACCAGUUCACCACAACAGCAUGGAGAGGUCAAAGCAGUCAUGACCUUGCGAAAAGGAAAGGAAGUCGACAACAAAGUGGAGAUGCCGGUGACAAAAGAAAAUCAAAUUGUACCUGUGAAUGUUGAGGACUCACCACCGGAGGAAAAAGAAGAAACCAACCCACGAGAAUAUGUUCCUAAAGCUCCAUUUCCUCAGAGGUUAGCGAAAGGAAAGAAGGGAAAAUCCACAGGUGAGAUUCUCGAAAUCUUCAAACAGGUAAGUGUUAACAUCCCUUUGCUUGAUGCUAUUAAACAAGUUCCAUCUUAUGCCAAGUUUCUUAAAGACCUUUGUACUAAAAAGAGAAACAUGCAUGUUCAAAAGAAGGCAUUUUUAACAGAAAACGUUAGUUCUAUACUCCAACAUAAAAUUCCUUUAAAAUGCAAAGACCCAGGCUCCCCCACUAUCUCAUGUAGUAUAGGGAACCACACAAUUGAGAAUGCUUUGUUGGAUUUAGGAGCUAGUGUAAAUUUGUUGCCUUACUCUGUAUUCGUGAAACUUGGACUGGGAGAAUUACACCCAACUCCAGUGGUGUUACAGCUUGCAGAUCGGUCCACGAAAAUACCUCGUGGUAUUGUGGAGGACGUGCUUAUCCAGGUAGACAAGUUUUAUUUUCCUGUUGAUUUCAUUGUAAUUGACACUCAACCAAUACAGGAUUCAAGGAAGCACAUCCCUAUUAUUCUAGGCCGACCUUUCUUGGCAACUGCGGAUGCUCACAUUCAAUGUAGGACCGGAAAUAUGCAAUUGUCCUUCGGCAACAUGACUAUGGAGCUAAAUAUUUUCAACAUUGCCAAACAACCUCACAGUGCAGAUGAUGGAAUUGUUGAUGUGGAUUUAAUAGAAACAAUAGUCAAUAAUACUUUUAUUUCAAACCUUAGUGAUGACCCUUUACAGACAUGCUUAACUCACUUUGGUUUGGAUUUUGAUAUUGACAGAUCGGUCGAUGAGGUCAACGCCCUACUUGACUCAGCACCAUCCAUGGACACUAAUAAAUGGAAGUCAAGAGUUGAACAACUAGCACCAUCAGAAAAGAAACUCAUCCCAUCAUCUGAAUCACCACCGAAACUCGAGCUCAAACCAUUGCCCAACACAUUGGAAUAUGCAUUUUUGGGAGAAGAAAGUACUCUACUGGUAAUCAUCUCAUCAUCCCUAAAUGACGAACAAAAAGGUAAGUUGUUGGAUGUUUUAAAAGAGCACAAAGAAGCAUUAGGAUGGACCAUAGCGGACAUAAAAGGUAUAAACCCAGUAGACUGCAUGCAUUACAUUCACCUUGAUGAAAAUGCUAAAACUACUAGGGAGAUGCAACGUCGGUUAAAUCCUAACAUGAAAGAAGUUGUUAGAACUGAAGUCCUUAAGCUAUUAGAUGCAGGUAUCAUUUACCCAAUUUCUGAUAGUUCAUGGGUCAGUCCUGUACAAGUUGUCCCCAAAAAGUCAGGAGUCACAGUAGUUACGAAUGCCGAUAAUGAAUUAAUACCAACUAGAGUAACUACAGGAUGGCGUGUAUGCAUUGAUUAUAGAAAGUUGAAUUCUGUCACACGUAAAGACCAUUUUCCUUUACCAUUUAUCGAUCAAAUGCUUGAUAGAUUAGCAGGCCAUGAAUUUUAUUGCUUUCUAGAUGGCUACUCAGGAUAUAAUCAGAUUCCCAUAGCACCAAAAGAUCAGGAGAAAACUACUUUCACUUGCCCUUUUGGCACAUUUGCAUAUAGGAGAAUGCCAUUUGGAUUAUGUAAUGCACCUGCUACAUUUCAACGAUGCAUGUUGAGCAUUUUUUCUGAUAUGGUUGAACGAUUCCUUGAAGUCUUUAUGGAUGAUUUUUCUGUCUUUGGUGACUCGUUUGAUCAAUGUUUACAUCAUCUAACGCUAGUUCUGCAGAGAUGUACCGAGAAGAGCUUAGUCUUAAAUUGGGAGAAGUGCCAUUUUAUGGUAAAACAAGGUAUUGUUCUCGGUCACAUCAUUUCAAGCAAAGGUAUUGAGGUUGACAAAGCCAAGGUGGAUCUCAUUUCUAAUCUUCCUCCACCCAAAACAGUCAGAGAAGUAAGAUCUUUCCUUGGGCAUGCUGGUUUCUAUAGACGUUUCAUUAAAGAUUUUAGCAAAGUUUCUAGACCCUUAUGCAAUUUACUUGCUAAGGAUGUACCUUUUAUCUUUAAUGAUUCAUGUCUUAUGGCUUUUGAAAAAUUAAAGCAAUUGUUGACAUCAUCACCCAUCAUUCAGGCCCCAAACUGGAGCUUACCAUUUGAGCUUAUGUGUGAUGCAUCUGAUUAUGCAGUAGGAGCAGUUUUAGGACAAAGAGUUGAUCGAAUUCCCCAUGUUAUUUACUACGCUAGUAUGACAUUGAAUGAUGCACAAUUGAACUAUUCAACUACUGAAAAAGAAAUGCUAGCAGUAGUGUUUGCAUUAGAGAAAUUUCGAUCUUAUCUCAUUGGUUGUAAAAUAAUUAUAUUCACAGAUCAUGCUGCUCUUAAAUAUCUUCUCACAAAGAAAGAUGCAAAAGCUAGACUAAUUCGUUGGGUAUUACUUUUGCAGGAAUUUGACUUGGAAUUCAAGGAUAAGAAAGGCACAGAAAAUGUUGUGGCGGACCACCUCUCUCGUCUCCAUUUUGACACAAUUACAGAGCCAUUAAUAUUAAAUGAGUCAUUUCCAGAUGAACAAUUGAUGAAUGUGGAAGUAUUACCUUGGUAUGCUGAUAUAGUUAAUUAUCUUGUUACAGGUAAGCUUCCAGAGCAUUGGACCAAGCAAGAUAAGGCUAAAUUCUUUGCAGAAAUAAAGAAUUUCUUUUGGGAUGACCCGUAUUUGUUCAAGUAUUGUGCAGACCAAAUUGUUAGACGAUGUGUCCCAGAAAGUGAAAUUCAGAAUAUUCUGUCAUUCUGCCAUGAACAAGCUUGUGGAGGCCAUUUCAGUGCUAAGAAAACGGCGACUAAAGUUUUACAAUGUGGUUUUUAUUGGCCAACUAUAUUUCGAGAUGCUUACAUUUUCUGUUCUUCAUGUGAUAGGUGUCAACGAAUGGGGAGCAUUACACGAAGGAACAUGAUGCCACUAAAUCCAAUUUUAGUGGUUGAGAUUUUUGACGUAUGGGGUAUCGACUUCAUGGGACCCUUUCCCCCUUCUUUUGGCCAUCAAUACAUAUUGGUUGGUGUUGACUACGUAUCGAAAUGGGUGGAAGCAAUUCCAUGCAGAACCAAUGAUCACAAAGUGGUGAUAGGAUUUUUGAAAAGCAACAUUGUUUCGCGCUUUGGAUUCCCUCGAGCGAUAAUUAGUGAUGGUGGUGCCCACUUUUGUAACAAAGCAUUCAAAGCUCUUUUGACAAAGUAUUCAAUCACACACAAAGUGGCAACCCCGUAUCAUCCGCAAACCAGUGGCCAAGUUGAGAUCUCCAAUCGAGAAAUCAAGCACAUAUUAGAAAAAACGGUGAGGCCAGACAGAAAAGAUUGGUCAUUAAGACUUGGUGAUGCAUUAUGGGCAUAUAGAACGGCUUUCAAGACCCCGAUUGGGAUGUCACCCUACAGGCUAGUGUAUGGAAAAGCUUGCCACCUACCUGUGGAACUCGAGCAUCGUGCAUAUUGGGCCAUCAAGAAAUUCAACUCUGACAUGCAGCAAGCCAGCUCAGAAAGAAGAUUACAACUGGCAGAACUUGAAGAAAUUCGCAAUGAUGCAUACGAAAAUGCCAAGAUUUACAAGCAACGAAUGAAAGUCUUUCAUGACAAGCAUAUUAUGAGAAAAUCGUUCACUCCAGGUCAGAAAGUGCUUUUAUUCAAUUCUCGUUUGCACCUAUUCCCAGGUAAGUUACGCUCUCGAUGGUCUGGUCCCUUUAUUGUUCAUACUGUUUUUCCACAUGGGGCAAUUGAAAUUAAGGACCCAAAGAACGGUGUCACGUUUAAAGUUAAUGGUCAAAGAUUAAAGCCAUAUCUUGAGUACCAACCACAUGGAGAAGACACCGAAAUAAAUUUGAGUGACCCACCAGAUUUGAAUUGAUUUUUUCUUUUUGUUGAUUUGAUUUUUCUUUCUUUCUUUUUAUUAUUCUUUUGCUAAUUGAAAUUAUUUUCGCAUAAGUGUGUUUGUUUUACCAUUAAGUUUUUUUUCUUAUCAUUGUUAAUCAUGAGUACCAUACUUAGACCGUUCCUCCUGAACAUUCUUAAACCACUUCAACGUGUCAAAACUCAUCUCAAAAAGCAGAUUCAAUUUUGUAAAACACAACGCAUUUGGGCUCUACAACCACCAGAGUUAGUAGCCUAUGUUGAGGGUUUAGAACGCCAACUCAGAGACAUUGAGAGAAGUGUUUACGACAUCCAGUUGGAGCUUGAGGUAAAUUCAAUAAGAGGACGAUUUUAAUUUUCUUUGUGUGUUUUGAUUUGUUUUUCUGUUUGUGUGCUUUAGUUUGUUACCCCGGUGAAAUGGCGGAUAACGGUACUCCGUGACAAUCAAGUCGGUUACUUCAGUUUCCCACAAUAACUGACAUUCUGAGGCGAAAGUAUGGACAUAAACGAGAUUCUAGCGAAGCUUCACAAGCGAUUCCCUUCACUUCCUCAGAAUGCCCUCCUUACGAUCUAUCAAGCUCGAUCCGAACGCAUGCGAUUACUCAUGAGGAAUAACAUACCUGCUGACAUCCGUUGGUUAAUCGAGGCUAAAGUACGAUCGGCAGGUGAGUUACCUCCAAAAUUUAUUGCAUUCAUGCCUGGUUGUGGUAAAGGAAAUUAUGCAAGAAAACGACGAGCUCGAAGAAUUUCUGUUGCUUGUCACAAGUGUGCCAGAAUGAGUUGCGAUAGAAACCCAUGUUCUUUAGGAAUGAUGUCUGAUAACAGAGAAGAUAAGAUUCAAUUCAUUAGGGAUGGCUUGAAUAAGGAGUCAUUGGAUGAUAUCCUUCUGUCUCUUGAAACGCAUCCCAGUGGAUAUGUGCAAGGAGUGAUUCUCCAGUUAUGGCCAUUAUUCCAGAAAGAGCAUGCACGAUAUAGUCUCGGGAAUCUGACUAUAAACGACCCUGUUUGUCAGUUUAUAAGAAAACUGGAUGGGAAGCCGAUCCUCGACCCAUAGAGGGCGUUAAAGCCGUUUCUGGACGUAAAACCAGAGGAAGAUGUGAGCCACAGUCGCAACUACGUGUAAAUAUCCUUUUACUUUACUGUUAUUUUAUUUCAUUUCACUGUUGUUUUAUUGUUUGCAUUAUUGUCUUUAAUAAUUUUGUUACUGUUUACUUUUUCCUUUUUAUUGUUUCUUUUUUGACUCGCGAGCCACGUGCUUUACGCGUUAUUUGACACUGACAUGUUACCUCAUUCACAGCUGUGAUCCACUGUCACCAAGAUUCUUAAAUGUGAUUUACUUUUUGUCAAGCACUCACAAAUUAUUUUUGAGAAGUAUCACAAUGGCAGCCACUCCCAAUAGACAAUUCAAGAACAUUUGUGUGCUUUCUGGAUUUACCUAUGGCAAACAUAAAGAGUUCGUUGAGGCAGCCAUAGAUCUUGGUCGAAGCAUAGCAGCGAGAAAAUUACACUUGGUGUAUGGAGGAGGUAACCGAGGAUUAUCAAAAAUGGUCUCAGAAGCAGCUUUUAUCAGAGGAAGUCAAGUGUUAGGCAUCAUCCCAAGAGUCCUAAAACCAUUGGGCAGUUCGUCUGACUCAUCAACUGGAGAAGAGUUAGUCGUCUCAGGUAUGCAAGAAAGAAUAACUGAAAUGCUUAAUCAUGCUGAUGCUUUUAUUUUCCUUCCAGGAGAUCUUGCAACACUAGAGGCACUUAUGACACUAGCAUCUUGGGCCCAUCUGCACAUCCACCAGAAACCUAUCGGUUUGUUAAAUGUCAAUAACUUUUAUGAUGGCUUUAUCGCAUUUCUUAACCAUGCAAUAAAAAACUAUUUCAUUCCUUCUAAUGUGAAAAAACUCUUUAUUUGUGCUCACACUGCUAAUGAGCUACUUGAUAUGUUACAAGCUUAUAAACCGGAGCCAGACCCCUGGACCUUUGUGUUGGAGCGACCAAAUAAUGAUGGUAACAGUAGCCGCAGUAAGAAGUACAAAUUAGAUUUAACUCUCCGCCUGUAAAUAUUUUCUUCUGUGUUGCACCACCCAGGUGAUGUCUUCUAAACUCUACUUCUUUCCUUUAAAACAUUGAGGACAAUGUUUCGUUCUGGUUGGGGGGAGGGAAUAGUCGACAAUUGUGGAAUCUUGGUUAAGUUUUUACUAAUUUUUUGUUGUAGAAACUAACUGUUGCUAACUUUUUGUGUUGAAGAUGGCUGAAUAUGGAGUGUAGUUACUCUAGAAACGCAUCUUCAUUGUUCGAAAAAAAAAAAAAAAAAUUCUUUUUCUUUAUUUAAGUUUUGAUGUUCAUUUUUCUUCUUCUUUUUAUUUUCUCCUCUAUAAAUAUACAUUUUCCAACUUUUGAGUCGAAGAUGGCUAAAUAUGGAGUGUAGUGCCUCUAGAAACGCAUCUUCUUAGUUUAAAAAAAAAAAAAAAUCUUUUUCUAAUUAAUUUUUCUACAUCAUUUUCACAUUUCUGCAUGCAUAUUUUCCUUUCAUGUUUAGAAUAGGUUGGGGGGUAGAAUGUUGUUUAAAAAAAAAAAAAAAAUUUUUGUGUUAUUUGUUUUAACAUUGGAUGACAUGAUUAAUUUCAAAUUUUAGUAUUUGUAUUAUCUUUGGUCUUAAGUGAUGUUACGCUAUGUUUGCUACUUUACAUGUUGAUGUCGGAGACAAAUAUGAGUUGCUUGAAGGAAUGAAUAUGUCAUAAAUAAGUGCCAAGUGAGUUGUUGAGCCUAUCAUUUUCUUGGAGAGUAACCCUUUUGCCCAUUCUCUAUACAGCUUAGCAGUUUAUUAUUUUAUACACGAUCUCUAUAUUUCUUUUGAGUUAACCCUUUAAAAAAAAAAUAGUAAAAUUAAAAAAAAAAAAAAGAAAAAAGAAAAAAAUGUGUGUUGCUACAUUGGGAGGCCCAUCUAACUAGUAGAUAUGGAUAAUUAUUUAGAGCCCUAAAAGACGAUGGAAAGGCCAUCUUUGAUCCGUUUGAGCCUUUCUAGCCAUCCCUGUUAUUAAAUAUCCAUAGUUACCCCUUUUGAGCCUUUAAAAAAAAAAAAAAAAAACAAAAACCUUUUCUUUGUCAACUUAUCAUCUUGACCCACUCCGAUUUGGAGUAUUACCCAAUGUCUUUUAAGUUCCAUCACCUAUUUAUGUUUGAGAAAAUGUAAAUAAUUAUUUUAUUCAGUGACGUUAUGCCAAAAAAAAAAAAAAAUUGUUGUUUCAAAAGAAUAAAAAUAACAAUAAUAGGUGAAAUCCACCUUGCAACUUCCAAAAAAAAAAAAAAAAUCUCUGCAUUUUUCUCAAACAUACACUUUGUUUUCCUUAUUUUCUUUCUUUGUUAGCCAUAUCCCUAGCCUACGUUACGUCCUAAUAAAAGUCCUUCUUGAUUUUAGGGAACUAUAGUUUGAAGUAGAAGCUAGUUAUAUGGGCGAAAAAGAUGUAGUGAUGCAUAAUAAAAAAAAAAAAAAAAGAUAAAUAAAGUGGGUUGACUAACAUUUUAUUUGACUUGAGAUCGUAUUAUUUCUAAGCUAAGGGCAUAUUUAUUUCAUCUUGGUGAGAGCAUGUGAUAUCACUUCUUCAUUAUUUUCUCUCAAUUACCAUUCAUUGGAGUGACUAUUUUUUGGGUUUAAUUUCUUUGUGAGAGUGUCACUACUUCCAGUGAGAUUUUGGGGUUUGACAUGUCAUUCUUGAAAGUAGCUAUAACAAAGUCUACUGGGCCGAUUCAUGUGGAUGGUUGAUGUGGGUGUGAUGUUGCUUUAGACUGGAGAUAAUGCUUAUACUUUUAUUUGAUUGCUAUCAUUAAUCUGAUUGAAUAAACACGAGUGUUUCUAAAAAAAAAUAUAUAUAUAUAUAUAUAUAUAUAUAUUUUGAAUUUGAAUUUUGUUUUCGCUUUAUUUGCUAGGGACUAGCAAUAAGCUGGUUGGGGGGUGUGUUGAGUGUUAGAAAAUGCAUAUUUAUAAAGGAGAAAACCGUCAUUUUACAUUUCAAGUCUUACUACCAACCCUUACUUUUAUGUAUUUAACCUUCUUGUGAUGUAAUUACGUGUGUGUUAUUUUAAUUAAGUAUUUUAUAUAUUUUAGGGGCAUUAUAGUCAUUUCACAAUAAAGGAGAGAUCAGACGGCAAAACGGAUAUCACUUUUGAACUCAAGACGGUCGAAAACCUUAGGAGGAACAUAAAAGGAAAAAUGGCACUAUUCACAUGUACGGUACUAUUCACGUAUACGUUACUGUUCAUGGCACUGUUCACAUAGACGGAUCGAUGACGUGGCAUUGACCGAUGAUGUGGCAUUGACUGAUGAGGUGUCACGAUCCUGUUGGGCUAAAAUUCUUAUGUACUGUUGAUGGUGACGUGGCAGUAUAUCAGUGGACGAAAAAUCUCGCGUACGGUGCAUGCAUCACACAGGAUUAUUUUCAACCAAACCGCGUUACUGUUCAUCCGGGUCAAACUGUGUUACUGUUCAAAGUCGGGUCAAACCGUGUUACUGUUCAUCCGCGUGGUCAAACUGUGGACUGUUGACCGAUGACGUGGCGCAAUCCUGAGCGUCCAAACUGUUUUUAAUCCGAUGGCCAUGAUUUACUCCAUGUAUCUAUAAAAAAGGGGCCUCUCCCCCCUAAUUUGAUACCUCUGAAUCCAUUUUUGGGAUCCAUUUUCUGUAAUUCCCUCUCUAUCUUGUAUUUUCUUUGUAUUUUAAUAAAUUCCCAUUUUGUCCCUAGUUCAAUUAUGAGUAACUAAUUUCUUUUCAAGCUUGGGUUGAAGGUGAAGUCUCAACAUGUAUCAUGGGCUUUAUUUGGUAAAUUUAUUUUCUUUUCCCCUCUAGUUUUUGUGGAUGAUUUGACUUAUCGUCGACAAAUAAUACUGAUCUUGUCUAGAUACCGCCUUGGUUACACCGGCUCUCUAGUACAAGGUUAUUAUUAUUUGGCACGAUAAGCCCUUAGCACCAUAUUGAUUAGAGCGUGGUUCAUGAGGUGUGGAUUCCCCCUCAUGAUUUAAUUGGUAUUAAUAAGGAAUAUUUAGCCCAUGAUGCAUGUUGAUACGGAUCCAGAUACCCAAGUACGUCAUUUCAAUACAUUUCUCUUCAAUUUAUUCUUGCCAUUUCAAUUCCAAUUUCAGCAUUUAUUCUCGCCAUUUUAAUUUAAAGUUUUAGCAUAUUCCAAAUCAUUUCCACCACAAUUCCAACCACCCAUUUACAAAAUUAAUUCUAUAUAUAAUUAAAAAUCCACCUCCUCGUGGGAUCGACACUCGUCACCAUUGAUCUACACUACAAUAGAUUCGUGCGCUUGCGAGUACAUUAAAAUUUGCACAACACUCAGCAGAGGAAGGGUCCACGACCCCAGUAGUGGAAGAGCCCGUGACUGCAGUAGAGGAGAGGGUCGCCUCAGCAAUUGUGUCUUCCACUUCGUCCCUAGCUCCUCGAUCGUGUGCUUCUGCGACUGAGGGGGUCCUUUAUCAGCUUGCAUUUCCUUGGUUAUGCUCCUCUAUGUAUUUUUUUACACCUAUUUCAAGCUUUUUCAGGUCCAACUCUGGAUGCUCCCUUUUAAGGAAUGUCAUGAUAUAGUUGUAGCUGAAGGCAAGCCCAAAAUCGUACUCCUCGCCCACCUCGUUCUCCAAACUAUUGACCUGGGGGUCUCAUCUAAACUCAAUGCCUGCUCACUACUAUUCCUAUUUAAUUUAUUUCCAUCUGAUGACAAGGAAGUCUCGGGUGUUGGUUGCCUAAGAACACUUUUAAGACAAGAGGGAUCUACAUCACCUAGAGGGAUUUGAGGGUCAAAGAGAGGUUCUCUUAAUAUGUGGGGGUAAGAGUCUAUUUCCUCGUCAUUUUCAAUUUUAAUAAUCUUUCUUUUUCUACACGACAUAGUAGGAAUUGAAACAAACCCAAAUAUUCGAAUAAGAAAUAACAACACAUAUCAAUGCAACAACAACUAGGUAUAAGUUCAGAAAGUUGUACUUGGGAUGAUCUAGGGUCGACGAAGUGGAUGUCGAGGCUGACGACAGAAAAGGGGCUUCCUAGCAUGAAGAAGACACUCUAUUUUAGGUAAGAAGCGGUUUUAGAUAAAAAACAGAAGGACAGGUUUAACGAAUAAAGAAAAUAUUAGUUUAGAGAUUUAAUUGAUGAAAGGGAAAAAGGGGGAGGCAUUUUAAGUGGUGAAUAUGUUAGUUUAACCGACGCAUUUCAAGAGCAUGUAAAUCGCCAUUUUAAAUUUCAAAUGUGUGGUAUAGAAAAAAGGCCACGUCAUAAGCAUGUAAAGUGAGGUGACAAGGGGUUAGAUCGAUAUAAAAUGGCCAAAGGACAUAAGUGUCUAUCUGAUAACUCUAUGAAAUGAGAGUUAUUACGGCAAUUCUAGACUGAAAAUAAGAUCACUUAGAGAGCAAAGAAUGUGUUUUUAUUGCAUUUUUGUUAUAUUUUGCAUAAACAUUCAUUUUAGUUUAGUCUUAAUAAGUUUUGCUUGAUUUAGAUUAAUUUGUGAUCAAAUUGUGUGCAAAAUUGUAGGUUACCAGAAGCUUAUGAUUCGGGAAAGAAUGCAGAAGUAAUGGGCUAACUUAAAAGAUGAAGAAGAUGGCCACAAAAAAAGUGAAACAAAAUCUGAAGUAGUACAAUGCUAGAGUCAUUGCUGGAGCAGCCAUUACUGUAGCAAUUCUGGAACAACGAUAGAGAAAACUUAGCACGGGAAAGCUGCAAGAUUGCGAUUUGCAGUUUCCUAAUCUAACUCUCGCGUACCCUAUGCCUUUGCUUACCUUAAUUUUCAGUUAUAAAAGGAGGCGCACAUCAUAUAAAACGGCAGCAAGGAAUUAUCAUUGGAGAAACUCUAUUUAAGGAGUUUAUUUGGAAUUGAAUGGGAACGUGAAGAAUUUUGCUCAAAGCUGUGGUUGACUUUCACCCAAAGAAAGCCAAAUUUAUUCAGUUUUCAUUGUAAUCUGACUGGUACCUAUCACCUAGAAAGUUACAUUCAUUAAAUCUAUCAGUUGCUUGUUGAAUACCAUGAUAGGAUAUUCUUCUCCAUGUAGUCAGAGAGAACAAAUCUUCCUAAGCCGGAGUUCUUGUUUUCCUAUUUCGACAUGUUAUGAAGAUUAUCAUAACAAUCGUUAUUAGUACACUCAAUAUAAUCGAAGGAAAAGUUUAUUUCAAACCAGCAGAGUAGCAUUCUUGGAUCCUUUGCUAUUGUCUUCGUUGCAAGUGGGACUUGGAGUCUUGCUGGACUGCAGAGUGCGUAAUUUUGGAAAAACGAUUGAGCUGAAAAGUUUUUAAAAGGUCCCAUGAGAUAUGAGAGUGCCUCCAAUGAUUUUGGAAUUUCUCCAAAGAGAGAGAGAUCUAAAAAUUCCAAGCUUAUCAAACUACCAAAUGAUUCAGGAUCGGAACGUAAAAGUGGUUUCUAGACAAGGAUAAAGUUGCUAAAUCUUUGAGGCCACCAAUAUUUACUGGUAUAUCACCUGAUAAUUGAUUUUUUGAUAAAUCUAACUUUACUAAGACCUUUAAGCAUUGUAUAUUUGAAGGUAGAGGACCACUUAGACAAUUUGUUGACAAGUUUACAUACAAGAUGAACUCAUAACUCCACAAGGAUGAUGGGAUACUAGAAGAGAGCGUGUUGGAGCUUAAAAAGAGUGUUCUUAGAGAAGUCAAGACUUCCCAAGCAUUGCGGUAUAUGUUCGAAGAGCGUAUUUUCAUUUAAAAAUAAACCAAUCAACCGCUCUAAGGGGCAAAGAUCAUUGGGAAUGUAUCCUUGCAAAAUAUUGGCAUCGAGAUAUAAAACUUGUAAUGUCUUUAACGUUCCCACUGGUGUUGGAAUAGUUCCAUUCAAGUCGUUGUUGAAGAGGCUUAAAAGUAUGAAGCCACUUAAAUUACCAAUCUCUUGAGGAAUGCUGCCCUUAAGUUUGCAAUCAUGAGCAAAACGUUUUUUAACAGACUUAGAGAAUUUCUCAAUUAAUGGUGGAAGGUAUGCCCCGCAAUGGAUUAAAGCCUAAGCCUAAAAAUGCCAGCAUCCUACAAGAAUUCAAAGAAGGGAGAAAACUCAACCCACCAGUAGAUGAUUCCGUCGUCAAGUAAUUAUACGCUAGGUUGAGUAGGCCAAGGAAUUUCAAGCUGCCAAAAGUGUUUAGAAUAAGGCCAAAGAAAGAGUUAUAGCUCAAGUCUAGGACACUGAGUUUAGAAGCAUUGGUUAUCGAGUUGGGAGUUGUCCCCCUAAGUUUAUUUAUUUUUCGCCAAAAGUGACCACUCCAUGUUUGGAAGCGAGUGGCCAAUCGUUGAUGGAAAAUGGCCUGAGAAUUGUUGUUCAGCUAGAGUAAUUCUUUUUAUGGUUGAAAUAUUGAAGAUUGUGGGUGGGAUAGAACAAGUUAAGUUAUUGGAAUUAAGAGCUAAAUAGUCCAGAUUUUGUAGGUUGCCCAUCCCAGUUGGAAUUUCACCUACCAGAAUUAAAGCCCACGUUAUGUUAAGACUUAUUUAGCUGAAAGCACAAGCGGGGUAAUAUACGUUCAAAUGCAUCAAAGUUGGCAGUUUCGUUUGACAAUAAGCAUAUGAAUUAUGAUCUUUCUUGUUCAGCGAUUUUGAGAUUUUACUAAUCAAUUUAUAUAUAUAUACAAUAUGUGGAGAAUGUUUAAAUUGGGCCUUUUAUUUUAAUUAUAGACUAAAUUAUGAGAAAAAUACUUAUAUCCAUAAUAUUAUUCAAGCUUUUAAAAAGAUUCAGAAUUAAAAAUCAAACUUUUGUACUCUAAUAAUUCUGCUGGUACGUUCAAUUAGUAGAUUAUUUUAGGAAAGAAGGUUAGAAUAGGCUAUAGGUUAUGGUAGUUAUGGUCACUUAAUCACAACUUUUAACCUUAGUAUAGUAAAAGUUUGACUUUUUCAGACGACCCAUCCCAAACUCCCAGGGCGAGUCUAUUUAAUCCCGUCAAAACUUAAUUAAUAAUAAUCUAAUAAAUAAAGAUUUUGUAGACAAUUCGGCAAAGUCUUCCUUAUAAAUAUAACACACCCAACUUGCAAAUGUGUAAAACAAGCACUCUCAAAAUAAUCAAAUAAACAACCAACUCCAACGCUCAACAUCCUCAACCAUAAUACUAAACUUUACCGAAGAUAUCUCCAAAGUAUCAAAAGAUUAUAUUAUAGCUAAUAUUAACAUACAUUGGUUUGUUCUUAAUCUCAAAAGAAUAAUACAACAAAAUUAUACAAUCCCAAAAAAAAUGAGAUGACCAAAAUGCCCUAACAAAAAUCAUCUAUAUCUUCUAACACCAUCACAUGGCCAAAAUUCAAAAUAUCUAAAGUUGCUGGGUCGAUUUGGUGUGCCGACAUCCUCAUGUGGAGGGAAAAAUAUAAUAAAACGGGAUGAGUAUAAAACUUAGCUUAGCGAGUGGAUAAUAAUUUUUUUUUGAAAAUAAACUUACUUCAAAAUUAUUAUAUCAUCUCAGUUAAUAAUUUCACCAAAUUACCACAAGAAACUUAAAUAACUUAUUUAAUUAUAAAUCAUAAACUAGCAUAAAUAUAACAUUUAUAAUACCAUAUAAAAUCAAGGAAAUUAUAAACACACUGUAAUCUCAAAUACUGAAUUCUGAAAACUGUCACUAAACAAGUACCCACGGGAAAUAAUCUUGUCAUAUCCAGAUCUCAACGGACGAACAACGACGUACUAUUAGGAUACCGUCAUACCCUGGAGCUACAACGGGUAGACAGGAAAAUUCCAUCUUACAUGUCUCCUAUAUCUCAUCAUAUCUCUACAUGCAUAAACUAGUUCCCAAAGGACAAAGGUGCCCAAGCACACGGCCCAAAGCCUUUGUGUGUAUUCAGACAGACCCCAAAGGCCUGUAUCUCAUAUAUAUUUCAGUAAUUAUAUCUUUGUUAUUAUUAUACUACAUACAUAAGCCCCCAAAAGGCAAAAGCGCCCAAAUAUACAGCCCAAAGCCUCUAUGCGUGUUCAUACGGGCCUUAAAGCCCUCUCUUCAUAUAUGUAUCAUUGUAACUGGAUAGGAAGGGCAAUAGCCAAUGAUUGUGCGAACGAUCUUUUAUGCAUAUUUACAUGAGCAUAUAAUUAUAUCAUACUAUAAAACUCAUUUCCUUUCUAUUUAAAAUACUUUAUAUCUAUUUUCUUUUCUUUAAAAUACUAUCAUUCAUUACUCAAAAAUCAAUAAGGGAACUGAUAAUCACACACUUUUUAAUAAUACAACAAUACAUAAAUAAAACUCAUUUCUAAGAAAACAUUAAAUCGGAGCAUUAAAUAUUUAUUCACAAACAUGCUUUACUAUACUUUAAAAACCAUAAUAUUAUGAAAAUGGAUUUUGUAUAUUCCACUCACAGCGACGAUGCUUAGACUCGGUUAUUGUCUAUGCCUGCAGACUAAUUCUCGCUUGCGAUUCCUCCUAGAUCAAGGAAACGACAUAAUUACUUUUUGUAAAUCUGAAUUAGGACUAAAUUUAUGCAAUAAACUCAAAACGAACAUCUAUCCAUAAUUUACAACUCUCGCACUGAUAAAAUUACCAAAUUACCCUUGCAUUCGUAAAUUAUUACAAUACUAUGAAAUCGUAAAUUCCUGAAUUAUCCUCGAAAUCAUAAUUACUUACCUAUCCUCAAUUUUAGAAAUUACUAAAACAUCUACGGGGUCGAAAAUUACAAAAUUGCCCUCAAAAUGUAAAAUUACCGGAAUGCCCUCAUGGGUCAAUGACGACCGUAAUUCAAGCGACAGUGAGUGGGAAGGUUGGGUUAGACACUUCUGGCCGACCUAAGUUCAAUGGUACCGGCAGUGAGCUUCACCCGUGGCGACGGCGCCAGAAGCUAGCUCAACAAUUGUGAAACUCCAAUGGCUGAACAACGACAAAUUGACAACUUUUGGUGGCUGUGGAUGGCAGAAAAAUCAAAAGGGACUCGUGGAGAACACAAUUGAGAUGGUGGCAUGGUCUAAUUCUGGCAGAAUCGACAGCGGUAGUGACGGGUUUCGGCUGCAACUUUUCGUUGCCACACACAGUGGCAUUUCGGUCAACAUUUGGCGAUGGUGAUGGCAAGGAAGUGAUGGCCGGCUCAAGAGAUUUAGUUUGCUAACUUUCACAGUUGGUGAGGUGGCCGAAAAUUGAAGAUAUGGAUGGGUUGGUUUCGCAGGAUACGGGUCGGGUUUGACAAUUUCCUCUCCUUCUCACGUGUGAAUAUGCUUCUCCUUCAAAAAAAUUGUUAGGUUUACUUUUUUUUCCUCUUUAACCGCCUUUCUUUUUCCUCCUUUUUUUUAUGUUUUUUCACAUACGUUACACUUUUUUACUAGAAAAUAUACCAUUAACAAUUUUGUUCACUAAUUAAUGGUUAACAAUAACUAGGGAAGCACAAUUUUAACCUUAUGAGUACUUUUGGGUGGUCAUAUUUGUGAAUAUUCUAUGCUGAAUUUGUGUUAUCAAAUGUUGAUGGAGAAACACAAUUUUUUUCUUAGAAAAAAUUAUCUAAACAUUAACACACGUUAUAAGAGAUUUGAACUAAGACCCAAGUCUUAUUAGUUCGUGGGAAAAACAAUGUUAAUGAAGCUAGGUCAUGGUCUCAUAGAGAAAAACAAUUUGUUUAUUAUACAAAUUGAAAGAACCAGCAUGCAUUCUCUUUAUUCGUGGGAUCUAGCUUCUUUAAUUUUGUUCUCAUUCUUUAUUUUGUUAUAUGCUGAGGAUACACAAAAACAAUGUAGGUAGAAUUUGAUUAUUUAUUGUUAUGCUGAGGAUUCACACGCUAUUGCUGAAUUCAAUCCAAUUUAGCGGACAUUUGACAAUUCUCCUUAGGUGAGAUUGGACUUUCUAGUUUCAUGUAUUUGUUUAUCUUCUUCCGAUGUUUUCAGGCAUACCCAUUUGGCAAUAUAUAAAAAUCUGCGAUAUCUUCUAUGAACAUACAAAUAGAUCAUUGGCUUCACUCAUUUGUGAACAUAUUGUAGAUAUUAGAUUUAUUGUUAUGAUAUCUCUAGUGGAAUCCAAAGUUUGAUGUAACGACAAAAGAAGAAUGAGCGGUGAUGGACCAGAGAGGGGAAAAAAUGUUGGGGGUGGGGGUUGGGGGGAGGGGGGUGUUGGGUGGGGUUGUGCAGCAAUGGGAAUGAUAGGGGUGAAAGUUCAGGCUAUUAACAAGCUGUAAAAUGGGGACAUUAGAGAUUGUGAGGUCCUUAAGAUUGCUGACUUGUGCUCAAAAUGGAAUUCUUGACAACUUCAAAUGUUAACCGUUCUUGGUGAAAUUCUGUACUUUCUUUUCUUUCAGAUUCUUGUGCCUAUUGCGAAUGGUUCAGAGGAGAUGGAAGCUGUUAUAAUAAUUGAUAUUCUGCGAUGAGCUAAAGCAAAUGUUGUGGCUGCAUUAAUUGAGGAUAAACUAGAAGUUCCGGCUUCUCGUAGAGUUAAAUUAGUUGCUGGUAUGCUCAUUGAUGAGGCAGCUAAACUUUCGUAUGAUUUAAUUUUCCUGCCAGUAAGUGUGGGGGGGGGGGGGGGGGGGGGGGGUUAUUCUUGCUUCAUAGUCUUUACCGCAUUAUUGACUUAUUAACUACAAUUUAUCUAUGCACAGGGUGGACUUGGUAGUGCUAAGGCAUUUGCAAAGUCAGAUAAAUUCGUAAAUAUGCUGAAGAGCGCAAAAGGAAUCAAAUAGACCUUACGGUGCUAUAUGUGCAUCUCCAGCUUUAAUGUUGAGCCCCAUGGCUUACUCAAGGUUAUGACCAUUUUUGCUUAAAUAUUUACUCUCGAUUUGGUUCACCUUAUCUGAACUUGAUCAAACAUUAUCAACUUGUGUGAUAUUUAUGAGCGUGGUCUUAUCUCAUGUAAGUCUGUAAAGAAUUAAUUGAAGUUUGCUGAUAAAUUACAAACUCAAAAACUGCUGCUGCUUCAUUAGUUACAUUACCCAAAGAGUUAUGAUAGACAUCCCAAUUUUUUUACCCCAAAUUCCAUCUCAAAUGACAUGGUAUUUAUUGAGUGGUUAGUAAUUUUUAUAAAAUUCAAGUGUAUUACUUGUAUUAUCUAACCAAUCAAUUGUUGAAUAUCACAUCCUUCGAGAUGAUUUUUUGGGAUGUGUAGCAAAAUAUUAUGCUGAUUUAUUUUGGCUUCAUUCAUGUAAAACUUUUUCCCCUAAAUCCCAAGAACUUCCCGCAAUAUCAUUCCUGUGUAUUUGUUUUCCCCUUAGACAUAUUUAACCUUGGUUCAGGGUAAAAAAGCUAUAGCUUUUCCUGCCAUGUACAACAAGCUGUCAGAUCAGAGUGAAAUCGAAAACAUGGUUGUGGUUGAUGGCAACCUUAUGCAGAGGGCCAAGAACUUCCAUGGAGUUUGCACUGGCAAUUGUGGAGAAGUUUUUUGGCCGCACCAAAGCACUUGAGCUUGCAAAGAUAUUGCUUUUCACCCGCACCUAAAAUUUGUACCAGGACCUGACUAAUAUUAAACUAGAGUAUUUAUUUCUGUAUUACUACUGCUUGUAGAGAGGCGGAAUGGAAACUUGAAUUCAUGUUUGAAUAUGGAUUCACUCUACGGGUUAGUACAAGAGCUUGCUUAUAAAUAAAUGAGUUCAUAAAGAGUCAUUUUAAAUAUUUGGAAUAAACGUG